rnacentral:lncRNA from 1 species
GUUGGUAAAAGCACACACAAACCAAAUAGAAACACAUGAACACUUAAUUAAGCAGAGAAUAACAGCUUCUGCAAUCUGCGUAUCGCAGCUUGAUAGUCUGAUUAGUUCUUUCCUUGAGAAAUGAAAAUGAGAUCACUUUGAGACAUCCAAUGGCAUGCUUCACUUUGGCCAGGAGAAGUUUUCAAUAUCUUCAAGGCCACAUGAUCAGGGGACCAGCCUGAAGUAUCCAUAUGACAUACCACCGUGACUGUAUUAACUGGAACUUUGGUCCUAGGUUCAACAACAUCUACUGCAUAGACUUCAAUAUUGGACAGCAAAUGGCAGAAAUAUGUUGCAAAAGGAAGAAAUAAUUGAUGACAUGCCACAGUUUUUCCAUAUUUAAGCUUUUCCACGCGUCCAACCAUCAAUUCUUUUCUAGAACCCUCUGUGUUUUUCGAUGCCAAUGCCACCAAAUUCUUGUCACCUAUGGCAGUUUUUGAAAAUUCAAUCAUUUCCUCAAGGGAUUUUGCACAGCUCUGAGGCUCUUCCUUAAGAGCAGGAGUAUUGCAAUAAAUAAGGGUGUAUUGAAUGGCAUCUUUUGUUUGCGGGCUUUCAAAGGAUUGAGGAAAUAAUUUUCGUAGGUCAUUUUCCGUAACAGAGAUCUUUGAUGCCGUUUGAGAAGGAAGAAAUGACUGUUGGGGCAAUUGGUUUUCCAAGCUUGAGAGAUGCACCAUGUUUCCUUGUUUGAGAAGUGAGAGUCUGAAGAAAGAAAAAGGAUCAACAUGUAGGACAACAUUUGGGCUAAUUCUGCCAUAGCCGUAAUUAUUCUUGUCCAAGAAACUAUCAACACGUGCUUUGGAUAAACAAGCUAGGUUUGCAAGAGAGCAAAGAUUUGCAUCAAAUGGAAGAUUUUUCUCGGACGCUAAUGAAGUGAAAUGUUCAGCUUGUUCCUUGCUCAGUGGAGAUAGUUUGGACAGAAGAUUUCCAGGCAUGGUGCCUUGGACAUUUUCUGACCAAUAUUUGAGCUGAUUCAAUGCAGUGAAUGAAGAAGAUGAAAUGUGUGCAGCAAAAUGGGACGUAGGAAACGUGAGGGCAAUGACAAAGAGAACGAUAGCAAACGUUGAAGAGGCCAUUGGUUUCAUCGACACUAAUAUUGAGCUAAUUUUCUUCAGUGGAUGAAGUGCUGAUGACUUUGCUAGUGCAGCUUCUAAUUUAUACUAGUGCUCGAGCCUGGACACAGGGCCUCACCUGCCCAUUUCAGGAUAAAAUGGUUACUCUAAAUUUUUUUUACAUCUUGUUUUAGUUGGUAUAUAUCUUUACUUCAAUUUAUUUACAUCCCACUCCAACUUAUUUGUACCUUAGUCUAAACCGGUUGGAAAUGGAACUUGUGAGGCCUCAUCCCCCACUCUAGCCUUGUGUUUGCUCCAGCUAUAAUCUCUAAAGGGAAACCGUUCAAAAUGUUCCUUAUAUUUUGUCAUAUAAAUUUUUUCCUUCUUGUUGUCCCUAAAAAUUAUCAAUCCUCAAUCAUUAUUGUCCCUAAAUAAGUAGAAUCUAAUCCAUACCAUGUUCAUUUUUCUCCAUAAAAAAGUGGAAUAUGACCCAAUCCAUAUUUAUUUUUGCCACAAAAAAAUGGGAUCUACCCUUUUUGGACAUAAAAAAUAACUGUAUAUAGGUCACAUGGUGAUUUUAAACUAGUCAGAUAUUUAGGUUGGAACUAAAUUUUGCUAAUUUGAAUUUUUAAGUGAUUUAAUUUGAAGUUUAUAUUUUAAAAGUGAAGAACGAAAAAAUUUAUUUGAUAAAAUGUGUGGCAUGUUUUGAAUGAUUUUCUCAUCUUCACAUGUAUAUAUUGUACAAUUAAUCCAAAACAAAACUCCAAAUGUACCUGUGUUUACUAAUCCAGAAAAAAAGAGACAAAAUUGAAAAAUAAAUUUAUUUGAAUAGACAAUUUGCAACUUGUUCCACGUUCGCAUUUGAAUGGGUUAAAUACACUAAUCAUACAUCCACGUUAGACAAUUUGCGGUUGUCCCAUUUUAUGCUCUCAGCUUGCGGUCCAUAACCUGAGAUAUGUGGUAGUUAAAAAGACAAUAUUUGUAAUCUCGAAAGUGACGGACAAUACAGUCCCGCACAUUUAGUGCGUCUUGUAGGUAUAUAUGGACAACCGCAGCAAGGAAUUACAUCUCCAAAUACGAAAAUUUCAUGAAAUGAGAUGUAGGUGUGUGUAUAUGUAUAUAGGUAUAUAAAUAUGUAUGUAAGUUUGGUUUAUAAAAUAUUAGUCAAUACUAAUCGUUCAAAAUGACCAACAAAUUUCUUAAUAAAAAAACAUUGAUAUCCUUGGGGAUACUUUUUUAUCCAAUAAAGCAGCUGAAAAUUGUGUAAAAAAUGCAUGCUUCCUAUAAACAAGAUUGGAAAAGAAAACGAAAAUGAAUAAGUCACAUGCUAUGAAAGUCAGUUGAAAAGGAAAAGAUUGGCUCGUGUAGCCAAAAAUUCAUAAGCAUUGCAGUUACCAGCAACACGUAUUUCCGAUUUUCAGAUGUCCACGAUUUGUAUAAGGGUUCUAGUCUGUUGCAUUUGCAUCCCACAUACAUUGAUAACUCCAUUUGAUUUGAAGAGGAACACCUUGCGCAAAAGAAAGAUGUUGCAGAAAUUUGAGACAUGAAAAAAAAUUUAGAGACUAGCAUUGAAACUUUUCCAUUAAGGAAAUAGAAAGUUUAAGAGCUAUCAAUUGCUACAGCUAAAAUAAAAUAAGAAUGAGACAGAGAAAUAGGUUUUGAAACACACUGUGUGAAAAAUGGAUUUAAAAUGUGGUCAAUUGUUUGUACUAGUAGCAAAGGGUAAUUCCAACAGUCCCAAACGUAGGGGCAAGUGUAGGCAUUUAACAAAAGAAAAUUCUAUAUUAAGUGAUAUACAAUAAUACAAUAAUCACAAUUUAAAAGAUGGCGUACCUCAUGAUAUCUAAGAGUUCUCAUAUUUAAAUUUGAUAAAUGGGAACGUCAUGCAAGUUGUUCUUAUAGCAUGCAAGUGUUUUUGGAGUAAAUCGAUUUUAGAAAAGUUUAGAACAGUACUAAGAAAAGUUGCUUUCUAUAAUUGGUUAUCAGUUUUAACAGCAUUGAUUUGGUUUAGUUACUAUUACACUAUAAUGUCUUAGGGAAACAAUUAUCUGUUCACAAAAAGAUAUUAAAGUGCUACAAUUAACGAACUCUUUAAUAGGCUUUGUUGAUUAAUUCUAGAAUUAGAUGAUUGUAAAAAACAAUUAGACUAUUAACAUCGAACUUUUAUUUUUUUUCUUCUAAGAACAAUAGGAAGGAAUAGCCUUACAUUCUUUGACAAAAAGAAAGAAAGUAAAAAUCCCUAGCUACAUUAUUUGAGUUCUCAAGUACUACUGAUUAUGGAUGGAGAAAGAUUGCUCAAAAUUGCUGUCCUUUUGAAAUUCAUGAAAUUAUUAAUCAAUUGGCAACUUUGGUUGACUGGUCUUUUAUUGGGCAAUUUUUUGACAGAAGUUUGUCGGAGAAUAUCCUCUCCUUCAAUUUAAAAGAAGAAAAUUUUGAAGUAAUUCCUCCUACACUAGCCAAAAAUCUUUUCUAUGUUCUUCAGCUUGGGCUGGAUAGUGACCUGAUCGAGUUUAGGUAUUAAGAGCCAAUGAGUUCGAUCGAUUAGUUCGGGAUCUAGCUGAAUGAUGUCAUAAUGAUGCCAUAAAUAUAUUUUAAUUAUCUAUAAAGUAAAAAUUAUAUAUAAAUUACACAUUAGCUUGACAUAUUUGGUGAGUUUAUAACAAAUAUGAAGAACUCAUUCAAAUAGUUGUACAAAUUUAGGCUGGAAAUAUAAUUUGAUAAGUAUUUGUGGUUUAAUAUAUAAUUUUUUUGAAACAAUUCAGUGUCAAUUCUUGAACUUAAAGUCCAAAUACACAUUGAUGAGCCUAAAACUUUUUAAUAGGACAAUUCUUCAACAAAAUUGAGGUUUGUAUGUAAAAAUACAAAAGUUAGAGUUGCGUAGAGUAAUUAUAAAAGAAGUUUGGGAGUAUAUUUAUGAUUAUAAAAAAUGGAGGGUCAAAACAAAAUACUAGAAAAGUUUUAUAUUUAAUUGGCAAUUUCUUCUCCACCAUGCAUCUUCAUCAGCCAGGAAUCGGGAGGUUUCAACCUUCAUCUGCAUUCCCCUUUUUUUUGGUUUCUUUUUGUAAUGAUUUCAUUGUUUUUUUGUCCCUUUUCUUCAACUGGGUAAGAAUCUUCCCCUUAUUCUUUAUUUUCGUUCUCUCCUGUUUUCUUCUUUUUCUAUUUAGAUCUAUAAAUCUUUGAGAGAUGACAAUGAUAGAUUUAUAGAUCUAUUUUCUCUUUUCCUUUUUUCUUCUCUUGCAGUAAUUGAAACUUUUUAUUAUGAUUUGUCAAAUAUCUUACCACCUUUUUUUGGAGAGAUAAAAUUAGGCUUUAGAAAUGAAGAAAAUUUUUGGAAAAAAAUCACAAAUCAGCAAUGAAGAAAUUCAGGUAAAAUGAGGUUUUUCCCGAUUUUAUUGAUUCCCAGUUUAACACUCGAUUUUUUAAGGUGACUUGGACCGAAUGCUUGAUCGGUCUUGGUUUGCCCGGUCAGACUGAUUAGUCUAAUCCAAAUUUUAAAACAUAGGAUUUAAAAGGACAUAUUUGACUUGGGGAUCUAGCAGCAGAGCAUUUGAGACUGAAAAUAUAUAUGGAUGUUAAACAAGGGCGGCAAUGGAAAGAUAGUCUAAUGCUAUACCAAAGCAAGGAAACAAAAAGAAAAAGGAUUAAAAGUAAAAUUAGUUGUGACCAAAUAAAUGUAGCCAACUUGAACAUGGUAUAAAAGCAAUUGAGCAAAUGCCUUGUUCAAUUCAAGAUAAUUGAGGUACAAAAUCUAGAUUAACACAGCAAAUUAGGUUGCAGAAUGUUGGGUGUGGGCCAGCUCAUUUGUGAGCCAAACUAGAAAAUCAAAUAUUUUUAGGUUUAAGUCAAAAAUUUGACUUAAAUAAAAAAGGCGAGCAGCCGCAUGAAGUAUGAUUCUUCGGUCCUUGUGCGAGAAAAAAGAUUUCAGCCGCCGCUCUUGCUGGCUUGGUGAAGAAGGAAAAGAGAAAAAUAACUGGGAGAUCUUGAUUGGAAGGUGAUUCGAAUCCCGAUUGAAAUAAAAUUUUACAUACGCGAUCCUCUCAUCAAUCUCUACUCAUCUACUGGUCCAGAUUUUAGAUUUCCUCUUCGUUUGGUGACACCUUUCUAAACUCACUUCUUUGAUAGUUGUAGUUUUUGGGGGUGAUUUUGUAGUAAUUUCGUUUGAUUGGUAUUGGUGAUAUUAUUGUCAACCGAAUAUUUUGGGUAGACCUGUGUAUUCCUAUUGUUGUGAUAGUGAAGAUUUUUGACUGGACUAGAUCCCGUGGUUUUUCCCAAUUUGGAUUUUUCACGUAAAAAUCUUGGUGUCAUGUGCCUUUUAUUUUUCUUGCAUUUUAUUAUCACUACUGGUAUUAUUACUUGGUGAUUUGAUUUAUUCCUAUUUUUAACCGGUACAUAGAGAAAGAGAAAUUUGUCUUGGAUUAACUCUGAUAUUGUGUGUCUAUACCCAUACCUCUUUCCCAACAAAUGGUAUAUUAGACAAUCUUCACAUUUUGCACUUUCAUAAAGCAAUUACACCACAACUAUUCAGUUUUAGAUCGACAACUUUGUAUGCUACAGUUCCUUAGGCUGUCAACCACGUAAAAGAUGUCUUUCCGCAUCAUAUUGAAUGCGUUAGUUACUUUGUUUAGCAAAUUUAUAAUUAUUGAGAUGCAUGAAAUACUUUUUUUUCUGCAAGAAGAAUGGUUAAAUUCUCAAUUACAAUGAAAACAGAUAAUAUAGUAAUCCCACCAAUAUUGUUUCUUUAAACAUUUUGUUGUAAUACUCUCAACCUUUUGCUUUUCUGGUAAUAUACUUUCUUUUCAUUUCCUUUCCUUCAAUUCAAAAGGUCACUAAAUUUUUUUCCUCAAAUGGCGCCUAAAUUACUUUAAAAGCAAAGAUAACUAGUGAGAUGCCAAAAAUUUCCAAUCAAUUAUAUGCUUUACUUUGAAACUUACCGGUAGUUCCACUUGUUUUAAAUUUGUAUUAUUUAGGUAGGUUAAAAAUCGAACCAAACUAUUCGAUAUUUGAAAUAAGUUUGGUUCAGUAAAAACUUGUUCUAACUUGAUUUAUGAAUUAAUCAAACAAAGUUUGAACAUCAUUUUGUGUUCAAUUAACUUUUAAACUCUAUUUAAUCCUGGUACAAUUAGCAUAAAACUUGAUUUUAUAAGUAAAAAAUUCAAGCUAUUUGAGCUCAACUCAAAUCUGGCUUGAUUAAAGUCAACAUUAAAUAUAAUUUCAAAUUUGCUAAAAUAAUUAAACAAAAUUGAACGCUAACUUGUCCUCAAUCUUACUAUUGUCCUUAAAUGCAGCCAUGCUGCAAAAUACCUAUGCAUUAUUAGUUGGCCACUUACUUCGACAUCUUCUUAUCCUCAACUUCUUUUGCCUUUCUUUCCUUUUUUGUCUUCUUUUGUUUUUAUGUUACAGUACGGUACACCUACAAAAUUAUUUUGCUACCCACUUUACCCCGCUAUACAACACGGAUGAAGGUUACUAAAUACAAAUUAGGGACAUGAGACUUAUGAAAUAGAGGCCGUAGAAAACAAAUGGGAGAACAAGAAAUCUAUAUUCUUUCUGUCAACUUGCAAUACUCAAUCUCCUUCAACUUCAAUUUCCUUCAAAGUUUCUUUUAAUUUUUUCUUGGUGCUUUAAACAUGACACAUUUCCUACUACCUUUUCUUUAAAAAAAAAAAAAAAAAAAAAACAUUGGCACGUGAAGUUGGCAAUUGGCACUUAUCAUACAAGUGGCUCCGGAUGUGCGGUAUCGUUUGUUUCUUUUGUUUCCUGGGGAUGAGUUUUUGGACUUGGACCACUCAUAAAUAAAGUUGUUUCCUCCUGUGCGGUAUUUCUUGUCAUGGUUGCUCUUACAAUACAGCCAGCCAAUGAAAGUGAAUGUGACAGAGAGAUAUACGCACGGAGACAAAGACAAGGCUGCUCGUGUCUCAUCGUACGAUCCAAUAAUUUGGGAAUUCGAAAAAUCUAAAACCAAAGGAGAAAACAAAUGUAAAUGUGUAAAUUUACAAGUAACCAGUAUUGGUGUAAUCAAUGCAUAAAUGUGUACAUUACAACUGAUAACAUGCAUAAACAAGAUAAACUCACAUUUAACGAGACUUGACUCAACGGUUAUGAUUGUUGAAUCUCAACCUUGAUUUUCUAGACGAACAUCUCGCUGUACAAAUUAUUUAAAUUGCUAUUUUUAAAAUUUUUGUAAAAAAAUAUAUUAUAGUGAUUUGAUAUAUGUGAAAUAAAAGGGUGAUUGAAAAAUUUAUUUAUAAAAAAUCUAAAAAAUUAUCUAUAGAAAAUAGUAAUGGAAGCAAAGGUUUUUGAAUUAUUGGAGCACCCCUAAAUUAGGAAGGACGAAAAUUCAUUAUCACAUCAUAGGACCAGCUAGUCUAUUAUUCUACAAGGUGAGAUAAUUAUGAAAUUGACAUGAAGAAAUACUUCCCACACGAGUCAUGAAUCGAUCAGAUGUGGGACUGGUGGCGGCCGCCAUCUCAAAAAUUAUCAUACGACAAGACGUGUUUCAACACCAUAAGUUGCUUUCGAAGAAUAUUAAAAAUAAUGUUCUGCACAAUAUUUGGACAAGGUCACAAGAAUGGCUCAAAUCACUGAAUCAAAAAAUCCUUUAGCUGCUCAGCUUGAGUUUCACUAAAUAUUUUGAAUUGCAGAGACCUAGUCAAAAAUCGAGUUUGAUCAUGAAAAACAAGGAAAAAAUAGAAAAGUUUUUCAUUUUUUGGUGAACCAUUUUCUUUUUUCUAUUUUGUUAAAGUUUUCCAUAAAAUAUGUUUACCAUAGUUUGAUGGGUUAGAUGCAAAACUUAGCUCUUAAUUAUAACAAAUUUUGCACUUUACUCCUUAAAAUUAUCUUAUUUUGACUUUACUCCACUAUUAGUCAACUCAAACAUUAUAUACCCAUAACCUGAAAAAAACAUUCAUCCUGAGGGUUAAUGACAGUAAAUCCCCUCAAGGUAUUGCAUGUUUUAUACUUUACUCUAUAAAGUCAUCUUUUCUCAAUUUGUAGGUUUGUCCCAAGACCAUUAGUUAACUCCAAUAUUCUGUAACACCCAAGAAAAAACAAUAGCUAAGAGACAUUUAUAUCCUUGACAGGAUAGUGAACUGAAUAAUAUUUUAUGGAUAUGAGUCUAGUUAAAUUUCAUCUCGUAAUUACACUUUUUUAAGACAGGGGGAAAUUUCUCGAUCAUUUUAUGCCUUAAGGAGGAAAAAUAAACAAAAUAUUAUUUAAAAAUAAAAUAUGAAAACUGAAAAUAUUACUAAAUUUGUAAAACCCGCUUAAAAACUGUCAAUCUCUCUUUUCAAAUGUGCAUAUAGGUUUGCUUUUCAUUUAAUGGCUACAUUUUUGCUUUGCAUAAAAAAUAUACACUUUUCGUUGUUAGUAACACUACAAAGGGGCAAAAACAUGAUGGAUUUGGCAUUCCAAAGCUUUAUUGUCACUUGUGCUCAGAGCGCACCCGACGUGUGUACAAUCAAAAAAUAUAUAAUAUUAAUAGUCAUAUAUUUUAAAUAAAAUUUUUAUUACUAAAGCAAAUUUUAAUCUUUUAAAUAUUUUUCAUAAAAUAAUUUUAUAUUGGUAGUUAUGUUGAAUACAUAUACUUAAAAGUAAAAAUAGUCAUGGGUGGUUAUAGAUAGUUAAAGUAAAAGUAAUUUUUAUAAGGGCAAAAAAGAAAGUUCAUAAAGUGACGAUAAAAGUUAACCCUAAUUUUAACCCCAAAUCUCUUUGUCAAGCUUUACAUAUAACUAGUGCCAAAGGCACACCCACAUGUAUGCAAUUUAAGAAUAAAUUAAUUUUUAUGAAAUUUUCUUUAAUGAAUUGAUAGUUAGUAUUUUGGUAGUUAUGUCAAUUGGUAGUUAUCUUGGUAAUUAAACUUUUUUUCAUAAUAAAAAGUUUGGAUGUUUAAAUUUUAAACAUAUUGGUAGUUGCAACAAAAAUUAUGUUGGUUAUAUAUAAUUGGAUAGUUAGGAUAAAAUUUAAUUUUGUGAGGAUAAAAAUGGAAGUUUAAAAAGUGACAAAAGGUAUUUACCCCACCCUUUCAUUUCCUAGAGUAAGUAAGGGUAAAUUUGAAAACACACAAAACUAACACCAAGUUAACUACCUACACAUGUUUUAUUAUUUUAAAGAUAUAGAUUUUGUAAUGCUAAAAGGCACUUUUCUCAAACUUCAACGGUUUACUACAGAGGCAUUUUUUUUACAAGUGCUCAAUACACACCCAAUGUGUGUGCAAUCAAAAAAUACAUAAUUUUUAUGGUCAUAUAUUUUAAAUAAAGUUUUUAUUACUGAAGCAAACUUUAAUCUUCUAAAUGAUUUUCAUAAAAUAAUUUUAUAUUGGUAGUUAUAAUGUUUAGGGGUAGUUAUGUUGAAAACAUAUAUUUAAAUAGUUGAAAGUAAAAAUAAUCAUGAGUAGAUAUAGGUAGUUAAAGUUAAAGUAGUUUUUAUAAGGGUGAAAAAGGAAGUUCAUAAAGUGAUCAUAAAUGUUAAUCCCAAAGUUAACCACAAACCCUUUCCUUAGACUUUAUAUGUAGUAUAGAUAUUGGUGAAUUUAACUAAUGAGGGAACAAAGUGAUAAAAAGAUAAUAAAAUUUGGAAUUCUAUGGGGGAAUUCUUAUAAAUAACCCGAGUUUGAUACUAAAAAAAUUAAUGCCUUGUUUAGAAAGAGAUUUUUUAUCAAAAAAUCUAUACGUUUUUCAUAAACACAUUUUUUAAUCACCUUUUUACCUCACAUAUAUGAAAUCGCUACAGUUUAUUUUUUACAAAAAUUUCAAAAAAUUGCAAUCCAAACAUAACCUAAACUUUUAUAGUGCGCCCAUGGAUAAUUAGGAAACUGUGAUGAUCUAAUAAAAGUUUUCCAGGGUUAAAAGUAAUAAGCCCCCAAAACUUUUGGGAUGCUUUGCACUACAGUCUCUAACGUUGAUUUUGUGCCAUUUAGUACUUUUGUUUUUUUAAAUGAGAUGUCUUAAAUUCAAAACUUCAUACUUACAAUUCCUUCCACCUCACCACUUAACCAUACCCUCCACCCCAAACUCCAAUUUUAGUACUUGUGUUAGUCAACCUCAACAUUUGCCGUUAAAUGGUACUAAUUUCUAAAAUUACCCUGAUUUCUAUGACAAAAAUACCUGUUGUCCUAAAUACAAUAAAAAGAUCUCCACAAAACCCUGCAAUCCUUUUGUUUAAUAUAAAAAAGUUUAAAAAAAAAACCGCAAGCAUUUUGACAGUGCCAAUACAACAAAACCACAAUCUUCCUUUAAUUAACUUAAAUGCAGCGAAGUAUUUCUUCCAAUCUUCUACUCCAUAGUCUUUUUUUUUUUUUUUUUGGAUUAACCGUAGGAGAGCGAAGUACUUUUGUCCUUUUUCUCCUUUUUAUCAAUCUCACAGCUGACAAAACAAAAAUUUUCAAAUAUAUCUAAACUAGCAGUUCCGUCUCUCACUUAUCUUUUUGCUUUCAACAGGUUUUGUACCUAAACAUUAUGUUUUUUUUUUCCCGCAAAAUUAUGUGCUAAGUACAUUCAUUUCCAGAAUAGACAAUUAGAAACAGCAAUGCUAUUAUUCAUGUUCAACUCGUUUGAAUUUGGAAAAGGUUUAAUCACAGAAUAAACAAAUAAAACUCGAAAACAAGAUUGAUUUGGAACCAACACACAAAUUUGGGUGCAAGCGGAUUGAAUAUGUUAUUGAACCCCACAAAAAAUUAUAUUGUUGCCCCACUUUGCCCCCUUAUUCUCCUUACCAGUAUUGCAACUAGAGGUGUUAAAAUGGAUGAUUUGGACGGGUUUGGAUUGGCAAAAAUGGAUAAUAGGUAUAAGUAAGUCAACCCAUUUAUACCUAUUUAAUUAAAUGGGUAUAAAUAGGCAAGCCAAAAAUGAAUUGGAUAACCCAAUUACUCAUUUAUAACCCAUUUAUUUUAAUUUUUUAUAAACUCAUUUAAAUUCAUUUUGCAAACUAGGUUAUCAAUUUAUACCACCCUUUACACCCAUCAUUAGUUUUAAAUAUUUACUUAUAAUGCUCAAUAAGCCUAUUUACCAAAUUUUUUUCCAUCCGUACUCUAUGUCGUAAAAUUACAUGCUAUUUAAUAAUUGAACAAUCAGAAUAUAAAAAUUUGAACUAAGUACUAUAAAAGUUAAACAUAAAAAUUUAAUCCAAAAAUUUUAAACUCCUAGCAUUUUUUUCAUGUGUAAAUUUAAAAUUUCAUUUUGAAAAAGUAGGAAAAGAGGCUAAAACUUGUCAUAAAUUGGUAACACUAAAGAGUAAGUUAACAAACUAAGAGAAAAAAAAAUGAUAAGAUAAAACCAACCAAUGAUAAUAAUAAUGAAACAAAAAUAGUUAACAUCAUAACAAAAUGAAGAAUCUGAAAAAAAAAAUGGGUGGGAGAAGAGAGAAUGCUUGGGGGAAGAUAAUUCUAAAUGGAUUAAUUGGAUUUGAUGGGUUAUCAAUAAUACCCAUUUAUUUAAAUGGGUAUUAUUGGAUAAUCCAUUUAUACCCAUAUGCAAAAACUUAAGAUACCCAUAUCCAUAUAUUCAUGGGCGGGUAUGGGUAAAUUUAGUUAAAUGGAUUCAUUUGCCACCUAUAAUUGCAACCAAUGCAAGUAAAAAUUGCGAUACUUGUUUACUACAAAAUAAGGACGUGAAUUUAUCAAAUAGAAAGUGGAGAGAAAAAAAAGGGCAAAAUACACUUAACUCUCUUGUGAUUUAUUGAUUUUUUACAUAACCUCCCUAUAGUUUCAAAUACUAUAUAUAACCCCCUCAUAAUUUGCAUUAAAGUUUCAAAGUGACAAAAGUGAUUAUUUGCAAUGAAACCCAUGAAAAUAUCGAAAUUGCCUUUGUUUAAAACCUAAAAUGACUGAACUGAUCAAAAAAUAUAAAUAUAAUAUGCAUGACACUCUAACAUCGUAUAGUUUUAUAUUUUACUAUAUAGUCCCCUUAUAGUUUAGUGUUUUACCAUAUAAUCCCCUUAUAAUUUUUAAAAUAUAUACAUAAUCUUUUAUGGUUAUAAAUAAUUUUUAACUUUACAUAAGAGUAUUUUUAACAUUCUAGUUGACUCCAUUAUGGAAUACAAAUUCAGUUAUUUUAAGACUUUAAUUCAAAUCAUGAGAGGGGUAUGUGUAUCUUUUGAAACUAUAGGAGAAUUAUGUGAAAAAAUAUUAAACCAUAGGGGGUAAAGUGUAUUUUUCCAAAAAAAAAAAAGGAAAAACAAGGAGUGAGACCAUUUUCUCAUUUUAUAUGUGCACUUUAGUAAAAUAGUUAAUCAUUUUUCUUCUUUUAAAUUGUAAAACUCAACCUCUUUUAAUUUAAAAUUUCAUUCGAAUGUUAUUUUAAUUUUGAUCUUAGUUCUUCAAAAUUGGCAUAUUAAUUUCCUACAAUUUUUGUAAGGAAAAAAAAAGCAUAAAACAUGGCACUUGAAGUUGGUUGUCGGCACUUAUAGCUUGUAUCAUUUGUUUGCUGGGUACAAGUUAUUGGACUUAGACAACUCAUGGAUAAUUAAGUUGAUUUCACCAGUGGGGUUUAUGGUGGCUUAUCUCCUUCUUAUCAUGUUUGUUCCGACGAUGCAGCCGGCCAAAGAAAUAGGAUGAGAAAGAGAAAUGGGCGCAUGGAGACGAAGGGCCGGCGGCUCCUUUUGAUAUAUCAUCGGUCCCAAUUGUUUGGGAAAUCUAAAAGCGAAGGAGAAAACAAAUGCAUGCAAUUAUGCGAAUCGGAAGAGAUCUGAAUUUUUUUGGAUCAAUUCAAGAACUCUCUAUAUUAGAAAGGGCAAUAAUGCAAUGUCACAUCCACAGGACCAGCUGGUCGUUUGUCAAUUAUUUUACAGUGGGAAAUUAUGAAAUUCGCAUAGGGAAAUACUUUCCUGCUCAUGAGCCGAUGAAACAGUGGAGUGGCGGCAGCCGCCGCCCUUCGAAAAUUUAAGUUUGUUUUUGGAUUGUAAUUUUUUUUAAAAAAAAUUCCUACGUUUUUUGUGGAUAUAUUUUUCAAUCACUUUUUUAUUUUACAUAUAUUAAAUCGCUACAGUAUUUCUUUUACAAAAAAUCCAGAAAAAUGCAAUUCAAACAAAGCUUAAAAUUUUAUUUAUAUCAGAUUUUUUUUUGUAAAACAUUAUAAUUUUAUUAAAUUUUGUAUUAAUGGCAAAAGUUACAUCAUCUGAAAAGUGGAUACUAUAGAUAUGAAAAACAGAUAAAAAUUACACUGUAAAAUUCUAAAAAAUAGUUUAAAAAAUGAGAUAAAAUAAUUGUAACCUCACGAAUAUCUAUGCAUGCUUGUGAUCGUCAAAUCUAUUGAUUAAUUUUUUCAAUUCUGAAUAUUAUGGUGAGAUUUACCAAAUAAACUCAAGAAAUUCCAAAUUUGAUAAAUAAAAUCUAAAAAAAAAGAGUUAGAUCGAAUAAAAGAAAAUAAAAAAAACUACCUAAAGCAUUCAUUAGAAAUCUCUAGGAAAGAAGAAAACUCUCACUAGGUAACACUAAGAGAGGAAAAAAUUCUCACUAGAAAAUUGUAAGAAAUUUUAUUUGUACAAAUGAAAAAAAACUAUAGAUAAAGCUCCUCCUAUGGAGAAAGAUUGAAAAAAUGUGAUUUCUCACCCGAAAGAAUUGAAUGAAGUUUUGGUUAGAGAAUUUUCCUAAAGAGAAACUAAUUCUCUCUUUCUUCUCUCAAGAAUUGGUGGGAGGUUUUUUUUAUGUCUUAUACAGUUCUUUCUUAUUUAUAUCAGAAUUAAGAGAAUGGAAAGUGAUAAUUUGGAGAAAAAAAUUUGAUCAAAGCCUUGAUAAUUGUAAGGUCCAAUUAAUAUUCUAGAUCUUGGCCAUAUUAGCUCGAGCUAAUCUAGGUCAUCCAUCUCUUUUCUAAAGAAAAUUUAUAUUUUUUUUUUGUUGUAAAAGUUAAUGGCCAGAUUUGGACCACAUCAGCAAAACUUGAUUUGAACCAUUAAUUGUACGUAUGCCAGGCAAUCGUGCAUUCUCCUAAAAGUAGCCAAUUGCCAUGGAAGGUUGUAAAUGACCAUCUUAAUCCCUGAAUUAAGAAACAGUCAUCCCAUAAAUCCUCUUCCUCCUUCCACAUUCGAAGACCGCCACCGCAGCUUACUCCACCCUUCAUUCACAAACCCAGUCAACAAUUUUUGCCUACAUAUCAAUCUUGAUUACCUUGCUAUAUCCCCUUACUCUUCCCUUCACGCUAUCUUCUUCCCAUAUUGAAGAAGCAAAACCAUGAUGAAAUAUUGUUUUGGGACAGGAAUAUGUCCAAAAGGGUGAUUUUAGGGCUAUCAAUGGGUCCGGACCCAAAUCUGAUCCAAUAUGCUCGUUUGUUCGAACCUGACCAAAUCCAAAUUAUAUGCAUUCUAAAUGGAUCGGGUAUGGAAUGACAUGUUCCGAUUCAUUCGGAUCCGAUCCAAUUAAUUGGACAUAUAUAAGUAAUAAUUAUAAUAUUCAUUAUAAAUUGUUACUAACCCACAUGUUUUCUCUUUGAAAAAAAAAGGAGGUACUCUAAGAACCAAAUAAUCUUUGGAAUUUUUCUCAUUGUGUAGUUACUAUUUUAUUAACAAAAUUUGUGUAAAAAUAGAAUUCAAAAAUUAUCAAAAAUUUUGUUAUACUAAAUUGAUUUUAUGGAUUGGAUAUAUCCGAAAUAGAUUUGAAUCCAACAGAAACUGGAUCCAGAAAUACAUAUUAAGACUUCAUUAGGUAAAUGGAUUGGGAUCCAAAAUAAUUAUUACCUGUCGGAUUUGUGUUAGCAGUUAUCAAUUUUACCCAGAAUCAACCCGAUGAGUUCUUAUUUUGUUUCUUUUUGGGCAAAGCUCAUACUAAUGGAGAGGGAUGCCAGUCCCAAAUUUAUUACUAAUAGAGAAAGGAAGGGCCAGGCAUUAAUCUAAACUCUAAUACAAGAAAAAGAAGCUAAUGAAAUGGAAAAAGGAGUACUACUCCCGUGCCGAUCUUAAUCUAAUGUUUGGCAAACUAAUACUAUCAACAGAAAUAAUAGCUUUUACUGUGAAGCAUGGUUCAAAGUCUCGGCCGACUCGUCACCGUCUCAGACCCUUCGAUACGUCACUGUGAACGGUUGAAACGGUCGAGUUACACUGAAUCACUCCGAGUCAUCCUAAGUCAACUCGAUUUUUUAUUAUUUUUACUAAUUUUUUAAUUAAUUUUGUUUACCAUAUUUUUUAUAAAUUUUAGAAUAUUAAAUAUUUCAAAAAUUCGCGUCUCACCGAGACUGCAUGCCAAGAUCGAUGUAGAACGGUCUAGGCCGCGACCGCGACUUUGAACCAUGCAGUGAAGGCAAUUCCGACGUAGAAGUGUAAAUCUGCUGCCGAGAGAGAGUUAAAGAAACAAGAAAGUAAACUGAAAAACUUGCUCCACCAUAAAUGUGAUGAACAAAAACCCGAUAACACCUUGAAGCAAAUGACGAAUUUGAACUAGGGCACUACACAUUGGCCAAUUAGCUAAAGCAUUGGUUGAUAAAGGUGCACAGGUAGCUUAGCAUCCACCUGUACCAGUACAUCAUCAGUAGUGCAUUAUUUUCUACCAGCAAAAAAUUUGCCUUGUCAAAUUCUUCAUAAAAUACAAAGACAAUCCUAUCAAUAUUAUGAUGCUAAAUGAGAAAUUUUGGGUUCGAGUCCUUCCAUCUAAAUUAUUUUAAAAAAAGCAAAAAAAAAAAUCCAUGAUGGUCUUGUAGAAGACUCUCUCGAGAUGAAGUUAACCUUUUAGUACUGGUAAUGGUAUUGAGUUUAUAAUGCUUUUCCAUGGUGGAAACCAUCAGACAGCCAUUACCGAUGUCCUCAUGGAAGUUUCUAGCCUAAAAAACUUUGCAGUAUAAGUAUUCUAAUCACUUAUUACAUAAAAUCCUAUCACCAAGGAACGUGCUCCUAACACAGCAAGACAAUUAUCAACCUUCAAAAUAAUCUUAAAAGCGAGCGAAGAGAUUCUUUGAAAAUGUGUUUCGUUCUUUCCACACCAUGAAAACCACAAAGCUAAUAUAGGUAAAAUACAUCUAAUGUGAUCAAGAGGUGCUUUAUCUAGAGACAAAUUAACAAGAAGACAUCAGCAAAGAAGAGAUACAUGUAUGAGGCUAGAAGGGAAUUCUGAAAACUGGGAAGUAAUGCCCGGCAAACUUGAACUGGAAUCGAGCCUUCUGUUAAAGUAUGCGGCAAAGAUGUUGUAAAAACUUGAUAUUUCAAAAGAUUUUUCGUUUGUUUCGGACUAGAGCUUUAUCUGAUAAUAUUUCAUCAGAUAUGGUUGUUUCUAUUUUGAUGGAGAAGUUUUCAAAGAUAAGGUUUUGACUAAAAGGCAAGUUCAAGUGCUAGAUAGGAAGUUAAGCUUCGGAUGGCCUUUUUUCAAAUGACUUGACCUUUUCCAAACUUAUCACCACAGAGGAUAGACCUCUGACUACUUCAAAAGAUAAAGUCUGGCACGAAGCAAGCCUAUUCUCACGGAAAAUUAGCUUUCAAAAUUCUAUCUUCUUCCGUCCCGUGAAGCUUAUAAAUAGAACCAGUUGCCAGGCUCAUUUCGCACUGCAAAAACGAAGUCUACACUUUAAAACACUCUCUACCUCCUCCUUUGUCUAUCCUUCACAACAUUCUUGCUUUUCUGCUGGGUUAGAAACAAGAUUUUUUUUGCUGGUUCUAUGUCCCUCUCACAAAGUAGAGGAAAACUUGUUUAAUUCUGGGGAAACGUUUCAAUACCCUGAAAUAGUUUCUUAGGACAGUGCUUUCUAGCACGACUCAAGUAUCCACGUGUUGACAUUGUUCGGGCCGCUUUAUCCAACAAUCUAAGAAACUAUGGCAUCUAACAAUGUUAGCACCCCACAGCCUUCAUCAGCAACUGUUGCAGUGGCACUACCAUUCGCCAAGCUCUUUCCGGAUGUAUCCAAAAUUGAAAUUUUCGCCAAUGAAAAUUUUAAAAGAUGGCAAGAACGUGUGCACUCUCUACUUGACAUCCAUGGAGUAGCUUAUGCGCUCACUGAAUCUCAACCUUCUGCAACUGCGGAUGCCAAGAGUCAAGAAGCAUGGCAAUAUGCCAAUAAGGUAUGUCGACACACUAUCCUUCAAACACUCUCUAAUGAAUUAUUUGACGUCUACUAUAGCAGCAAAGAAGCCAAGGCAAUUUGGGAAGCCUUGGUAACAAAGUUUACUGCCGAAGAUGCAACCAAGCAAAAAUUCGUCGUAGGAAAAUACAACCAAUGGCAAAUGACUGAUGACAAGGAAAUGAAAAUUCAAAUCACCGAAUAUCAAAUGCUGCUAGAGGACUUGAAAAAUGAAGACAUCAAUCUUCCUGAGAAAUUCGCUGCAAGCAUGCUGAUUGAAAAACUACCAGAGUCAUGGGCCGACUAUAAAAACAACUUGAAACACAAGGAGAAAAAUUAUACCAUGGAUGAGCUCGUGAAGCACAUCCUCAUUGAAGAUUCAAACAAAAGGGAGUUAAGAGCUACCAAGGCAAAGGAGACGGCUUUCAAAGCCAAUCUGGUACAAGGUAAUAAUAAAAGGUACGCCAAUAAAUCCCAGAAUUACAAGCCCAAAAAUUUUAAUUUCAAGCCUAACAAUCCCAACUUUAAGAAAAGGAAAGGCAAUUGAUUUUAUUGUGGAAAACCAGGACAUCAUGCAUUACAAUGCAGACAUAAUAAAGGUGACAGAGCAAAUGGUAAUCUUCCUAAGGUGCACUUAACCGAAGGAGAUGAUAUAAUUGCUGCUGUCAUCUCUCAAGUGAACAUUGCAGCCAAUGUCAAAGAGUGGGUGGUAGACUCUGGGGCUACUCGGCACAUAUGUGCAAAUUGAGAAGCAUUUUCCUCCUAUACUCCUAUAGGGGAUGAUGAGGAAGUUGUCUACCUUGGUGACUCACGAACUGCUAAUGUUCUGGGUAAGGGCAAAAUAUUCUUGAAACUCACUUCAGGAAAAACUUUGGCUCUCAAUGAUGUACUGCAUGUGCCCAACAUUCGGGCAAAUCUGGUUUCCGUAGGAUUGCUAGGAAAAGUUGGAGUGAAAGUGUCAUUUGAAUUUGGAAAGAUCAUAAUGACCAAAAAUAAUGUAUUUGUGGGCAAGGGCUAUUGUAAUCAGGGACUCUUUGUACUUAACAUUGCCAAUGUGAUCAAUGAGAAUGCUUCUUCUUCUGCUUAUAUUAUUGAUUCAAUUUCUUUAUGGCAUGCAAGAUUAGGACAUGUUAAUAUGAGUUAUAUAAAGAAAAUGCAAUCUUGUGGCCUGAUUUCUGGUGUUAAUGAUAAAAUGGAUAAAUGUGAGAUAUGUGCAGAAACUAAAAUGACAAAGAAGACUUGUAUAACUGUUCAAAGAGAAACUGAACUAUUAAAUUUAAUCCACACAGAUUUAGGUGAUUUAAAACAAACUAUGACUAGAGGAGGAAAAAGAUAUUAUGUCACUUUUAUCGAUGACUACUCUAGAUAUACUAAACUUUACUUACUUAGAAAUAAAGAUGAUACUCAUAAUGCCUUUUUAUCUUAUAAGUCUGAGGUAGAAAAUCAACUUAAUAAGAAGAUAAAAAGAAUUAGGUCUGAUAGAGGAGGCAAAUAUUUAGCCCUAGAUAAAUUUUGUGAACAUGAAGGCAUAAUACACGAAACAACACCUCCUUAUUCGCCAGAAUCUAAUGGAGUAGCUGAAAGGAAAAAUAGAACAUUAAAAGAAAUGAUGAAUUCUAUGUUAGUUAGUUCUCAUGCUCCUGAUAAUUUAUGAGGAGAAUCUAUUUUAUCUGCAUGUCAUUUACAAAAUAGGAUACCUCAUAAGAAAACUGGCAAAACUCCUUAUGAGUUAUGGAAAAGUUAUAAACCAAAUUUGAAAUAUUUAAAAGUAUGGGGAUGUCUUGCUAAAGUAUUGUUGCCUGAACCUAAGAAAAGAAAAUUAGGUUCUAAAACUUCUGACUGUAUGUUUAUUGGAUAUGCUGAACAUAGUGCUGCAUACAGAUUUCUUGUUUUAAAAAGUGAUACGCUUGAUUGUAAUACAAUUAUUGAGACAAAGAAUGCUGAAUUCUUUGAACAUAUUUUUCCAUUGUCGAGUAAAAUUUCUCAUGCACCUGUUGAAAUAAAUAGAGAAAUAAUUCCGAAUGAGGAAUUAAGAAGGAGUAAAAGGCCAAGAAAAGAAUUUUCUUAUGGAAAUGAUGUUCAAACUUUUCUUGUUGAUAAUGAUUCUUUAACAUACUCCGAUGCUAUUUCUUCCCCUGAUUGUAAAGUUUGGAAAUAAGCAAUUAAAUCUGAAAUUGAUUCUAUCUUGUCAAAUAAAACUUGGAUUUUGGUGGACUUACCUCCUGGUGCAAAACCUAUUGGUUGCAAAUGAAUUUUUAAAAGAAAAUAUAACUCUGAUGGCUCUAUAGAAAAGUACAAAGCUCGUUUAGUAGCAAAAGGAUUUUCUCAAAAACAAAAUAUUGACUAUUUUGAUACAUUUGCACCAGUAACAAGAAUUGCGUCUAUUCGAGUUUUAUUUGCUUUAGCUUCUAUCCAUAAACUUGUUAUUCAUCAAAUGGAUGUCAAAACAGCAUUUCUAAAUGGUGAUUUAGAGGAAGAAAUUUAUAUGUUUCAACCUGAGGGGUGUAUUGUAUCUGGACAAGAAAAUAAGGUUUGUAAACUAAUUAAAUCUCUUUAUGGCCUAAAACAAGCUCCUAAACAAUGGCAUGAGAAAUUUGAUCAAGUAUUGAUAAAAGAUGAAUUCUUGUCUGUAGAAGUGGAUAAAUGUGUGUAUGUCAAAAUUAUAAAUGAUCAAUAUGUGAUAAUCAGCUUAUAUGUGGAUGACAUGCUUAUAUUUGGUACUAGUCUAGAUAUUGUAAAUAAUACUAAAUAUUUUUUGUCCUCUAAUUUUGAUAUGAAAGACUUGGGUGAAGCCAAAAUGAUAUUGGGUGUUAAAAUCAUAAGGAGAGGUGAUGGUAUAAUGUUGUCACAAGAACAUUAUACAGAGAGACUUCUUAGGAAGUUUGAAAAUUAUGAUGUGACACCUGUGAGUACUCCUUAUGACGCUAACAUUCAAUUGAGGAAAAAUAAUGGCGACCCAAUUGCUCAGUCUAAAUAUGCUCAGAUCAUUGGGAGUCUGAUGCAUCUGAUGAAUUUCACUAGACCGGAUAUAGCUUAUGCUGUAUGUAGACUGAGUAGAUAUACUCAUAAUCCCAAUCGUGAGCAUUGGUUUGCAUUAGUCAGACUAAUGAAAUAUUUGAGAGGUACCAUGAAUUUUGGUAUACUAUAUAGUGGAUUUCCCACUGUAUUAGAGGGUUACAGUGAUGCUAACUGGAUCUCUGAUCCAAAUGAUACAAAAUCCACUAGUGGUUAUGUGUUCACCCUUGGUGGUGGUGCGGUAGCAUGGAAAUCAGCCAGACAGACAAUUAUUGCUCGGUCAACUAGGGAAUCGGAGUUCAUAGCUCUGGAGUUAACUGGCUCUGAGGCAGAUUGGUUAAGAAAUUUCUUAGUCAAUAUUCCUCCUAUUAAGGAUCUGUUGUCUCCUGUGUCUAUACACUGUGACUGUCAAGCGGCUAUUGCUAUUGCAAAAAUAAAUCUUAUAAUUGUAAAAGUCGACACAUGAGAUUAAGACAUGAUGUCGUAAAGCAGCUGCUUAGAGAUGGAAUUAUUUCCAUUGAUUUUGUGAAGUCAGAGUUGAAUUUGGCCGAUCUUCUGACUAAACCUGUAGGAAGAAAAUUAAUUCUUCAAACUACAAGGGAGAUGGGACUUAGGCUAACGGUUGUCAAUAGAGAUGGUAACCCAACCUAUGUGAUUAGUGAUCCCAUGAAAUAGGUUCAUAUGGGUAAUAACAAGUCGAUAUUGACUGUAAAAGCACUUGAAAUUUAAGUCCCUUCAAAAUUAAGUGCUUUGACUGCCAAUAAUUGUGAGGCUGAGUUUAAUACUCUUAAUGAAUUUAUAUUCCUUCAGGAAGGUGUAUUUAGGGCAGUAUACACUUGAUAAAUUCACCUAUAUGUGAGUGGAGUGGGGCCGCUCCUAUAAGAUUUUUUGGCCGAAUCUUUAGAGCUCUCAUGAACAACCAGGCGGGCGCACGACCUAAAUGCGCGAAACUGCAUUGAACAGCAAAAUUAUGGGUUAUAAUGUGAUUGAUAAGAUCUCUGUCAUACAAUAAGAAUUAUUGGUUCAUAGAAAGAUAUGUUUUCACCAAUAAUUCUGUAAGACAUAUUUUAUCAAUUUAAGUUUGGUUCAUAGUCCAAAAGACACCAAACUCAUUACAUUGAGCUCAGACAAAUCCAGCAGAUGUUUAUACUCUUUUGUCCAAAAUCUUUUGAAAUAGGUGGGAGAUUGUUGUAAAAACUUGAUAUUUCAAAAGAUUUUUCGUUUGUUUCGGACUAGAGCUUUAUCUGAUAAUAUUUCAUCAGAUAUGGUUGUUUCUAUUUUGAUGGAGAAGUUUUCAAAGAUAAGGUUUUGACUAAAAGGCAAGUUCAAGUGCUAGAUAGGAAGUUAAGCUUCGGAUGGCCUUUUUUCAAAUGACUUGACCUUUUCCAAACUUAUCACCACAGAGGAUAGACCUCUGACUACUUCAAAAGAUAAAGUCUAGACGAAACAAUCCUAUUCUCACGGAAAAUUAGCUUUCAAAAUUCUAUCUUCUUCCGUCCCGUGAAGCUUAUAAAUAGAACCAGUUGCCAGGCUCAUUUCGCACUGCAAAAACGAAGUCUACACUUUAAAACACUCUUUACCUCCUCCUUUGUCUAUCCUUCACAACAUUCUUGCUUUUCUGCUAGGUUAGAAACAAGAUUUUUUUUGCUGGUUCUACGUCCCUCUCACAAAGUAGAGGAAGACUUGUUUAAUCCUGGGGAAACGUUUCAAUACCCUGAAAUAGUUUCUUAGGACAGUGCUUUCUAGCACGACUCAAGUAUCCACGUGUUGACAUUGUUCGGACCGCUUUAUCCAACAAAAGAUUCAAUCGAAUAGCUACUAGCCAAAUUAUCUGAACAAGAAGAGCAUUAUUUGGAAACCAAAAUAAUACCAUGGACAUGAAUAUCCUCAUCUCAACGGCUAGAGGGAAUUCCAUGUGAUCUUCAAAACAAUGGAAGAAUUCUUCUUCUUUCUCACCUCCCCCCUCCCAAGCCGAAGCUAGAGUAAAACAACCAAAGGUAAAUAGCUGCCACACCAACAUAUCUUCUUGAUUUGAUCAAACCCUUAACUUCAAAAUUGCAGCCACUAUACGAAGAGGAAGCCGGUCAUUCAGCCGAGCAACAUUCCAAUCGAAAUUCAUAAGAAAAACUCAGCUACUAGACAAUAUGGUGGAUAAUCCAUAUCACAAACAACAGCAGAGGGUUCAUCCAAGACCCAUCUAUCAAACCAAAAAUCUAUCAUUCUCUACUCUACGCACCAAUCGAUAUUCACUUCAGCAACUCCUUUAAUGUAAAACAAAUGUUUUCAAACAACUUAACCCACGCAAGAUUGAACUUGCGUUGGAUGAAGAGCAUGAAGAUAUUUCCGCUACGUAAACUUUGCUUAAACUGUUUUUUUUUUCUAAAAUUCUAUCGUAGCUUAAUACUGAAAGCAUGGAUCUAAUCCCUUGACUUUCUCUACUAGAAAACGUAAGUUUUCCCAAGAAGACCAGUGAAUAUGCCUCGAAUUAUCUUUAACAUCUGACAGAAAGCUAUUAUACGUACAUUCAAUAGUUCUAACCACCACUUUUGGAGGAGAUAGCACUUGCAACAAGUACAUAAGAAUUUAAGAAGGGACAUGUUUCAGUAUAAUUAUUUUCCCACUAGCUGAUAAGAAUUUAGAAUGCCAACCAGAAUUCUCCCUCUGAUUUUCGAUACAAUGCUUCAAACAUUACUCUCUUUGAUCUACUCUCAUAUAAAGAAACUACCAAAUAGGAAAAGGGGAGACAUUGAAGUUGAAAUCCCAAAUAGAACAUACCAUACACAUCUAGCAGUCAAGAUCUUAUCGGAACAAAUAAAUAAGCUAUUUGCAACCUUGAUCCACUGAUCAGAUUAGUAGUGAGAAAGAAAGUACUUUAUCGCCUUCAAACACCUCUUCAAGCAAUGUGUAAAAAUGAUUGUAUCAUUAGCAAAAGCAAGAUGCAAAACUUGACCUCCUGAUAAUGUAAAAAACAUCCUCCUCCCAUUUUCAAAUAAAUCAAUCAAUCCAUGACCAAGAUAUUCAGCAGCUAUCACAAAUAAAGUUGGUGAUAAUGGAUCUCCUUGACGACGAACACCACGAAAGGACUUUAAGAAUCCCACAACUCCACUAUUUAAACUAAAUGAAAACCAAUUGUUGGAGACAAUGCGAAACACAAGAUCAUUCUUGUAUUCGCUAAACCAGAAAUCUCAAUAUUUGCAUAAUGAGAGACCAAUUCGCCUAAUCAUAUGCUUUCUCUUAACACAUUCAGUUCCUGGAGUUUCUUAUCAAUCUCAGCCACAAGCUCUUGAGCUAACAACAUGAAAUCAUUAAUUCGUCUUCCCAGAAGAAAUCCCGUCUGCAAUGGGGACAGAAAGAUAAUUUAUGGGAGAAUUGUUGGGUUUGUGAGUCCAACCCAUUUGUUGGGCCAAGUCACAAUUAGAGCCCAAAGCCCAUGGUCAUUUGGUUUCCGAGUCAAUAUUUGACUUGAGAUUAUAGGAAGUGACUAGUCAAUUAACUAAAACUUGAAGUCGCACAAAAGGGAAUAAAUAUCAACCUAUGAGAUUAAUUGCAACGUUAUUAAACUCGAACGGGAUAGCGACUUGGCUAAACUAUUGAAUCAAGGGUCAACUAGUCGGAUCGGUUGGACCGCUUUUAAAAACCCGCUCAUGUCAACAUGUCGUCAUAGUUAUUUUAUUUUUUUUUAUAAAUUAUAGAAAUAUAGAAAUUAACUUCUUAGUUAUAUUCGAUCAAUCAUAGAAAAUGUUCCAAAAAUAUUAGACUUGCAAUCAAAUAUACACCUAAUAAUUAUAUAUAAAAAUGUAAAUUCAUGGCUAAAAUAUGUCCAUUCUCCAAAACUACUUGAAAAACUAAAUUAAAACAAAUUAAUGCAAGUUGGAAUCACUGAUGCUAAAAUGAUAAGAUCAUAUGGAUGAAAACAUUUUGAUUUAGAGAUCAUUCAGGAAAGGGAAUGAUUUUUGUAUUUACACUAAGUGGAUGGCGUUUUCUUAUUCCUAUUAAUAAAUAAGACUCAAAUUAUGUUUGGGAAAAAGAAGCAAGAAAAGUUUGAAAAUUAGGUCAAUCAGUUGAACCGGGUCACUGGUUUAGUCAAUUUUUGACGGUUUUGACCAAAGCGAUUUUGUACUACAAACUAGCUCGGAAAGAUGGUCGAUUCAUAGUCGGACAGGUUGUCAGGACAGAAGAAAUAAGCUAAAUUUAAGAAUACUUUGUAACGGUGACGUUUGGGGAAUAAUUGUAGUGCAGCGAUGACGUUUUGUGAAAUGUUAGUAAUAAAAAGGGAUAAGUGGAACGGUGUCGUAUGAAAGGCUGAGUUAGUUAGAACAGUCACGUGGGUUGUGACAGAAAUUGGGUAGCGGUAGUUAAUUCAUCCUAUUUGUACACGUUUGAUUGGCUAAAGAGGCAUCAGAGAAUAACAAUUGCAUUUUCCCUCUUUUCCUACUUUCUCUUUCUACUCCCCUUACUCUCUGCAACUUCUUUUCAAUCUUCUCUCUCACGAAGCUCUUCUGAGCUUCUCUCCUUUCUCCAAUUCAGGGAUAUGGUCGUAGGAGCCUGACAAGUGAUAUCAGAGCUUGUCGAAUCCUUGGAAUUGAACAGCAAUGGCGGAGAGUACCAGAUUCAAGACUCUGGAAGAACAGAUCAAGAAAUAAGAUUCCAAGCUCCAGGAGGUAAUAGAAAGUCUGUAGGCUUCGCACCACCAACAACAGCAGCUUCGCGAGGAGCUGCGAACAGAACUCGAGGAGAACAACCAGAAAAUGGAAGGUCUGGUAAUAAGAUUGAAACAAGAGUUCAGCGCCUUCAUGAAGAUGAUGCUGGAAAGAGAGAAACUGAAUUAUGAACCAGGAAGAACCCUGAGUGAUCAACCACCUCUGCUGCCAACACCACCGCCUAGUCAGAGGCUGCAAGUUGGACUCGAAGGUAUCAAGAUUGGGAGGAGAGAAACAAACAAGGCACUGAUUCCAAAUCCCCCAAAAAUUGACUUGCCUCUAUUCGCUGGGGAAAGUCCAAGGGAAUGGAUCAGGAAGUGCAACAAGUAUUGCAUAAACUACCAAAUUCCUAAGGAACAGAAGGUAAAGGUGAUCGAGAUGUACUUGGAAGGGAAGGCGGGCAGGUGGUUCCAGGGAGUUAAGGCGGAGAAACCUGAAAUCACGUGGCCAAUGUUUGAAGAAUUAUUGGGCAAAAGGUUCGAUAACAAGGCAGGUAAGGAUAUUGUGGAGGAAUUUAACAAAUUGCACCAGACAGGGAAGGUGGAGGAGUAUCAGGAAAGGUUUGAGGAGCUCAAGGUCCUCAUGACAAUGAAGAAUCCGCAUCUGAGUGAAGAAUAUUUUGUAUCCAGCUUUAUCAGUGGAUUGAAAGAUGAAAUCAAGACUAUGAUCAAAAUGUUGAGGCCUACCUCUCUGUCCGAGACUUUUGAAUUAGCAGUAUUGCAGGAGAAUGCACUGAACCUUGUGAGGGCCUCAAAAUUUAUUAUUUUAAUAAGAAUAUUAUUAUUACUAUUUCAUUUAUUUAUUUUAUUGUUUUAUUUAUUUUAUAUAUAUAUUUUUUGAAAAGUUAAAUAAUAAAUGUGAAUACAAUUAUAUUAUGUAUUUAUAUAAAAUUACAUGAUCUUUAUGUGCAUAGUUCGCAUUUUCAUAAUUAAAUUAUUUUCAUUCGAACAAAAUUCCAAUGUUUGACUGACUAGUGCUAAGUUCAGUUUUUAAGCCGUGUCGAGGAAUUUAACUUUGGUGAAAGAUUAGUCUAUGAGUAGCUUUAAAAGAAUUAUAAAUGAGAUAGAACUAAGAUAGAUAAGAAAAGUGUAGUGGACAAAUUUAAGUGGAACAUAAGCAUUGGUCAAAGUUGGACAAUUUCCGCUAAAACUAAGUUUUAAUCUUGCCAUUGUUUCUUCCAUUUAAUUUCCUCCAAUUCACUUCAAUUUCUUUUCCUUUCUUCCUUAUUAUAGUCGAGAAUCCCCCUCCCUCAUUAGCCAAGAUAAUCACUUUCAUUCCCACUAAAUUUACUCUUAAGACAUUAAUAUGUAAGAGGGGACAUGAUCCUUAAAAUAGGGCUUUAAGUCCUAUCCUUCUCUUCCCAAUAUAAUGCUCCCAAUUUUUCAAACAUUUCAUUCCUUUUCUUCUUCCCUUAUCAGCCGACCACCCUCACACACUCUCUCCCUCUUUCUAGCCAAAGCUCUAUCUUCUUCUUCCUCAACUCAAACUCCAUGACCAACCAACUUCUAGCUUCACUCCAUCUCCUAUUUUUUUUUCUUGUUGUUCUAGCCGAGAGAAUGAGAGGGAGAAACCGAGAGGAGCUCUUUGUGGUGGCUGGCCAGAUUCUUGGAGAAGGAAAGAGAUCUCUUCGUGGUGAAGAUUGGACAUCCUAGCCUUGGGAAAAUCAGCUAGAACCUGAGGUAGUUCUCUAACCCAAAAGCUAGAGCUUUCAUGUUAUCUCUUGAAGAGUGAAUCUUGAAACUUCAUUGGGUUGAAUUCUUGUUGGAUUUGGUUAAUGUACGGGUUCUUGGGAUUCCCACAAAUGUAUGAUCUUGGUUGCUAGCAUGAUUUUUGAUUGGUAUAUGUGUGAAUAUUUGGAGUUGUGGCUUGAACUUUGGAAGGGAAGAACCUUAACAGAAAUCGGGAGAAAGAGGGGGAGAGAGAGAGAGGGGGGACCAAAAUGGUUUCUGUUUUCUCUAUUUUUCUUGGCUGUGUUUUCACAAAUUUAAAGAUUGAUUUGGGAGCUAAAAAUUUAAGCUUUAAGCUGUCAUUUUCUCUUACAAAAAAAAAAAAAAAACCCCUUCAAAUGGCGUUGCAAAAUGGUUCCAAAAGAAGGUUUCAAACCUGGAAAUUUCAAAUGAGAGUACGGUCCGAAAUUUCUGUGAUUAUUCGAAAAUGUUUGGGGCUCAAUUAGCCUUAGCACAUAACAUGAAAGUUGUAGAGAAUUGAGUUUAAAUUAUGCCUGUAAAGUUUCAGCUCAAUCGGAGCUGGGUAUCCUGUGAAAUGACAAAAUUGCCCCUGCUACCCUGUUUCUAUCAGAAAUGAUAAUCAGCCUCUGUAAUUGGUUAGUUUGACCGGGAAUAUUACUGAAUUGGUUGUCAAUGUCUUCUUAAGAAUUGUAGCCUUGUAUCUUAGCUUUGAAAUGGCUUUGGAAUCACCUGAAUCGGAGUUGUGUGUGCUGAGUUAAGAUUAACUGAAUCAGGACUAUCAGUAAUUGUGUCAGUGAGAAUUGAACCAAGAAACUUGGGCUAUUUCGGUAAAUUUGAUCUAGUUAGGGUGAGAACUGGGUUGAGAUGUCUUCACAAGAAUGGUAGAUCUAUGUCUUAGCUUCGAAACGGUAUAUUUUUUGUUUCAAUCCGAUAAGUGUAGCUCGAGUUGUGCUUAAAUUCCUAAAAGGAUUUGGUAAAUGGAUUUACGAACUGUACUUUCUUAUUAGGUGAGUGUGUACGUUAUCACACUCGCCAAAGGACAUGUGACUUUUCACUAUUUGAGUGACCUAUUUACCAAUGUGUUUAUGUGGUCAAUGUGGUUACUGGACGCUUGGUUUGAGGUGAUUAUUGUGAUUAUUGUGGCUGAACCCCUUGAGCAUUUGUUCGGGGUGACUAGCUUGAGGAUUUUAAUUGCUUUCUUGUUUUUGGCUUGAUGAUAGGUAGAGGUCUGGAGGUAUAUUGAGCUUUAGAUGCAUAUAUGUGAUAAAUCUUGCUUUAUUACAUGUUUGGCUUGUUAAUUAUUGCCAGAUAUUCCUUUAUUUGGAUAGAUGAACUUGUGUGUGUUUAAGUAUAGCAAGAGGAAAAAUUUUUGUUUUGAAUCUUUCAUGUUGGCCGAAAUUUUUGGGACAAAAUUUCAGAUUUUUGGAGCUUUUAUUUGAGUUAAAGUUGUGCCAAAAUAAUGGAUUCUAAGUGUAUUUGGGUUGAUUAAACCGAUUGGCUCUUCAAAGGAAAAAAAAGGAGUGAACUUGCUAAAGUGAAAACUGGAAAUCUGCUUUCUGGAACAACAGACCAGUUUCGGAAAAAAAAGUUAUAUUUUCAUGUAUACCACUCCAAAUCGAGUCCCAUUUGUUUUUUUUUUUUGAAACUAGACACAUAAGGUUACAAAUCAUGUAAAUUUCAGGGGCUAACUCAUUUUCUGUGAUUUUUGGUGUUUUUUUAAAGUCCGUUGGAAAAACGGAAUUUUACCUGCCCUGCAUUUUACUGUAGCAGUCUAUUGACGGAAACACUGGGCAAAAUUCGUAUGGAAUGUCAUCAAGGUGUCUUCUACAAAGUUUUAGCCCUUUCAAUUAGGUUUCCAACGGUAUCAACUAUGCAAAUUUUGGACUCGUAAAUAUUAAGUUACGAUUUUCUAAAGAUUUCUACCAUAAACCUCCAGUUUCCUGAUUUUUACAAUAAACAUGAAAACGACUUGAUAUUUUUGCUUGGCCUUGAAUAUGCACGUGAAUGAUCGUGAUUAUACAUGUCUCAGGUGAAUACGAGAACUCCGAAGAACCCGUUUAGCCGCUUAACUUUUUCUCUCUCAUGACUUUUGGUGAGUGUCAAAUGCAUGUUAAGUGUUUAAAUGAAAUGUUUCUCGUACUUGCUAGUUCAUGAGGGUAGAGUGUACUUUACCGCCCUUGUCCUCUAUUUCAUGAAAUUGCUUGCUUGAUAAGUGAUAAGUGUUACAUGUGAAUGUAAAUGAAAGUGUUUUCCGUGAGCAUUGAGCAGCAGAAUGUAUCACACCCUUUUAGGGUUGGAGGUACCGCUCAUCCCGUCUCAAUGCUAUGACCAAAUCUUGUCGAUUGGAGAUUCGUCUCAUCGACCCAAAAGUGAAUGGGGGGGGGAUGCCCCAACCCAUUGGCUAGCCUUGUAACUCGAGCCGGCAAGGGCUUGGUCGAGAAACUUGGUGAACCUUAGGCAGUGUUAUAACUUGAUCCAAAUAAGAUGUCUUGCUAGGUAUCCUUGUUAAGUGAUACCACCUACAAGCUUGUUUGGUUACGGAUCCAAGAGGGUGUCAUGGUGGCUGGAGGUAGUAAGUGGAGUUCUACAUGGAUAACUGUAAAAGUUGACGGAGGGUCAACUACCUGAGCUUGGAUAGCGCGUGGAUUAGCUCCUGAGAGCUCUCGUAUCCUUUUAAUUGUGAUUAAAUUCCUUACUUGCUAAAUGUUUCGAAGUUACUUGUUACUCAAGUUAUUGCUUUAUAUUGUGUCUUUGCUCGCAUGCUUGCAUGUUUUUCCCUUGGCCUCAUUGAGCGUCAGCUCACCCCAAUUUGUUUUCCUUAACAGGUUUGGAAGUGGAAGUUCUGAGGCUUAAUUAGUGACAAUCCCUUUGGGUAGAACUAGUCGUUAUCUUUAAUUCUGGGACUCCAUAGUGUAAAACUUAUGAUUAUUUUGGGCUUUCGGUAUUGUAAAAGUACAUUGAAAAUCUUGGAUGUAAUAUAGAAGCAUGAAUUGUUCUUUUAUAUUUUAGAGUACAUGAAUGUUUUAGUGGAGUAUUUCAUGUGAUAUUGGAGUUUAAUUUGUAAUUUACUUGAAGAUUGUAGUGAGUCCCGGCGAGAGUUGGGCAGGCGGUCUGCCGAACCCUUUGGUUCGCCUUAGGGGGAGGUGGGGUCGUCAUAGUUGGUAUCAGAGCUCUAGGUUUCAGAUCUCUGUAGUGUAUCCUAAGUUCUAAAAGUUGAGGAUGCCACACAGUGGGAUUCGGGUUCGUUUGAAUGUUAAGUGAAAAAGUGAAGUAGUGAGCAAUUGUGGUUUCGAUGGUUAUUAAGAUUCAAUAAUUGAGGAUUAUUGUGCUAGACUAGCAAGAGAGAAGAAGAUUGUAAGAGAUUAAACACUAUUUAAAAGAUAGUAAGUAAAUUUCUUGAAUAAUGGCAUUUGCUAGGAGGCGUUCUUGAUUUAAGGACUUAUGGGGAAAUAAAUGAUUAAUUUGUUUGGGAUAACCUUUAGUGCUUGAUCGUUGCCACUAGAUAUAUUUUAGAGUUGAUAUACCUUGUUCUUGCCUUGGGAACAUGACUGCAAUUAUGUCUUGGAAUUUGGAAGGCCUACCUUUUGUAGUACCUAGUUAAGUAUGUGGUGACUCGUGCUUGUUAAAGGAUAGAUAUUAUGAUGGAAUGCGGAACUUUAAUUGAAAAGAUAGUUGAUGUAGCUCUAAUGUUCAAAAUGAGGUUGGCCUUACCUAAGGGAAUUAAGCCCCCUCGCUCAGUUGCAAGCUAGACUAUGGAGCACGACCUUUUAUACCUUUUGUUUAUGAUAGUUGGGGUGAUGCUUGUGCUUUGGCCUGUAUAUUUUGUUAAGCAUGAUAUUUGUUCCCUUUUGAAGUAUUUGAAUGCUAUAAAUUCUAUACCUGAUCAUGUUGACUUGUUAAUUUGUUUGGUAGUACACAUGCAAAGUUUUAUUUUCAUUAUCGACUCAUGCAAUGACAUGCUCUCAUUUUGGUUGAUUGUUCUCCCUCUUGUAUGACCUUGUUCAUAAAAAAAAAAUUUGAUUUGUAUGUCAUCUGAUCUAUUGACUGUUCCUGUGAAAAUAUGAAGUGUGCUUUGAUUGCUUUUCAAGUUUUAAAUUCCAUUUUUCCUUCAUUGGACAUAUUUAGAUUUAUAUAUUUAUAUAUUUAUUCAUUUACUAGAGUUAUCCAUCUAUUAGUUAUUUAUUUAUUUAUUAUUUUUGGUCCUCCGUAAGAAUUAGAAAUAAAGGGUAGAAAGGAUCGAGACUGUGGGCCAGAGGGGCCAGGCAAACCCCAAAGCGUGGAAGAUAAUUGGGAAAUAAAGUUGAGGGUUAGUGAAUGAUGACAAAGAGAUAACUAGUGGAGUAUAUAUUGAAUUAUUAUAAUUAAAGAAAAAAAAAAGAGUAACUGCAAGGAGGUAAACUAGUGGAUAAGAUAAGCUGUUAUUAAGAAGUUUCAUUUAGUGCGAGUGUGACAAAAUUUAUGGUAAACUUUGGAGAUCUAAGACUUGUUAUAAUUAGGGUUGGAGUUUUGGAUGAGAUAGGUGUUUGAACUCAUUAGAUUUACAAGUUUAUGGUUAAAUUCAAUGAUUCCCGGUUAAUUGAGCUUGGGUUAUGGAAGAUAUUCCUUGGACUUUGAUUACUAGGCUAGAUGCCUCGGGAAUUCUCUAUGCUUCAUAGUGUAAAAUUGUGGUGAAUCUUGGCGGAUAAGAUAAGAGAGCUUGAUAUAUGUUGAUUAUUGGAUAUUGUGGUUAAUUCAUGAGAUUGAUGAAUUAUAAUAGGAAAGUGAUGAUAGGAUCGGUGAAAAUUUUUGGUAGUAUCUCUGCUGGCCGAACAUGUUUAGUUACCUUUAGCCCUGUUUUCUUACAAAUCAUUGGCAAAAUUUUGCUUAAUAUUUUAAACGUUGAUUCUUGAAAAUGAAAUUUGAAGUUGAAAGGAAAUAAUUUUUAAACCUGGUUUUGCUAAAAAUUUUUCCAAAAAGGAACACCGUACAGUUUUAAAAUUUGUGAUGCAUUGGUGUAAUAUAUAUAUAUAUAUAUACACAUAUAUACAUAUACAUAUAUCAUAAAAAAAAUCCAAAAUUUAGUUUCGUUUAUUAGAUUUAAAAGUUGACAAUGGCUCUUUUCACCGUGUAAAAUUUUCAAAUUUUCUUAAAUUCUAUGAGCAUCGGAAAUUUUCCUACGAUAAAUGAAAUGUCAAAUCCAUUCUUGCUUUUCCUAUUUGUUAAAGCUGUAGUUUAAGGUCAAGAUCCAUUUAUUUACAAAUUUAAUCUUGAAAGGAUGCCUUUUGGGACAAAUGUAGAACUUUUGAAUGGUAUAGGACUGGUGAUUUUUGGAUUUAUGGAACUUAAAAAUACAGACAAUUUUAGUUUGAAAUAAAAGUGUCCUUUUAAACCUUACGACCUUAAAUAUGAAAAUAUUGAUCCGAUUUGAACUUGAAAAGAGACACGAGAAAAAGUUAAGAUUAACUCGUCAAAGGAUAUUAAUGGUUCGAAACCGUUAAAAGAGUUAUACAGAUAAUAGAAGGAGAGAUUGAUAGAUAGUUUUGUAUAAUCCAAUGGGAUCCUAGUACUUGAUCUAAGUCGAAACCGAACGAGGAGAUGAGAUCUAUUGGUAUUUUGAUGGAUUGACCUAGUUGAGUAACUAGUAAGGUUCUCCCUUGUGAACUUAAUGAUUACUUUACAUAUAUCUUGUGAUUGGCCCUAUAGGCAUGUUUUAAACUUGUACGAAUAUUUGAACUUCCAAGUUUUGUAUUCAUUAUUUGUGGUGUGACCUGGAUGGAAUGAAAGUCCUUUCAAUUUUUGCUUAACCAUUACUGUGUAUAUAUCCAAUUACUUGUUGUUCCUUUUUACAAAAAAAAAAAUAUUUAUACAAAUGUAUAUACUCUGAACUCGCAUAAAAAUUGAAAAUCAGGCAGAGUUUGGGUUUGGACCUUUUCUUAGAAAUAAGAAUGAAUAUUGGUCGUGAAUUGGAGAGUAAAUAGUUAAGUUUUAUGUGGCAUAAAAGCUAAUUCUCAGAUUAGGUGUGAAGAGUAGAGGCGUUGGACCGAAGUUUAAGUAAAUAUGAACCUGCAUGUCUGCUUAUUUUCUUAAAAGCAUUUUAUUCUCAAAAGUGAUUUGUGGGGUUAAAUGAUUUUUCUUGAUCAAACGUCCAAAUAACAAAUGUUAAACUUCUUACCAAAAGUCGAAUGCAUUUAGAAAUUUUGACUAUCAAGAUCAGAACCAAUUUCUUUUCUUCUUGUCUUCCAUUCGAAUAGCCAUUUUAUUUAUAUAUAUAUAGACCACAAUUUUUCCAAAUGUGUAUUUGAUAUCCUGUUAUUAGUUUGGUUACGAAAGGUACGUGAAAAAGCUUUCCUCGAACAAAUAAGAUUUUCAGUUGGCCGUUUUGGGACAAAAGAAACUGGAUCAUUUCUAAAAUUGUUAAUUUUGAAAAUCGAAUACUAGUAAAUAAUUUUGGACAAUUUGAGUACAACCAUUUGGUGAGUGAAACCUUUUAUAGAAAAUAUAUCUUUGUACUCGAGUUUUGAACUACAUGAUUGAGUCAUUUGAUUUAGUCGAGAAAAAACAAAGUAAAUUUCGAGGACGAAAUUAUUUUAAGGAGGGAAGGAUAUGAGGGCCUCAAAAUUUAUUAUUUUAAUAUUAUUAUUAUUAUUACUAUUUCAUUUAUUUAUUUUAUUGUUUUAUUUAUUUUAUAUAUAUAUUUUUUGAAAAGUUAAAUAAUAAAUGUGAAAAUAACUAUAUUAUGUAUUUAUAUAAAAUUACAUGAUCUUUAUGUGCAUAGUUCACAUUUUCAUAAUUAAAUGAUUUUCAUUCGAACAAAAUUCAAAUGUUUGACCGACUAGUGCUAAGUUUAGUUUUUGAGCCGUGUCGAGGAAUUUAACUUUGGUGAAAGAUUAGUCUAUGAGUAGCUUUUAAAGAAUUAUAAAUGAGAUAGAACUAAGAUAGAUAAGAAAAGUGUAGUGGACAAAUUUAAGUGGAACAUAAGCAUUGGUCAAAGUUGGACAAUUUCCGCUAAAACUAAGUUUUAAUCUUGCCAUUGUUUCUUCCAUUUAAUUUCCUCCAAUUCACUUCAAUUUCUUUUCCUUUCUUCCUUAUUAUAGUCGAGAAUCCCCCUCCCUCAUUAGCCAAGAUAAUCACUUUCAUCCCCACUAAAUUUACUCUUAAGACAUUAAUAUGUAAGAUGGGACAUGAUCCUUAAAAUAGGGCUUUAAGUCCUAUCCUUCUCUUCCCAAUAUAAUGCUAUCAAUUUUUCAAACCUUUAAUUCCUUUUCUUCUUCCCUUAUCAGCCGACCACCCUCACACACUCUCUCCCUCUUUCCAGCCAAAGCUCUAUCUUCUUCUUCCUCAACUCAAACUCCAUGACCAACCAACUUCUAGCUUCACUCCAUCUCCUUUUUUUUUUUUUGUUGUUCUAGCCGAGAGAAUGAGAGGGAGAAACCGAGAGGAGCUCUUUGUGGUGGCUGGCCAGAUUCUUGGAGAAGGAAAGAGAUCUCUUCGUGGUGAAGAUUGGACAUCCUAGCCUUGGGAAAAUCAGUUAGAACCUGAGGUAGUUCUCUAACCCAAAAGCUAGAGCUUUCAUGUUAUCUCUUGAAGAGUGAAUCUUGAAACUUCAUUGGGUUGAAUUCUUGUUGGAUUUGGUUAAUGUACGGGCUCUUGGGAUUCCCACAAAUGGAUGAUCUUUGUUGCUAGCAUGAUUUUUGAUUGGUAUAUGUGUGAAUAUUUGGAGUUGUGGCUUGAACUUUGGAAGGGAAGAACCUUAACAGAAAUCGGGAGAAAGAGGGGGAGAGAGAGAGAGGGGGGACCAAAAUGGUUUCUGUUUUCUCUAUUUUUCUUGGCUGUGUUUUCACAAAUUUAAAGAUUGAUUUGGGAGCUAAAAAUUUAAGCUUUAAGCUGUCAUUUUCUCUUACAAAAAAAAAAAAAAAACCCCUUCAAAUGGCGUUGCAAAAUGGUUCCAAAAGAAGGUUUCAAACCUGGAAAUUUCAAAUGAGAGUACGGUCCGAAAUUUCUGUGAUUAUUCGAAAAUGUUUGGGGCUCAAUUAGCCUUAGCACAUAACAUGAAAGUUGUAGAGAAUUGAGUUUAAAUUAUGCCUGUAAAGUUUCAGCUCAAUCGGAGCUGGGUAUCCUGUGAAAUGACAAAAUUGCCCCUGCUACCCUGUUUCUAUCAGAAAUGAUAAUCAGCCUCUGUAAUUGGUUAGUUUGACCGGGAAUAUUACUGAAUUGGUUGUCAAUGUCUUCUUAAGAAUUGUAGCCUUGUAUCUUAGCUUUGAAAUGGCUUUGGAAUCACCUGAAUCGGAGUUGUGUGUGCUGAGUUAAGAUUAACUGAAUCAGGACUAUCAGUAAUUGUGUCAGUGAGAAUUGAACCAAGAAACUUGGGCUAUUUCGGUAAAUUUGAUCUAGUUAGGGUGAGAACUGGGUUGAGAUGUCUUCACAAGAAUGGUAGAUCUAUGUCUUAGCUUCGAAACGGUAUAUUUUUUGUUUCAAUCCGAUAAGUGUAGCUCGAGUUGUGCUUAAAUUCCUAAAAGGAUUUGGUAAAUGGAUUUACGAACUGUACUUUCUUAUUAGGUGAGUGUGUACGUUAUCACACUCGCCAAAGGACAUGUGACUUUUCACUAUUUGAGUGACCUAUUUACGAAUGUGUUUAUGUGGUCAAUGUGGUUACUGGACGCUUGGUUUGAGGUGAUUAUUGUGAUUAUUGUGGCUGAACCCCUUGAGCAUUUGUUCGGGGUGACUAGCUUGAGGAUUUUAAUUGCUUUCUUGUUUUUGGCUUGAUGAUAGGUAGAGGUCUGGAGGUAUAUUGAGCUUUAGAUGCAUAUAUGUGAUAAAUCUUGCUUUAUUACAUGUUUGGCUUGUUAAUUAUUGCCAGAUAUUCCUUAAUUUGGAUAGAUGAACUUGUGUGUGUUUAAGUAUAGCAAGAGGAAAAAUUUUUGUUUUGAAUCUUUCAUGUUGGCCGAAAUUUUUGGGACAAAAUUUCAGAUUUUUGGAGCUUUUAUUUGAGUUAAAGUUGUGCCAAAAUAAUGGAUUUUAAGUGUAUUUGGGUUGAUUAAACCGAUUGGCUCUUCAAAGGAAAAAAAAGGAGUGAACUUGCUAAAGUGAAAACUGGAAAUCUGCUUUCUGGAAUAUCAGACCAGUUUCGGAAAAAAAAAAGUUAUAUUUUCAUGUAUACCACUCCAAAUCGAGUCCCAUCUGUUUUUUUUUUUAAACUAGACACAUAAGGUUACAAACCAUGUAAAUUUCAGGAGCUAACUCAUUUUCUGUGAUUUUUGGUGUUUUUUUAAAGUUCGUUGGAAAAAUGGAAUUUUACCUGCCCUGCAUUUUACUGUAGCAGUCUAUUGACGGAAACACUGGGCAAAAUCCGUAUGGAAUCUCAUCAAGGUGUCUUCUACAAAGUUUUAGUCCUUUCAAUUAGGUUUCCAACGGUAUCAACUAUGCAAAUUUUGGACUCGUAAAUAUUAAGUUACGAUUUUCUAAAGAUUUCUACCAUAAACCUCCAGUUUCCUGAUUUUUACAAUAAACAUGAAAACGACUUGAUAUUUUUGCUUGGCCUUGAAUAUGCACGUGAAUGAUCGUGAUUAUACAUGUCUCAGGUGAAUACGAGGACUCCGAAGAACCCGUUUAGCCGCUUAACUUUUUCUCUCUCAUGACUUUUGGUGAGUGUCAAGUGCAUGUUAAGUGUUUAAAUGAAAUGUUUCUCGUACUUGCUAGUUAAUGAGGGUAGGGUGUACUUUACCGCCCUUGUCCUCUCUUUCAUGAAAUUACUUGCUUGAUAAGUGAUAAGUUUUAUAUGUGAAUGUAAAUGAAAGUGUUUUCCGUGAGCAUUGAGCGGCAGAAUGUAUCACGCCCUUUUAGGGUGGGAGGUACCGCUCAUCCCAUCUCAAUGCUAUGACCAAAUCUUGUCGAUUGGAGCUUCGUCUCAUCGACCCAAAAGUGAAUGGGGGGGGGGACGCCCCAACCCAUUGGCUAGCCUUGUAACUCGAGCCGGCAAGGGUUUGGUCGAGAAACUUGGUGAACCUUGGGCAGUGUUAUAGCUUGAUCCAAAUAAGGGGUCUUGCUAGGUAUACUUGUUAAGUGAUACCACCUACAUGCUUGUUUGGUUACGGAUCCAAGAGGGUGUCAUGGUGGCUGGAGGUAGUAAGUGGAGUUCUACAUGGAUAACUGUGAAAGUUGACGGAGGGUCAACUACCUGAGCUUGGAUCGCGCGUGGAUUAGCUCCUGAGAGCUCCCGUAUCUUUUUAAUUGUGAUUAAAUUCCUUACUUGCUAAAUGUUUCGAAUUUACUUGUUACUCAAGUUAUUGCUUUAUAUUGUGUCUUUGCUCGCAUGCUUGCAUGUUUUUCCCUUGGCCUCCCUGAGCGUUUACUCACCCCAAUUUGUUUUCCUUAACAGGUUUGGAAGUGGAAGUUCUGAGGCUUAAUUAGUGACAAUCCCUUUGGGUAGAACUAGUCGUUAUCUUUAAUUCUGGGACUCCAUAGUAUAAAACUUAUGAUUAUUUUGGGCUUUCGGUAUUGUAAAAGUACAUUGAAAAUCUUGGAUGUAAUAUUUAAGCAUGAAUCGUUCUUUUAUAUUUUAGAGUACAUGAAUGUUUUAGUGGAGUAUUUCAUGUGAUAUUGGAGUUUAAUUUGUUAUUUACUUGAAGAUUGUAGUGAGUCCCGGCGAGAGUUGGGCAGGCGGUCUGUCGAACCCUUUGGUUCGCCUUAGGGGGAGGUGGGGUCGUCACAAACUUACAGUCCAGAAAUUCUAAGGAAAAUGUAAGGACUACCUCAGAGAACAGGUUUGGAAUCUCUAAAAGUUCAUCUCAGCAGUUGAACCACAUUUCACACUACAAAGUAUCCCCUAUUAGUUCAUUCAGAAAUACUCAUUUCAAAGGUAGACCUGUUUCAACUACUGAAGCAGAACCUAGAAGAAUUUCAGCACAAGAAAUACAAUAUAGAAGGAACCAUGGCCUAUGCUUCAAGUGUGGAGAGAAGUUUGGGCAGGGACAUCAAUGCAAACUGGGCCAUCUGAACUUCCUGAUCAAUGAUGAGGGAGAAGAAUCUGAAUUCGAAGAUGCACUGGGAGAGCAGGAUGAAACCACAGGGAAUCCAGGGCAGAUCAUGGAGAUGUCCUUACACACACUGUCCGAGGCACUUAAACGAAAAACAAUCACACUGGUAGGAAGACUAGAUGGGGAAGAGAUGCUGAUACUGGUAGACACAGGCAGUUCUGAUAGUUACAUAAGCAGUGAGAAGGUAAUUGCCUUUGAUAUUCCUUAUAAAUUAGUCAAUCCUUUUUCUGUGGUUUUUGGGAAUGGGGCUUGUGUAACCAGCAAGGCCAUAUGUCCUAAGGUGGUAUGGGGAAUUAAUCAGCAUAGGUUCUGUUAUGACCUCAAAGUGAUGGAUCUAAGUGGAUGGGACAUAGUGCUUGGGGUGGACUGGAUGACUCAGUUCAGCCCUAUCACUUUUGAUUUCCACAAGCUGACUAUCUUCUUGCAAGAUCAAGGGGAAGCAGUGCACUUGCAUGGCCAAGCUGAAGACUGUGACUUAGAUCUAAUCAGAGGAGGCGACCUGAGGACAUUCAUUGAAUACAAGAGACAGUUGUGCAUGUCCAUGAGAUUGGGACAGGGUGAUCUGAUGCAGGGAAAUGACAUUCCUGCAGGAGUCCAGGGCAUCAUUGAAGAAUUUACAGAUGUGUUUGUAGCACCCUCUGAGUUACCACCAGCAAGAAGUAUAGAUCAUGAGAUACCACUAAAACCUGAGGUUCAACCCUUCAAGAUGAAGCCGUACAGAUACCCUCACUCCCAAAAGAGGGAAAUUGAACAACAGGUUAAGGAUAUGUUGCAGCAUGGAAUCAUAGUGCACAGUAACAAUCCUUUUGCCUCCCCAGUUCUGCUUGUCAAGAAGAAGGAAGGGACCUGGCAUUUUUGUGUAGACUACAGGAGACUGAACGAGAUGACCAUCAAGGACAGGUACCCCAUACCUAAUGUAGACGAACUGAUCAAUGAGCUAGCAGGAUCCAAAUACAAAUCAAAGUUGGACCUCACUUCAGGCUACCACCAAAUCAGGGUCAAGCCUAAGGAUACAUACAAAACUGCAUUUCAAACACACUGUGGCCACUAUGAGUUCUUGGUAAUGCCUUUUGUGUUAAGAAACGCUCCAGCCACAUUUCAGUCCCUCAUGAAUCAGAUAUUCCAGCCUUACCUGAGAAAAUUUGUUCUAGUUUUUUUUGAUGAUAUCCUAAUCUAUAGUCCUACAUUAGAGCUACACCAGCAACAUCUGAGGAUAGUCUUGACAGUAUUGAGGGAACAUAAGUUGUUUGUAAAACGUUCCAAGUGCUCGUUUGCACAGUCAACAGUGGACUACCUUCGUCACACUAUCAGAGAGAGUGAUUCAAGAAUAACCACACAAUGAAACGUAAUUUACCACAAACUUCAGAUACCAAAAGUAAUCAUGAAAUGCUUCAUGAUCCAAUCAACGCGAGAAUAAGUAAUUUUGACAGAAUAAUUAUUGACUUUCUUCAUCUCUUUAGUAUUAUUUAUUUUUCCAAUUUAUUGUUUAGAACAAAAAAAAAUAAGUCAAUUCAAGAUAUGAACAUAUGAAAGGCUCAACAGCUGGAUAAUACUCAUUAACGACAGAGGCUAUUAAUCCAAAAGGACUAAAAUGGAGUAAACUUUAUAUUCCAAAAGGCAUUUAUGGUGGGGGAAAAAGAUAGAAUCUAAUAUGGCAUUAUACGUCCUUUCAAACCUUAAUAACGAUUACAAAUAAUUCAUAAAGACGCCAAGACUUUUGAAAGGAUUUAGAUUUCGUUGCAAUUUAGCCUUUACUCAUGAAAGGGAUGGUUGGAUAGGAAUUCUGUAGCAUGCCGGUAGCAGCCAUCCAAAAAGAACUAGUCCAUUUGUGCACAAAAUAAAGUGAAUAUAAUGUGUGUGUGUGUGUGUAUUAAAAAGUAAUCAAUUGGGUUAGAUUUGAUGAUUUGUGAUUACAGUGUAAUCUUUUAUAUAUAUUUUGUAACUCUAUUAAAUCUAAUAUUUUUCAAAUCAAAUAUAUCUGUGACAUAUUCAAUGUAUUUUUUGACAUUGGUGCAGAUUACUUUGUUAAACAAAUCGUGCUGGAUGAUGUAAUGGCUGCUUCAGCAAGAAAUGAAGAGGGAGUUAGCAGAAAGGGAAAGAUGGGAGAGAGACUUGAGAGGGAAGAUAGAAAAUGCGGAAAAUGAGAGAACUGAAUUUGUUGUAUCUGAUAGCAUGCCCCUCACGUCUUACCUUUAGGCUUAUUCAUACAGGAUUCAUCCUCUAGAUCCUUCCAUGCCUUAGCUAUAACAGAAUGCUUAACAGAACGAUCACGCAUGCAUGCAUGCAGUGCAGUAACUAACUAGCCAACUAACUCUCUGAUAUGCUAACUGACUUCCAGAAAUGGAAACCAUGGCCACUACAUUAUUAGCUAUAAAUAACUAGGGAAUAUCUAAAAUAUCUAGAGGAAAUAUCCAGAAUAUCUAGGAUCAUUACAAUACCUCCCCCUCAAGAAUCCUAGUCACUAGGAUUGAGUUGGAAAUCUGGAAAUUGUGAUUGUAUCACUGUGAUAUCCUCCCAAGUUGAGUCUUCAGUGCCUAGGUUCAACCAUUUGAUCAACACUUGAGUUACCUUGUGUCUUUUCCUCAUGAUUUCACGAGUAGCAAUAACACUUUCAAGGGCAAUUUUAACCUGUCCAUCCGUAGUAGUCAAAGGUAGUUCUUGAGUAACUACAUGAUUCUUGGCUGAGGGCUUGAGUAAGGAGACAUGGAAGGUAGGGUGAAUCAAGGAGCCAGCAGGUAAUUCCAACCUAUAGGCUGCAUUUCCCACCUUCUAAAGAACUUUGUAGGGUCCAUAAUAUUUUGAAGACAAUUUCAGAUUCUUUUUGACUGCCACAGACGAUUGUCUAUAAGGUUGCAGUUUCAAAUAGACCCAAUCUCCCACUUGGAAACUCCUUUCACUCCUGUCCUUGUCCGCAAACUGUUUCAUUCGAUUUUGUGCUUUGAUUAAAUUCCCCUUCAGCAGCUCGUUCCAUUUUCUUCUGUCCCCUAGCCAUUGCUCCACAGCCGCUACUGGAGUCCCCAAGGCAUUGAUGCCUAGUUGAGAUGGUGGAUAUCCAUACAGAGCCUCGAAGGGAGUCAUUUUUAAGGCUGUGUGAUGGUUGGUGUUGUACCACCAUUCAGCAGCAGCUAGCAAGGACUUCCAUUUAUGGGGUUGCUGGAAACACAGGCACCUCAAAUUUGUCUCCACACAUCUGUUCAACCUUUUUGUCUGUCCAUCUGUUUGGGGAUGGUAAGCAAUAGAGUAGUGCAGCUCCGUGCCUAACUUCCCAAACAACUCCUGCCAGAACAAGCUGGUAAAUAGCCUAUCCCUAUCAGAUACAAUGCUCAGGGGUAAUCCAUGUAGCUUAUAGAUGUUUUCAAAAUACAUGUUAGCCACCGACUGUGCAGUAUACUUCGAUGGUAAUGCUAGGAGGUGAAAGUACUUGGUGAACCUAUCAAUGACAACUAGCAUUCCCUCAUACCCCUGAGAUUUAGGUAACCCCUCAAUGAAAUCCAUUGAAAUAUGCUGCCAUGCUUGUUCAGGAAUAGGUAGAGAUUGUAGCAGUCCUGGUGUCUUGCAAUUUUCUACCUUGCUCCUCUUGCAAACAUCACACUGUUGUACCCAUUGUUCUACUUCUCUUUUCAUUCCUGGCCAGAAGAAUGGUCCCUUUAAUCUUUGGUAGGUCCCCAGGUUGCCUGAAUGACCCCCAAUGAGAGAGUCAUGAAAGCAGGCUAUCAGUUUCUGUCUCAAGUUCCCUGAGGAACCAACGUACAUCCUGCCUUUAUACCUGAGUAAAUUCCCAGCAAAAGAAUAAUUUGGGAGAGAAUCAGGUGAAGUAGUCAGGCCUUCAGUCAACUUAGUCAUAGAACCAUCCCCUUGGUAACUCUCUAGGACUUCAGACAGCCAUGCCGGUUUCAUGACUGAGAUGCUAUGUGUAAAGCUGUCCUCUUCAUAGCAUCUUCUAGACAGUGCAUCAGCCACCAGGUUUUCAUUUCCUUUCUUGUACUAUAUUUCAUAAUCUAGGCCCAAUAACUUAGUGAGCCAUUUCUAUUGUAGGGGAGUAGUUAUCUUCUGUUCCAAUAGGUACUUUAAGCUCUGGUGAUCUGUCUUGAUGAUGAAGUGGCUUCCCAACAGGUAAUGCCUCCACUUGGACACAGCUGUAAUAAGGGACAACAACUCUUUUUCGUAUAUGGACAGUCCCAAAUUCUUAGGUCCCAGAGCUUGACUGAGAUAGGCAAUAGGCCUCUCUUGUUGCAUUAGGACUGCACCAAUAGCCUUCUGACUAGCAUAUGUUUCUAGAGAAAAAGGUAAAGAAAAGUUAGGAAGUGUUAGGACUGGUGUGCUACUCAUCAGCUACUUCAGUUUUUGAAAGGCUAGCUCAGCUUGUUCAUUCCAGUGGAAGUUUUCUUUCUUCAAUAACUCAGUGAGUGGUUUGGCAAUGAGUCCAUAUCCCCUCACAAACCUCCUGUAGUACCCUGUGAGUCCCAAAAAUCCUCUCAAUGCCUUUAGUGAUGUAGGGGUAGGCCAUUCUACCAUGCUCUUGAUUUUUGAGGGAUCUGCCUGCAUUCCAUCUCCACUGAUAAUAUGCCCCAAAUAUUCUAGUUGAGACUGUCCAAAGAUGCAUUUGGAAAGCUUGGCAAAUAGGGAGUGAGCUUUGAGUGUUUCUAGGAAAGUUUUGAGGUGCAAAAGGUGAGUGUCUGGAUCUGAACUGUAUAUGAGGAUGUCAUCAAAGAAAACUAACACAAACUUCCUCAGGUAAGGUUCAAAAACAUGGUUCAUCAGGCUUUGAAAUGUUACAGGUGCAUUGGUAAGACCAAAUGGCAUAACAGUGAACUCAUACAAUCCUAGGUAAGUUUUGAAGGCAGAUUUUGGGAUGUUAGUCUGGAGCAUUCUGAUCUGAUGGUAUCCAGCCCUUAAAUCAAUCUUGGAGAAGAUCUUAGCUCCAAACAGUUCAUCGAGUAAAUCAUCAAUGAUAGGUAUUGAAAAUUUAUCUUUGAUAGUCAGGUCAUUUAGUUGUCUGUAAUCAACACAAAAUCUCCAAGUUCCAUCUUUUUUUAACUAAUAGAACUGGAGAGGCAAACGGGCUAUGGCUAAACUGAAUAAUGCCACUACUGAGCAUGUCCUUCACUUGCCUUUCUAUUUCAUUUUUUUGGUUGUGAGGGUACCUAUAAGAUGCUAGCUUGAAUGGUUUGGCAUUUGGCACUAAGGGAAUUUGAUGGUCAUAGUUUUUGGAAGGGGGAAGGGAUUGUGGUUCUCCAAAUACAUCUUUGUAGUCUUCAAGUAAAGCACUUAGGGACUGUUGAAAACCAAUGUCUAGAUGAGUUACAGUGUUUACCUGAGUUCCCUUCAUUUUCAGUCUGCACGCGUGUUUCCAGAUUCUGGUGCUCAACCCCUCCUUCUCAGUACUAUUACUAGGAAGUUUGAGAACAGUCUCCUUAGACUCUCCAUGUAACAAGAUCCUCUCCCCUUUCUCAUCAAAGGACAUGUUCGGCUGCCUAAAGUCAAAGGUGAUGGGGCUGUGUGCAGCCAUCCAGUCUACUCCUAUAAUCACAUCAUAUGGCUCCAAGUUAAUGACAAACAUAUCAUGAGUGAACUGUUUACCUUGCAUUUCCCUGCUCAUAUUCGGAAUCAUCUUGUGACAAGUCAAGUGCUCCCCAUUAGCCAUCCUGACCCUGAAAGGCUUGAUAGAUUGGACCAGUUCUGGAUAGAGUUGUGCCACUGCCCCUUUGAUAAAAUUGAGUGCUUCCCCCAUCCACCAGGAUUGAUAGUGGAGUUUCUUUGAUCCUCCCCUGUAGCUUGAUGGUGUUGUAAGUCAUCUUCCCAGUCAGCGCAUGUAUCUCCAUUUCUACCCCCUUGGCCGACUGUGCUCCUUGGUACUCGAUCAUCUCCCCUUCUACCAGAUCCUCAGGACUAUCUUCUACUGCUACAAUCAGGUGGAUUUCCUUUUGCUUGCAUUGGUGGCCUGGUCCGAACUUUUCCCCACACCUAUAGCAAAGAUGGUGCUCCCUCCUGUACUGCAGCUCUACUGGUGUGAUUUUCUUGAAGUUCUGAGGAGUCUGUUUCUUUACAACAUUGGCAAUAAUAGGUUUGGUAUGUGGAAUGGUGUACUGCGCAACAGACUGUGGAGUAUUCCCCAAAGAGAGGGAUUUCGGAUGAUGUUUGUGCUUCUUGUGGUAGGCUUCAAAGGCAUUCUCUUGCAACCUGGCCAACUCAAAUGCUUUGGAUAAUGUCUUGGGGUCAUGAGUCUUCACCAUUGAUCUCAAUUCAUCUAGUAGUCUACUCAAAAAACAUGAAAUGUAAUAGUUUUCUGGAAGGUGUGGGGCUCGAAUCAUUACCUCUGAUAGUAGUUCCUCAAAUUUUUCUUGGUAGGCUAGGACUGUGGAGGAGAGUUGUAACUUAUUGAAUUCCUCCAUUGGAUCCAUUUGUCCCAAUGUUCCAAACCGCUUGCACAACUCUCCAGAGAACUCCAUCCAAUCCAUCUUGUUACCCCUAGUAGACUUGAAUCCCUGAUACCACACUUCAGCUUUACCUUCUAAAUGGAAUUCUGUCAGCUCCAUCCAUUGCUCCAUAGGAAUAUGCAGAAGCUGGAAAUACUUCUGAAGUUUUCUGAUCUACUUCCUAGGAUUGUUUCCUCUGAACACUGGUAUUUCCAGCUUAGGUGCACUAGCGUAGAAUGAACUUCUGACAUUCCUCUCUCCUUGCUCUCGAGUCACCAUAUCUGAGCUCCUGGAGUGACUUCCCUCUGGCGAUCCCAAUAUUCCUUUCUCAGGAUUUCCUCGGUUCAAACUGGAGAGCUGUUGAGAAAUGGCUACCAUGAAUGCAUCUAACUUAUUGUUCAGCUCCAUGCUUACUGCAUCCAACCUUUCCUCCAUGAUCUGUUUGUUUGCGGCCAUGGAUUCCAAAAUUCCUUGGAGUCUGCUGUCUUGCUUGCGUAGCUGUUCCUCCAUGGUCUUCAUUCGAGUUUCAUCUGCCAUUGUUAUAUUGAUUUCAGCUUCUUAGUCCAAGGACCGGAAGCUCUGAUACCACUUGUAAUGGCUGCUUCAGCAAGAAAUGAAGAGGGAGUUAGCAGAAAGGGAAAGAGGGGAGAGAGACUUGAGAGGGAAGAUAGAAAAUGCAGAAAAUGAGAGAACUGAAUUUGUUGUAUCUGAUAGCAUGCCCCUCACGUCUUACCUUUAGGCUUAUUUAUACAGGAUUCAUCCUCUAGAUCCUUCCAUUCCUUAGAUAUAACAGAAUGCUUAACAGAACGAUCACGCAUUCAUGCAUGCAGUGCAGUAACUAACUAGCCAACUAACUCUCUGAUAUGCUAACUAAUUAACUUCCAGAAAUGGAAACCAUGCCCACUACAUUAUUAGCUGUAAAUAACUAGGGAAUAUCUAAAAUAUCUAGAGGAAAUAUCUAGAAUAUCUAGGAUCAUUACAGAUGAUUUCUAACUAGUUUAUUAAUAAUAUUGACUUCUUUUUUAUAAAAAAAAAAGUAAUCAAGGAAAAAUGGGGAAUCUAACAGUCUAAUGCUUGCUUGCUUCUUUUUAUUGUUUGAAGUGAUUUUGGUGUCUUGCUAGUUUGUAAUUGAUUCAAGGUGGAUAGAAAGAAAUUGUUCAGAAAUGUGAAAUAGGGUAAGUAUCCCAGUUUGGUUUUGGAUUUUGAAAGUUAUAAAAACGAAAAUGAUGUCAGUGAUCCUCUUCAAUUUUUUAUCACCAACCAAAGCAAUGAUUUUUAAGAAUAAAAAUAACAUUUGAAAUCAAAUCACAAUCUUUAAAGAGAGGAAAUAGAUGGUUGAGGGCGAAAUGGCCAUGGUGAUGAAUUGACAUCAUGGAAAUCAAACUGUGCUUAGUAACGCCAAAACGUCACCAUAACUCACAAAUGAGUGACUAAUGUGAUGCCACAUUAAGGCUUCAAUCUACUAUUACAAGUUUUACUAUGGACUAAAUUGUGUGGUAAAUUUAGUACUACUAAUAUUAAGUUUAUGUUUAAAACAAGUAAAUUUCAAUAAUUUAGGUAACUUACUCUUUAAAUAACAAAUUUUACUAAAAUUUUAACAAAAAUUGCCACUUUUUCUUCGAAACUUACCAUUUUCUAUAUAAAACUUGCUAAUUUUUCAAGUAAAACAUAUGAUUUUAUUAGCAAAUCAUACCACUUUUUUUAGUAAAAUUCACUAAAUGGUAAGUUUUCAAAAAAAAACUUACCAUUUUUAAUGCAAAUCUUACUACUUUUUUCAAGCAAAAUGUAUGAUUUUAUUAACAAAUGUUACCAUAAUUUUCGUAAAGUUUACUAAAUCAUUAACAAAUCUUACCAUCUUUCAAGCAAAACUUAUCAUUUUCUAUACAAAACUUACUACUUUUUGGAGGCAGAACUUAUGACUUGAUUAUUAAAUCUUACCUUUAUUUAGGAAUAAUUUUGGAAACCUCCCCUGAGCUUUAUGCUAAUAUCACAUAACACUUCUAAAUUUUAAAAAUAUCACUAGCCUUCCCUUGAGUCAUAUUUUUUUGUAAGAAUUUGACCCCUAUAUCAAAAAUAAAUACUCCUAACAUAAUUUUUUAAAGGAAAAUAGAUAUAUUUUUCUUCUAGUUUUACACUUUUGUGUUGUCUUAUUUUUUAAUUUUCUGCCAAAUUGAUUUUAAGAUAAGAUUUGAAUGAGAAAGACUUAAAAUGAUUUUUUUUAAGGGGAGAAGGUGUUAAGUGCUAAAGCAAUUGCCAGAAUAGCGAUUUUUUUAUUUUUGGUUUAUCCUAGAUUUUUUCCUAAAUAGUUAUUAGAAUAACAAAGAAAUUAAAUUUAAUAUAAGAUUGGUAUAGGAAGAUCAAAGAAGGCAGAGAAGACAGAUAUUUGAAUACAAAACUAAUGGUUUUAGUAGGCAUUUCUAUGAAUUCAGAUUUAUUAUCUUCUAAUUUUUGUGGCAUAAAUAAUUAUUUGAAUAACAAUUAAAAUUUGAGAUAAGGUUGCCAUAGGAAGCUUGGGAGGGGGAGAAGGGUAUUAAAGGCAAAAAAUGAUUAUUUUAGUAGACUUUUCUUAAUAAUUUCCUUUUGUUCAAAUUUUUUUGCACAAGUAAUUGUUAAAAUAGUAAAGUUAAAUUAAUAAAUGCUUGGCAUAAUACUACAAAAUAAAGGGGUGUUUAAGUGAAAAUAGUAAUUGAUAGAGCAAUGUUUGGGCAUCUUAUGCGCUGUUAUGUGGUCAUAAUUUUGGCUACUUAUUAUGCUAAGUAUUGAGGUUUUGUUCAUGUUUGAUAUUUGUGUAAAUUGUAGGCAGUUGGUGUCAAAAAGUGAUCUCUGAAGGUGAAUUUCCAGAAGACUUUUAUUUCAGGGCGUGCCCACGCCAAAAACUGUUCAAGAGACGCCUCAAAGUCGGACCAUGGGACUAACUAACUAACUAAACUCAUCCUUAUUCCUGCGGGAUGCGGUUGGAAGUGCGUCAAAACAAAAAGGCAGCAAUUUCCAGUGGAUUUGGUAACAACCAAUAAGGAGGAUGCGGGGAAUUGGGGAAAUAUUUGGAAAAGCUACUAUUUUCUCGUGGGCCAAGAAGGGUGUAACAGACAAGUAGUUUUAGUCUUGCAGAUAGCUUUUUAGUUUCUUACGUUUUCUUUGGAGGGCUAUCUUCUGGGAACUGGCAAAAAGCCAGAUUCAUGUGGGAUUAGGAAAUUAUCUUUAGUUUUGUUAUCCCUUGGUAGAGGAUUUGCUCUCUGUUUUGUUAUUACAAUUUUCUUUAGACCUUUGCUUUACUUUUUCCGAAUGGACACAAAACAAAAAAAGAAGCAAGACAUUUUCUUUUGUUUCUUCAUCACUUCAUCUUUCCCAACUCUCUUGUGAUUGUGUGGAUGGAAUCAAUCAAAUCCCGCGAGAUUGAUAUGAUGAGGAGCGGUUAGGUUUCUCUUCUACCCAAAGGUCGACGCGAAGGCACGGUCCAUAACAUCUGUGAGAUUUAAUCGAACUUUCACUAGUUCUUCCAGUCCGUUACUAUUCGUGUGUUUCCUGGAUUAACUGUUUAUGAUUAUUUUAUUAAUUGAGUAUCAACGGCAGGACAUUUAAUUUAAUCUAAUAGCCUACUGUCACGUUAACUAAAUUGAAUCCGUAAUUAUUCGUUUAGUUGAUAACUAGUGACAACCAUCAUAAUUGGCUUUAUGUUAGGGAAACGUAAGAUCUAGUUUAAAUAAACCCUCUUAGCGUGUUUAUUGGUUAGGGUUGGGUUUUUCUAGUUUUAAUGCAACCGGAUAAUUAAAUUUAUUGGUUAGGGUUGGGUUUUUCUAGUUUUAAUGCAACCGGAUAAUUAAAUUCCUACGAUCGUACCUAAAGCUGUUUUCUAGUUAGAGAAACAGUCAACGGUCGUACCUUGGCUGUCGAAAAAGUAAGGAAGAACUGGCUGUCAGAGCUUGUUGAUAGCUAUAACUAACCUAGUGACGAAUGAAUGAAAUAUCUUUGUAUCGAUGAUCAUUUAAUUGGACCGCGCCUAAAAAGUUGAUCCUUUGGGUAGAAUUUUACUAAUUGCUAUUUUUAGUGAAUUGUACUUGGUGAGUUAGCUUUUGAAUUUUGUUUAUUCUAUUUUCUUUUUCAGUCCAUUAAAUAUUCCCCAAUUUUGUUCUAUUGACUUGGAAAGAAACAAGUUCCUACCCGUUCCCUGUGAAAUCGACCGUACUUGCCAUUGUAUGCAAAUUUAAUAUUUUUGUAGACAAAUCUUGUAUAUCGAAUCAAGCAUACUCUUUGGGGAGACAGGGUGAAUAUAGUAACCCAUUGCACAUCUAGAGUCACUGCUCCAGUACUUAGAUUUGUUCUAUAAUUAAUUAUGGUAGUAAUUAGGACUUUUUAGUAAUUAUUAUUGCACAGGUUCGACACCUGUCAAUUUUUGGCGGCAUUGCUGGGAAGAAAGUGUCGACAAACUGGUGAACAUGGGAUUCUGGCUUACAAGGCAUGCCCACGCCUUGCAAGACGCCCUUUCAAAAAAAAAAAGAAAGACAAAAAGAGAGAGAAAAGAGUUUCGACACUUGCGCAGUAGGUAUAGCAAAUGGAAAUGCCUUGCUUGUGGAAUUUCUCCAGUAAAGCGUUGAGGUUAUGUAGUAGAUAUCGGACAUUCUCUUGACAUAGUGCACCCUCUCUUUACCUCCUUAUCCCGCCUUUCACCCAAGCCCUAUUACAACCCUAUUAAAGUCCCUUUGAUUUAUGUAUUGAGUUCACUUUUGAGUGGUGGAGAUGUGAUAAAUGUGCAAGCCUAUGGUAAUGUCAUUCCGUGGUGUUGAUUUGAGCGUUCCUGGUAUCUAUACAUUUUCUUGAAAGUGAUGAGUAUUACUACUCAUACUCUUUGGAUAACUACCUAUCCAGUGUGCUCUAACUUUGGCGACAUUGUCAGGAAUGCAGGAUGCUUGUGUUAGUGUAGAUCACCGCAUAGUAGUUCCUUUCGUGAUUGAACUUCUGAGCUUCAAAAUGCUUGAGGACAAGCAUUGCCUAGGUGUGGGGGGAUUUGAUAGAGCAAUGUUUGGGCAUCUUAUGUGCUGUUAUGUGGUCAUAAUUUUGGCUAUUUAUUAUGCUAAGUACUGAGGUUUUGCUCAUAUUUGAUAUUUGUGUAAAUUGUAGGUGGUUGGUGUCAAAAAGUGAUCUCUGAAGGCGAAUUUCCAGAAGACUUUUUAUUUCAGGGCGUGCCCACGCCAGAAACUAUUGAAGAGACGCCUCAAAGUCGGACCGCGGGACUAACUAACUAACUAAACUCAUCCUUAUUCCUGCGGGAUGCGGUUGGAAGUGCGUCAAAACAAAAAGACAGUAAUUUCCAGUGGAUUUGGUAACAACCAAUAAGGAGGAUGUGGGGAAUUGGGGAAAUCUUUGGAAAAGCAGCUAUUUUCUCGUGGGCCAACGAGGGUGUAAAAGACAAGUAGUUUUAGUCUUGCAGAUAGCCUUUUAGUUUCUUACGUUUUCUUUGGAGGGCUAUCUUCGAGGAACUGGCAAAAAAGCCAGAUUCACGUGGAAUUGGGAGAUUAGCUUUAGUUUUGUUAUCCCUUGGUAGAGGAUUUGCUCUCUGUUUUGUUUUUACGAUUUUCUUUAGACCUUUGCUUUAUUUUUUUUGAACGGACAUGAAACAAAAAAAGAAGCAAGACUUUUUUUUUGUUUCUUCGUCACUUCAUCUUUCCCAACUUUCUUGUGAUUGUGUGGAUGGAAUCAAUCAAAUCCCGCGAGAUUGAUAUGAUGAGGAGCGGCUACAUUUCUCCUCUACCCAAAGUCGACGCGAAGGCGCGGUUUAUAACAUCUGUGAGAUCUAAUCGAACUUUCACUAGUUCUUCCAAUCCGUUACUAUUCGUGCAUUUUCUGGAUUAACUGUUUAUGGUUAUUUUAUUAAUUGAGUAUCAACGGUUGGAUAUUUAGUUUAAUCUAAUAGCCUACUGUCACGUUAACUAAAUUGAAUCCGUAAUUGUUCGUUUAGUUGAUAACUAGUGACAACUAUCAUAAUUGGCUUUAUGUUGGGGAAACGUAAGAUCUAGUUUAAAUAAACACUCUUAGCCUGUUUAUUGGUUAGGGUUGAAUUUUUCUAGUUUUAAUGCAACCGGAUAAUUAAAUUCCUACGGUCAUCCCUGAGGUUGUUUUCUAGUUAGAGAAGUGGUCAACGGUCGUACCUUGGUUGUCGAAAAAGUAAAGAAAAACUGGCUGUCAGAGCUUGUUGAUAGCUAUAACUAACCUAGUGACGAAUGAAUGAAAUAUCUUUGCAUCGAUGAUUAUUUAAUUGGACCGUGUCUGAAAAGUUGAUCCUUUGGAUAGAAUUUUACUAAUUGCUAUUUUUAGUUAAUUGUACUUGGUGAGUUAGCUUUUGAAUUUUUGUUUAUUCUAUUUUCAUUUUCAUUCCAUAAAUAUCCCCCAAUUUUGUUCUAUUGACUUGGAAAGAAACAACUUCCUACCCAUUCCCUGUGGAAUCGACCUUACUUGCCGUUGUAUGCAAAUUUAACACUUUUGUAGACAAAUCUAGUAUAUCGGAUCAAGCACACUCUUUGGAGACAGGGUGAAUAUAGUAACCCAUUGCACAUCUAGAGUCACUACUCCAGUACUUAGAUUUGUUCUAUAAUCAAUUAUAGUGGCAAUUAGGACUUUUUAGUAAUUAUUAUUGUACAGGCUCGACACCUGUCAAUUUUUUGCGUCGUUGCCGGGGAACGGUGUUUUGGUUAAUUUUGUUUCUUUUCAAGUUAUUUUCUUUGGAUUUGUCUGGCACUUUUCUAGUUUAUGCCUCGUUUUUCUCGUACAUGUGAAUUGAUUUUCGACCUGGAAGUAAAGAAGAUUGCGCGCCGAACUAGGAAAGAAACUAAACAGCUCAGAGAGGAGCAAUCUAGCAUUGCAUCUCAGAUGCUGGAUCCAGAGGUUGAGUCAACAGAUUCGAGUGGUGAUAAUUCAAGUGACUCAGGCCAAGAGGACAUCCCUAUGGCGAAUCCAAGAACACUAAAGGAGUUGGCUGCUCCGGAAUUGACCCAGCAGCUUUUGUGCAUUACAUUUCCAACUCUAGCUGAGAAUACCUCCUUCGAACUGAAGUCAGAGUUAAUUCAUCUCUUACCCUCAUUCCAUGGCCUCUUGAGUGAGGAACCCCAUAAACACAUCCAGGAGUUCGAUGUGGUAUGUUCUAGUAUGAAACCUCCAGGGAUUACUGAAGAGCAGAUCAAACUUAGAGCAUUCCCUUUCUCCCUCAAGGAUGUAGCGAAGGAUUGGUUAUACUACCUACCUGCAGGUAGUAUCAUAACAUGGGCCCAACUGAAAAAGAAGUUUUUGAAAAAAUUCUUCCCGGCAUCCCGGGCUGCAAGUUUGAGAAAAGAGAUAUGCAGCAUUAAGCAGUAUCCCAGGGAAUCCCUAUAUGACUAUUGGAAAAGGUUCAAUAAGUUGUGUACUAGAUGCCCACAGCAACAAAUUAGUGAACAACUAUUGAUCCAAUACUUCUAUGAGAGACUUCAGUCAUCUGAUAGAAAUAUUAUUGAUGCUGCAAGUAGGGGAGCACUGGCAAAUAAGACACCGAGAGAAGCAUUGCUGCUUAUUGAAGCAAUGGCAGAAAAUUCUCAACAGUUUGUGUUAUUCUUGGUUUUGAUGAUCACAAAAGUUCGUUGAAAUGUUUAUACAGACCAAGAAAGUGAACACUUUGAUCAGGCCUGAUGGAACAAAGUAAGCAUAUGUUCGAUUAACUCCAGACUACGAUGCUUUGGAUGUGGCAAACAAGAUUGGAAUAAUAUAAACAAAUUUAGUCAUUGUUUUGUUCCGAUCAAAGAUACUGUCUUUUAAGUAUGACAAUUUUGUUAGUCUUGGUUCCUUGAAAUGUUUUAUCUAACUUUCUUCAAAUAUAAGUGUUGUUGCCUAUCAAAGAAUCAGGUACGAAUAUGUCGUGAGCAAAAACAGGACACUCAUGUCGGACGGCCGAAAGGAAUCUGUCGGACGUCCGAAGGGAUGAAGAACAUCAGGAAGGAGUUUCUGUCGGACGCACAUCGAUCGUGUCGGACGUCCUAAAAAUUCCACAAAGCUUUGAUGACUCUCUGCCAAGACACUGUCGGACGCUCGCAAGGAAGCAUCGGACGUCCUGAAGGAUCGGACGCAUGCUUCGGACGAACAUCAAUAUCAUUGGACGUCCUAAAAAUUCCUCGAAGAUUUGAUAACUCUCUGGACGACGUUCGAACACUGAAGCUCGGACGAUAAAAUUCCAUCGAACGUCCGAACUUCAAUUUGGCUGUUUUUCGGACGAUUGGUUCGGACGAUAAUUUGAUCGUCGGACGUCCGAAAGCCCCAACGGCUAGCUGACUCUUCAUCUGCCUUCUAUCCGUUGGAAGCUUUAAUGAAGCCCAUUUCUGUUCCCCUUUAAAAACAAACUGUUCUGAACGAAGUAAGAACUUUUGCACACUUGGUCUACAAGAUCUCAAGAGAUAUUUUAGCUAGAAAAUAGUCUCCAAAGUUAGAUUUGUUCUCUAAGUGGUGUGAACUUCUGGUGAGCUUUUCUCUUGUGGUUGAAAGUUUCAUUAGUGUAGCUUUGUUGAGGGUUAUCUGAGUGUUUGUAAAACUUCUUAGCUUGACUAAGUGAGGUUUAGGGCAAGGAGGAAGUGCUCCCUCCAUUGUACAUCUAGUUGAUCAUAUUUCAUCAAAGAGAAGUUGCUCAACCUUGUGAUUGGUCUUCAAGUUUAAGGAAAGCUUGGUAGACAAUCGGUUUGAUUUCCUAUUUUACUUUUUGUUUAAUAAAAUUCUCAUUGCUUAUAUAUACUUAUUUUUCUGAUCAAUAUUGCUAUUGUCUUCUAAUCUACUUGGUUGAUCUUUACUAGAAAAGAAGGUAAAUUUUUAUUAAAGAAAAAGUGCAUAAAUUUGGUUAAGGUUUUAAUCAACCCAAUUCACCCCCCCUCUUGGUUGUCUUUGGGACUUACAAUUGGUAUCAGAGCUUGGUCUCCUUGAGAUUAAGCUCUAACGGCUUGGAGUAAAGAUGACAACCAGUCAUGCUAUGUUUGUUGAGGGGCAAUCUGUUACUAGGCCUCCCAUGUUCAGUGGCUCCAACUAUGUUAGCUGGAAAGAACGGAUGAUUAUCUUUUUGUAAUCUAUUGAUAUUGAACUAUGGUUUAUUGUGAGUGAAGGACCGCAUGAAGCUAACUUUCUUGAUGCAGAUACAGGGUUGCUUCGGCCAAAAAUGAGAGCUGAAAUGAAUGCUCAAGAUAGGACUAACCUCACAUUGAAUGCCAAGGCCAUGAAUGUUCUUUAUAGUGCCCUAGAUUCAAAUGAAUCAAUUAGAGUAAAAGGCUGCAAAUCGGCCAAAGAAAUGUGGGAUAAACUAAGAGAAAUCCAUGAGGGUGGUGACAACGUGAAAGAACAGAAAAAGGCUAUCUUGGUCACAAAAUAUGAAUCAUUUAGAAUUGAACCUCUUGAGGAUAUUGACAAAAUGUAUUGCAGGUUCACUGACUUGAUCAAAGAUCUCGAGGUGUUGGGCAAAGAGUACACCUUGGGAGAGAAGAACAGGAAAAUUCUCAAUGCGUUGGGCAAAGAAUGGGAAAAUAAAGUGACUGCAAUAGAGGAGGCUAAGGAUUUAAGUUCUGUGGCUAUUGAAUCUAUCAUUAACUCACUAACCUCUUAUGAGUUGAAACUGAAAUCUAAAGUGCAGGAGGAAGAGGAAGCUAGAGCAAAGAGAAACAUUGCUCUAAAGACUACUCAAGGUGAAGAUGAUACAGCUCACUUGGAUGAUGAAGACUCGGAUGGUGAUGAUAAUGAUCUUGCUCUCAUCACCAGAGGUUUCAAGAGAAUCUUGAAUAAAAGAAAGUUUAGAAGGGGAGGACCUAGCAAUCAAUUCCAGAAUCAGCCAUCUAUCGCAAAGUACAAAGGAAAACAGGAUUUCAACAAGAAACAGUUGGACAAAUGCUUCGAAUGUGGACAGCUUGGACACUAUGCAAAUGAAUGCCCCAUGAAGAAGAUGAAAGAUGGAAAAGCUGAUCGGAAGCCAAGAUUCAACAACUUUCAGAUUACUUGGAAUGAAUGCAACUCCGAAGGGGAAGUAGAAGAAGAAGAAGAAUCAGCUCAAAUGGCCUUCAUGGCUAUUGGAAAUAAUGAGGUAACUUCCACACAUUCUCAAUCUGAAAGUGAUGAUGAUGAAGAUGAUGAUCUUGAAUCCUUUGUUGAAAAACUGCAUAAUGCCUUGAAGGAAUCUUAUGAUAAAAACAAGCAGUUAAAACAGAAAAUGGCUUUUCUCAUUCAAGAAAAUGCAAGUCUUUUUCAACAAAAUAAACAACUAAAGACUGACAAUGAAAGUCUUGUAAGAGCCGGAUGUAAUGUUCAAAAUGAGCUUGAUAGAAAGACAAAUAUUUGUGAAAUGCUGAAGGAAAGACAUGGUGAUUUGAAAAAAAGAAUGGACAACUUGGAUGAGACUUUGAAAGCAAGAAAGCAGGAGUUUAUCAAAAGGAACAUGUCAUCUACACAUCCUACUACUUUUCAAAGAACAUUUGCACACAACAAAAAUGCACAUGGUUUCACAACAUAUAGAAGAGGUGGAUUGAGAUAUGUCAAACCAGUACAUGUUAAGGACUCUUCCAUUAUGUGUGGUUUUUGUUGUCAAAGAGGGCAUUUGAAAGGUGAUUGCUAUGUGAAAAGAAAUCUGAACAAAGGGAUGAAAUGCAUGUGGUUAGUUAGAUACAAUGCUAACUAUUGCGGACCCAAAAAUUAAAAUGGGUACCAAACACUUUCUCUUUUCAGGAAAAAUGCUCAAACAAGUCCAAAUGGUUUAUUGAUAGCGGUUGCUCAAGGCAUAUGACCGGUGAUCCCUCUUUGUUCAUAAAGCUGAAAUCAAAGUCAAGUGGAAAAGUGACAUUUGGUGAUGAUGUGAAAGCUAAGACAAUUGGAAUAGGUGAUGUUGGUAAGGAUGGUGAUACUUUUGUCCAUAAUGUGCUCUUAGUUGAUAACUUAAGUUAUAACUUGCUUAGUGUUAGUCAAUUGUGUGAUAAAGACUUGAAUGUGUUGUUUAAAAAACAUGAAUGCAUUGUGCUUGAUUCCAAAUAUAAUAUUGUGUUCAAAGGUAAGAGAUUCAACGACAUAUAUAUUGUGGUUCUUGAUAAAAUUGAUUCUUCUAGCUUAAAAUGUCUUAAAGCUUCAAAUGAAGAUCCUUGGUUGUGGCAUAGAAGACUUUGUCAUUUUAACAUGAAUUUACUAAAGGAAAUUUCGAAAAAGGAGUUGGUUAGAGGCUUGCCAAAAAUCAGUUUUGAUAAGGACAAAAUAUGUGAUGCAUGUCAAUUUGGGAAGCAAACAAAAAAUUCCUUUAAACCUAAGAUGUGUGUAUCUACUUCUAAACCUUUGGAACUCUUGCAUCUUGAUUUAUUUGGUCCCACUCAAAUUACUAGCUUGGGAGGUAAAAGAUAUUGUUUUGUAAUUGUUGAUGAUUAUUCUAGAUACACUUGGGUGAUAUUUCUUGCUCAUAAAGAUGAUGCCUUCAAGAAUUUUACUUCAUUGUUUGCUAAAAUGCAAAAUCUGCUUGGGUUAAAAAUUGUUAGGAUUAGAAGUGAUAAUGGGACGGAAUUCAAGUAUUGUGGUUUUCCAGAAUUUUGUGAUCAUAAUGGUAUAACACAUGAGUUCUCUAUUGCAAGGACUCCACAGCAAAAUGGUGUUGUAGAAAGGAAAAACAGGACUCUUCAAGAGGCUGCUAGAACUAUGUUGAAUGAAUGUAGGUUGCCUAAAUAUCUUUGGGCUGAAGCGGUAAACACUGCAUGUUAUGUGAUGAAUAGAAUACUCUUGAGACCUAUUUUAAAGAAAACUCCUUAUGAGCUGAUUUUUGAUAAGAAACCUACGGUUGGUUAUUUCAAAGUAUUUGGUUGUAAAUGCUUUAUUUUGAAUCUAAAGGAACAUCUUGGUAAGUUUGAUAAAAAAUCUGAUGUAGGAAUAUUUUUGGGGUAUUGUGAGAAUAAAAGACGAUAUAGAGUUUUUAAUAGAAGGACUCUUGUGAUUGAAGAAGCUAUACAUAUAACAUUUGAUGAAACCAAUGAUGAUAAUUCCAAAAGUUCGUGUGAGGAUGAUGAUGUAGGUGUUCGAGAAGCAAUGAAAAACCUAUCAAUUGGAAAUGAAGGAAGCUCUAAACCAGCAGCAACUGAAAUGGAAAAUGAAGUUCAUAAUGAUCAAGAAGAGGAAGAUGAAGACAAAAAUGAUGAUCCACUCAAAGAUCUUCCCAAGGCUUGGAAAUUCAGCCAAAAUCAUCCAAAAGAGCUUAUAAUUGGUGAUCCAUCCGAGAAGGUAAACACUAGUUCCUCAUCUAGAAAAUUGAUUGACAAUUUUGCUUUAGUUUCUCUUUUUGAACCCAAAAAUAUCAAUGAUGCUUUAAAGGAUGAAAACUGGAUUUUGGCAAUGCAAGAGGAACUUAAUCAAUUUGAGAGAAAUGAAGUUUGGACACUUGUUAAUAGACCUCAAAAUCAACCUAUCAUUGGCACAAAGUGGAUUUUUAGAAAUAAGUUGGAUGAUAAAGGUGUUGUUGUAAGAAAUAAAGCCAGAUUAGUUGCUAAAGGAUAUGCACAAGAAGAAGGAAUUGAUUUUGAUGAAACAUUUGCUCCCGUAGCAAGAUUAGAAUCUAUUAGAAUGCUUCUUGCUUUUGCAUGCUUUAAAGGCUUCAAAUUGUUUCAAAUGGAUGUUAAAAGUGCUUUUUUAAAUGGUUUUAUUGAUCAAGAAGUAUAUGUGGAUCAACCCCCCGGUUUUGAAAAUACAAAAUUUCCAAGUCAUGUGUUUAAACUAUCUAAAGCUUUAUAUGGUCUAAAACAGGCUCCAAGAGCUUGGUAUGAAAGACUAAGUGGUUUUUUGAUUGAAAAUGGUUUCAAAAGGGGUGUUGUGGACACCACACUUUUUACUAAGCAAGUGUUGAAUGACCUUCUUAUUGUGCAAAUAUAUGUUGAUGAUAUUAUUUUUGGUGCUACUAAUGAGUAUCUAUGUAAGGAGUUUUCCACCACUAUGCAAAGUGAAUUUGAAAUGAGUAUGAUGGGAGAAUUAAAUUUCUUCCUUGGACUUCAAAUACAUCAAGCUCUUGAGGGAAUUUUUAUAAAUCAAGCAAAAUAUACCAAGGAAUUGUUGAAAAGGUUUGGCAUGGAGGACUCAAAGCAAGUUGGAACUCCAAUGUGCACUUCUACAAAGCUUGACAAAGAUGAAGAAGGUAAUCAUGUGGAUGAAAAGCAUUAUAGAGGUAUGAUCGGAAGCCUACUCUAUUUAACCGCAAGUAGACCUGAUAUUAUGUUUGCUGUUUGCUUGUGUGCUAGAUUUCAAUCUUGUCCAAAAGAAUCACAUUUGAAUGCUGUAAAAAGGAUUUUUAGGUAUUUGAAAGGUACAUUAGACUAUGGUCUUUGGUAUGCUAGAUCUAAUGAGUUUGCACUAUAUGCUUAUUCGGAUGCUGAUUUUGGAGGUUGUCGUGUGGAUAGAAAGAGUACUAGUGGAACUUGUCAUUUUCUUGGAAAUUGUUUAGUCUCUUGGUUUAGCAAGAAACAAUGUGCAAUCUCUUUGUCUACAACCGAAGCGGAAUAUAUUGCCGCUAGUGCAUGUUGUGCUCAACAUUUAUGGAUGAAGCACACCUUGAAUGAUUUUUGAUUGUUGUAUGACUGCAUGCCUGUAUUCUGUGAUAAUACUAGUACUAUAAAUUUGACCAAAAAUCCUAUUCAUCAUUCUACGACAAAGCACAUAGAUAUAAAGCAUCACUUUAUUCGUGAUCUUGUUCAAAAAGGUGAAAUAUGUGUAAAUUAUGUUUGUUCUAAAGAUCAAUUUACGGAUAUUUUUACAAAAGCUUUGCCAUUAGAUCAGUUCAUUCAUCUAAGAUCAAAAUUAGGAAUAAUCGAAAAAUCAUCUUAAUUUUUGGGUCUUCGGACGUCCGAAAGAAGAUGAACGGACGUCCGAUGAUGUUCUUCAGCCAUUUUCCAGAUUGCGCCUGUUCGGACGCAGCUGUCGGACGCACAACGUCGUUCGGCCGUCCGACAGUGCAACGGAUCAAUUUUUUAAAUAACUUUCUUUCUCAUUUGCUUCAGACUCUUCCUAUUCUAUUUCCUCUCGGACGAAAACUCUCUCUUCCCUCACUCUCAAAUUCGUACCAUUUUGAAGCUCUCAUUCUCAAAUUGACUCAAACAAAACUUUUUCUGACUGAUUGCGAUUCAUUUCUCCUGAUCAUUUUCCCGAAUCGCAUAACAUUUCACAAAUUCCCAAAUUUCCUUCAAAACCCUACUUUCUCAUAACCGCUCUGCCAAAUCUUGUUUAAGGCCUUUUUGUCCCAAAAUUUCUGUGCAAAUCACUUCCCUACCACUGUGUGCAUCAUUUGCAUUCUUCAUUCCACACAUUUCACACAAUGGUGAAUCUGAGAGGAGGAAAGGUUACUGCCGGACGCAAGCAUCCACUCAGGGAUGAGGAUGAGGAUCUUCCUACGGUCAAACGUUCAUCCAAACGCUUCAAGAGAGGAGCCAUAAAGGGUCAAAUGUCACGGCCUACUCCUCAACCCACCUCUCAGCCUGAAUCUGGACAGGGAACCUCUGCUCAACCGCCUCCAAAAUCAGCCCCUCCCCCUACAUUCUUUGAUGAUACAGCAAGAGACAAACACUCCUUGAUAUCCCAGAAAGGUGUCAUCCCUCAACGUACUGUAAACCCUUCUGAAUUUCGUCUCAUAGGUUUAGAAACCAUUCUGAAGUUAUUUGCUUUUCAGAAAUGGUCGCAUAUCAUUUCUAUGCCAAAUGUUUACUAUCCUGAAAUGCUGCAUCAAUUUUUUGCUAAUCUUAGAAAAGGGUCUGACCAAACUGAAAUCUUUUCCAGGGUUAAUGGGGUAGACUUAAUCUUUGACUCUGAAAUUGUGAAUUCCAUUUUAAAUACUACCAUUGAACGUGGGUGCAAGGAUAAAAUUACAAAUUUCUUUUCCUAUGAAGAGCACCCUAAUGCUGAUAAUCAUUUUGAUGGGGCUAAAAUGAUGACCUAUUUUAAAAGAAGUUUUUCCUCCCCUGCUGAUGCUAAACUGAAUGAUCUUGCCCCUGUGAAUUUAAUUGCUUUUUCUAUCAUUUCAAACCUGCUUGUGCCUACUGAUGGCCAUAGAACUGAUGCAAACAAAAUGGAGUUGUACCUCUUUUAUUAUUUUCGAGAAAAAAUUUGGAUUGAUUUUGGUUUUGUCAUGUGCAAGUUUUUACUUCGCUAUACCACUGACUCUCGCAGAAAACUAUCCUAUGGAAAGUUUCUUCAAAAGAUUUUUGAGUUUUUCAAAGUUCCAAUUUUAGGUGUUUGUCCCAAAGAAGCAUCUUCUUAUGCCUUUACCAAAGGAUACUUUGAAAGGAAAAAUCUUGUUUUUAAAGAUAAUAUGUGGUCUUAUAAAGAGGCAUCGUCCAGUGAACGUAGGUCUAAGGCUGCACAUGAUCCUUCAUCUAUUCCACUCACUCCCAUUCAUCCUAGGAAAUCUGCCACUAAGGCAUCUUCCUCCUCCAAUGAUGGAGUGAUUGAGCUUCUUCAUGAACUCAAACAGCAUGUUCUUCUUCUAGAACAUGGCCUAAUGCUCACCAUGUCCUCUGAGCAACAAACUGCCUUUCUAGACAAAAAGAACCAUCUCUUUCCCCCACCUGUGGUUGAGGAAGUGUCCCAUGACAAAGAGCCACACCCCACUGAUCCAAGCUCAUCAAUUCCAGACCCUGGUUCAUCAACUCCUGUGACUCCUCAUGGUCCUUCCACAGCAGAUAAAGGCAAGGAACCAGUUGAAGUGGAUGCUGAAGCUGAUGAAGAAACUGAAGAGGAGGACCUCUCCCAAUAUCAGCUCUCUCGAAGAACUCCUGGAUCCACACAGUUCACUACUUAGGACAUUUGCAUUCUGUUUGUCUAUUUUAUGUGUUUGUAAUGGUCAACAUUUGUAACCUUCUUUUAAUGUUUCUCUUGUUGGUACUGUAUGUUUAUGUUAAGUAUUUUGAAUGAUGACUGUGUUUAUGGAUGUUUAAGUAUUUUGGUGCAAUGAAUUUGGUUUUCAUUGAUGAAUGUGUUUGUGGAUGUGUUGAUGUGAUUGGUUGCCCUUUUGUGAUGACAAAAAGGGGGAGAGGACUGGAUUGAUGAUUGAUGAUUGGUGUUGAGGACUGGAUUGAUUGAUGAUUGAUGAUUGGUAUUGAUUGAUGAUUGAUGAUUGGUGAUGUUGGAUAUGUUGGAUUGAUUGUUUAAAUUUGGAUUGGCUGAUAUGCUUAAUUGUCAUAUUUUUAGAAAAUUGUUUAACUCGGAUGGGCAGCCAAGUGAGGGGGAGCUUUUUCAAAAUUUUCAAAAUUUUAUGAUUCACUAAAUAAGGGGGAGUUCGUGAGAAAGGGGGAGCUUAUAAUGCAAUCAUCAAAUUUCAUUUCAAACUUUUGUUUUGUCAUCAUCAAAAAGGGGGAGAAUGUUAUUCUUGAUUUUGAUGAUCACAAAAGUUCGUUGAAAUGUUUAUACAGACCAAGAAAGUGAACACUUUGAUCAGGCCUGAUGGAACAAAGUAAGCAUAUGUUCGAUUAACUCCAGACUACGAUGCUUUGGAUGUGGCAAACAAGAUUGGAAUAAUAUAAACAAAUUUAGUCAUUGUUUUGUUCCGAUCAAAGAUACUGUCUUUUAAGUAUGACAAUUUUGUUAGUCUUGGUUCCUUGAAAUGUUUUAUCUAACUUUCUUCAAAUAUAAGUGUUGUUGCCUAUCAAAGAAUCAGGUACGAAUAUGUCGUGAGAAAAAACAGGACACUCAUGUCGGACGGCCGAAAGGAAUCUGUCGGACGUCCGAAGGGAUGAAGAACAUCAGGAAGGAGUUUCUGUCGGACGCACAUCGAUCGUGUCGGACGUCCUAAAAAUUCCACAAAGCUUUGAUGACUCUCUGCCAAGACACUGUCGGACGCUCGCAAGGAAGCAUCGGACGUCCUGAAGGAUCGGACGCAUGCUUCGGACGAACAUCAAUAUCAUCGGACGUCCUAAAAAUUCCUCGAAGAUUUCAUAACUCUCUGGACGACGUUCGGACACUGAAGCUCGGACGAUAAAAUUCCAUCGGACGUCCGAACUUCAAUUUGGCUGUUUUUCGGACGAUUGGUUCGGACGAUAAUUUGAUCGUCGGACGUCCGAAAGCCCCAACGGCUAGCUGACUCUUCAUCUGCCUUCUAUCCGUUGGAAGCUUUAAUGAAGCCCAUUUCUGUUCCCCUUUAAAAACAAACUGUUCUGAACGAAGUAAGAACUUUUGCACACUUGGUCUACAAGAUCUCAAGAGAUAUUUUAGCUAGAAAAUAGUCUCCAAAGUUAGAUUUGUUCUCUAAGUGGUGUGAACUUCUGGUGAGCUUUUCUCUUGUGGUUGAAAGUUUCAUUAGUGUAGCUUUGUUGAGGGUUAUCUGAGUGUUUGUAAAACUUCUUAGCUUGACUAAGUGAGGCUUAGGGCAAGGAGGAAGUGCUCCCUCCAUUGUACAUCUAGUUGAUCAUAUUUCAUCAAAGAGAAGUUGCUCAACCUUGUGAUUGGUCUUCAAGUUUGAGGAAAGCUUGGUAGACAAUCGGUUUGAUUUCCUAUUUUACUUUUUGUUUAAUAAAAUUCUCAUUUCUUAUAUAUACUUGUUUUUCUGAUCAAUAUUGCUAUUGUCUUCUAAUCUACUUGGUUGAUCUUUACUAGAAAAGAAGGUAAAUUUUUAUUAAAGAAAAAGUGCAUAAAUUUGGUUAAGGUUUUAAUCAACCCAAUUCACCCCCCCUCUUGGUUGUCUUUGGGACUUACAGUUUGGCUCCCGCGAGAGUAACCCUACCCAUAGGGUUAACGAGGUAAAGACGUCGUCCAUUCAGCAGCAGCUAUCGGAGUUAACAUCUUUUGCUCAGCAGUUAGCUGUGGGGAAUAUGCAUCAAGCAAAGGUCUGUGGAAUUUGCACAAACAUGGGCCACCCCACUGACUUAUGCCCUAUUUUGCUAGAGGAUGGGGCUGAACUAGUAAACAUGGUUGGGGGCGUGCCCACGCCCCGUAGGUAGUACGAUCUAUACUCGAACACGUACAAUUCGAGUUGGAGAGACCACCCCAACUUCAACUAUGGGAACAGGCCACAGAAGUCAUUCUCAAAUCGUCCAGCAACCAUGGCAACCAAAGCUUCAACCUUCGUCCUCCAAUUCAGGAGGCUCUUUGGAGGAUAUUGUCAAGAGCCUGGCCACGAGUACUACUCAGCUCCAGCAAGAAACUAGAUCCUUGGUCACGAGUACUGCUCAAUUCCAUCAGGAAACUAGAUUAGGCAUGAAAAAUCUGGAGACUCAAAUAAGUCGUAUGGCAACUGCAAUUAAUCGGUUAGAGUCUCAAGUUUUUGAAAAAUUGCCAUCGCAACCCGAGGUAAAUUCCAAGAAUGUAAGUGCCUUGACAUUGAGGAAUGGCAAGGAAGUGGAGGGGCUUAAGGCCACGAACCUAAAGAGUAAAAGUGAAGAAGAGAUCGAAAAGGAGAUUGAAGAAGAAGGACGCAUUCGUGGAGACCCUAAGGUAACUCUUACUCCAUCAAUUCCCAUUGAAUCUAAUUUACCUCCUUUUCCAUACAGGUUGGAAAAGACAAAGAAGGCGGAGAUGGAAAAAGAAAUCCUAGACGUAUUCUGAAAAGUAGAGAUCAACAUUCCCUUGUUGGAUGCAGUUAAGCAGGUACCAAAGUACGCAAAUUUUUUUAAGAAUUUGUGCACCUAUAAGAGGAAGUUGAGACGGGACAAAAGAGCAGCAGUGGGAGAAAAUGUAUCAGCUAUACUCCAAAGAAAACUCCCACCCAAGUGUGGAGAUCCAGGUAUGUUCAUGAUCCCAUGCAAAAUAGGAAAUACACCGAUUAGAAAAAUAAUGUUGGAUUUAGGGGCAUCAAUCAACGUAAUGCCAAGCACCAUUUAUGUUUCUUUAAAUCUUGGGCCACUAAAAGAAACAGCCAUCAUAAUCCAACUAACUGACCGCACCAAUGCUUAUCCAGAGAGGCUAGUUGAGGAUGUCUUGGUUCAGGUAAAUGAGUUAGUUUUUCCAACAGAUUUUUAUAUCUUAGGUAUGGGAGAUGAAAAAUUGUUAAAUCCGUCACCUAUUUUGUUAGGUAGGCCAUUUCUUAGCACUGCUAGGACUACAAUAAAUGUGAAUGAGAGUACUUUAUCAAUGGAGUUUGAUGGCGAAAUUAUAAAUUUCAAUAUUUUUGAGGUGAUGAAGUAUCCGGAGGAAUCUAACUCAGUCUUUGCAUUGAGUGUUAUUGAACCUAUUGUAUAGGAAACUUUCGAAUUAGACUGUGAAGACGCAUUGGAAGUGGCCUUUAUCAAGCAUCUUGAAAUGGAUGUAACUCUUAAUGUGGACAUGAGGGAUGAGUUGCACCAUACAGUUGAAGCAUUACAUUCACUUCCAACCAUUCCUUCGAGGUAUGAGCUUACCUCUCUUUUUGUGCCAAAAACUCAGACAAAGUUGUUGCCUUCAGUUGCACAGGCACCGGAGUUAGAGCUUAAGACUCUCCCGAAACAUUUAAAGUACGCAUUCCUGAGAGACUAAGAGACGCUUCCGGUGAACAUUUCUGCACACUUAUCUCCAAGUCAAGAGAGCAAACUGGUGCGAACCCUUAGGGAUCAUAAGGAAGCGAUUGGGUGGAGUAUAGCAGAUAUCAAAGGAAUAACUCCGUUCUUAUGCAUGCACCAGAUACGGCUCGAAGAUGAUGCGAAACCGGUAAAACAGGCGCAGCGGAAAUUGAAUUCGCUAAUGAUGGAAGUAGUGAAAAAGGAGAUACUUAAAGUCCUGGAAAUAGGAAUUAUCUUUGCUAUCUUGGACAGUCCUUGGGUGAGUCCCGUUCAAAUAGUCCCAAAAAAAAUAGGAGUGACUGUAGAGGAAAACCAGGAGGGUGAGAUGGUUCCAGUCAGGAAAGCUACAGGUUGGCGCCAGUGCAUUGACUACCGGAGACUAAACGCUGUGAUGAAAAAGAACCAUUUUUGAUGUGAAACCCCGGUCUAGACAACCAAAACACCAUGGCUUAGGCAGCGGAAAUUUGACCCAACUAAUCCCUAGAAGUCACGAACAAUUUUGAUAUUAUCUCAACCCGUAACUACUCGAAUUAACGAACCAAAUUGGAGGUAGUAGAACGCCACAAUCAAGGAGAUACUCGAUUGAUAAGUUCGGGUGAAUAACUUGAGAAGAUUCUCAAGUAUUCAAAGGCAACUCUCUUGCCAAAGAGAAAGUGAAAACUCACUAAUUGUAUUUAAUAGCCAAAAACUCGUCCCAAAACAAAGAGGAAGUGAGGCAAUUUAUAGCCCUUACAAGCAUUAACCCUAAUCCAAAAGUUGACCAAACUACCCUACAUACUUAAGAAAGAUUUUGGGCCUUACUUACUAACAAAUGGGCCGCAAUUAAACUAUCUUAAUUACCUAGAUUUUUAAAACAAGAAAUAACCAAAAUCAACGAGAAAAAUCAAAUAAUCCUACUAAACUCAAGCAUUCGUGCAAUCAACUAGUCUUCACUUGAAUCUUCCAAUUCCCCGUGUGCUUGAAUGGGCCUUGGUCUUUAUAUUCUCAUCAUUCCCCUCCUCUUAAAAGCAAUUUGCCCACAAAUUGAAGCACGAAUGGUGACAAGACGAGUUACAUGCCUUCGACUCAAUCUUGUUAUGAUGGCUACAGAUGGCAUCCAAUGCAAAACCCAUGUGCUAAGUUGGAAAAUAACCCUCGUCGAACCUUGAAUCUCACAGACCAUCUUCAAUGUAUGCUCAACUUUAUUGUUUGUGGUCAUGAGAUAAGGGUCCUCAAAGUGGUAUGAAGUGUAUCCCGUGAAAUCGAACUCCGGCUCGAACACACUUGCAAGGUACCAAGGCGGAUUUGGUGAUGUUGGAGCUUCAUGUGGACUAAGAGCAAGACGAAAAGCAUAAUGGUCAUUGAGGUACUUGUUCUUUAAACGAACCCUUGGUACACAACCAUUCCUAAAAUAUGGAGUGUUCCCUUCAAGAUGAGCUCGAAUCAACUCCCCUUUGGUGUGGACUGAUUUAAGUUGACAUUGUUCCAUGAAUGGAUACCAAGGGGGUUUAACUCUUGGAGUACCAACUCCAUGGAGGCUUGCAACGUCUACAAUUGAUUUUGGAAUGGAACACACCAAGAUCAGCUCAACUUGCCUUUGCUUGAUCUGUAUAAAAGAAGAAACACUAAACAAAGCAAAGGUAAGUUUGUUAAGAAAAUAAUAGGCCUUCACCGGGUUGCUCAAGAUCAGCCCACUUUCUCUUCUUUCUUCCUUUUUACCACCAAUCUCAUUAGAUUUUUCCAUCUCUUUUCCUAGUUCAACAGCUGACCCUUUUAUCUCAUUACUUUCAACUUCCUCGGGUUUUACCUCUGCAGGCACAAUUCCCUCAUCUAGCUUUUUCUCCAUUCUAUAACGCUCAAACUCACUUUUCAUGCAUGCUAGAUCAAUACAAAGUUGGUCAUAAGUAAGUGAUACAAGUGCAAGACGACGACUAUUAAAUAAGAAGGAAUACUUAUUAGUAUGUCCAUCAAUUUUAACUUCUCGCCUCGACAUCCAUGCUUUGCCCAACAACACAUGUGUCACUUGAAUUGGGACUACAUCACACAACACCUCAUCCACAUAUUUGCUGAUUUGAAUAGGUACAAGUGUGUGCUUAGUAACCCAAACAUCCCUAUGAGUGCUCGUCAACUUGUAAGGUUGAAGAUGAUCAAUGGUUGGAAGAUUUAAUUUCUCAACCAUGAUAGCACUUGCAAGAUUGACUUCACAACUACCAUCAAUGGCCAAGCUACAAAUUUUAUCUUUGACACCGCAACGAGUAUAAAACCAACCAAGCAACUGAGAUUUGACGAGGUCCAAUUGCUCAUCUACACCACGUAAUGCCACUUCUUUGACUCCCUUAGGAUCAGGAAGACAAUGUUGUGGGCUAGCUUUUAUGUGUCUUAUACUCGCCAUGACGUAUGAGGGAACCUGCAAAAAGUUAGCAACGAAACCGAAGAUAUUGCCUUUCACGCUCCCUUACGUGUAUCCACUCGCACUCGUGUAUAUGGAUGUCACUCUAAUGGACUUACCAAAUACCUUUACCUGUUGGGUUAGGUAGUUGAGAAAUGCUGCUCAAGUCCAACAACCGUUACCAACCUUUCCACAAGUGUAAUCACAAGAAUGUAGGAGAAAAUGUAUGAAAGUGUUCCUAGAAUCUAGGAAGAGAAUAUAGGAGAGUUUCAUAAAGUGGAUGAGAGAAUAUAGGAAAGGUCCUAAAAAUGGAUGAGAGAAUUUUAGGAGAGUUUCCUAAAAAAUGGAUGAGAGAAUUUAGGAAAGUUUCCAAAAAAAUGGAUGAGAGAGUUUAGGAAAAUUUCCUAAAAAGGUAGGAGAGAGAGUGUCCAAGUGAGUACAAAGAGUUAUCCAAGUGCUUUACUUAGUUUCCUAAUUGAUUUUGGAAACAAGUUAGUUUUUGGAAACCUUUUGAAAAUCCUCUUCCUCUUGAACAACUUUUGGUAACCUUCUUGAAACAACUUUUGGUAACCUUCUUGAAACAACUUUUGGUAACUUCCAAAUUCUACUCCAAGAAAGAUUGCACAAAUCAGAUUUGGUUCUCUAUUCAAAACAAUUCGGUUGCCCCUUUCUUUCCUUGCCUUUUUUUUUUUCUCUUGCCAACCAAUUCCUCUUUUCUUUCUUCUUUUUUUUUGUCUUUUUUUGACUACAACUAUCAACCACGACACAAAACAAGGAAGUCCACAAAUAAUAACAACCAAGAACUCCAAGAUCUUUCAAGAACGUUCAAGGAAGUUGUCAGGAACUUCAGAAAUUUCAAGAUUGUGGUCAAGAAUUCAAGAAGCUCAAGAUUAUUGUAAGUUCUCUUCACGAUUCACAAAAUUCCAACAAUUUUUGCCAAAAUUCAGAUUUGAAAACCAAGUAAACAAGUUGGAUAACACAAACAACAAGGCUGGACAGAUUUGUAUUCGGAUGAACAGAACCCUAUGAACAGUAUCAGUGAACAGUGUCGGUGAACAGUAACGAUGAACAGUAAUAUUUUUUUUUUUUUUUUGGUUCUGAACAAACGAACAGAUUGGGAUAAACACAUAUGACUCGAAAUAAACGAAAACAAAAAAAAAGAUAUAACCUGGUGGUUGUCAACUAGCUCUGGUACCAACUGAUGUGAAACCCCGAUCUAGACAACCAAAACACCAUGGCUUAGGCAGCGAAAAUUUGACCCAACUAAUCCCUAGAAGUCACGAACAAUUUUGAUAUUAUCUCAACCCGUAACUACUCGAAUUAACGAACCAAAUUGGAGGUAGUAGAACGCCACAAUCAAGGAGAUACUCGAUUGAUAAGUUCGGGUGAAUAACUUGAGAAGAUUCUCAAGUAUUCAAAGGCAACUCUCUUGCCAAAGAGAAAGUGAAAACUCACUAAUUGUAUUUAAUAGCCAAAAACUCGUCCCAAAACAAAGAGGAAGUGAGGCUAUUUAUAGCCCUUACAAGCAUUAACCCUAAUCCAAAAGUUGACCAAACUACCCUACAUACUCAAGAAAGAUUUUGGGCCUUACUUACUAACAAAUGGGCCGCAAUUAAACUAUCUUAAUUACCUAGAUUUUUAAAACGAGAAAUAACCAAAAUCAACGAGGAAAAUCAAAUAAUCCUACUAAACUCAAGCAUUCGUGCAAUCAACUAGUCUUCACUUGAAUCUUUCAAUUCCCCGUGUGCUUGAAUGGGCAUUGGUCUUUAUAUUCUCAUCAAUUUUCCUCUCCCUUUUAUUGACCAGAUGAUAGAAAGAUUGGCUGGUCGUGUUUACUAUUAUUUUUUGGAUAAUUUUUCAGGGUACUUCAGAUCUCGAUAGCACCGGAGGACCAGGAAAAGACCACAUUCACCUGCCCAUUUGGUACUUUUGCGUACCGUAGGAUGCCUUUCGAUCUUUGCAAUGCUCCAACAACUUUUCAAAGGUACAUGGUAAGUAUUUUCUCCGAAUAUGUAAAAAGAUUAUUGAUGUGUUCAUGAAUGAUUUUAGUGUAUACGGGGAUAGCUUUGAUGAAUGUUUCGAUAAUUUAGCUGUAAUUUUGAAAAUGUGCAUAGAGACGAACUUAGUUCUUAAUUGGAAAAAAUGCGCUUUAUGGUAGAGUAUGGUAUUGUCUUAGGGCACGUUGUGUCGGCUAAGGGAAUAGAGGUAGAUAAAGCAAAAAUAGAUCUAAUUUCUACUUUGCCUUACCCUGUAUGUGUACGGGAAGUACGUUUCUUUUUGGGCCAUACAGGAUUUUAUAGGAGGUUCAUCAAGGAUUUCUCAAAGAUUGGAGCACCCCUAUUCGAGUUGCUGCAAAAGGACGUGACAUUCGAUUUCACCAAUGAAUAUAAGGUGGCUUUUGAUAAAUUAAAGGAGUCGUUGACAUCGCCGCCCGUCAUUCAACCCCCAGAUUGGAGCCUACCGUUUGAAAUAAUGUGCGAUGCGAGUGAUUAUGAGGUAGAAGCAGUGUUGGGCCAAAGGAUUGGCAAGGUGGCGCAUGCAAUUUACUAUGCGUCGAAAGCAUUGAGUGGAGCUCAACUUAACUACUCCACGACGGAGAAAGAAUUACUAGCCGUUGUUUUUGCACUAGAAAAAUUUAGGUCAUAUUUAUUAGGUGCAUGUAGACACCAAAAAUUUCAUCGAUUCAGUUUUAGCUUUAUUCAUUCAAUUUUGACUUCCUUUGAUUCAAUUUUUAGUUUUAUUAUUAUUAUUUAUUCUUGUCUCAUAUUUAUUAUUUUUAAUUGAUUGGAGGUUGCAAAUGGUAAUUGAUGUUCAUUCUUAUUUUAAAUGCAUUAAAAUUCAUCAUUUUCUUUUUAAAGCAAUUUUACACUAAAUUUUAGGAAAAUCCCGAAUAAAGAUCCAUUUUAUCUUUUUAAAAUUUGAUUUUUUCUUGCUAAGGCAUUUUGCAAGGUAAUUUUUAAAAAUUAAGCAUGUUAAACAAGUGUGUCAAUUGCAUGUUGAACAAGUGUGCAAAUAAGCAUUAGACAAGUGGUUGAGGAAUGGUAGGACAAGUGUAUAGGGGGUAGCUGUCAAGGACACUUGGGGGGUUUUUUGGGGGGCAUCGGAAAAAAAAGGAAGAAAAAACCCUCGAAGAGGCUUGAAAACAGGGGGAAGAGAAAAGAGCUAAAAACAGGGAGGGGGCUUCGGAGGAAAGGGGAGAGGAAAAACGAAAUCGAAAAAGGAGGGGAGAGUAGGGAAAAAUCUGGGGAGAGUCUGUGGGCUAAGAAAAACAGCGGAGAGAUAGCGGAAAAAAAGGAGAAAAAGAACGGCUGAGGGGAAGGCUAAAAAUCUGAAAAGAGAAGAAGGCUUCGGCUGGGAGAAGCUGGAGUGGAAAAAAUAGAAAAAGGGAGAACGGCUGCGGUUGAGGGCCGAGAGAGUGGAGAGCCGAGGAGGAAAAAUCAGAAAAGGAGGAGAAAAAUCAAGGGCGGCGGAUGAAGGGAAAAGCUGGGAAAAUUAGAAACAGAGAAAGAGAGGAUAGCAGCGGACAAAGAGCUUGCGACUGAGGAAGCAGAGCAGCUGGAACUGCCGUUCGCGGGAAGCUGUUGCCGCCCUCUUCCGUCACGCGCGACGCCAGCUUCAUCGCUUCUUCCAUCAUAGUUCAAGCUCCGCCCUCUGCCGGCACAAACAAGUGGCCAACCGCCCGCCCAAGCAACCAAAUCCGAGAUCAGCACCCGCAAAAUUUUACCAAGAAACAAACGGUAAGCCACCAUCAUCCUUCAAAUUUCAGUUUUCAUGUAAGUUUUCGAAGCGUGUUUUAUUUUUCACGUUGUGGCUUGUAGCCAUUUCUCUGUUGAAUUAUUCACUAAUUGGAAGUAUGUAUGCUUUGAAUGUCGAUUGGACUGGAGUUUUCUUGCAUUUGAUGAAAUUUUGGGUGCUGAUUCAUGUCAAUUGAGCGAGAAAUUGGUGAAGUUUUUUAAUGGCUGUUUGUUGUUCGACAGAAUGCUUCAAUGAAAGUUCGGCCUGAAGAAUGGAUUAAUUUCUGAUUUAUAUACGUUCGACUGUUUCAUGCUUGUCAAAAUAAUUGAUUCGAAUGGGUUUGUUUGGGCGUCCGUUUGUUUUGGCAAUCUGCUCCGCUUCUCGUUUGUUUGGUGUUCCUCUUGUAUGGAUUUAAAUUCAUGACAUAAAAUGGCGUGCGAGGGGAUUCAUGUGAGAGUCAUUUGUUUUGCUUUUGUUUUGUUUUGUUGAUUGGAGUCCGAAGUUGAAUUUUCUGGUUGCAAAGAGGAAUGAAAUAGCAGCGAACGUUGAGCCAAUUUGGGAAGAAGAGGAUUGCUUGAUUAAAUUCAUGAUUCCAGUCCCUCAAUUUCCCUUUCCAUUAUGAUUUAACCCCAGAAUUUUAGGACUUCAUAAUUUUUCCUCCAACACCUUCAUAAGUCCUUCAAUUAGGUCCCUGCUCUUGUUGCAUUUUAACCCCUCAGCUUCCCCUUGUUCUGAUAUGACCCGAAAAGUGGAAAAAGUGCGUUUGUUUCUCCCUUCUAGAUUUAAAUCAUCUUCUAAUAAGCAUGAAUAGUCCUUUUACUAGAUUAAUUCUUGUUUGUAGGUUCUAAUUGUGGUUCAAUAAUUUAUUUUGAUUUUAUCAUGUUGGGUUUAAUGAAACAAGUGCCUUGGGCUAAGAGGUUAUUUUUGUUUGGGUUUAAGAAAGUCGUUUUAGUUUAUUUUGUUUGGUUUUUUGGUUCGGGCUAGAGGGUCAAGGCCCAUCUAUUUGGUUGGCUAAUUUUUGGGCCAGGAUAUUAUACUAGCCCACUUGUUUUCCUUGGACUUUCGAUUGGGCCAAGUUAUCUUGGCCCAAGAAAGGUGAAGAUGGCCCAUUCCCUUUUUGUUUUGGAUUUUCGGUUGGGCUUGUAAGGCUUUGGCCCAAACAAAUAAAGGAAAUGGCCCAAUGGCUUGGUCCAUUAAGAAACCAGAAAACGAUUUUGCAAAUCAGUCCCUGAAUUUCUCCCUAAUUGUAUUGUGGCCCUGGACAUUUUCAACUUCUUUCAAUUCGGUCCUUGCUUUAAUUGCAAAUAGGUCCCUGAACUUUAUUUUUCUUUAAUUUUGACCUCCAAACUUUGUCAAUCUUUGCAAUCAGGUCCUUUCUUCUCUUGACUUCUUAAAUGUGAAUUGUCGACAUGAUUUAAUUGAUUCAAAUUCAUGCUUAUUUUUUAUCCUUUGUGAUUAUUUGCCAAAUAAAUUGGUACCUUGACCUUUUUAUUGUUUUGAAGCUAAUAUCUCAUUUACUCGAUUUCCGUUGCGAGGGAGGUAACUUCUAUAUUUUUGAGUUUAUUUUUUCCUACGUGCUCCUACGUGUUAUGUGAAUAUGCCUGUCUACUUUGCUUUCUUUGCCUUUCUUUAAUUCUUUUCAUUUUUUUUUACUUACUUUUGCUUUUUAUUUAAGUUAUUCAUUAUGGGGUAUGUGUACACCUCUUGGCUUGUAAUAGUUAGGGAUUUAAUUAUUUUAUUCUUUUCCCCCUUUUAGAUUGUAGUGGGGUCUCCCUAAUGUAAUAGAUAGGGUUUGGAGGAGCAUUCAAUGAAGACCUAUCGAAGACUUGUGCCUAGCUAGCAAAUGUAAUAGUUAGGGCUUUAAUUGUCUCAUGUGCCUUGCAUGCUUAGUUGCUACGUGUUAAUUUGCUUUGCUAGGGCCUUGCAUCUAGUCGAGCAUGCAAAAUGUUAUGUGCUAUGUGUUUAUAAGUGUUUGGCAUGUCUACUCGCUUUCCAUAGCCUGAAUAAAUGUGAUGGAUGAAUGUACGUCACCACACUAGUCCAAUGCUAGUUGUGGCUCAUUAUUUCAUUAGGAAUUCAUAGAAAGGGCUAGUCCAACGCUAGACCCAAUAGGAUUUUUCCUUUGUUUUUCAUUAAUGCAUUAUUUGCCUGUUCACUACAUAUCAUGCAUUUUUCCUUAGUUUUAUCAUCUGGCAUGCUCCUCGAUUCCCCUUUCCCCUCACUUUAGGAUUUUUGCAUUUCAUGCUAGUUAUAGGGUUCAUUUGCCUGAAGAGUCCCCUUCUGAUAAGGGAAACGAGCGAGUGUGGCUACUCGAUAGCCUUAGCACGCUAGUUUCGCCUUCUAAUCAAAGGGAAGAUUAAGUCACAAAGUUAGGACUCCCCGUUCCCGUCUUGAUGCAUUCCUAUAGGAUUCAUGCAUUCUAUUCAUUCACUAUCACAUACACUUACUUUAUAUUCUAACCCUUUUUCCACAUUCUCACUUCACACUACUUUUACACGUUUUCAUUUAACUACUCACACUCUAUGCCAUAUCACUCGCACACAUGCACUUUAUAUUAUUUUCACAUUAUCAUUCUUUACUCACCUUACCUUGUAAAUACAUUUGCACACCUCCACUUUUCUCACUUCACAUAAACUUACAUUUUCACAUGACAUGCACCCCAUUCAUUUUUACGUCAUUUAGGAUUACGUGUGACCUCUCCAAAGGAUCAUUAUUGGGCUUCACAAUUAAUGUGAUUGGCACCACUCAACCUUUGAAGAGAAAUUUCCCCCAAUACCCCUAGGUCUAGGGUUUUGCAUUCAUAUAGACAUAUCCAACACGCGAUACAUACCUUGGGUAGAAAAAUUAGGAAAAAUUGGUUUAAGUCACGCAACUAGCCUUGGCUAGGUCGAAGGGGUGCCUUGGAUUUUUUAUCCUUGCCUUCCCCUUCGUCAAAUGUGACCCCCGAUCCCUCUUUUUGGUUACGUAGACCCAAAAGUUCUUUAAAAGGGUUUAUUUACUUUUUUUAUUCAAAAACAAAAAACCAUUUUUUGGGUGACUUGGUACACCCUAACCCUAUACCAAGUGGCGACUCCAUUUUUGAUACAAAAAACCCUUUUUGAACUUUAUAUGGCCAAACCGUCGCAUUAUCAAGUCCCAUGGCCUUUUACUUUUCAUUUACACACGUUCACAUUCCAUUACACCACUCACAUCUCACACCACACACACACCACAACUCAUCAUCUUCGAAAAGUGGGGCGCGACAGUUGGCGACUCCACUGGGGAAGCUCCUAAGUGGGUCCGAGCAUUUGACUUAGCCAUUCGUUUCCUUUUUCUACCCUUUUUAUGCAUUGCACUUGGAUAUUAGGGUUGCAUUUUUUUUAUUUUAGGCCUUUUUGCCUCGUGCGCGUAUCCAACUAUUCCCUCACUCACGUACGUGUGAUUGGUUGAUUGGAUGUAUGUUUACUUGUUUAUCUCGCGCUUGCAUUGCAUUUGGGAGGGGGCGUGUCACCUUUAGAGCCUCACGUUGGUUCUCAACCCCUUCCCUCAAAAUAGGGGAGCACUUCAUACGUGCACGUUUACUUGCUUUUAUCCCAUUUUAUUUUGUUUUUCGUGGGCGUUUCCCACACCGCCUUGUAGGAUUAGGAUCGAUUGCCUUGGGUAGGCGGCUGGUGUGCUCUGCGCCCAUAACGCUACCUAAGGGAUCACUCGAGCCACCGAUCAAAGGCCUUGGGAGUGAUGACCCUUUGCCUUUAGGUCUGAAGGCUUGGGAGCCGAAGCUUUAUCGAGUCUAGGCAUUAAUGAACCAAACCUCAUGCAUCCAUGUUAGCAUUUGCCUAGGGUAGAGUCAGCCUCACCCUUUUUAAGCACAAUUAGGCACGAGGGAAGGGGUUCCACCCCUUUUUAUUGGCUUUUAUUGUAUUUCUUUUUCUUAAUUGCUCCCAAUAUGUUAUGUGUAUUACCAAUUGCACUAACCAUUCUUUUGUUUUCUUGGCUUGCAUUCAUAUGCCCUAGCAAUAAGAGGCCCUUUUGGCACUCUUUUAGUGACCUAUCCACUAGAUAACUCACAUGUUUAAAUUUCAGUCAUUAUACUUAAUAAAUACAUUUCAUUUUAGACCUUUUUUCCCCCGAUGCAUUAUUUAUGUCCCUUAGGUCAUAUUUGUCACAUAUUUACAUCGCUUUAAUAAAUGACAUCAUGCAUAAACCCUAGAAAGGGAAUGCCAUUUAGGGGAUCCCGUGUCAGGAAUAAGCCACCUUGUGUCUCGGAUACUUAAUCCAGUGAGACUUGCACGUUUACAUUUUGUACCAUCCAAAGGGGGUAGUGCACAAGGUAAGGUAGGAUCCGAUCAUUUUCAUAGAGUGAUCUUUGGGAUAUGAGCAUCUAAUAAUCACUUUUUGGCCAUUUUAUCAAAAAUUGGUAAAAAUUCCUUGCGUGAAGGACAGUAAUUUGAAGAAAUUCACAAAUGAUUCCUUCUAUUGAGACGAUAAAUAAAUUGAGGCCAAAAUUUGAUUUUUAGAAGCUCAUAGACUAAUGCAUCUCAAUCAUUUUGAAAUCACCAAUGGCCGGACAAUUCAACCAAUCCAUUUUACCCAUUCAUUCAAUAAAUCAUCAAUUCAUUUGAUCAAUUUACCCUUUUUAGGGUCAUCCGGUCGAUUUUGAAUAAAUCGUCAAUUCAUUUGACCAAUUUACCCUUUUUAGGGUCACCUGGUCGAUUUUCAAUAAAUCAUCAAUUCAUUUGAUCAAUUUACCCUUUUUAGGGUCACCUGGUCGAUUUUGAAUAAAUCGUCAAUUCAUUUGACCAAUUUACCCUUUUUAGGGUCAUCCGGUCGAUUUUGAAUAAAUCAUCAAUUCAUUUGACCGAUUUACCCUUUUUAGGAUCGUUCGGCCGAUUUUUGAACAAGUCACUAAUUCAAUUUCAUUCAUUUGGCCAAUUUACCUUUUUUUAGGGCAACCGAGCCGUUUUUUGACCUGUUUCCCUUCUAGGGUAAUCCGGUCGAUUUUCAAUAAAUUGUCAAUUUCAUUUGACCAAUUAGGAUUUCAAUGUCGAAUUCCAAAUUGGGAAAUCUAGUCAAUUUUGAAGAAAACCGUCCAUUGCAUCCAAUCACUUGAUCAAUUAGGGUUUUUGACCCGUAAUUCACUGAGAAAUUUUAUCAACGAAUUCCAAUCUCUUCGAUAGGAGUUCGUCAAGGUCAAACCCAUGCGUUUUGCAAAUCAAAGGUGAUCAAUCUAUUCGGACGUUGUCCUCAUUUUGACAAAUCUCUUGCCACUCCAAUGGCCAAAUUUUUCAAAUUAUUUUUCACUCAAUGAGUUGAUCAGAUCCGUCAGGUAUGGUAUAGUGCUUCCCUAGAGGAUUGCAUUUUCAUGCUAGGCCUACCCUUGGCAUAAAAAGGGUUCCCCCAUAGGACAUGCAUACCGAUUUUUUUUUAUUCUUACUUACUGACUCUGGGUAUUUUUCUUUUUGUUUUCCCCUCCCCCUGCAUUUAUAAAAAUGUUUCAAUAAGGCGAGAAUAUUCUUCUAUAUCUGAUAAUUUUGAUCCAAUAAAGCUUGAAGAUUACAAGUAUUACUUGAUUUUUAGGUAGACAUUGCCGCGAAAGCAUAAAGGGGAAAUUCUAUUUAUUUGAUUUGUUAAUACAUUUUGUUCCAAAAGAAAAGGAGACAAAAAGUGUAUGUGUUGAGCUCUUUACGAGUUUCUCUCUUCUCAUUUGUAUCAUAAUUGAUUGAGCAAUUUUGUUUCAAACUUUUUCAACAAUAAAAUUUUUUGGAUAAUUUUUGUUUUGUGUAUAUUUAUGUACAUUUCAUUCUUUAUUCUUACUCAUUGGAGAUUUCAUGAUGAUUUUUGAGAAAUAAGACCCAAUUUGAGAUUUUUCAACCUAUAGCCUGAAUUUCACAAGUGUGUGCUUCCUAAAAUCCUUACACUCGAUUGGUGUUCCAACCUGUACAAUAAGAGUGCUCAGAAAGAAAGAGAGUGAACGGUCACUCAAAAGGCCCUAUGAGAUACCUUUCUCCUUCACUUAAUUCCAAAAUAAAAUCAGUCACAUUGAUUGAUAAAUUGUAAAUUGGGGUAACUUUUGCUUGAAAAUGUUCAAGGCGUCUAAUCUGGUUCAAUCACAUCUAAGUGAAAGCAAAAAUGUGCAUUAUUCUUAUUUGUUUGGAAAAUUUGGAAUGAUACUUCAAGCAUUCGUUUCAUUACCUGUACAGAUUUUUAUCAUUUGCUCUCCCAUUUGAGCUUCUAAAAGAAUAAUUUCGUUUCAAAUAAGGGUCUUAAUGAUCACUACCCGUCAUUGAAAAAUUUUCAAAUAUCAAAAGAAGAAUGGGUUUUCAAUGACCAUUUCGCUACUUCGGUUGUCAUGAGGUAUAAGAAUGAUACUUUGGCCGUCAGUUCUACAAUCUAAACACUGAUCAUCCCUUGCAUCCUCGUUUGAGCUAAAUUGGUGGUUCUUUUCGAGUGCACAUAUGAUCGCACCCCACAUUGGGGAAGGAGAUUGGGAAAUUUUGAAAAAAGGGAAAAGAAAAGGGGAAAAGCAAAAAAUGCUAGAAUAAGGAGGGAACCGCAAAUUUGGGGAAUUUGAUUCCACUUGGGUUCCAAUUUUGAAAAAAAAAAAGAAAAGAAAAAGAAGAAAACAAGUUCUAUCCGGUGGAUCACUUAUGUUUCAUAGACAUGAAUGAGCAAGGGUCUUCCUCAGUCAGUUAAUUCAGAUACAUGCCAAAAAUUUCCCAUUAAUGAAAAUUUCUUUUCAGAGUUAAUGUAAGGAACGGAAUACAAGUCAGGCCAUCUUCUUUUCCGAUCAAGCAUCUAUCCCUAGUUAUCCCUUUUGAGCAUUCAGAAUGAAAUACUUCGUUUGGCAACCCCUGAGAAUCGCAAACCCCACACUGGGGCAAGUUGGUUUGAAAAAGGAAAAUUUCAAGAAGCGGAAAAGUGAAAAGCCACAAAAUCAAAAGGCAAAGGAAGAAAAGAGAACCUCAGUUCAAAAAUAAACUGGGGCAAAUUUUGUGAAAGUUCGAAAAAAUGGCCGAAGGCCGAAAAAUCAAAAGAAAGAAAAUAAAAGUGAAAAAGCCUCAAUUGAGCAAAAACUGGGGCAAAUUCUGAUUUUACCCUAAAAUAGGGUUGACGCAACAAUGCGAUUUCAGAUUCUUCAAACCACUUUUGAAAUCCGCUUUCAAGCCUUAACUUUUCUAAGCACCCCACCUGACCCCAUUACAAAAGCCAAAAGUCCUGACUUCUGUUCUUUGCAAUGGCCCUGUCAAGAAAAUUUCUGAUGCCGGAAAAUUUUAGCUGUAUUGCUGAAUUGCUUGAGUAUGAGGUUGGCGCUACUCAUGUGAAAACCCAUCAGCUCGAGGGAAAAGAAAAGAGGCAAAAAGCAAAGCAAGAAAAGUAAAUGCAAGGAAAAUGCAAAAAGACUUGACGCUGAAGUCCCUGGGGAAUGAUGAGAAAAUCCAAACAAAGUCUGAAAUCUUUUGAGUUCAAAUAGGGGCAAUUUUGGAAAAAUGUGAUCUUCGGUGCAAUGUCCUUGAAAGUUUUAUUCUUUAGCUAUCGUUUUUCAAGCCAAAUUACAAGCUAAGAAAGUCCAUCGUUGACUUAUUCCUUCAUGACAAUCCAAAGUGAGGAUCAUACUCAUAAGAAAUUCAUCAAAUCAUUUGUGAUCAUAAGGGUAUAACCCGUUUCCACAUGUUUAGCUAUCACUUCUGUCCAUACGUUACAAGCCUAGAAAGCUGGUAUGUUGACUAAGUUUUCUUGAAAAAUAAGGGUGACAAACUCUUUGCUUUCACUAAGAUGUGACAUUGAAUGGAUUACAUACAAUUGGGGCACAAAAAUGAGACAGAUUCUGACCUCUCAUUUUCCUUCAGCCACUUCCAAAUCAAAAAUAAAGUCACUUGAUUGGUCCUGAAAAAUGAGCCAACCAGAAGUGGUGACCCGUUACCCUAAACACCAAUGCUAAAAGUGAGGAAGAAAUCUUCUUGAAUUUGGUGUUACUUCGAGGAAUUCAUCAUGAAAUUUCUGCAUGAGUUUCAAACUUGACGUUUAAAGUUUCUUCACAUUGUUGUAUAUGUGCACUCUUUUCUAAAUUUUAGAAAGUGCGGUUUUUCUUUGUUCAAAUCAAUGGGAAAUCAUCUGAACAAAUUUUUGCAAUUAAGGGAGCCCACACUGGGGCAAAAAUUUUAUUUGUGAGAUUUCAUGAAAUAAGCCCAUACUGGGGCAAAUUUUUUGUAAUACAUUUGAGAUUUGUGUCCAAAAAUCAAAUAAUAACAUUUUUCGAAACAAUCCCGCUGCUCUUUUCCUGGAAUUUAAGUGCAUGUCAUACUUUGAUGAACCCCUUGUACAGGUAUUCAUGAUUCAAAAUGACGAAAGGCAUCCAGUAAGGCGGAAGGCCGAUACUGCAAAGAGAAGCAAGAAGAAGGAGGAAAAAUGGACACUACACUUGGGGCAAAUUAUUUUUUUAAAAUUUUUGAAAAAAGGGAAAAAAGAAGGAAAAAAGAAAAAAAGAGAAAAAACCAAAAAUCAAAUCAAAAAGUCAAAAAUCAAGUUCAAAUUCUUGUUUCUUGAAAAAUCAAAUUUGAUUUCUUGUGGGCGAAGCUCCAAUGCACGCCGCGCAUCAUUCUGUUCCCCCCUUCUCUUGACAUUCCAAAUCAAGUUGGGCCUGGAUUUCGUGCCACCAACAUCAUUUUAUCACGUUGGGCCUGGACUUGGUGCCGCCAACAUCACUUUAUCACGUUGGGCCUGGACUUGGUGCCGCCAACAUCACUUUAUCACGUUGGGCCUGGACUUGGUGCCGCCAACAUCACUUUAUCACGUUGGGCCUGGACUUGGUGCCGCCAACUUCACUUUAUCACGUUGGGCCUGGACUUGGUGCCGCCAACAUCACUUUAUCACGUUGGGCUUGGUUUUCGUGCCACCAACUUCGCUUUGUCACGUUGGGCUUGGAUUUAGUGCCACCAACAUUACAAAAGUCACAUUGGACCGGGUUUUAUCCCGCCAAUCUCGGCAGGACCGGGUCUAAUCCCGCUGACCGCUUACAGGACCGGGUCUAAUCCCGCUGACAGGCAGGACCGGGUCUAAUCCCGCUGACCGCUUACUUCGGCAGGACCGGGUCUAAUCCCGCUGACCGCUCACCUCGGCAGGACCGGGUCUAAUCCCGCUGACCGCUCACCUCGGCAGGACCGGGUCUAAUCCCGCUGACCGCUCACCUCGGCAGGACCGGGUUUUAUCCCGCUGACCGUCCACACCCCGUCGGCCUCAGAUGUUAUCCCACCGACCAAUUCAUCACACUGGGGCAAAUUUUUUAGAUAAUUUUUCAAACAAGUCCUAUACAGUUCUCUAUUUAAUUUUCUGUUCGGGUCUAUCCCAUGGGUCUGUCCCAUCUACAUUUUUAUCCGAGUCUAUCGCAUUUACAUUCCUGUCCGGGUCUAUCCCGUUUACAAUUCUGUUCAGGCCAGUCCCAUGUUUGAAAUUCCUUGUUUAGGUCAGCCCUCCGAAUAGGGGCAACCGAAUGGUACAGGUAAGCAUUUGGUGUCUACUUCUUUGUCUCAAGUUUUUUCAAAACUCAGACAAAGAGGGGCAAACUGUAGACACCAAAAAUUUCAUCGAUUCAGUUUUAGCUUUAUUCAUUCAAUUUUGACUUCCUUUGAUUCAAUUUUUAGUUUUAUUAUUAUUAUUUAUUCUUGUCUCAUAUUUAUUAUUUUUAAUUGAUUGGAGGUUGCAAAUGGUAAUUGAUGUUCAUUCUUAUUUUAAAUGCAUUAAAAUUCAUCAUUUUCUUUUUAAAGCAAUUUUACACUAAAUUUUAGGAAAAUCCCGAAUAAAGAUCCAUUUUAUCUUUUUAAAAUUUGAUUUUUUCUUGCUAAGGCAUUUUGCAAGGUAAUUUUUAAAAAUUAAGCAUGUUAAACAAGUGUGUCAAUUGCAUGUUGAACAAGUGUGCAAAUAAGCAUUAGACAAGUGGUUGAGGAAUGGUAGGACAAGUGUAUAGGGGGUAGCUGUCAAGGACACUUGGGGGGUUUUUUGGGGGGCAUCGGAAAAAAAAGGAAGAAAAAACCCUCGAAGAGGCUUGAAAACAGGGGGAAGAGAAAAGAGCUAAAAACAGGGAGGGGGCUUCGGAGGAAAGGGGAGAGGAAAAACGAAAUCGAAAAAGGAGGGGAGAGUAGGGAAAAAUCUGGGGAGAGUCUGUGGGCUAAGAAAAACAGCGGAGAGAUAGCGGAAAAAAAGGAGAAAAAGAACGGCUGAGGGGAAGGCUAAAAAUCUGAAAAGAGAAGAAGGCUUCGGCUGGGAGAAGCUGGAGUGGAAAAAAUAGAAAAAGGGAGAACGGCUGCGGUUGAGGGCCGAGAGAGUGGAGAGCCGAGGAGGAAAAAUCAGAAAAGGAGGAGAAAAAUCAAGGGCGGCGGAUGAAGGGAAAAGCUGGGAAAAUUAGAAACAGAGAAAGAGAGGAUAGCAGCGGACAAAGAGCUUGCGACUGAGGAAGCAGAGCAGCUGGAACUGCCGUUCGCGGGAAGCUGUUGCCGCCCUCUUCCGUCACGCGCGACGCCAGCUUCAUCGCUUCUUCCAUCAUAGUUCAAGCUCCGCCCUCUGCCGGCACAAACAAGUGGCCAACCGCCCGCCCAAGCAACCAAAUCCGAGAUCAGCACCCGCAAAAUUUUACCAAGAAACAAACGGUAAGCCACCAUCAUCCUUCAAAUUUCAGUUUUCAUGUAAGUUUUCGAAGCGUGUUUUAUUUUUCACGUUGUGGCUUGUAGCCAUUUCUCUGUUGAAUUAUUCACUAAUUGGAAGUAUGUAUGCUUUGAAUGUCGAUUGGACUGGAGUUUUCUUGCAUUUGAUGAAAUUUUGGGUGCUGAUUCAUGUCAAUUGGGCGAGAAAUUGGUGAAGUUUUUUAAUGGCUGUUUGUUGUUCGACAGAAUGCUUCAAUGAAAGUUCGGCCUGAAGAAUGGAUUAAUUUCUGAUUUAUAUACGUUCGACUGUUUCAUGCUUGUCAAAAUAAUUGAUUCGAAUGGGUUUGUUUGGGCGUCCGUUUGUUUUGGCAAUCUGCUCCGCUUCUCGUUUGUUUGGUGUUCCUCUUGUAUGGAUUUAAAUUCAUGACAUAAAAUGGCGUGCGAGGGGAUUCAUGUGAGAGUCAUUUGUUUUGCUUUUGUUUUGUUUUGUUGAUUGGAGUCCGAAGUUGAAUUUUCUGGUUGCAAAGAGGAAUGAAAUAGCAGCGAACGUUGAGCCAAUUUGGGAAGAAGAGGAUUGCUUGAUUAAAUUCAUGAUUCCAGUCCCUCAAUUUCCCUUUCCAUUAUGAUUUAACCCCAGAAUUUUAGGACUUCAUAAUUUUUCCUCCAACACCUUCAUAAGUCCUUCAAUUAGGUCCCUGCUCUUGUUGCAUUUUAACCCCUCAGCUUCCCCUUGUUCUGAUAUGACCCGAAAAGUGGAAAAAGUGCGUUUGUUUCUCCCUUCUAGAUUUAAAUCAUCUUCUAAUAAGCAUGAAUAGUCCUUUUACUAGAUUAAUUCUUGUUUGUAGGUUCUAAUUGUGGUUCAAUAAUUUAUUUUGAUUUUAUCAUGUUGGGUUUAAUGAAACAAGUGCCUUGGGCUAAGAGGUUAUUUUUGUUUGGGUUUAAGAAAGUCGUUUUAGUUUAUUUUGUUUGGUUUUUUGGUUCGGGCUAGAGGGUCAAGGCCCAUCUAUUUGGUUGGCUAAUUUUUGGGCCAGGAUAUUAUACUAGCCCACUUGUUUUCCUUGGACUUUCGAUUGGGCCAAGUUAUCUUGGCCCAAGAAAGGUGAAGAUGGCCCAUUCCCUUUUUGUUUUGGAUUUUCGGUUGGGCUUGUAAGGCUUUGGCCCAAACAAAUAAAGGAAAUGGCCCAAUGGCUUGGUCCAUUAAGAAACCAGAAAACGAUUUUGCAAAUCAGUCCCUGAAUUUCUCCCUAAUUGUAUUGUGGCCCUGGACAUUUUCAACUUCUUUCAAUUCGGUCCUUGCUUUAAUUGCAAAUAGGUCCCUGAACUUUAUUUUUCUUUAAUUUUGACCUCCAAACUUUGUCAAUCUUUGCAAUCAGGUCCUUUCUUCUCUUGACUUCUUAAAUGUGAAUUGUCGACAUGAUUUAAUUGAUUCAAAUUCAUGCUUAUUUUUUAUCCUUUGUGAUUAUUUGCCAAAUAAAUUGGUACCUUGACCUUUUUAUUGUUUUGAAGCUAAUAUCUCAUUUACUCGAUUUCCGUUGCGAGGGAGGUAACUUCUAUAUUUUUGAGUUUAUUUUUUCCUACGUGCUCCUACGUGUUAUGUGAAUAUGCCUGUCUACUUUGCUUUCUUUGCCUUUCUUUAAUUCUUUUCAUUUUUUUUUACUUACUUUUGCUUUUUAUUUAAGUUAUUCAUUAUGGGGUAUGUGUACACCUCUUGGCUUGUAAUAGUUAGGGAUUUAAUUAUUUUAUUCUUUUCCCCCUUUUAGAUUGUAGUGGGGUCUCCCUAAUGUAAUAGAUAGGGUUUGGAGGAGCAUUCAAUGAAGACCUAUCGAAGACUUGUGCCUAGCUAGCAAAUGUAAUAGUUAGGGCUUUAAUUGUCUCAUGUGCCUUGCAUGCUUAGUUGCUACGUGUUAAUUUGCUUUGCUAGGGCCUUGCAUCUAGUCGAGCAUGCAAAAUGUUAUGUGCUAUGUGUUUAUAAGUGUUUGGCAUGUCUACUCGCUUUCCAUAGCCUGAAUAAAUGUGAUGGAUGAAUGUACGUCACCACACUAGUCCAAUGCUAGUUGUGGCUCAUUAUUUCAUUAGGAAUUCAUAGAAAGGGCUAGUCCAACGCUAGACCCAAUAGGAUUUUUCCUUUGUUUUUCAUUAAUGCAUUAUUUGCCUGUUCACUACAUAUCAUGCAUUUUUCCUUAGUUUUAUCAUCUGGCAUGCUCCUCGAUUCCCCUUUCCCCUCACUUUAGGAUUUUUGCAUUUCAUGCUAGUUAUAGGGUUCAUUUGCCUGAAGAGUCCCCUUCUGAUAAGGGAAACGAGCGAGUGUGGCUACUCGAUAGCCUUAGCACGCUAGUUUCGCCUUCUAAUCAAAGGGAAGAUUAAGUCACAAAGUUAGGACUCCCCGUUCCCGUCUUGAUGCAUUCCUAUAGGAUUCAUGCAUUCUAUUCAUUCACUAUCACAUACACUUACUUUAUAUUCUAACCCUUUUUCCACAUUCUCACUUCACACUACUUUUACACGUUUUCAUUUAACUACUCACACUCUAUGCCAUAUCACUCGCACACAUGCACUUUAUAUUAUUUUCACAUUAUCAUUCUUUACUCACCUUACCUUGUAAAUACAUUUGCACACCUCCACUUUUCUCACUUCACAUAAACUUACAUUUUCACAUGACAUGCACCCCAUUCAUUUUUACGUCAUUUAGGAUUACGUGUGACCUCUCCAAAGGAUCAUUAUUGGGCUUCACAAUUAAUGUGAUUGGCACCACUCAACCUUUGAAGAGAAAUUUCCCCCAAUACCCCUAGGUCUAGGGUUUUGCAUUCAUAUAGACAUAUCCAACACGCGAUACAUACCUUGGGUAGAAAAAUUAGGAAAAAUUGGUUUAAGUCACGCAACUAGCCUUGGCUAGGUCGAAGGGGUGCCUUGGAUUUUUUAUCCUUGCCUUCCCCUUCGUCAAAUGUGACCCCCGAUCCCUCUUUUUGGUUACGUAGACCCAAAAGUUCUUUAAAAGGGUUUAUUUACUUUUUUUAUUCAAAAACAAAAAACCAUUUUUUGGGUGACUUGGUACACCCUAACCCUAUACCAAGUGGCGACUCCAUUUUUGAUACAAAAAACCCUUUUUGAACUUUAUAUGGCCAAACCGUCGCAUUAUCAAGUCCCAUGGCCUUUUACUUUUCAUUUACACACGUUCACAUUCCAUUACACCACUCACAUCUCACACCACACACACACCACAACUCAUCAUCUUCGAAAAGUGGGGCGCGACAGUUGGCGACUCCACUGGGGAAGCUCCUAAGUGGGUCCGAGCAUUUGACUUAGCCAUUCGUUUCCUUUUUCUACCCUUUUUAUGCAUUGCACUUGGAUAUUAGGGUUGCAUUUUUUUUAUUUUAGGCCUUUUUGCCUCGUGCGCGUAUCCAACUAUUCCCUCACUCACGUACGUGUGAUUGGUUGAUUGGAUGUAUGUUUACUUGUUUAUCUCGCGCUUGCAUUGCAUUUGGGAGGGGGCGUGUCACCUUUAGAGCCUCACGUUGGUUCUCAACCCCUUCCCUCAAAAUAGGGGAGCACUUCAUACGUGCACGUUUACUUGCUUUUAUCCCAUUUUAUUUUGUUUUUCGUGGGCGUUUCCCACACCGCCUUGUAGGAUUAGGAUCGAUUGCCUUGGGUAGGCGGCUGGUGUGCUCUGCGCCCAUAACGCUACCUAAGGGAUCACUCGAGCCACCGAUCAAAGGCCUUGGGAGUGAUGACCCUUUGCCUUUAGGUCUGAAGGCUUGGGAGCCGAAGCUUUAUCGAGUCUAGGCAUUAAUGAACCAAACCUCAUGCAUCCAUGUUAGCAUUUGCCUAGGGUAGAGUCAGCCUCACCCUUUUUAAGCACAAUUAGGCACGAGGGAAGGGGUUCCACCCCUUUUUAUUGGCUUUUAUUGUAUUUCUUUUUCUUAAUUGCUCCCAAUAUGUUAUGUGUAUUACCAAUUGCACUAACCAUUCUUUUGUUUUCUUGGCUUGCAUUCAUAUGCCCUAGCAAUAAGAGGCCCUUUUGGCACUCUUUUAGUGACCUAUCCACUAGAUAACUCACAUGUUUAAAUUUCAGUCAUUAUACUUAAUAAAUACAUUUCAUUUUAGACCUUUUUUCCCCCGAUGCAUUAUUUAUGUCCCUUAGGUCAUAUUUGUCACAUAUUUACAUCGCUUUAAUAAAUGACAUCAUGCAUAAACCCUAGAAAGGGAAUGCCAUUUAGGGGAUCCCGUGUCAGGAAUAAGCCACCUUGUGUCUCGGAUACUUAAUCCAGUGAGACUUGCACGUUUACAUUUUGUACCAUCCAAAGGGGGUAGUGCACAAAGUAAGGUAGGAUCCGAUCAUUUUCAUAGAGUGAUCUUUGGGAUAUGAGCAUCUAAUAAUCACUUUUUGGCCAUUUUAUCAAAAAUUGGUAAAAAUUCCUUGCGUGAAGGACAGUAAUUUGAAGAAAUUCACAAAUGAUUCCUUCUAUUGAGACGAUAAAUAAAUUGAGGCCAAAAUUUGAUUUUUAGAAGCUCAUAGACUAAUGCAUCUCAAUCAUUUUGAAAUCACCAAUGGCCGGACAAUUCAACCAAUCCAUUUUACCCAUUCAUUCAAUAAAUCAUCAAUUCAUUUGAUCAAUUUACCCUUUUUAGGGUCAUCCGGUCGAUUUUGAAUAAAUCGUCAAUUCAUUUGACCAAUUUACCCUUUUUAGGGUCACCUGGUCGAUUUUCAAUAAAUCAUCAAUUCAUUUGAUCAAUUUACCCUUUUUAGGGUCACCUGGUCGAUUUUGAAUAAAUCGUCAAUUCAUUUGACCAAUUUACCCUUUUUAGGGUCAUCCGGUCGAUUUUGAAUAAAUCAUCAAUUCAUUUGACCGAUUUACCCUUUUUAGGAUCGUUCGGCCGAUUUUUGAACAAGUCACUAAUUCAAUUUCAUUCAUUUGGCCAAUUUACCUUUUUUUAGGGCAACCGAGCCGUUUUUUGACCUGUUUCCCUUCUAGGGUAAUCCGGUCGAUUUUCAAUAAAUUGUCAAUUUCAUUUGACCAAUUAGGAUUUCAAUGUCGAAUUCCAAAUUGGGAAAUCUAGUCAAUUUUGAAGAAAACCGUCCAUUGCAUCCAAUCACUUGAUCAAUUAGGGUUUUUGACCCGUAAUUCACUGAGAAAUUUUAUCAACGAAUUCCAAUCUCUUCGAUAGGAGUUCGUCAAGGUCAAACCCAUGCGUUUUGCAAAUCAAAGGUGAUCAAUCUAUUCGGACGUUGUCCUCAUUUUGACAAAUCUCUUGCCACUCCAAUGGCCAAAUUUUUCAAAUUAUUUUUCACUCAAUGAGUUGAUCAGAUCCGUCAGGUAUGGUAUAGUGCUUCCCUAGAGGAUUGCAUUUUCAUGCUAGGCCUACCCUUGGCAUAAAAAGGGUUCCCCCAUAGGACAUGCAUACCGAUUUUUUUUUAUUCUUACUUACUGACUCUGGGUAUUUUUCUUUUUGUUUUCCCCUCCCCCUGCAUUUAUAAAAAUGUUUCAAUAAGGCGAGAAUAUUCUUCUAUAUCUGAUAAUUUUGAUCCAAUAAAGCUUGAAGAUUACAAGUAUUACUUGAUUUUUAGGUAGACAUUGCCGCGAAAGCAUAAAGGGGAAAUUCUAUUUAUUUGAUUUGUUAAUACAUUUUGUUCCAAAAGAAAAGGAGACAAAAAGUGUAUGUGUUGAGCUCUUUACGAGUUUCUCUCUUCUCAUUUGUAUCAUAAUUGAUUGAGCAAUUUUGUUUCAAACUUUUUCAACAAUAAAAUUUUUUGGAUAAUUUUUGUUUUGUGUAUAUUUAUGUACAUUUCAUUCUUUAUUCUUACUCAUUGGAGAUUUCAUGAUGAUUUUUGAGAAAUAAGACCCAAUUUGAGAUUUUUCAACCUAUAGCCUGAAUUUCACAAGUGUGUGCUUCCUAAAAUCCUUACACUCGAUUGGUGUUCCAACCUGUACAAUAAGAGUGCUCAGAAAGAAAGAGAGUGAACGGUCACUCAAAAGGCCCUAUGAGAUACCUUUCUCCUUCACUUAAUUCCAAAAUAAAAUCAGUCACAUUGAUUGAUAAAUUGUAAAUUGGGGUAACUUUUGCUUGAAAAUGUUCAAGGCGUCUAAUCUGGUUCAAUCACAUCUAAGUGAAAGCAAAAAUGUGCAUUAUUCUUAUUUGUUUGGAAAAUUUGGAAUGAUACUUCAAGCAUUCGUUUCAUUACCUGUACAGAUUUUUAUCAUUUGCUCUCCCAUUUGAGCUUCUAAAAGAAUAAUUUCGUUUCAAAUAAGGGUCUUAAUGAUCACUACCCGUCAUUGAAAAAUUUUCAAAUAUCAAAAGAAGAAUGGGUUUUCAAUGACCAUUUCGCUACUUCGGUUGUCAUGAGGUAUAAGAAUGAUACUUUGGCCGUCAGUUCUACAAUCUAAACACUGAUCAUCCCUUGCAUCCUCGUUUGAGCUAAAUUGGUGGUUCUUUUCGAGUGCACAUAUGAUCGCACCCCACAUUGGGGAAGGAGAUUGGGAAAUUUUGAAAAAAGGGAAAAGAAAAGGGGAAAAGCAAAAAAUGCUAGAAUAAGGAGGGAACCGCAAAUUUGGGGAAUUUGAUUCCACUUGGGUUCCAAUUUUGAAAAAAAAAAAGAAAAGAAAAAGAAGAAAACAAGUUCUAUCCGGUGGAUCACUUAUGUUUCAUAGACAUGAAUGAGCAAGGGUCUUCCUCAGUCAGUUAAUUCAGAUACAUGCCAAAAAUUUCCCAUUAAUGAAAAUUUCUUUUCAGAGUUAAUGUAAGGAACGGAAUACAAGUCAGGCCAUCUUCUUUUCCGAUCAAGCAUCUAUCCCUAGUUAUCCCUUUUGAGCAUUCAGAAUGAAAUACUUCGUUUGGCAACCCCUGAGAAUCGCAAACCCCACACUGGGGCAAGUUGGUUUGAAAAAGGAAAAUUUCAAGAAGCGGAAAAGUGAAAAGCCACAAAAUCAAAAGGCAAAGGAAGAAAAGAGAACCUCAGUUCAAAAAUAAACUGGGGCAAAUUUUGUGAAAGUUCGAAAAAAUGGCCGAAGGCCGAAAAAUCAAAAGAAAGAAAAUAAAAGUGAAAAAGCCUCAAUUGAGCAAAAACUGGGGCAAAUUCUGAUUUUACCCUAAAAUAGGGUUGACGCAACAAUGCGAUUUCAGAUUCUUCAAACCACUUUUGAAAUCCGCUUUCAAGCCUUAACUUUUCUAAGCACCCCACCUGACCCCAUUACAAAAGCCAAAAGUCCUGACUUCUGUUCUUUGCAAUGGCCCUGUCAAGAAAAUUUCUGAUGCCGGAAAAUUUUAGCUGUAUUGCUGAAUUGCUUGAGUAUGAGGUUGGCGCUACUCAUGUGAAAACCCAUCAGCUCGAGGGAAAAGAAAAGAGGCAAAAAGCAAAGCAAGAAAAGUAAAUGCAAGGAAAAUGCAAAAAGACUUGACGCUGAAGUCCCUGGGGAAUGAUGAGAAAAUCCAAACAAAGUCUGAAAUCUUUUGAGUUCAAAUAGGGGCAAUUUUGGAAAAAUGUGAUCUUCGGUGCAAUGUCCUUGAAAGUUUUAUUCUUUAGCUAUCGUUUUUCAAGCCAAAUUACAAGCUAAGAAAGUCCAUCGUUGACUUAUUCCUUCAUGACAAUCCAAAGUGAGGAUCAUACUCAUAAGAAAUUCAUCAAAUCAUUUGUGAUCAUAAGGGUAUAACCCGUUUCCACAUGUUUAGCUAUCACUUCUGUCCAUACGUUACAAGCCUAGAAAGCUGGUAUGUUGACUAAGUUUUCUUGAAAAAUAAGGGUGACAAACUCUUUGCUUUCACUAAGAUGUGACAUUGAAUGGAUUACAUACAAUUGGGGCACAAAAAUGAGACAGAUUCUGACCUCUCAUUUUCCUUCAGCCACUUCCAAAUCAAAAAUAAAGUCACUUGAUUGGUCCUGAAAAAUGAGCCAACCAGAAGUGGUGACCCGUUACCCUAAACACCAAUGCUAAAAGUGAGGAAGAAAUCUUCUUGAAUUUGGUGUUACUUCGAGGAAUUCAUCAUGAAAUUUCUGCAUGAGUUUCAAACUUGACGUUUAAAGUUUCUUCACAUUGUUGUAUAUGUGCACUCUUUUCUAAAUUUUAGAAAGUGCGGUUUUUCUUUGUUCAAAUCAAUGGGAAAUCAUCUGAACAAAUUUUUGCAAUUAAGGGAGCCCACACUGGGGCAAAAAUUUUAUUUGUGAGAUUUCAUGAAAUAAGCCCAUACUGGGGCAAAUUUUUUGUAAUACAUUUGAGAUUUGUGUCCAAAAAUCAAAUAAUAACAUUUUUCGAAACAAUCCCGCUGCUCUUUUCCUGGAAUUUAAGUGCAUGUCAUACUUUGAUGAACCCCUUGUACAGGUAUUCAUGAUUCAAAAUGACGAAAGGCAUCCAGUAAGGCGGAAGGCCGAUACUGCAAAGAGAAGCAAGAAGAAGGAGGAAAAAUGGACACUACACUUGGGGCAAAUUAUUUUUUUAAAAUUUUUGAAAAAAGGGAAAAAAGAAGGAAAAAAGAAAAAAAGAGAAAAAACCAAAAAUCAAAUCAAAAAGUCAAAAAUCAAGUUCAAAUUCUUGUUUCUUGAAAAAUCAAAUUUGAUUUCUUGUGGGCGAAGCUCCAAUGCACGCCGCGCAUCAUUCUGUUCCCCCCUUCUCUUGACAUUCCAAAUCAAGUUGGGCCUGGAUUUCGUGCCACCAACAUCAUUUUAUCACGUUGGGCCUGGACUUGGUGCCGCCAACAUCACUUUAUCACGUUGGGCCUGGACUUGGUGCCGCCAACAUCACUUUAUCACGUUGGGCCUGGACUUGGUGCCGCCAACUUCACUUUAUCACGUUGGGCCUGGAUUUGGUGCCGCCAACAUCACUUUAUCACGUUGGGCCUGGACUUGGUGCCGCCAACUUCACUUUAUCACGUUGGGCCUGGACUUGGUGCCGCCAACAUCACUUUAUCACGUUGGGCUUGGUUUUCGUGCCACCAACUUCGCUUUGUCACGUUGGGCUUGGAUUUAGUGCCACCAACAUUACAAAAGUCACAUUGGGACCGGGUUUUAUCCCGCCAAUCUCGGCAGGACCGGGUCUAAUCCCGCUGACCGCUUACUUCGGCAGGACCGGGUCUAAUCCCGCUGACCGCUUACUUCGGCAGGACCGGGUCUAAUCCCGCUGACCGCUCACCUCGGCAGGACCGGGUCUAAUCCCGCUGACCGCUUACUUCGGCAGGACCGGGUCUAAUCCCGCUGACCGCUCACCUCGGCAGGACCGGGUUUUAUCCCGCUGACCGUCCACACCCCGUCGGCCUCAGAUGUUAUCCCACCGACCAAUUCAUCACACUGGGGCAAAUUUUUUAGAUAAUUUUUCAAACAAGUCCUAUACAGUUCUCUAUUUAAUUUUCUGUUCGGGUCUAUCCCAUGGGUCUGUCCCAUCUACAUUUUUAUCCGAGUCUAUCGCAUUUACAUUCCUGUCCGGGUCUAUCCCGUUUACAAUUCUGUUCAGGCCAGUCCCAUGUUUGAAAUUCCUUGUUUAGGUCAGCCCUCCGAAUAGGGGCAACCGAAUGGUACAGGUAAGCAUUUGGUGUCUACUUCUUUGUCUCAAGUUUUUUCAAAACUCAGACAAAGAGGGGCAAACUGUAGACACCAAAAAUUUCAUCGAUUCAGUUUUAGCUUUAUUCAUUCAAUUUUGACUUCCUUUGAUUCAAUUUUUAGUUUUAUUAUUAUUAUUUAUUCUUGUCUCAUAUUUAUUAUUUUUAAUUGAUUGGAGGUUGCAAAUGGUAAUUGAUGUUCAUUCUUAUUUUAAAUGCAUUAAAAUUCAUCAUUUUCUUUUUAAAGCAAUUUUACACUAAAUUUUAGGAAAAUCCCGAAUAAAGAUCCAUUUUAUCUUUUUAAAAUUUGAUUUUUUCUUGCUAAGGCAUUUUGCAAGGUAAUUUUUAAAAAUUAAGCAUGUUAAACAAGUGUGUCAAUUGCAUGUUGAACAAGUGUGCAAAUAAGCAUUAGACAAGUGGUUGAGGAAUGGUAGGACAAGUGUAUAGGGGGUAGCUGUCAAGGACACUUGGGGGGUUUUUUGGGGGGCAUCGGAAAAAAAAGGAAGAAAAAACCCUCGAAGAGGCUUGAAAACAGGGGGAAGAGAAAAGAGCUAAAAACAGGGAGGGGGCUUCGGAGGAAAGGGGAGAGGAAAAACGAAAUCGAAAAAGGAGGGGAGAGUAGGGAAAAAUCUGGGGAGAGUCUGUGGGCUAAGAAAAACAGCGGAGAGAUAGCGGAAAAAAAGGAGAAAAAGAACGGCUGAGGGGAAGGCUAAAAAUCUGAAAAGAGAAGAAGGCUUCGGCUGGGAGAAGCUGGAGUGGAAAAAAUAGAAAAAGGGAGAACGGCUGCGGUUGAGGGCCGAGAGAGUGGAGAGCCGAGGAGGAAAAAUCAGAAAAGGAGGAGAAAAAUCAAGGGCGGCGGAUGAAGGGAAAAGCUGGGAAAAUUAGAAACAGAGAAAGAGAGGAUAGCAGCGGACAAAGAGCUUGCGACUGAGGAAGCAGAGCAGCUGGAACUGCCGUUCGCGGGAAGCUGUUGCCGCCCUCUUCCGUCACGCGCGACGCCAGCUUCAUCGCUUCUUCCAUCAUAGUUCAAGCUCCGCCCUCUGCCGGCACAAACAAGUGGCCAACCGCCCGCCCAAGCAACCAAAUCCGAGAUCAGCACCCGCAAAAUUUUACCAAGAAACAAACGGUAAGCCACCAUCAUCCUUCAAAUUUCAGUUUUCAUGUAAGUUUUCGAAGCGUGUUUUAUUUUUCACGUUGUGGCUUGUAGCCAUUUCUCUGUUGAAUUAUUCACUAAUUGGAAGUAUGUAUGCUUUGAAUGUCGAUUGGACUGGAGUUUUCUUGCAUUUGAUGAAAUUUUGGGUGCUGAUUCAUGUCAAUUGAGCGAGAAAUUGGUGAAGUUUUUUAAUGGCUGUUUGUUGUUCGACAGAAUGCUUCAAUGAAAGUUCGGCCUGAAGAAUGGAUUAAUUUCUGAUUUAUAUACGUUCGACUGUUUCAUGCUUGUCAAAAUAAUUGAUUCGAAUGGGUUUGUUUGGGCGUCCGUUUGUUUUGGCAAUCUGCUCCGCUUCUCGUUUGUUUGGUGUUCCUCUUGUAUGGAUUUAAAUUCAUGACAUAAAAUGGCGUGCGAGGGGAUUCAUGUGAGAGUCAUUUGUUUUGCUUUUGUUUUGUUUUGUUGAUUGGAGUCCGAAGUUGAAUUUUCUGGUUGCAAAGAGGAAUGAAAUAGCAGCGAACGUUGAGCCAAUUUGGGAAGAAGAGGAUUGCUUGAUUAAAUUCAUGAUUCCAGUCCCUCAAUUUCCCUUUCCAUUAUGAUUUAACCCCAGAAUUUUAGGACUUCAUAAUUUUUCCUCCAACACCUUCAUAAGUCCUUCAAUUAGGUCCCUGCUCUUGUUGCAUUUUAACCCCUCAGCUUCCCCUUGUUCUGAUAUGACCCGAAAAGUGGAAAAAGUGCGUUUGUUUCUCCCUUCUAGAUUUAAAUCAUCUUCUAAUAAGCAUGAAUAGUCCUUUUACUAGAUUAAUUCUUGUUUGUAGGUUCUAAUUGUGGUUCAAUAAUUUAUUUUGAUUUUAUCAUGUUGGGUUUAAUGAAACAAGUGCCUUGGGCUAAGAGGUUAUUUUUGUUUGGGUUUAAGAAAGUCGUUUUAGUUUAUUUUGUUUGGUUUUUUGGUUCGGGCUAGAGGGUCAAGGCCCAUCUAUUUGGUUGGCUAAUUUUUGGGCCAGGAUAUUAUACUAGCCCACUUGUUUUCCUUGGACUUUCGAUUGGGCCAAGUUAUCUUGGCCCAAGAAAGGUGAAGAUGGCCCAUUCCCUUUUUGUUUUGGAUUUUCGGUUGGGCUUGUAAGGCUUUGGCCCAAACAAAUAAAGGAAAUGGCCCAAUGGCUUGGUCCAUUAAGAAACCAGAAAACGAUUUUGCAAAUCAGUCCCUGAAUUUCUCCCUAAUUGUAUUGUGGCCCUGGACAUUUUCAACUUCUUUCAAUUCGGUCCUUGCUUUAAUUGCAAAUAGGUCCCUGAACUUUAUUUUUCUUUAAUUUUGACCUCCAAACUUUGUCAAUCUUUGCAAUCAGGUCCUUUCUUCUCUUGACUUCUUAAAUGUGAAUUGUCGACAUGAUUUAAUUGAUUCAAAUUCAUGCUUAUUUUUUAUCCUUUGUGAUUAUUUGCCAAAUAAAUUGGUACCUUGACCUUUUUAUUGUUUUGAAGCUAAUAUCUCAUUUACUCGAUUUCCGUUGCGAGGGAGGUAACUUCUAUAUUUUUGAGUUUAUUUUUUCCUACGUGCUCCUACGUGUUAUGUGAAUAUGCCUGUCUACUUUGCUUUCUUUGCCUUUCUUUAAUUCUUUUCAUUUUUUUUUACUUACUUUUGCUUUUUAUUUAAGUUAUUCAUUAUGGGGUAUGUGUACACCUCUUGGCUUGUAAUAGUUAGGGAUUUAAUUAUUUUAUUCUUUUCCCCCUUUUAGAUUGUAGUGGGGUCUCCCUAAUGUAAUAGAUAGGGUUUGGAGGAGCAUUCAAUGAAGACCUAUCGAAGACUUGUGCCUAGCUAGCAAAUGUAAUAGUUAGGGCUUUAAUUGUCUCAUGUGCCUUGCAUGCUUAGUUGCUACGUGUUAAUUUGCUUUGCUAGGGCCUUGCAUCUAGUCGAGCAUGCAAAAUGUUAUGUGCUAUGUGUUUAUAAGUGUUUGGCAUGUCUACUCGCUUUCCAUAGCCUGAAUAAAUGUGAUGGAUGAAUGUACGUCACCACACUAGUCCAAUGCUAGUUGUGGCUCAUUAUUUCAUUAGGAAUUCAUAGAAAGGGCUAGUCCAACGCUAGACCCAAUAGGAUUUUUCCUUUGUUUUUCAUUAAUGCAUUAUUUGCCUGUUCACUACAUAUCAUGCAUUUUUCCUUAGUUUUAUCAUCUGGCAUGCUCCUCGAUUCCCCUUUCCCCUCACUUUAGGAUUUUUGCAUUUCAUGCUAGUUAUAGGGUUCAUUUGCCUGAAGAGUCCCCUUCUGAUAAGGGAAACGAGCGAGUGUGGCUACUCGAUAGCCUUAGCACGCUAGUUUCGCCUUCUAAUCAAAGGGAAGAUUAAGUCACAAAGUUAGGACUCCCCGUUCCCGUCUUGAUGCAUUCCUAUAGGAUUCAUGCAUUCUAUUCAUUCACUAUCACAUACACUUACUUUAUAUUCUAACCCUUUUUCCACAUUCUCACUUCACACUACUUUUACACGUUUUCAUUUAACUACUCACACUCUAUGCCAUAUCACUCGCACACAUGCACUUUAUAUUAUUUUCACAUUAUCAUUCUUUACUCACCUUACCUUGUAAAUACAUUUGCACACCUCCACUUUUCUCACUUCACAUAAACUUACAUUUUCACAUGACAUGCACCCCAUUCAUUUUUACGUCAUUUAGGAUUACGUGUGACCUCUCCAAAGGAUCAUUAUUGGGCUUCACAAUUAAUGUGAUUGGCACCACUCAACCUUUGAAGAGAAAUUUCCCCCAAUACCCCUAGGUCUAGGGUUUUGCAUUCAUAUAGACAUAUCCAACACGCGAUACAUACCUUGGGUAGAAAAAUUAGGAAAAAUUGGUUUAAGUCACGCAACUAGCCUUGGCUAGGUCGAAGGGGUGCCUUGGAUUUUUUAUCCUUGCCUUCCCCUUCGUCAAAUGUGACCCCCGAUCCCUCUUUUUGGUUACGUAGACCCAAAAGUUCUUUAAAAGGGUUUAUUUACUUUUUUUAUUCAAAAACAAAAAACCAUUUUUUGGGUGACUUGGUACACCCUAACCCUAUACCAAGUGGCGACUCCAUUUUUGAUACAAAAAACCCUUUUUGAACUUUAUAUGGCCAAACCGUCGCAUUAUCAAGUCCCAUGGCCUUUUACUUUUCAUUUACACACGUUCACAUUCCAUUACACCACUCACAUCUCACACCACACACACACCACAACUCAUCAUCUUCGAAAAGUGGGGCGCGACAGUGCAAAAAUAAUUAUUUUCUCUGAUCAUGCAGCCUUGAGGUACUUGUUAGUGAAGAAGGAUGCAAAACCAAGGCUCAUAAGGUGGGUUUUACUUCUGUAAGAGUUCAAUUUAGAGAUUAAGGAUAAGAGUGGGGCCGAGAACUUGAUGGCUGAUUAUUUGAGGCGUUUUCUUACGAAUAAGGAAGAUCUGUCAUUGAGAGAAUUGUUUUUCGAGGAGCAGUUACUAGCCAUUAAUUCGUCAGUACCUUGGUAUACUGAUGUUGUCAAUUUUUUGGUAACAAAUCAAUUACCUGCAGAUUGACCAAAGGCUAAGAGAGAUAAAUUGAGAAGUGAUGCCAAAUACUAUAUUUGGGAUGGCCCUUACCUGUGGAGGCAAUGCUCGGAUCAAGUGAUAAGAAGGUGUGUAAGUGCAGGUGAGUUCCAUUCUAUUUUAACUUUUUGUCAUUCAUUUGUACGUGGAGGGCACUUUAGACCAAAGCGAACAGCUCGUAAGGUGUUGGAGAGUGGUUUUUAUUGGCUUACUCUGUUUAAGGAUGCAUAUUUAUUUUGUAAAUCUUGUGAUAGGUGUCAAAGGGUGGGGAAUAUUUUUCGUAGAGACCAAAUGAUUCAAACUCGCAUGUUGUUUGUUGAAAUUUUUUAUGUCUGUGGUAUAGAUUUCAUGGGUCCCUUUCCCUCGUCUUUUGGUUUCUUAUACAUUUUACUUUGCUGUCGAUUAUAUUUCUAAAUGGAUGGAGGCAAAGGUCACCCGGACUAAUGAUUCGAGAGUGGUUGCAGAAUUUAUAAAGUCUAACAUUUUUUGUCCGCUUUGGAAUGCCUAGAGCUGUAGUUAGUGACAGGAGCACUCAUUUUUGCAAUAAAACGAUCGUUGCCUUGUUCCGUAAAUAUGGCGUACUCCACCAAAUAUCCACACCCUAUCAUCCGCAGACGAAUGGUUAGGCCGAAGUGUCGAAUAGGGAGAUUAAGUCAAUUUUGGAGAAGAUGGGGUGGCCUGAUAGAAAGGAUUGGAACUUGAAGUUGGAAGAUGCUCUAUGGGCUUACCGCACCGUGUAUAAAAUACCAAUUGGAACGUCCCCAUACAGAUUAGUCUUCGGGAAGCCGUGCCACCUCCCAAUAGAAUUUGAACACAAGAAAUUUUGGGCAAUUGAGCGGUGCAACAUGGACCUUGUGGAUGCCGGGGGACAUAGAAAGCUCCAAUUACAAGAGUUGGAAGAAUUAAGGAAUGAAGUCUAUGAGAACGCAACAAUUUAUAAAGAGAAGAGCAAAGUCUUUCACGACUAACAAGUCUCAAGGAAGUCAUUUGUAGUAAGGCAAAACGUCCCCCUAUAUCACUCGAGAUUUAAGUUUUUUUCCGGUAAGUUGCGUUCGCGUUGGAUUGGUUCAUUUGUCAUUUCUAAUAUUUUUCAUUAUGGUGCAGUGGAAAUCCAAAGUUUGAAAAUUGAGAAGAAGUUUGUGGUAUAUGGUCAACAUUUUAAACCCUAUUAUGAGAGGUUUAAUAGUGAGCAAGUGGAUGUCAUAUAUGUUGAUGAUCCAAAUUGUGUGGCUUAACUAGCUAUUACUGUGUCUAGCCAAAAACAUUAAAGAAAGACGCUACUUGGAAGGCAAUCCAAGGAUUUCAAUUGUGUUUUAUUUCAUAUUUGUGUAUUCAAGAUCAGUGGAUUUAGGUUCCUAUUGACAAACAAUCUGUAUUGUACGUCAUGGGUGUUUCUGUGCAGUUUUAUUCUAGGUUGGGGGCACAAAUUUGUGGGCAAGAGACUUCAUGUUACAAGGCGUGCUCGCGCCUUGUAUUCACCGCACAUGGACAUUUGUAAAAUUUGGUGAACAGAGGACUUACACCCCCAAGGCAUGCCCACGCCGCACAGCAGAUCGUGUCGAACAUAUUACAAUGGGAUGGGCAGACAGAGUCAAACGUGACCAGGACCUUCUCUAACCCCACUUUUCUACUUUUCUCUUUUCUUGUCUUGACUGGUCUUUUCAUUUUUUUUUGUCUUAGCCUCCCCUAGUUUUCUCCCAUCUUUGCUGAAAUCUCAGAGGCCACCGCCACUGCACACCUGCUCCGUUGAUGCCGCUGUCUCCACUAUCUGCGGUCAAGCUCCGGCCGCCAUCAUGCACGCUGUCCGGGCGCACAUCGGCAUCGCCAUAUGCGCCUCGCCGACGCUGCUCAUGCACGUCUCAUGCCGCACGCCAACGCCUCCGUACUUCCCUUCCUCGCCGUAGCGCGCCACCACCGUAGGCGCCAUCAGCUCUACCUAGGGCGCCACACCAAUCAUCGACCGCUCGCGCCCCGCGAUAUCUCACUGUUCCCCGCCGUCGCGACUGCUGCCCUCCGCCAUCGUCGUCAUUGAGGCUCCACUUCUUCCUCUCUGUGCACCACCAACGCUUGCUCCUUCCACGCCACCGCGCCGACCGCCGACUCACCCCUGACGCCCUUGCAGUCGUACCGACCGUCGCUUCCACCGGGGUCCCCUCCAGCAUGACAAAGUGGUACCCCUAAUUCAUUUCUUGCCAUUACUGCUUAAAAUCUGAAAUUGUUUCUAUGCGAUAUUACUCUAUUGUUUGAGCUGAGCUUGCUGAACCUCUGAGACUUUCAUAUGUGUUCUUUGCUUCGCGGUUGAAUUGCUGUGAUUGGUUGUUGGUGUUGGUGUAGAAUUGUUGUGGGGUGCUGAGGUUGUUGUUGUUUAUUUUGCUUUCGAAUUGGUUGUCGAGGGUUUGAUAGGUGAAGCACGUGGCGCAGUAUCAAUUCUGGUUUAAUGUUGAGUGCAUUGUUGACCAGUUAUUUUAGGAAUCUGUUUGUCUUUUUGCCUUGUUGUUGUGGUGGUGGGGUAAUUAUAUUUUUCUUUGCUAUUGGACUGUUGACUGUUGAGUGACACCUAUUGACUGUGGUCCCCUGUCCCCAUUUGGUGGUUGCUUCACUGUUUCUGUGCUUAUUCGUAUUUGUCCUGUGGCCUCCAAAUGCCUUCGAAAAAGCGCGUGUUCAGACACCCACUUCAUCUGGUCCAUCUAAGUCCCAACCUCGUAAGAGGCGAGCCCAAUUCAACCCCCCACUCGAUCCCGUUUAGGUCUCUCUAAAAGUACUAUAUCUCCUGGGACAUGGGGGGAACCUACCACUAACCUUACACAGGAACAAAAGGACCGAUUGACUAGCUUGAUGCCACGUCCUUUUGCUCCGUGUAAAUGUUUCCAUGCCCCAACCCUGGAUCAUUUGCAAAUUGCACGAGAAGUUGAACAGUUGUUCUCAGCAAUUGGUUGGCAGUGGUAUCUGGUCAUCGACUAUCCUACAUUUGAGGAGCUAUGUUAUGAAUUCUACUCCACUUUUGAGUUCAAUAAAAAUGAAUUCAUCACUUUGGAUGAGCGGGGGUGAUUACAUUUAGAUUAAGGGGUACCCCACAAGAUUUGUCCAUUAAUGACUUUAAUCUGAUUUUGGGGUUUUUCAGUGAAGAGACCCUUUCCUCCGGGACGUAUAUCAACAGUGCGUGUGAUUAUACCAGACCCUUUGCUAGUGAAUAUAUUGACAUAUGGAGGGAGUAGUUCACGGACCCUCAACUCUAUGAUCCGAGUCAGUCCAAGGCCUCUCAUCUUAAGAAUCCGAUCUUGAAGGUUAUCCACAGGUUCUUGGCCUACAAUUUCUCGGGUCAGAAGAACUCUUCCGGCACCCUUGCCAAGGUUGAAUUCUAUUUUCUUUGGUGUAUGCGCAACAAAGUACAUGUCGACUUUGGGUGUUGGGUGACCACUCAAAUGCAAUCCGUCAUUCAAAAGCGACAUAAGUAGGUGAUUAUGGAUUCGCUCAUUACUCACUUGGCCGUUCGGUUGGGAUUGCUUGACCUCGACAAAGAACACAAGUUCGCUCUAACUUGCGAGAUUGAGCCAUUGGAUUUGCGUAGCUUAGAAAGGAUGGGGGUUAUUUUCAAAGUAGGAGAUGUAUAUCAGAUGACGCUUCCUGGCGAUGGCAGGCUACAACCCCGGGUUCCUCCUACUAUUCCCCCUACUGGUUCACCAACCCGCACAGAUCAAGUGGGUCCGUCCUCCUACCAUGCUCCCCCUGCUUGGGAUUUCCAAUACCGUGCCCUCCAAGAUUCUAUUCGUGAACUAGGCGAGCUAGUUGUGGGACUGGAUGGCCGUCUUGCAGCGUUGCAAGUUUUUUCCCGUAUUCAGACAAAGAAUCAGGCAGCUUUCUUUGCUUAGAUUGGAUUCUAGCUGCCUCAUCCUCCUCCCCCUUAGUGUUUCGCUGCGUCGUCUCGGCUGUCAGGGAAGUUUCACCCCUUUACACUUACACACUAUUUAUUUUUGCUACAUUGAAGACAAUGUCGAUUUUAGGUGUGGGAGGGAUGGUUUCUAUUAUUUCUUUUUUGCUUGAAAAGAGAAAAAAAAGAAAUAAAAAAAAGAAAAAGAAAGAGAGGAAAAAAUGAAACAAAAAAAAAAGUAUAGUUAGUUGACUUCUUUAGUUCUAUAUUUGUUAAUUGCUAGAGCAUGUUGCUAUGAUGGAUUGCACAAUCAAGGUGCACGUGUAUGUAUCAUUUAUGCUAACUAUGUACUCUACUUUUCCUAGCCAAUGUAGCUGAGUGAUGAAUAUGCUGGACUUGACCCAUUCUUGAAACUUUUGGGAGUUUUUGAGCAGUGCACGAGCACAUUACUCUCGUUUGCUUCGUUUGUGUUGUUGAGUGGGUAUCACACAUGGUAUUAACAUUCUAGAACUUGCUAUUUUAUACAUGUCAAAGCCACAUCUUGUUGAACUGGAUGCAUUUGAAAUGAUAAAGGCAUUUAGGAUUUAACUUUCUUUAAUUUUCUACAAACCAUACCUUCAUCUUGUCUCCCAAUAGUGAAUCAAUUUGAGCUUUUAUUCUUCUCCUUUGUUUGUUAGCCGUGUUUGAUAACCCAGGACUUUUUUUUUUGACUUUCUUGUCCAACCUUGUGUCGUUAAGAGAUGUCUGAAUUUCAUUGUUUGUGCAAGGCAAAUAAAUUUAGGGUCGCAAGUGUUGUUAGAAUAGAAGUUGUAUGGUGUUGGUUCUGUGCAUCUGAGAUCGAAAAGAAAAAGAAAAAAAAGACGAGAAAAAGAGAAAAAAGAAGGAAAAAAAUGUCUACAAACUGGUGAGCAUGGGAUUCUGCUUACAGGGCGUGCCAUGCCUUGCAAGACGCCCUUUCAAAAAAAAACAGAAAGAGAGAGAAAAGAGUUUCGACACUUGCGCAGUUGGUAUAGCAAAUGGAAAUGCCUUGCUUGUGGAAGUUCUCCAGUAAAGCGUUGAGGUUAUGUAGUGGAUAUCGGACAUUAUCUUGACACAGUGCACCCUAUCUUUACCUUCUUAUCCCGCUUUGUUGGCCUAAUCAGCAACAUCCCUCAGAUUCCGGCUCGAAGGGACUAACCGCCCAACUCGUGGCACCCAGGGGUGCAGCCCCUCAUGCUGGCCAAGCGUGGUACGAUGCUUUUCGCUGCUAUUGUGGUUAAGGAAAUAAAGUUACAUCUUCACUAACAGCUAUAGCUUUUGGUGCAAUGGUAAGCGCUUGAUCCUGACAAGUGGUAUCGGAGCGAGGUCGCAGGUUCGAGUCUCCCUGGUUAUUGUUGGGGGAGGAAAUGUUGGCCUAAUCAGCAACAUUCCUCAGAUCCCGGCUCGAAGGGACAGCCCGUGGCACCCAGGGAUACAGUCCCUCAUGCUGGCCGAGCGUGGUACGGUGCUUUGCGCUGCCAUUGUGGUUAAGGAAAUAAAGUUGCGCUUUCACUAAUAGCUAUAACUUUUGGUGCAAUGGUAAGCGCUUGAUCCUGACACGCUUUUCAUCCAAGCCCCAUUACAACCCUAUUAAAGUCCCUUUGAUUUAUGUAUUGAGUUCAUUUUUGAAUGGUAGAGAUGUGAUAAAUGUGCAAGCCUAUGGUAAUGUCAUUCCGUGGUGUUGAUUUGAGCGUUCCUGGUAUCUAUACAUUUUCUUGAAAGUGAUGAGUAUUACUGCUCAUACUCUUUGGAUAACUACCUGUCCGGUGUGCUCUAACUUUGGCGACAUUGUCAGGAAUGCAGGAUGCUUGUGUUAGUGUAGAUCACCGCAUAGUAGUUGCUAUUGUGAUUGAACUUCUGAUCUUCGAAAUGCUUGAGAACAAGCAUUGCCUAGGUGUGGAGGGAUUUGAUAGAGCAAUGUUUGGGCAUCUUAUGUGCUGUUAUGUGGUCAUAAUUUUGGCUACUUAUUAUGCUAAAUAUUGAAAUUUUGCUCAUAUUUGAUAUUUGUGUAAAUUAUAGGCGGUUGGUGUCAAAAAGUGUCUCUGAAGGUGAAUUUCCACAAGACUUUUUAUUUCAGGGUGUGCCCACGCCAGAAACUGUAGAAGAGACGCCUCAAAGUCAGACCGCGGGACUAACUAACUAACUAAACUCAUCCUUAUUCCUGCGGGAUGCGGUUGGAAGUGCGUCAAAACAAAAAGACGGCAAUUUCCAGCGAAUUUGUGAUAGGGUAUUAAUUGUUAGUAAUUUUAUUGUUAAUUUUUUCCUUUGUCCUUACCAAAUAUUGUUUUAAAUUGUUAAUAUAUACUUGUAUUUGGUAUUUGGACCUAUCUACAGGAAGUGGAACUAAAAAGUGCUAAAAAGGGGGGACCUUUUGGAGAGAAUUGCUCCACACGUGGGAGACUUCAAAAAGCUUCACGAACCUGGCCCACAGGAUACUAAGCAACGGACUUCCUUUUCUUUUUGCUGAUAAAGAGUUGCUGACUAGGAGUCUUCCUAUCAAAAGGAAACGAAAAAAGUGGAAUUCGGAGAGCUUUCUUUUUGUACCUUUUCUUUCAAUUCGGCAGGGACAACGUAGGGAGCAUUAGUCAUUGUUUAAGAGACAGUUUAGUUUUCUUUCUUUUCUUUUUCAUGCGUAAGUCUUGUUCGAUAAAAGUCUCGACUGGAGAAAUAUCGUUUAUUUCUUGAUUAUCUAGUGAAAAACGUGAUGCCUUUGCAAUUAAUUAAUUUGCGUGGAGAUUUACUGAUGCGGCGUGGUUAAGUUUUUCAUCUAGUCAAGGAUCAAUGCGACAAUGCAAUCCCUAAUAUCCGUGAGAUCGAAUUAAUUUUCAUGCAUUCCUUAAUUUGUUAAUAUUUGCACGUUGUCUGCUUGAAUUUUCAUGGGAUUAUUUUGUUAAUUGAAUGUCAAGGGCCCGAUGUUCAAUGCGACUUAUUAAUCUCCUGUCAAAUUAGUUAAUUAAAUCUGUAAUUAUUUAAAUUGAUUGAUAUCAGUGGCAACUAACGUUUUUAUACACUAGGGGAGCGUUCAAUCUGUUUCAAAUAACUCUCGUAGCAUGUUAUUGAUUAGGGUUAGACUUUUCUAGUUUUUAAUGCAAUUAGAGAAUUAAAUCCUAUGAUCAUACCUAGGAGUGUUUCCGGGUUAGGGGUAAUCAACGGUCGUACCUUGGUUGUCAAUAAAUUAAGGAAAAGCUGGUCGUCAGAACUUAUUGGCGACUAUAACUAACCUGUUAAUAAAAUUAAGUAAGCCUCCCUUGCAUCAAUAAUCGGAUGAAUGGACUGUGUCGGUGAAGUUGUAUCCUUGGCUCGAACUUGUCUAUUAUUUAUUUAAUUCCUAUCUACAUUCGUGUUAGUUAAUCGUUUACUUUUGGUUGAAUUGCUUAAUUAUUUUUAGUUUCAUUCCGAUAAAAUCCCCCAUUGUUAACUUGAACUUUAGUAAGAAACGAAUUACUCCCAAUCUCUGAGAAUACGACCCUACUUGCCCUGUUUUCAAAGCAAUAAUUAUUUGUGAAUAAGCAAUCCCAUUCUGGUAUAUCGGGUCAAGCAAACUUUUUGGAAACAGGGUGAAUCAAGUAACCUAUUGCACACCUAGAGUCCCUACUCCAGUACUUAGAAUUGGAUUUUGAUUACUCCGAUUGGCAACUAGGUUUAUUUUUAUUAUUGCGCAGGUUCGGCCCUUGUCAAUUUUUGGCGCCGUUGCCGGGGACUGGCAUUAAUUAUUUGUUUCUUUUUAAGUUCAAUUUUGUUCUAAUUUUCUGAUAUUUUUCUAGUUUAUGCCUCGUUCUUCUUGGACAGACGAAUUAAUUUUUGACCCUGAAGUAGAGAAGACCGCGCGUAAAAAGAGCAAAGAGACAAGACAGCUUAGAGAGGAGUUGUCCAGUGUUGCACCUGAGGGACUUGAUCCAAAGGUUGAGUCAACAAAUUCGCAUGGUGAUAAUUCGAGUGAUUCAGACCAAGAGGAAGUCACCAUGGCGAAUGCACGAACAUUAAGGGGGUUAGCUGCCCCAAAUUUAAAUCAACAACCCUUAUGCAUUACUUUUCCGCAUUUAAAUGAUAACACAUCUUUCGAGUUAAAAUCUGGCCUGAUUCAUCUUUUACCAUCUUUUCAUGACUUACCAGGUGAGGAGCCCUACAAGCACUUGCAAGAGUUCAAUGUCGUUUGCAACAGUAUGAAGCCCUCGGAAAUUACAGAAGAGUAGAUAAAAAUGAGGGUCUUUCCCUUCUCUUUGAAGGACUCCGAGAAAAAUUGAAUGUACUACCUACAACCAGGUAGUAUCACCACGUGGGACCAGCUGAAAAAAAAAUUCUUGGACAAAUACUUUUCGGCGUCUCGAGCUGCAAGUCUAAGGAAGGAGAUAUGCGGUAUCAAACAACACCCAGGCGAGUCUCUCUAUGAGUACUGUGAGAGGUUUAAGAAGCUGUGCAUCAAAUGCCCUGAGCAUUAGAUAAGUGAGCAACUGCUCAUCCAAUAUUUCUAUGAGGGGCUACUCUUCAGGGACAGAAGUAUAAUCGAUAUUGCAAGUGGAGGGGCAUUGGUGAACAAGAUUCCUCGAGAAGCAUGGGAGUUGAUUAAAGGGAUGGCUGAGAAUUCACAGCAGUUUGGUUCAAGAGAGGACAUCCCGACGCGUAGGGUGAAUGAGGUAGAAACAUCCUCUAUCCAACAAUAGCUCUUCGAAUUGACAUCUUUUGUACUACAACUAGCUGUGAAAAAUGCUCCACAAGCCAAAGUAUGUGGAGUAUGCACUGCUUUGGGUCAUUUUAUGGAGAUGUGUCCACUAGUUCAAGAAGAAAGUGCAGAGCAAGUGAACAUGACUGGUCACGCGCCCGCGCCAAGAAGGCCAUAUAACCCGUGUUCGAAUACGUACAAUCCGGGUUGGAGAGAUCACCCUAACUUUAGUUAUAGAGGAAAUAGGCAGUCCAAUUUUGCACCAAAUAGAGAGCAAGGGCAUCAACAGCAGUACCAGUCUCGCCCACCACCACCCCCUUCGAACUCAAGUCCGUCCAUGAAAGAGAUGAUGAAGCAAUAAAUUGCUAAUCAACAAAAGACGGAUUCAGAGUUGUAAAGUAUGAGAAAUCAAUUGGGACAGAUGCAAUCAUUGCAAAAUCAAAUAAAUCAAAUGGCCAUAACGAUCAACCGCCUGAAAUCCCAAGUUCAAGGGAAGUUGCCAUUUCAACCUGAGUUGAAUCCGAAAAAUGUAAGUGCACUGACCUUGAGGAGUGGCAAGGAAGUCCAAGGAUCCGAACCGGUGAUUCUUAGGACAAGGACAAGGAACGAAUUGAGAAAGAGUUGGAAGAAGAGGGCAGAGACAACAAAGAUCCAAAGGUAACCUCGGACCAAUCAUUACAGUUAGAACUAAUCCACCUUCCUUUCCUAGCAGGUUGGAGAAACCAAAGAAGCAAUACAAAGAAAAAGAGGUCCUGAAGAUAUUUCGCAAGGUGGAGAUCAACAUUUCCCUACUGGACGCGAUUAAACAAGUACCCAGUUACGCAAAGUUUUUGAAGGACUUGUGUGUCAACCGAAGGCGGUUAAAAGGAGAUGAACGAGUUAUAGUGGGGGAGAACGUGUCAGCAAUUCUACAAAGGAAACUUCCCAUCGAAAUAUGGGGACCCAAGUAUGUUACUAUUCCCUGUAGGAUCGGUAAUACCUUGAUUGGAAAGGCCAUGUUAGACCUAGGAGUUUCGAUAAACGUCAUGCCAAAGUCCAUAUAUGCUUCUUUGAAUUUAGGUCCUUUAAAAGAAACGGGGAUAAUAAUUCAAUUAGCUGACCGAACUGCCCUGAUGGGUUGAUUGAAGAUUUUUUUAGUAAAAAUUAAUGAAUUGAUUUUUCAACUGAUUUUUAUGUGCUUGAUAUGGAUGAUAAAUACUCCCACGACCCCUUACCUUUAUUGUUAGGUAGACCCUUUUUUAGCACAGCCGAACCAAAAUUGAUGUUAACAAGGGUAUCUUGUCUAUGAAAUUUGAUGGUGAUAUUGUUCACUUUAACAUUUUUGAGACCAUGAAAUAUCCUUCAGAUUCAAAUGUCAGCUCUGUUUUCUCUGUAAAUGUUAUUGACCCUGCGGUACAGGAGGUUAUUGAAAUUGAAGGCAGGGAUGAGCUGGAAGUCGCCUUGACCAGGCACUUCGAGUCAGAGACGACCUCUGAGAUAGAGUUGAGUGAAGAGCUCAAAUGUGUGAUUGGAGCGUUGCAAUCAUUGUCAAUCACGAAAACAAGGUAUGGGCUUGCACCCAUUUUCACACCUGAACCUCACCAACGGUUACUUUCAUCUGUGGUGUAGGCACCUAUCUUGGAACUGAAACCCCUGCCGAAACAUCUAAAGUAUGCAUACUUGGGUGAAGGGGAGACUCUCCCAGUGAUCAUCUCUGCUAGUUUAUCGGAGGUCCAAGAAGACAAACUAAUUCGAGUUUUGAGGGAACAUAAGCAGGCGAUAGGAUGGACCAUCGCCGAUAUCAAGGGAAUUAGCCCCGCGGUAUGUAUGCAUCGCAUUCGACUCAAUGAGGGUUCUAAACCCGUGCGGCAGGCUCAGAGGAGACUAAAUUUCCUCAUGAUGAAGGUAGUGAAGAAAGAGAUCCUGAAACUGCUGGAUGUGGGGAUAAUAUUCGCAAUAUCAGACAGCCCUUAGGUAAGUCCAGUAUAGGUGGUUCCGAAAAAGGCAGGGGUGACGGUGGAAUCAAAUUAAGAGGGUGAGCUCAUGCCAGUUCGGAAGCCCACCGGAUGGCAACAGUGUAUCGACUAUCGGAAGUUAAACGUCGUCACAAAAAAGGAUCAUUUUUCCCUUCCUUUUAUUGAUCAGAUGGUAGAGCGAUUAGCAUGUCGAGCUUAAUAUUAUUUUUUGGAUGAAUUUUCAAGUUAUUUUCAGAUUGCUAUCGCACCCGAGGAGCAGGAGAAGACCACUUUCAUGUGCUCGUUUGGAACAUUUGCAUACAGGUGAAUGCCAUUUGGAUUGUGCAAUGCACCUACUACCUUCCAACGUUGCAUGGUAAGCAUUUUUUCGGAGUAUAUUGAGAAGAUUAUUGAGAUUUUCAUGGACAAUUUUAGUGUGUAUGGUGAGAGUUUUGAUAACUGUCUAGAUAACCUGAAACUAAUCUUAGUAAGGUGUAUAGAAACUAAUUUCGUGCUUAAUUGGAAAAAAUACCACUUUAUGAUCGAACACGGGAUAGUUUUGGGUCAUGUAGUGUCGUCUAGGGGUAUUGAGGUUGAUAAAGUGAAAAUAGACAUUAUAUCUACUUUACCUUACCCCAUGAGUGUGCGGAAAGUGCGUUUUUUUUGUCACGCAAGUUUCUAUAGAAGGUUCAUCACAGACUUCUCGAAAAUUAGAGCACCCUUGUUCCAACUUUUGCAAAAAGAGGUGCCCUUCGAAUUUGAUGAAGCGUGUAAGAGGGCAUUUGAUAGGUUGAAGGAGCUAUUGACCUCGUCAUCUAUUAUACAACCUCCUGAUUGGAACCUACCAUUCGAGAUCAUGUGCGACACCAGCGAUUAUGCAGUGGGCGCGGUGCUGGGUCAGAGAGUAGGAAAGACAGCCCAUGCUAUCUACUACGAGUAUCAAGCCUUGAACGGAGCUCAAUUGAACUGUUCAAUCACCGAAAAGGAGCUUUUGGCGGUUGUUUUUGCUUUAGAGAAAUUCUGGUCUUAUUUACUAGAUACCAAAGUUAUUGUCUUUUCAGACCAUGCAGCGUUGCGGUAUCUGUUGACCAAGAAAGAGGCAAAACAGUGACUGAUAAGGUGGAUAUUAUUGUUACAAGAGUUUGACCCAAAGAUCAGAGACAAGAAAGGGGCAAAAAAUCUGGUAGCAGAUGUAGACACCAAAUUUUUAGCCUUUCUUUUUCUUUUUAUUUUAUUUAUUUAAUUAGUUGAUUUUGUUUUAAUUUUUGCUAAGAAAAUUGUUUUACUAUUAUUAAUUAAUUCAUUGAAAAAAAGAAAAAGAAAAAGCUAUUCCAUGUGCAUGUGCUUGGCACGUGCGCCAUUUUCUUUUCUUUCAUGCAAAAAAUGCAAGCGGAAGGCGAAAAUAGGGACAGAAAUUUGCAGCUGCAUUUUUUUAAUCCCAGCCUCAUCUCAAAAAUGCCAUCCAAUGGCUCAAGUUUUCAGUAGAAACCCACCCUUCAUCCUCACCUUUGAGGUGAGGGUUUUAGGGACCUGGGGUUUCCUAUAAAAGAAAAAAGAGCAGCGGGGACAAAGGGUAAGAGGAGUCGGCAGCUGGGGCUGAGUAGAAACAACGGAGGAAAAAAGCAAAAAGGGGGGGUUCUUGGGGAGAGUAGUUGACGGCUGAAGGAAAGAGUGAAUGGAGAGUCUGAGGGCUAGAGAGAGUUUUGGAGAGGGUGACGGCCGAAAGAAAGAAACCAAGCGAGAGGAAACCAAGGAAAGGAGAAGCGACUUCAUCAAUGUAAAGGGCAUUUCGUGGGUCUUCGUUUCCAGAAACAACGUGUUUGUCCUGAGACUGGUAGAGAAACGAAUCAAGAGUCUGAGGAAGACACAAGGGAGGAUCGGGGAAUAAGCAAAGGAAAUCUGCAAAAUCUUGAAGAAGGCUUCGAAGCUGAGAGCGAGGGAAAGAGGACUGCUCGACGAGGUGGCAACUUCUGCAGCAAAAGUUCCCGAUCGCGUUCCUGGGAACCCGUAUGCGUUUCCGGGCAGAUCCCAAGGCCGCUCAACCAUGCUAGCAUUCUCAGGUAAAAAUGCCUCUUAUUUGGUGGAUUUUAACAUGUUUUUAUGAAAGAUAAAGCCAUCGGAUGUGAAUCUUUUUGUUUGCUAUUGGGUCAAGCUCUCGCUGGUUCUAUGAUUCUGCCAUUUUGCUCGUUUGCUAAGAUCUGAUUCAGUAGGAACCUAUGAGAUGAGUCUGAUUAAGAACAUGGGGUUUAGGGUUUUCUGUAGUGGUCACCUGAUGAAUCCAUGAGUUCUUUGCUCGAUGUUUAUGGUCAGUCUUUGUGUGCAUGAAUAAGCAAACCCAGAAAAGUGGCGUAAAGCUUCGGACAAGUCUGUUUUGAUGUUUCCUUGAUUGCUGCUUCUCCAUUUCUUGUUGUUUGUGUAAUAUUUGAUAUCGGGUUUCAGUGUUAAAUGGAGCAAAUGGUGAGUUUUGGUUGUUGGCUUGGAGAUUGAUCCAUCGGAUCCGAACAUUUGAUAAUAAAAAUGGUAGAAGGUUUUUUGAAUGCACCUGGUUCGAUGUUAGUUUUGUACUUGGGUUAUGUUAAUAAGGGUGAUUUGGAGAUUUAUGAGAGUUCUAGUUCACAAACAAAAUAAGUUUCAUUGAUUUCUUUUCAUAUAAUAUCAGCGUGGGUUGAGCUGCAAUUUUGCAGUAGAAAGUUGCGGCAGAAGAAGAAUGUUUUUUUCAUAUCAGGUUGCAUGAUCCUUUUGUAUGAGUGUCGGGUGCUUAAAUAUAAUGGUUUUAUGUUAGAAAACAGAGGGGGGAAUGUUUAAUAAUCCUGUUGCCUGGCUUCAGUUUGCAUUGCGCUUAUAGUUUGCGCAUAAGAAUGCUUGUUGCAGCGGUAUGGACGAAGUUCUGUUUUUUCCUUUUCCUGUUUCAAGUUCAAGUUUUGACUGUGGAAUAUGUGUGUUUUGUUGCUCAAUUUAAGUUGAAGUCUAGGUGAAAUGUUUUGGAUCAAGUCUGGAAUCCUUAUUUGAAAUGAAAGGGCAACAGCGUGCGUUUGUUCUUGAUUGCAGAAGCUUUAAGCUUCGGGAUUGUGCAUGGACUUGCAUGAAUAGCUUUCAAAAUUUGCACUUUGCUCCCCUUAGCUUCUAUCUAUGCUACAGAGGCCCAAUUAUGUUCUAAUUUCUUGCAAUUAGGUCCUAAAGUAAUUGCCAUUUGAACCAUUGCUUGACCUUUCCAUUACUUAUGGGCCUUUGAAGUUCCCAAAUAUUUUAAUUGGGCUUGAAUGAUUGGUUAAGGCUUGCUCUUGGGUCCUUAGUAGUUUUUUUCUAUUUUAGGAACUUGAUUGACAAUUUACCUUCCUUGCAAUUAUGCAUUAUUUGAUUACAUUCAAUUUGCAAUUGGGAAGGAUUAGGUGAUUUGUUGGUUUAACUUAUUUUGUGCUUUUGUUUAUAUGGUUAUUCGUGAUGCCUUGACUUUUUCUUUUAUUUUGGAGGGUAAAUAAGUAAUCUCACUCCAUUAGGGCCCCAAUUCAAGGAAGGUACACCCUAUCUCUUAUUUCUUACUUUAUUUGACUUUACGUGCCCUAUGUGACUUUACGUGUUUGAUUGCAUACCUCUUGAAUGUUUUUUUUAUUAUUUUAUUAUUUAUUUAUUUGUUUGCUUUAUUGACUUUAGUUUUGUAUAUCUAUUUUAGUUCAAUUUUGAUCAUUUGAAAGGCAAUUUAAUGUCAAAGUUGUAAUAACUAGGUUAUGAUUUUAUUUAUUUAUUUCUUUCCCCCUUAAAUUGUAGUAGGCGUUCCCUUUUGUAAUAGAUAGGGCUUGGGUGUGCCUACAUGCCUAUGUGUUUAAUUGCUUUCCCUAGGCUUCUGCAUCUAUAUAAGCAUGCUUAUGUGCUACGUGCUAUGUGAAACUAUGUGCUUUGCAUGUCUAUUUGCUUUAGUAUUAUAUCUGAUUAUGUGGAUGGAAUGCACGUUACCGUGACUAGUCCAAUGCUAGUCAUGAUCUUCCCCUCGAUCACUCACAAGUCCAAUGCUAGAUCCAAUAGGACUGUCCCUCACUAGUACAUACUUGCAUGCCUUCACUACAUCUUCAUUCAUUUUUUUCCCUUUUAGUUUUACAUUUUUGCAUGAUCCUUCACUCCCUUUCCCGCAUUUGAAACAUGAUUUUUAGGAUUUUGUAUUUCAUUCUAGUUAUUAGGGUCAUUUGCUUGAUUAGGUUAGGGAGUCACCCUUCUGGUAAGGGGAAUGGACGAGUGUGGCUACACAUAGCCUUAGCACGCUCAUUCUUUUUCUAAUCAAAAGGCAAAUCGUAAGUCACGAUUUAGGGUCUCCCCGUACACGUUUUGCUUGCAUUCCUCUAGGUCUCAUGCAUUUCAUUUUGCACACACACACACACUUUACACUCUCUCUCAUUUGCACACGUACACUUUACACUCUCUCUCAUUUGCACACGUACACUUUACACUCUCUCUCAUUUGCACACGUACACGUUACAUAUUCAUUUGCAUCCUUACACUUUAUACACUCCCUCAUUUGCACACAUGCACUUCUCACUAUCACUUUACACUCUUCCUCAUUUGCACACAUACACUUCACAUUAUCACUUUGCACACUACCACCUUACACUUUCUCACUACACACCCGUUCAUAUUGAUCACAUUUGCAUCCAUUCAUCUCACUCGAGCAUUCAUUUGCAUUUAUUCGUGGCCUCUUUGAGGGUUCACCAUUUGGCUAUCACAAUUCAUGUGAUUAGGACCAAUCGAGCCUCAAAAGAGACAUUUUGUUCCUUUCGAACCAAUAAUUAGAUUUAGGUUUGCAUUCACAUUAGACACAUCCAAAAUGCGAUACAUCUUUUGGGUAGAAAUUAGGAAACUUGUCACUAAAUCACGCAACUAGCUUAGGUUAGGGUAAAAGGGUGCCUUAGACUUCGUUUUUGCCUUCCCUUUUAUCAACCGUGACCCCCGAACUCAUCUCUUUGAUUUUCGUAGAUUAGGAGUCAUCUAAAAAGGUUUUUCACCUCAUUUUUCAAAAACUAUUUUUUGGGUGACUUGGUACACCCCAACUCAAUAACAAGUGGCGACUCCUAUUUUUCAUGUUAAAAACCCUUUUAGAUUAUCGUUUUGGCCAAACCGUCGCAUUUAAAAGUCCCAUGGCCUUUUCCUUUAAUUCUCAUAUUCACACACUUCACACACAAUACACAUUAUGACUUCAAAACAAACUUUCACUUUUUUCUUUAUAUUUUCUCAAAAAAUGGGGCGGGACAGCUUGGCGACUCCACUGGGGACUUCCUAAGUGGGUCCGAGCACUUGAUUUAGUUAUUCUUUUCCUUUUUUACCCUUUUCAUGUAUCGCAUUUGCGUGUUUAAGGUUGCAUUUUUUUUCUUUUUUAGGAGUUUUGCAUUCCGCGCGUAUCAACUCACUCCCUUACUCAUUUGCGUACAUUUGAUUUGAUGGAUGGAUGAUUUAUUUAUGUUAUCCCGCGCUUUGCAUUGCAUUUGGAUGGGGGGAUAUUACCCUAGAGCCUCGCGUUGGUUCUCGAUCCCUCCCCUCCAAAUGGAGCACUAGCAUACGUGCAUACGCUUUAUUUUUUAUCCCUCAUUUAUUUUUCUUUUUAGUGGCUUGUCACGCCACUCCACCCUACUAGGAUUAGACGACCCAUUUGGACGUGUGAUCGCGACACGAUGUGUGCGUAGCAUGAUCCAAGGGGUCACUCAAUCUUCCAUUUUAAACUUUGGAUUGAUAACCUUUAGUUUUUAGUCAAAGGUUGAGGAUUUUUGAUAGAUUCACUCAGAUAUGUAGCCGUGACACGAUGUGUGCGUAGCAGUGUCUGGAGAAUCGCUCGAGCCACCGACAAAGAACCUUGGGAUUGAUGACCUUUGGUUUCCAAGUCUGAAGGCUCGGGGACCUAAAACCUAUCGAGUCUAGAUGCAUUAGUGAGCCAAUACCGCAUGCAUCCAUGAUAGUUUACUUAGGGUAGAGCCUGCCUUACCCUAUUAGGAACACUAUUCACGAGGGGAGGGAUCCAACCCCUCUUUUCCUUUUAUUGCUUUAUCUCUUUGUAUUGCUUUGCUUCAAUGUGUUAUGUGUAUUUAUCUGAUUGAACUAACUUUUCUUGGUUUUUGUCUCUAUUGCAUUCAUAAAUCCUAGAAAAUAAGAGUUCUGGCAUGGUACUCUCUAGGAACUUACCCUAUUUGAUGUGACACGUUUAAAUUCAAUGCUUCGCAUUUGUAACAUGAAUACAUUUCAUUUUAGGCGUACCCCGGCAUACAAAAGGGGGUUCCUUUAGGUCACGUUUCAUUUGUAUACUGCAUAUUUAGUUGCUUUGAUAAAUUGACAUCAUGCAUGAACCAUAGAGGGAAUGCCAUUUAGGGGAUCCCACGUUAGGAAUAAACCGCCAUGUGUCUCGGAUAUACAAUCCAAUGAGACUUGCACGUCUAUAUUUCUUGUACCUUCCAAAGGAGUAGUGCACAAGGUAAGGUAGAAUCCGAUCUUUUUCCAUGAUUAUAGAACAAAUUUUGCACAUUAGAAUAUGAACAUCUAACAAUCAUUUUUUGGUCAUUUAUCUGGUAAAAAUCCCUUGCGUAAAAGGCAUUAAUUUGAAGAAAUUUACAAACGAUCCCUCAUUGUUCAGACGAUAAAUAUAUCGAGGCCAAAUCUUGAUUUUAGAAGACUCAUAGACUAAUGUAUCGCAAUGAUUUUUUUUUGAAACUACCAAUAGGUAGACAAUUCAAUAAAUCAUCAUUUUCAUUCAAUUCGUUUGAUCAAAUUAUCCAUCAAAUUCUUCCAAUCUAUUUGGUCAAUUCAUUCAUUUUAGGACAAUUCGGUCAAUUUUGAAUAAAUCAUCAUUUUCAUUCAUUCGACCAAUUUACCCUUUUUAGGGUGAUCUGACCAAUUUUGAAUAAAUCAUCAAUUCCAUUCAAUUCAUUGGAUCAGUUUAUCUAUUUUUAGGGUGAUCUAGUCAAUUUUGAAUAAAUCAUCAAUUUCAUCCUAUUCAUUUGACCCGCUUAUUCCGUUUAGGGUUUAACUCUAAGGUUCACUAAAUAAAUUAGUCGACACAUUGCAAUCCUUUCAAGAGUAGACUCUUUUACACAUCAUUUUAUGUGUUGAUCAAAACAAGCAAUCCAUUCGGACUUUGUCCUCAUUUUUAGGACAAAUGUCUCUUCUCACUCCAAUUGACCAAAUUUGUUAAAAUUAUUUUUUCACUCAAUAAGUUGAUCGGAUUCAUCAGGUAUUGUAUAGUGCCUACCCCAGAGAAUUGCAUUUUCAUGCUAUGCCUACCCUUGGCAUAAAAAGGGCACCCCCAUAGGACAUGCAUACCGAUUUUAUAGUCUUGCUUACUAACUCGGGGUAUUUUUCUUUUAUUUUCUCCCCUCCCCUGCAUUCAUAAAAAAUGUUUCAAUAAGGUGAAAAUAUUUUUUCUAUAUCUGAUAACGAUUUUAUCUAAUAAAUCUUGAAAAUUACAAUUAAUAUUUGAUUCUUGGAUAGACCCUACUAUUUGAAGAAUCUAUCUGGAGGCACAAGGCUAAAACACCUAAGAGACUUCAUAAUUGUUUGUCAAAGAAAAAAUUUUGUUUAUUUGAUUUGUUAAUACAUUUUGUUCCAAAAGAAAAGGAGACAAAAGUGUGUAUAUGUGGAGUUCUUUAGAAGUUUUUCUCUUCUCAUUUGCAUUAUGAUUGAACAAGAAAUUUUGUUUCAAACUUUUCCAAUAAUAAAGUUUUUUAUUUAGACAAUUAUUGUCUUGUAUAUAUAUUCAUCUAUAUUUCAUUCUUUAUUUUGCUCAUUGGAGAUUUCAUGAUGAAUUUUAAGAAAUGAGACUACAUUGAGAUUUUUUCAACCUCUAGCCUGAAAAUUCACAAGUGUAUGUUUUCUAAAAUCUUUGCAUACACUAGAUUGGUGAUCUGAACUAUACAAUAAGAGUGUUCAGAAUUAAAAAGAGGUCACUCAAAAGACCCAAUGGGAUACAUUUUUCUCCUUCACUGUACAAUUCAUAUUUUUGCCCAUUUCUAUUAGCCCCCCAAAAUCAGUCACAUUGAUUGAUAAAUUACAAAUUGGGGCAAUCUUUGCUUGAAAAUGCCCACUGUGUCUAAUUAGAUUCAAUCCACAUCUAAGUGAAAACAAAAAUGUACAUUAUUCUUAUUUGUUUUGAAAGUUUGGAAUGAUACUUCAAGCAUUCGUUUCUCUAUCUAUACAGAUUUUAUCAUUUGCUCUCUCAUUUGAGCCUUUAAAAGAAUAAUUUCGUUUCAAAUGAGAGCCCUAAUGAUCACUACCCCAUAUUGGAAGAUUUUUCAAAUAUCAAAAGGGAGUGGAUUCUCAAUGAGCAUUUCGUUACUUUGGUUGUCAUAAAACUUAAGAAUGAUGCUUUGGCCAUCGUUUCUACAAUCUAAACAUUAUUUAUCCCUUGCAUCCUCCUUUGAGCUAAAAUGGGUGGUUCUUUUUAAAAGCAUUUAUGAUCGUACCCCACACCGGGGAAGGAGAUUGGAGGAUUUUUCAAAAGAAGAAAAAAAGGAAGAAAAAGGAGGCAAAAAAUGCUAAAAUUCAAGAAGAAGAGAGGGAAUUGCAAAUUGGGAAAAUUUGAUUCUAUCUGGGAUUUAAUUUUGGAAAAGAAAGAGGAAGAGUUUUGUCCGGCGGAUCACUUAUGUUUCACAGAUAUGGAUGAACAGGAGUCUUUCUCAAUCAAUGAUGCGAGACGCGGAAGCAAAGACUGGAUUUCAGAGGUACACGUCGCGAUUGACGGAAUGGAACCCGACUUGGACCACUCAAGGACGGAUUCAACGGUAGAGGACGCCACAAUCAAGUGUGUGAGCUUGAUUGAUAAGUCAAUAAAACAGCCUAGGAACCACGCUCGGACAUUCAACUUAGCCUUCACAAGCUAAAGGAAUUUGCCACAACCAAUGGACGAAAUUCUGGAAUUUUAUUGAAUAAUAUCGGAAAACUGAAUGUAAAACAUGAUUUAAGGCUAUUUAUAGCCUUGACUAAACCCUAAUAAAGCUUGGAAAAUACAAAAGAAAAUUCGGCCAACCCAUUUCCUUCACUUGGCCGAAUAUUAACCCAACAACCUAUGGCCCGUAACUCAGCGUAGGUACUUAACUGCGGCCCAAUCAGCCGUUUGAAGCUUGACCACUUGCAUCCUCAACUGUAAGCAACACUUUAGUAGUCUCGCCCGGAUCUUCCAACUCAAUCCCUUCAAUGGGCGGUUUCUCUUGGGUUUGGACUGUGACGGCCCCACAUCUCCUUAAGGCGAACCAAAGGGUAUCCGCGGGACGCCUGCCCAACUCUCGCCAGGACUCAAGCAAUUCCAUUCCUCUUAAAACCAAACCGAACAUUUCGAAGAGAGUAACAUGAGUACAAAUAAUGCGGAAGCGUUCAACUUAACAAGUCACUUAACAUGUAACCAGUACAUCGGGUAAACAUAAUACGACUUAAAUUCUAAUUACACGUCAGGGCCCAAAUUUUACAUUUCAAUUCCAAAAGUACAGUCCAAACCAGGGCCUAGCCAAAAUAUAGAAGAAAUCCUAAACAAAAGUACAACGAAGGGUUUCUCCAUACUUCUCCGAGAUUCGGUCCUGUUAAGGAAAACAAAACUAUGGGGUGAGCUAAAUGCUCGUGAGGCCAAGAACACAUAUUCAAGCACAUUGUUCAAAUAGCAAUCCUAAAUUUAUUAAAUAAAACCGUGAUAUUUCAAUAAUCAACCAUUCGAGCAGGAAAAGUAAUCAGAAACAAUUCAAGGAUAUAGUAGCUCUCAGGAGUUAAGUUCCACUCGCUCUGCCGAUGUCAUUCGUAUACCUUCCCGCGAUGACCCUCCGUCAACCGGGUCGGUAUUUCCAUUUCCGUAGAUCACCACUUACUUCCCUCCGUCCACCGUACACCUCCAGGGCCCACAAGUCAUUUAUAAGGCGAUACUCCACGAGUAUGCCAAGCAAGACCUCUCAUUAGGUCAAGCUUAUAUAUCUCAUGGCUCGCCCAGGUUCCCGACCAAGCCCAUUGCCGGCUCGAGUCCAAGGUCGGCCUAUGAGUUUGGGCGUCCCCCAUUCAUUUGAAAGUCGAGGAGAUUCACUCCAACGACGUAUGUAGUUAUAACAUACCAUUGCAUUUCAUUCAUUCAUUCAAUACAUUUCAUUCAUUCAUUUGAAAUUAGAACGAGUGUGAUAAAAUACACACCCGCCCUUAUUUUUAAAAUCUCCAACAAUUACCACAAAUAAGCAAGUAUCAAGGAUUCACACACUUGACACUCACCGAGCAAUUCAAUAAGAAUUAUUUUCUGGAAGUUCAAGUGUCCACUGUAAGAUCCUCUUGAAGGUCUCCUUGUGCGCCUGGCAAUUAAUAGUGGAUAAUCACUCAAAUAUCAAAAUUAUCAAGGAAGAUUGUACACUAGUACAAUCUAAAGAAUAUUUCACAAAAAUGAACCUCAAUUACUCGUAAAUCGAGGUUCAACUUGCAUUUUAUUAAGUACAAUAUUAUUUGAGUUUUUAUCAUGAAAAUCGAGGGCAAAACGUUUGAAUAAUACUAAGAGAAUUAAGAGUUUUGGAAAAACUCCUUUGCCUUGAAAAUUGAAAAUUUUCAGUUUUAUUAUAAAUCUUUGAAAAUUCGUAUCUCUCUCGAUAUAAGUCCAAAAUUGGAAAACUUUAUCCCGUUGGAAACCUUUUGGAAAGUGUUAAAAGUUCGUAGAAGACACUUUUCCAUGAAUCUAAGUGGAAAGUACUUAAAAAUGAGCUUGAAAUCACUGUUCCAGAAUGUUCAGGAUUGAGUUAAGGUUGGUUUUUUUUGCUAACUUUGGAAAUUUGGCAGAAUUCACUCGUUGCAAGCUAGCCCUUGAAAUUUAUAACUCAAUUAGAGGUGUAAGUAAGGUUUAGGGCAGAACAAGCGGAUUGAGAAUUGGAGUUUCGAGCACCGAGAUACGGUAGCUCGAAGUUGGGAAAAUUCAAGUCUGGUGAACAAUUUCCAGAUUUGAGUUUCCAAAAAUUGGAACCUUAGCUAAGUGUCAAAACGAACUUGGAUUGGUAUAAACUUUUGUAGUAUGUUACUCCUAUAUGAAAGGUAUCUCUCUAUCAAAUUUCAGGAAAAAAUACCUUCGGAAAGAUAGUUAAUUAAUCAUCCAAAGUUCAGGAAAAUUUCUAAGGCAACCUGUCUUUUGACUUCAUUUCCCAAUUCAAAUCGUUUAAUCAACAAAGCUAUCCAACCAUGGUUCAUUUAUGAAAUAAAGGUCUAAGAUACAUCCAUGAUACCUUUGGUAGGUGUUUAGCAUCAAGAACUUCAAUUAAUAAGAUCACUCCCAGGUUUUGUCCCAAACCAGUCCAAGUAUUACGGUUUUUCCAAAACAGUGCAGUCCUCUUGUUUCGGUCACAACUCAGUCAAUUUAACUCAGAAUCGAGCAUGGUUUAUGUCGUUGAAAAAUACAUUCAUAGGGCUAUAAUAUCACAGAAGAAAUCAUUUCAAAAUUUGGUGCCCAACUAGUUCAAAAUUGGGCAUCAAUUUGCUGCCUUAUCACUUCAUUCCAGUUGAACAGAGCAACAGGACAGCGAUCUUAAAACGUUUGGUUCGGCUCACUCACAAAGAAUCAGAACGUGCAUUUUAUCUCAAAUUAAAGCCUGAAAUGUCUAGUUUCCAACGCCACCAACGGCACAUGAUUUCGACAUCCGAGGACGGAGUUAUGGCCGAAUCACCACCGCUGGUCAGAGCCAUACGUGAACAGUUUCCAGAUUUGCUAGUUUCACAAAAAAAAUUCGUUUGCCCAACCAAACCUCAUUAUUUUUCAAUGAAAUUUUUCACACAUCUAAUACGUCAUAUAAACAUCAAAUUCAAGCCAUUAGGUCAUUAAAAAUUGGCCUUAAAAUGGCCGAACAAGGCAGGGGCAAAAUCGGAAACUUUUGCUUCUUGCACCCAAUGAAGUUUCUAUCAAUUUCACACCAUUAAUCCAUCAUUUUAACCACUAAACCAACAAUAUAUCCACCAUCAAUCAUCAAAUCAGCAACAACCCAAGAGUGGGAGUUCAUAGAGCCCACUUUCACAUUUUUCCAACAAUAUCAAGUCAUCUACUUAUAUGCAAGUACUUAGAGAUGCAUAUCUACUACUAUAAAUCAAGUUUAAGGUGAUGGAUCAUGUUAUACCUUCUUAAUGUACUAGAACAGAAUUUUUGGCCCUUGAAAUGCUCCAAGAAAUCGUGAUUUCCAGCACCCUUUUUGCAGCUCAAAAUGAUCUCCUAGUGUUAAGCUAAGUGUGGUGCAAGUUUGGUUGAAUUUGGAGAUGUUUUGGUGGUGGUUUGAGUAAGCUUUGUGAAGUAAAAUGAAGAACAAUGAAGCUUAAGAGAGAGAGAGAGCUAGUCGGCAGUCUUGAGAAGGAAGAGAGAGAGAGUGAUCAGAUUUUUAAGCUUCCAAGAGAAGAUACUAACUUGUGGCUACAAAUCACCCAUUAGUCAACUCACAUUAGGGGGCAUUUGGCGCGAUUAGGGCUCGUUUUCACGCGCGUUUGGUUCACUAGUGCACUAAGUCUCUAAUGCACUUAUUUUCAUGUAAAUAUUAUUCACUCUUAAUUGUCCCGAAAUAAGGGUCUAAAGUCCCUCAAAUAAAGUCGCGCGUAUGAAAACGCGUACCGUCAAUUUUAACGCUAUAACGCGAAACCUCCGAGAAAUUCUUAUAACAACCGUGCUACUAACUAUCACUUGAGUAUUUAUUCAUAAGAUUACCUAUUUUAGGACCAUAGUACAAGUCUCCAAUAUUCCAAACUUAUUGUGCUCCCACGCGGUAAAAUCUCCGAGCACUGUUCACUAUUUUUACUAAACGCACUCCAGGAAAUUAAUUUUUGAGACGAGUCACUUUAAAAAUAUAACGAAGUUAUAUUAUCAUGUAUUUAGGUCUAAUAAGACUAGAAAAUAUUUCUCGUGGUAAAAAUCCAAUUAAAUAAUUUAUUAAGCCAUAAGUUAGGCUAAAAAAAAUAAUAGUUUUUACGAGUCCUCACAUGGACGGCAUAAACCAAGGCUUGAAGUGACUCCUUGAAUCUCUUAACUCGUGCUCGUGUCACUGGGCCUUGGGGCACCUUUACAGGGUCUACUUGAGCACCAUGGGCCUCGUCCGCAUCAAUCAAUUAAUUCAGAUACAUGCAAGAAAUUUCGCAUUAAUGAAAGUUUCCUUUCAGAGUUAUUGUAAGGAACGGAAUAAAAAGUUAGGCUCUCUUCUUUUCCAAUCAAACAUUCUAUCGCUAGUUAUCCCUUUCGAGCCUUCAAAAUAAAAUACUUCGUUUGGCAACCACUGAGGAUCGCAAACUCCACACUGGGGCAAGUUUGAGUUGCAAAGGGAAGGAAAGUUUCAAGAGGUGAAAAGUGAUAAAGUAACAAAAGAAAAAGAGAAAAUGAAACAAAAGAGAACCUCGGUUAAGCAUAAACUGGGACAAAUUUUGAAAAGUUCAAAAGAAUGGCAAAAGGCCAAGAAGAAAAUAGAGAGAAGAAAAUGAAAGAGAAAAGAGCCUCGGUCGAGAAUAAAUUGGGGCAGGUUUUGAUUUAACCCUAAAAAUAGGGUUGGCGCAACAAUGCGAUCUCAGAUCAUUUAAACCACUUUUGAAAUCCGCUUUCAAGUUUUAACUUUUCUAAGCACCCCACCAGACCCCAUUACAAAAGCCGAAAGUCCUGACUUCUGUUUUUUGCAAUAUCUCUGUCAAGAAAUUUUCUAAUUGGCAAGUGAUGCUCAUAUAUUGAUGCCAAGGAAUUUUUAAAUAUAUUUGAAUUGAUUAGGCGUGAGGUUGACACUGCUCUUCAUGUGAAAACCAGCAAGGGCACUUUUGAAAAAAAGAAGGAAAAAGGAAAAAGCAAGCGAAAUAAAUGCAAAAGAAAAAUGCAAAAAGAUUCGAUGCUGAAAGUCCCUGUUGAGUGAUUAUAAAGUCAAACAAAGGUCGAGAUUGGGGCGAUUUUUGGGAGGAAAUGCGAUCUUCAAUGCAAUGUCCUUAAAAUCUUAUUUAUUUAACUAUCGUUUUCAAGCCACAUUACAAGCUCAUAAAGUCCAUCGCUGACUUAUCUUUCAUGACAAUUCGAAGUGAGGAUUAUGCUUCUAAGGAAUCCAUUAAUCAUUCAGGAUUAUAAGGCAAUAACCGGUUUCCACAUGCUUAACUGUCAUUUCUACCCAUAUGUUACAAGUUUAUAAAGCUUAUAUGUUGACUAAGUUUUCUUAAAAAAUAAGGGUGACAAACUAUUUGUUUUCACUAAGAUGUGAUAUUGAAGGGAUUACAUACAAUUUGGGCACAAGAAUAAGACAAAUCCUGACCUCUAAUUCCCCUUAGCCCCCUCAAAAUAAAAAAUAAGAUCACUUGAUUGGUCCUGAAAGAUGAGCUAACAAAAAAGAGGUGACCCAUUACCCUAAGUCUCGAUGUUAAAGUGAGGAAGAAAUCUUCUGUAAUUUGAUAUUAUUUUGAGAAAUUCAUCAUGAAAUUUUUUGUAUGAGUUUAAGCAAGAUGUUUAAUUUUCUUCACAUUAUACGUUAGGAAACAUAGUUUCUUACUUUGUUCAAAUAAAUGGAGAGUCAUCGAAACAAAAUUUUUGCAAUUGAAAGGGCCCACACUGGGGUAAAUUUUUGUAAUGCAUUUGAGGAUUUCGUCCAAGAGUCAAAUAAGAUAUUUUUGAAUCAAUCAUACUGCUCUUUACAUGAGUAAUAGGUGCAUCAAUCAAAAAAAUAAUAAGAAAUUUAAGUGCAUGUUGUACUUUGGUAAGACCCCUAUACAGGUAUUCAUGGCUGAAAUUGAUGAAGAAACAUUUAGUGAUGUGGAAGGCCGAUACCGGAAAAAGAGAAGAAAGGAAAAGAAAAAGGGCUCUACACUGGGACAAAUUAUUUUUUGAAAAGAAUCUCUCAAUCAAAAAAAAAUCCCAAAAAAAAUCAAAAGAUCAAAAAUCCAAAAAAAAAAAAUCAAAAGAUCAAAAUUUUAAAAAAAAAUCAAUCAAACAAAAAAAAUAAAAAAUAAAAAAUCAAGUUUAAAUUCUUGUUUCUUGGAAAAUCAAAUUUAAUUUCUUGUUUCUUGAAAAGUCAAAUCUAAUUUCUUAUUGGUGAGUCUCAGCGUCCGCUGCGCACCCUUCUACCUCAUUUCUGGACAACCACAUUUAAUUCACUGACUUCUACCACCGUUAGCAUCGAGUCUAUCUCACUAACGUGUGCGUUUUUAUUCAACUACCGUUAGCAUCGAGUCUAUCUCACUAACGUGUGCAUUUUUAUUCAACCACUGUUAGAAUCGAGUCUAUCUCACUAUCGUGUGCGUUUUUAUUCUACCACCGUUAGCAUCGAGUCUAUCUCACUAACGUGUGUGUUUUUAUUCUACCAUCGUUAGCAUCGAGUCUAUCUCAUUAACGUGUGCGUUUUUAUUCAACCACCGUUAGUAUCGAGUCUAUCUCACUAACGUGUGCGUUUUUAUUCUACCACCGUUAGCAUCGAGUCUAUCUCACUAACAUGUGUGUUUUUAUUCUACCAUCGUUUGCAUCGAGUUUAUCUCACUAACGUGUGUGUUUUUAUUCAAAUACCGUUAGCAUCGAGUCUAUCUCACUAACGUGUGCGUUUUUAUUCUACCAUUGCUAGCAUCGAGUCUAUCUCAUUAACGUGUGCAUUUUUAUUCAACCACCGUUAGCAUCGAGUCUAUCUCACUAACGUGUGCAUUUUUAUUCUACCACCGUUAGUAUCGAGUCUAUCUCACUAACGUGUGUGUGUUUUUAUUCUAUCUUCGUUAGCAUUGGAUUCAUCCCACUAACGUUAUUCUAUCUCCGUUAGCAUUGGGUUCAUCCCACUAACGUGCCUUUCUAUUUUCGAUUUUUUCGGCAGGCUCGAGUGUUAUCAUACUGACCGACUAUCACGGCAGGUUUGGGUUUAUCCCACUAACCGAUUCUCAAGGCAGGCUCGGGUGUUAUUCCACUGACCGAUUAUCAAGAUUAUUAAGGCAGGUUCGGGUUUAAUCCCACUGACUGAUUAUCAAGGCAGACUCGGGUUUAAUCUCACUGAUCGAUUGUCAAGGCAUUUCAUUCAUCACUGCCACUAAACAUGGGUUAGUCCCACUAGUGAGCACUUCAUUCAUCAUUGCCAUUAAACACGGGUUAAUCCCACUAAUGUACAUUACAUCUUAUCGUUAGACAUGGGUCAGUCCCACUAACACUUCAUUUCACUUCACUUCACUUCAUCCCGUUGGGUUUGGAUUUUGUGCCACCAACCUCGGCAGGCUUGGGUUGUAUCCCACUGACCGAUGUCAUAGCAGCUUCGGGUCAGUCCCGUUUUAAAUUUCUUGUUCGGGUCAGUCACGUUUUAAAUUCCUCAUUCAGGUCAGUCCCGUUUUAAAUUUCUUGUUCAGGUCAGUCUCGUUUUAAAUUUCUUGUUCGGGUCAGUCCCGUUUUAAAUUUCUCGUUCGGGUCAGCUCCAUUUUAAAUUCCUUGUUCGGGUUAGUUCCGUUUUAAUUUUCUUGUUCGGGUCAGUCCCGUUUUAAAUUUCUCGUUCGGGUCAGUCUCGUUUUAAAUUAUUUGUUUGGGUCAGUCCCAUUUUAAAUUUCUUGUUCGGGUCAGUCCCGUUUUAAAUUCUUUGUCUGGGUCAGUCCCAUUUUCUAAUUUUUUGUUAAAGGGGUCAGUCCUCAUUUUGAAAGCGUCAGUCAUUCGAGUAGUUUGCAGCAGAAUAACCACAGGUGAGUAUUUGGUGUCUACGUCUUUGUCUCAAAUUUCUUCGAAACUCAGACAAAGAGGGGUAAACUGUAGACACCAAAUUUUUAGCCUUUCUUUUUCUUUUUAUUUUAUUUAUUUAAUUAGUUGAUUUUGUUUUAAUUUUUGCUAAGAAAAUUGUUUUACUAUUAUUAAUUAAUUCAUUGAAAAAAAAGAAAAAGAAAAACUGUUCCAUGCGCUCGUGCUUGGCACGUGCGCCAUUUUCUUUUCUUUCAUGCAAAAAAUGCAAGCGAAAGGCGAAAACAGGGACAUAAAUUUGCAACGGCAUUUUUUUAAUCCCAGCCUCAUCUCAAAAAUGCCAUCCAAUGGCUUAAGUUUUCGGUAGAAACCCACCCUUCAUCCUCACCUUUGAGGUGAGGGUUUUAGGGACCUGGGGUUUCCUAUAAAAGAAAAAAGAGCAGCGGGGACAAAGGGUAAGAGGAGUCGGCGGCUGGGGCUGAGUAGAAACAACGGAGGAAAAAAGCAAAAAAGGGGGGUUUUUGGGGAGAGUAGUUGACAGCUGAAGGAAAGAGUGAAGGGAGAGUUUGAGGGUUAGAGAGAGUUUUGGAGAGGGUGACGGCCGAAAGAAAGAAACCAAGCGAGAGGAAACCAAGGAAAGGAGAAGCGACUUCAUCAACGUAAAGGGCAUUUCGUGGGUCUUCGUUUCCAGAAACAACGUGUUUGUCCUGAGACUAGGAGAGAAACGAAUCAAGAGUCUGAGGAAGACACAAGGGAGGAUCGGGGAACAAGCAAAGGAAAUCUGCAAAAUCUUGAAGAAGGCUUCGAAGCUGAGAGCGAGGGAAAGAGGACUGCUCGACGAGGAGGCAACUUUUGCAGCAAAAGUUCCCGAUCGCGUUCCUGGGAACCCGUACGCGUUUCCGGGCAGAUCUCAAUGCCGCUCAACCGUGCUAGCAUUCUCAGGUAAAAAUACCUCUUAUUUGGUGGAUUUUAACAUGUUUUUAUGAAAGAUAAAGCCAUCGGAUGUGAAUCUUUUUGUUUGCUACUGGGUCAAGCUCUCGCUGGUUCUAUGAUUCUGCCAUUUUGCUCGUUUGCUAAGAUCUGAUUCAGUAGGAACCUAUGAGAUGAGUUUGAUUAAGAACAUGGGGUUUAGGGUUUUCUAUAGUGGUCACCUGAUGAAUCCAUGAGUUCUUUGCUCGAUGUUUAUGGUCAGUCUUUGUGUGAGUAUUGGAGCAGGGACUGAAACCCGAAUUGCCAUCUCAACCUGAAUUGAACCCGAAGAACGUAAGCGCGAUGAGUACUGGAGCAGGGACUCUAGGUGUGUAAUGAGUUACUUGAUUCAUCCUAUUCCCGAAGUGUUUGCUUGACCCGAUAUACCAGAAUGGGAUUGCUUAUUCGCAAGAAACUAUUGAUUUGUAAACAGGGCAAGUAGGGUCGCAUCCUCAGGGACUGGAAAAAAUUCGUUUCUUUUCAAAUCCACAAUAACAAGGGGAUGUUUUUGGUAUAAACGAUGACAAUCAAAGGAGUUUAAAUAAAGAUAAAUAGCUAACUAGGAAUUAAAUGACAAUUUACUAAAAUCAGAGUAAUAAUAAUUAAAGGUCUAGCCAAGAAAUAACUUCAGCAAUGGUUCACCUAAUUGAUCAUCGAUGCAAAUGCAAUUCCAGUUAUUUACUAAUAAAUAGGUUAUAACUGUCAAACAAGCAAUGACAGUCAACCCCUUCUUACUGUGUCGGUGACUAAGGUACGCCCGUUAAUCACUACUCUAAUUGAGAAAUAAUCCUAAGUACGCCCGUAAGAUUUAAUUUUCCAAUUGCCUUACGUAUUAAAGAAGCCCUAUUCUAACCAAAUAACACACUACCAGGGUUAUUUUAGAUUAGCCUGCGCAUUCCCCUGACACAAACCCAAUCAUGCCAGUUGUCACUAUUUUAGGGCAAUUAAACAAUUACGAUUUAAUGCUCUAAUUGACAAUAGGUUACUAAACUAAUUCAUUAUCUGGAUCCAAGACAAUCAAUUAAUUAAAUAACCAUAAGUACUACAAUCAGGGAAUAUGCAAAUACCAAUAAAUAAGAGGAAAAGAUAAAUUUAAAUCGAUCUCACAAUUUUUAGAUGAACCAAAACCUCCGUUGUUUCUUGACCAGAAAAGGGAAUUUAAUUCAUCCCGGAUAGGAAAGACCCACACAAAGUUGCAGCAAUAGUUGCGGCCAUUGUCUCCAAGAAUUGGGAAAAUUCAAUUCGUUCGAAUCAAUAAGAAAAGCAAGCUACAGAAAAUAAUUACUGGUCUUCACUUUGUCUUGACAUACGAAGAAGGAAAACUACUAAGAGCCCACAAGAAGAAAAGUCAAAAGCUAAAACUAAAAAGUAGUGCCCUCUUGUUUCUCUCUAUUCCUAUCUAAUGCCCCCUGCUUUGCAGCUGCCCCGCGGCAGAAAAAGAGAGAGUCCAGCCUUGUUCCGUCUCUUCCUUCUUCGGUAAGUACCAAAAGGGGAAAAGUUCCCCUUUUCCAAAAAUGCCACUGGGAUGAGGGCUGCUACUUGAACUCCUUUCCUAAUGACUAUCAAAUUGGCACUUGUUGUGGUAUUUUUGUUCUACUCCCUGUAAUAAAUGUAAAUUUUCAAAAGUGAGUAGAAUCUAACAAUUAAUCCACAUCAGGUCAAGUAAUAAGAGAAAUUAAUAAUAAAAGAAAUGAUAAAAUUGCGACCUAUCAAAAUGGGAUGGAUGUUUAGAUAGGAAUUCUGUAGAGGGCUGGUAGCAGCCAUCCAAAGAGAACAAGUCCAUUUGUGGACAAAAUAAAGUGAAUGGAGAAUAUAUAUAUAUAUAUAUACGCUACAUGAAUAUUCAACAUAUACAAAAAUGUGAUCAAGAAAAAUGAGGAAUCUGACAGCCUAAUGCUUACUUGCUGCUUUUUAUGGUUUAACUUUAAAGAGACUUUGGUGUCUUGGUAGUUCGUAAUUUGAUUCGAGGUUGAUAAAAAGAAAUUUUUCAGAAAACGUGAAAUAGGGUAAGUAUCCUAGUUUAUUUUAGGUAUUGAAAGUUAAUAAAAAUGGAAAUUAUGGCAGUAAUCCUCUUCAUUUUUCCCCACCAACCAAAGCAACGAUUUUUAAGAAUACAAACAAGAUUUUAAAAAAUAGUUGUGGAGAAAACUUUUAACAAGUUUAAAAUGCAAAGUGUCCAUCAUAAUGUAGAAGAGCACAAUAAUUAGAACUCCCACGUUGGCUAAGCAAAAAUAUAUGUUUGCUCUAAUAACAUAUUACAUAUUAAAUUAUUUUACUAUGAGGUAGGGUACAUUUUUUUUAUAGUUUAGCAAACUAGAACAAAAUUAUAAUAAUUUUAAAUUAAUAUAGUUGCGUGGUGAAAUAUCAUCUGCGGCAAUAUAUAUAUAUAUAUAUACACACACACAUGCGCACGCACACUACUUAUUCAGUUGAAAAAAAUACAAGAAUUUGACAAUAUUGGUUAAUCAAAGAGCACCUUUAGUGACAUGAGAAUGAAAAUUGCUCCUAGAAUAUCUUCCUGAACUUUGUCAUUGAACGAUUGCUCAAAGAGUCUGUAAGAAAUUUAAUUCAUUCUAAUUUUGUCAGUAUUUAAGAAAGUAAGGAUGAUUGAAUUUGACUGCCAUUGUUUUCGAAAGAAUGACUCCACUCAUUAAAGAAUCAAGCCAAAAUUGAGACAAGUAUGAACAAACAAGCAAUUAGUAAUUUAUAUUGUGGUAAUACAAGUUUAUACAAAAAAAAAAGUAGGCACAGUGUAUUUUUUCUGCACCUGUUGUCUAAUAAUAUUAUCACCUUCCAAACUUUGUGGGUUUGUAAAAUGCAUCAAUUAUGGAUCUUGGAGUAAAGAUAUUAAGUAUUAACUAAAUUAACUAAUUAUUGAACUUAUACUCAUGGAAUAAUAAUUUUUUUUUGUAAUGUGCUAAUCUCUAGAAUAUUUGACUUUUAAUAUCCAGGUCUCCCAAUGGUGUGGAAAUUAAGUUGUUCUUCAACAUGCAGCUUCGUGGGACUUCAAGCAUGCCAAGAGUUUCUGGGAAAGAAUAGGUCAAGAUAAGUGACUUGGAGGAAUCUUCAAAAUCAAUACACUUUGUUGAAAUUGAAACUCUUGGAAGUAGCUUGACUGCAUUCAUACCAAAAAGUAAUUUAACAUAAUACUUAUGGACUUUCUCCAUCUCUUUUGUCAUUUCUUUUUCGAAAUUUAUUGUUUAUAGGAAAAAGAAAAAGUCGAUUCAAGAUAUGAAUCUAUGAACAGUUCAACAAUCUAGAUAAUAUUACUCAUUAACGAGAGAGGUUAAUCUAAAAGGACUGAGAUUCGUAGACCAACUGGUCACUACUCAUUACUCAUUAAUAUUCUAAUGUUUGCUUGCUUCUUUUUCAUGGUUUAACUUUAAAGUGAUUUUGGUGUCUUGCUAGUUUGUAAUUUGAUUCAGUCCGGUUGAUAGAAAGAAAUUGCUCAGAAAAUGUGAAAUAGGUUAAAAUAUCCCAGUUUGGUUUGGAUAUUGAAAGUUAUAAAAAUGGAAAUUAUGGCGGUGAUCCUCUUCAUUUUUCCCCACCAAUCAAAGCAGUGAAUUUUUUAAGAAUACAGACAAGAUUUGAAAAAAUAGUUAUCUAUAAUAAUGUAGAAGGGCACAAUAAUUAGAACUCCUAUAUAUGUUGGCUAAGCAAAAAUAUAUUUUUGUUAUCAUAAGAUCUUACAUACGAAACGAUUGUACUAUCAGGCAGGGUAGAUUUUCUUUAUAGUUAGCAAACUGGAACAAAAUUAUAAUAAUCUUAUUUUAAUAAAAUUGCCAAAUGAAAUAUCAUUUGCAAUGACAAUGUAUAUAUUACUAGUUUAAUUGACAAAAUAUAAGGAUUUGACAAUGCUAAUUUGAUUAAUCAAAGAGCACUUUUAGAAGAUAUUACGUUUACACGUAAAACUUAAAAGCCAAUUUAUUUAUUUUUUUUUGCUUUUCUAAAUUUAAAUUCUUUUUGCACGUGCUUCCACUAUUAUCUUGCUCUACAUUUGAGAAGAACUUCUUACAACUUUCUUCAAAUAAAUACCUUUUCCAUACAAAUCCCGCGCCUUUAUAUAAACAAUUACGCUGGUUACAAAGUUUAUCAAGCAAUAAUGAAGAGGCCGAUAACAUUUUAUAGUACCUUACUUUUCUUCUUUCUUUUACAUCCUGAAGAAGUGAUCACUUUCACUUUCUUGGAAGAUCAUUUGUGCCAUCAUGAUGAGGCUCUUGCACUGCUUCAGUUUAAGGAAAUGCAUAGCACAUCAACUGAUGCUUCUCAUGAUUGCAAUUAUUUUGGUCAGUACUCAUAUCCAAAGACAACACAUUGGAAACCAGAUACAGAUUGUUGCAAUUGGGAUGGUGUCACAUGCGACAACAUCACCGGUCGUGUAAUUGGGCUAGAUCUGAGUUGUGGCCAGCUUCAGGGAGUCAUCCAUCCAUACGCUACCCUUUUCAAUCUUUUCCAUCUCCACAGUCCCAACCUUACUUUUAAUGAUUUCACCGGCUCACGGAUUUCAUAGUGAUUUGACUCGCUAAAAAGUUUGAUCCACCUCAAUCUCUCAAAUUCAAAUUUCCAAGGUGAGGUUGCUUCAGAAAAUAUCACACCUGUUCAACCUAAUUUCACUUGAUCUCUCUUUCAAUCUCUUGUGUAAUUCUAUGGGUUGCUCAUAUCCAAGAUAUGAAUUUAGUAAUUUUGAAGCGAUGCUUCAAAACAUAACCCAUUUAAGAGAGCUAUCACUUUCGUCAGUGAACAUCUCAUCCGAGUUAAGGGUGAAUUUUUCUUCAUCUUUGACAUAUCUAGAUCUCUCAUAUACUGGAAUAACAGGUAAUCUACUAGGCAAUGUUUUUCAUCUACCGAACAUGCAAGUUCUCUCGUUAGAUAGCAAUGAGAAUCUUACUGUUAGUUUAUCAAACUUGAACUGCAGCAUUUCUGAUUCUCUGAGGCAGUUGGACCUAUCGGCGACAAGUCUCUCUGCUGCACUGUCAGAUUCAAUUGGGUGCAUAAGGUCCUUAAAUUCUUUGGAUCUAGGAACUUGUCAAAUUUCUGGUGUCAUUCCUGAAUCAAUUGUCUUCGGAAGAUAACUAUCUUCUAGGGAAAAUUCUAGCUAAAUUUUCCUGUUCACAAAAGCUAAGUAGACUAUCACUUGGUCUUUUUAGAUCUCUCUAGUAAUCAACUAAGCGGUUCACUUCCUCCAACAAUUUUUACUAUUCUGACUCUAUCUUAUCUUGACCUUUCUUCAAACCAUUUUGCUGGGGUUGGGCAAGACGUAUUUGUGGACUUCAAUAAGCUUCAAAAGAACCCUCUUGAGAAUGAAGCCCCACGGAACACUAAAAACAAUGUGAGCAUUUCCUAUCCAGAUUUCUGGCACUUGGGAUUGUCUUCUUGCCAGAUAAAGGAAUUUCCUGAGUCGCAUAGAAAUUCAAAGAGCUUAAAAUUUCUGGACCUCUCAAAUAACAGGAUUCACGGCGAAAUUCCAAGCUGGUUCAUGUUGAAGAAAAGGGUUCAGAUUGGGAAAAACUUCAAGCGUAUAUUACUGAUUGCAAUAGUCUGCUGAUAUAGUUACAAGAAUUUGACAAAAAAGGGAAGAUACAAUUAUUCCUAAAAUCAUGUAAUGGAAAGCUAAAACUACUCCUACAAUCACGUCAUGACAAAAACUUAUAUGGUAACAAUAUAUACAGCUAUAUGAUUGAAUAUCUCAACACUCCCCCUCAAGUUGGAACAUGGAGAUUGCGAAUGCCCAACUUGCUCAACAAAUGGUGGAACUGAGCUUUCCCAAGUGCUUUGGUGAACAAGUCGCCAAUUUGAUCACAUGAGCGAACGUGAGCAGUCUGCAACUCGUUACUUAGUAUGCGAUCACGAAUGAAAUGGCAAUCAAUUUCAAUGUGCUUUGUACGUUCAUGAAAAACUGGAUUUGCAGCAAUGUGUAGAGCAGCUUGGUUGUCACAAAAGAGAGACAUGGGUGAUGCUAAUGAAACUUUCAAAUCUGCAAACAAAGAACGCAGCCAGAGGAGUUCACUAGUAGCAUUGGCCAUUGCCCUAUACUCUGCUUCAGCGGAUGAGCGGGAAACUGUAGUUUGCUUUUUGGACUUCCAAGAAACCGGGCUAUUACCGAGGAAAACGAUAUAACCACUAGUCGAUCGUCGAGAUGUUGGGCAGCUGGCCCAAUCUGAGUCACAAUAAGCAAUGAGUUGCAGCAAACUAGCAGAUGACAAGAAUAUACCUUGGCCUGGUGCCCUUUUGAGGUAGUGAAGGACUCGAUAAGCUGCAUCCAAGUGAGGAACACGUGGAUCUUGCAUAAAUUGAUUGAGAACUUGUACUGGAUAGCUAAUGUCAGGUCGAGUUAUCGUCAAAUAAAGUAGCCUUCCAAUGAGACGACGAUAUUGACCAGCAUCUUUAACUACUGCACCAACUCCCGCUGCCAAGUUGUGUCGUUGUUCCAUAGGAAAGUCAGCAGGACUUGCGUCGAGAUGACAAGUCUCUUCAAGGAGGUCUAGAGUGUAUUUUCGCUGGCUAAGUACAAUUCCUUCCUUAUUACGAGCCACCUCAAUACCAAGAAAAUAUUUGAGUUGCCCAAGAUCUUUGAUGCGAAAAGCUGAAUCAAGAUGAUGCUUCAUAUGAUUGAUGGUGGUUGAAUCAUUUCCAGCCACAAUAACAUCAUCUACAUACACUAACAAAGCAGUAAAGUGUGCUCCACUGGUGAAUGUAAAAUGUGAAUUAUCUGUAGCAGAUUGACUAAAACCAAUACUCUACAAGCAACUAGAAAAUGUUUGAAACCAAUUUCUAGAGGCUUGUUUAAGGCCAUAAAGGGACUUUCGAAGUCGACAAACCCGAUUGUCACCUGGUUUUGCAAAGCCUUGUGGUAUUUUCAUGUAUACCUCUUCACGUAGAUCUCCAUGCAGGAAGGCAUUAUUAAUGUCCAGCUGAUGUAAUUCCCAAUGUCGUACUGCAGCCACAACUAAUAGACAACGUAGAGUUGUAAGCUUUGCAACUGGAGCAAAAGUAUCAUGGUAAUCGAGUCCUUCAACCUGUGUAAAACCUUUAGCAACCAAACGUGCCUUAAACCGCUCAAUUGUGCCAUCAGACUUGUACUUGAUUUUGUACACCCACUUGGAAUCAAUGGCAUGCUUACCAGGUGGUAGAUGCUCUAAUGUCUAAGUUUGAUUCUCCUCCAGUGCCUUAAUUUCUUGCUGCAUAGCAAGUCUCCAACGAUGAUCCCUAACUGCUUGGGAAAAAAACUUUGGUUCGUCUAAUGAAGUGAUGGAGGCCAAAAAAGCUUUAUGGGCAUCAGUGAAAUGAGAAUAGGACAAGUUAUGAGAGAUAGGAUAAAUUGUACCUGAGUUUGCUGAUGGAGGGGACUCCCGAGAUGGUUCCAAGGAGGGUAACAACUUAUAAUCAAAACCAGAAAGCUUUGUGGAUACAUGCCUUACUCGAUGUGGACGCUGCAAGGAAGGAAUUAUAUUUCCACUAGGGCUGCCAGUAUCUGGUUGUAGUGUAGAAUUAUCUUUUUCAUGUUGGGUUUGUUGGGAAAAUGUAUGUUCAAUAGGAGAUGGUGUGGUGUCCAUCGAAGUGGAGUUUAUAGGAGGUGGAAUUGGGUCAGAUUGUGAGUAAUCAUGCUGAUCUAUAUGGGGUUGCACACUCCACAUUGAAGGUUUAGACUCGUUAUUUCAUUGAAAAGGAAAUUCUGUCUCAUAAAAUAUCACAUCCCGUGAUACAAAUACUUUUUCUCUUUCCAAAUCAUAGACUUUAUAGCCCUUUUGUCCAUGGGGAUAACCAAGAAAAAUACACCGAUAGGCUCUAGUAGAGAAUUUAUCUCGGUGUUUGUCAUGAUUAUGAGCAUAACAAAGUGAUCCAAACACCUUCAAAUGAUUGUAGUUGGGUUUACUUUUGAAAAGUACCUCAUAUGGGCUCUUGCCUUUGAGAGUGGGAGUGGGCAUCAAAUUGAUAAGAUGAACUGCUGUCAAAACACAUUCUCCCCAAAAUUUCAAAGGUAAAUGGGCUUGAAAACGCAAUGCUCGCGCAACCUCAAGAAUGUGGCGAUGUUUGCUCUCCACUCGCCCAUUUUGUUGUGGAGUAUCAACACAAGAGGUUUGAUAGUCAAUCCCUUGACUAGCAAAAAAAUCUCUCAUGGUCCUGAGACAAAUUCACUCCCAUUAUCACUUCUCACAACCUGUACUGGGUAACCAAAUUGAGUUUGUGUAGAUUGGCAGAACAUGGUUAGAAAAUCAUAGGCCUACAAUUUAUUUUUCAAAAGAAAGACCCAAGUACAUCGUGAAAAAUCAUCAAAAAUAGUUAAGAAAUAAUGAGCACCACUAAGUGAUAAGACAGAAUAUGCUCCCCAAAGAUCAACAUGAAUCAAAGCAAAAGGUUUAACACUUUUCUUAUUGCUGUUUGGAAAAGACAAUCUUGUUUGUUUGGCCCUAUGGCAUACAUCACAAAUGUGAUUAAAAUUGCUAGGAAAAGGAAUACUAGAAAUUAAUUUUAAUCGGCUAAAGGAAGGAUGACCCAAGCGCAUGUGCCACAAGGUAGCAUCAGAUUCAGUAACACUAAGACUUGCGAGCCCGUGGCCUCCUUCUAAUUGAUAAACCCCAUCUCGGAGCCUACCCACUCCAAUCAGCAUCCUCGUACACAGGUCCUGAAAAAAAACAAGAAUCAGGAAGAAAGGUUGCUGAGCAGUUUAAUUCCUUUGUAGCUUUGGCAAUAGAGAGGAGAUUGAACUUGAAACCAGGCACACAAAUAACAUUUUUCAAAUUGAUAUUUGGUGUUAGGUAGGCAUUACCAACGUGAGUUACAGGGAGACUAGAGCCAUUUGCGAUUCUCACAUUUGGAUAUGAAGAGAUGCAUUUAACAUUGUCAAGUAUACUUUUGUCUCCAACCAUAUGGUUAGAGGCACCAGUAUCCAAAAUCCAUGAGUUAUGGAAUGAAUUGCAUUUACCUGCAAAGUUGGCCAAGGCCUCAUUAUCAUGAUUUGGUGGUCCAAGGAUUUGCAUGAGUUUGUUGUACUGGUCCAUUGUCAAUCCAAGAGGUUGUUGUGACUGUGACUUCUCACUUGGGUUGAUAAAUUGGUGGUCAGUUGCUGCUAUGUUGCCAUAGAUUUGCAUCUGCCCUGAAUUGUUCUUGCCUCCACCACAAUUGCCACCUUUGCUUUGUUGAUUAUUCUUCCAAUUUGCUGGAUACCCUAUUAUCUCAAAGCAUUCUUCCUUGAGAUGUCCCAUUUUCUUGCAAUGUUCACACCUUUUACUUGAUCGACUUCUUGGGGCUUGACUCCUGGUAUUUUCGUUGCCCCUACGAUCAGUUUUUGCUGCAAAAGCCGCUCCUUCCAGGCUGUGUGAUGUUUGUUCAUUUACUUGUACAAAGGAUUGCUCUUCUUGUAAAGCCAAGGAAAACAGUUUACUGAGUGAAGGUGUAGGUUCCAUGGACAGCACAUUAGAUCUCAACCGAUCGAAAUUUCCAUUCAAUCCCAGUAGAAAUUGAAGGGCUUUUUCUUUUUCUCGGCGUAAUAAGUGAUCCUUGGCUGCCUCGCAUUUGCAAUAAGGCAAUGGAUCAUAGAUUUACAGUUCUUGCCAUAAGGUUUUGAACUUGGUAUAAUAUUGAGUUAAAGGCUGCCCAUCUCCUUGUAACAUGUUGGAAAAUUAUUUUUUUAUUUUAUAAAGUCGAGGUGCAUUACUUUGUCCAUACCUUUCACAAAUCUCAGUCCAAAUUUCUUGUGCCGUGCCGGUGUAGACAACGCUCUCUUGUAUGUCCUUGGCCAAGGAAUUCCUCAGCCAUGCUCUAACCAUUGCAUCAUUCUUCUUCCACCGUUGAAAGUCUGGUGACUUUAGAUCUGGCACUUCUAGACUGCCAUCAAUGAAACCACCCUUGCCUUUGGCAUAUAGGGCUGUUUCCAUGGUGCUUUUCCAUGCUGCAAAAUUUUCUCCUGCGAAUGGUGUGGAGACAAAUUGCAGCCCUGGAUGAUCUGAAGGUACAACACAUAGGGGGAGUCAUCAUAGAUUGUAACCUCUCCCCCUUUCGUUGAAUUCUCUGGAGUUGACAUAUUUUAUUGUCAACAAUUGUUAAGGCUCAACCUGCUCUGAUGCCAUGAAGAAAAGGGUUCAGAUUGGGAAAAACUUCAAGCGUAUAUUACUGAUUGCAAUAGUCUGCUGAUAUAGUUGCAAGAAUUUGACAAAAAAUGGAAGAUACAAUUAUUCCUAAAAUCAUGUAAUGGAAAGCUAAAACUACUCCUACAAUCACGUCAUGAUAGAAACAUAUAUGGUAACAAUAUAUACAGCUAUAUGAUUGAAUAUCUCAACACAUGUCCAAGACUUGGGAUAAUUUGCCCUACUUGAAUCUUUCGCAUAACUUUUUGACUGGUACCAUAGACCAACUACGGUGCAAACAUCUGUUGCAUCUAGAUAUGAGUUUCAACUCACUUCAGGGUCAAAUGCCUUCUUCUAUCUGUAACUCAACUUCUCUUUUCAUUCUUGAUUUGUCAUAUAACAAUUUGGUUUCCCGAAUCCCUCAAUGCUUGGGAAACUUCAGCCAGAAGCUCUCCGUUUUGGAUUUGGGAAAUAAUGGACUUUUUGGCACCAUUCCCACAACUUUUUCACAAGGUAACUCUCUGAAUAUUCUUAUGCUGAAUGACAAUCAACAAGAUUGAUGAUAGAUUUCCAAUUUGGUUGGAAUCUCUACCUAAUCUACAGGUUUUCAUAAUCGAUUUCACGGAGGAAUUGGUAAUUUUCAAACUGAAAGCCCAUUUCCGCAGCUGAGAAUCAUCGAUGCAUCCUGCAAUGAGCUCACUGGUGUUCUACCUACAGAACUCUUCAAAAGCUUAGAAGCUAUGAGAAGCUUAAAGGAUCACCCUGGGCAAUAUAGGUCAGAAACUGGCUAUGAGCUUGAUUAUUACAUCCAUUCCUUGACUUUAGUAAUCAAAGGGACGGAGUAUAGUCUUGAAAGAGUCCUGAUAGAUCGAACAGCCAUUGAUUUCUCAAGCAACAGAUUUGAAGGACAAAUUCCAGAAAUUAUCGGAACCCUUCAUUCUCUUCUUAUACUCAAUUUCUCUCAUAACAAUCUCAGUGGUCAUACUCCCCGGGCAUUAGGGAAUUUGAAUAAGCUUGAAUGUCUAGACCUCUCUUGGAACCAGCUUGAGGGAACUAUUCCUGUGGAGCUUCUGAAUCUGACAUUCCUUGAAUUCUUACACCUUUCAGAAAAUCAUCUGAUUGGACCCAUUCCUCGAGGAAGACAUUUUGAUACAUUUGGGAAUGAUUCAUGCAGAGGGAACUCGGCCUUGUGUGGAUCACCAUUGACUAAAGAUUGUGGAAAUACAGGGGCACCACCACCAGCCUCGCCAUUCGGAUCUGAGCAACAAUAUGAUCCAGAGUUCUUUGAUGGAUUCACCUGGAGAGCUGUUGUUCUGGGAUAUGGUUGCGGAUUAGUGCUCGGACUAACCAUGGGAAGUCUCGUGUUCUUAACUGAAAAACGAAGAUGGUUCAUAUAGAUUGUUGAAGAGUCGUACAAUCUGUGAAAAAGAUCGAGGAAAUAUGUCCACAUACGAACUUGAGAACAGCAAUGCAAUUUACAAAAUUGGUGGGCAAAACAUACUCUCUUCUGCAGCUGUUGUCUAAUAAUUUUACUUCCUCUGCAUAAUUUCCAUUUUCAUAAUCAAAUAUCCUUGGAAAUGAUAACUUUUUUCUAUGGCUAAUCACCAGAAAAUUUGACUUUUUAUGUCCAGGCCUCCCAUUGGAGUCGUAACUAGGAAGGAUCAGCAGUAAAACUGGCUUUGUUUCAGUUCCAGUUGUAUGUAUCUGCUAUGCACGUUUUAAGGUUCUAAUAGUUGCUUCUUUUUAUGAUUGUCAAGUUCCAGGUGCAAAGAGAUUCUGAUUCCUUGCAACUUUAUCUUUUGCUUCAUGGUUAAAAAUGAAAUCAAGAACAUGUUCAGAAAAUAUGAAAAAAGGGUAUAUCCCAGUUUGGUUUGCACAUUGAAAGUUGUUCGAUGAAAAUUAUGACAAUAAUUCUCUUCAUUAUUCCCCACCUGCCAAAGAAGUUAUCUUUGAGACUACAAACUAGGCUAGUGUGCUUUAAAAUGCUUUACAUUGACUAAUCAACAACGAAGAUGUUCUUCAACUUGCACCUUUGUGGGACUUGAUUUGGAACAGCUUUGCACCAUUCGAACUUCAAUCGUUUACUGCCACAGCUGGUAUGUGUGAACAGAGAGAGACUAAUCCAAGCCACUUUUCUUGACUUUGUGGAAAAGAACAAGUCAUCCUCAGUCUUUUGCAAUAAAUUAUAGAUAAGUGAAGCCUAGUCUUCAUCCAAAAUUGUCAAAAGUGAAAUUCAUGGAUGCAACUUGAACAUAACUUAUUCUUCACUGGACCUGAAAAUUAGAGCACCAGCGACCAGCUUAAUCUUAAUUGGCUUUGGAGCUUCCACGCCAAAUGGUACGACAAUUUUGAGAAAAGGGAAGGGAGAGUUAUAGAUUUCAAGAGAAUGAUCUUUUUUCACACUACCAAAUUAGGGUCUACUAACAAAAUUUAUAGUGAAGUUCUUCAAAUCAAAUGAUCAAUCCACGAGACAAAAUCUAAUAGCAUGAACUAACUCGAAAAUAAGGUUGAGAUCUCUAUUUUAAAUACAAAAGACAAUUCACAUAUCCGAGAUAAUGAGUCAAGGAUAACCAUAUAAUAAAGCACAUACAACCACAAACUUCAAACAGCAACAAGUAACCAUGAAAUGCUUCAUGAUCCAAUUAACACAAGAAAAGCAAGAUAGUUAAGUAAUCUUAACAGAAUGCUUAUUGACUUUCUACAUCUCUUUAAUCAUUUCUUUUUCCAAUUUUUUUUUUUGUUUUACAACAAAACAAAAGUGAAUUCCAGAUAUGACCCCAUUACAGGUUCAAAAGUACAGAUAAUACUCAUGAACGAAAAGGAAUGAGAUGGGUAGGCCACUUUGGCCCCAUAGCUGUGACAAUUAGUGGACUCGUUGAUCCAAAGGCAUUUAUGGUGGAAAUGAAUUUAGAACGUAAAUGUAGUUUCUUGGCAUUACAAGUCUUUACAAGCCUAAUGAAGAUAGCAAAUAAUUCAUAUGGAUGCUACGACUUUUCAGAGGAGCUAAGGCCCAUUCUAAUUAGCCAUUACUCAUGAAAGGGAUAGUUAGAUAGGAAUUUAGUAACAUAGUGAUAGAAGCCAUCCAAAGAGAACCGGUCCAUUUGUGCACAAAGCAAAGUGAGUUUAGGAUAUAUAUGCUACACCAACAAUCUGCACAUACAAAAUUUGAUCAAGCAAAAUGAGGAAUCUAAUAGUUUAUACACUAGUGCUCCUUUCUUUGCAAUCUCGAGAAAUUACCAGUUUGUCUUCCUUUUUACCUCAUUUGUGUCACCAUGAUGAGAGUCUUGCUCUACUUCAGCUUAAGCAAAUGUUUCAAAAAUCAACAGAUGCUUCUGCCUACUGUGAAAAUGCAUAUCCAAAGAUGAUAUCAUGGAGCAAAACUUCUGAUUGCUGCACCUGGGAUGGGGUAACAUGCCAUAGAGUUACAGGUCAUGUAAUUGGCAUAGACCUUAGUUGCUGCCAACUUCAAGGAUCCAUCUAUGCUAAUAGUAGCCUGUUCAAUCUUUCUCGCCUCCAAAAGCUUAAUCUAGCUUACAAUGACUUCAAGAAUUCACCAAUUUCUCAUGGCAUUGGUGGCUUGACUAGUUUAACAAACCUCAAUCUCUCCAAUUCCAAUUUCUACGCUCAAAUUCCAUCCCAAAUAUCUUUACUGUCAAAUUUAGUUUCACUCGAUCUCUCCCAAAAUCCUAUUGAGUUUGAACAUCAGGAUUUCCAACUGCUUCUUCAAAACUUAACUCAGGUUAGAAUACUUUCUCUUUCUGACGUUAGUAUCUUCUCCGAGUUCCCUAAGAACUUUUCUUCAUCUUUGACAAUUGUGGAUCUUGGUCAAACUCAAGUUUAUGGUAAGCUACCAGACCAUAUUUUCUAUCUAGCAAAAUUGCAACAACUCAUACUAAAUGGAACUCAAGUCACUGGAAGUUUACCGAACUUGAACUGCACUGCUUCAUACAUGUUGUCGUACUUAGAUCUUGCUUACACAAAUUUUUCUGGGGAACUUCCCAACACAUUUGGCUGCUUGAAGUCCUUGAACGCCAUGUUGCUCGAUGGAUGUCAGUUCACUGGUCGCCUUCCUGAGUCAAUUGGAAACCUUUCUCAGCUCACUACGAUGUCUCUGACUCAAAACAGUUUCAGUGGGCCUCUUCCAUCGGUGAUCUCAAACCUUGUCCAACUGGAAGUUUUAGACCUUACAGGCAACCAAGUGCAAGGCCAAAUACCAGAUUGUUUCACAAAUCUCCAAAAAUUAACUCAAUUGUCAUUGCGAGACAACCAUUUGGUUGGGCCUUUCCCAUCCACCAUUGCGAACCUUACCAAUCUCCAGACGCUAGAUCUACAAUCCAAUUCGAUAACAGGUCCUCUUCCAUCAAACGUGAGUGGCCUUCAGGAAUUGUCUUUUCUAUAUCUUUAAAACAACUUGCUCCAUGGCACAGCACCGACAUGGUUAUUUAGCCUGCAGUUACUCACAACUUUGCUUCUCAAAAACAAUCUCCUAACAGGACAAAUCGAAGAGCUCAAUGGAAUGUCACUGAUGAAAAUUGAUUUGAGUAAUAACCAAUUAUAUGGUCAAAUUCCUAAAUCAAUUUCAACACUCCCAUUUUUAGAUUUCCUUGACCUCUCAUCAAAUAAUUUGAGUGGCGUGCUUGAACUAUCCAGUGAUGGUCUUGAGUACCUUGUUCUCUCUAAUAAUCGAAUAUCAUGGAGCACCAGCGGAAAUGUCAGCAACUCUUUACCAAACCUUUAUCGUUUAGAGCUAUCUUCUUGUGAGAUGAAGGCUUUCCCAGAAUUUCUCAGAAGCUCAAAGAAGUUAGAAGUUCUACAGCUCUCUGACAAUAAGAUUCAAGGUCAGAUUCCCAGCUGGGUGACAUCCAUGCCUUGGGAUUCACUUCUGUAUCUAAAUCUAUCUUAUGACCACCUUUCUGGGAUGGAUGCAUUACCUUGGAAGAAUCUAAGGGUUCUAGAUGUUCGAUUCAACCAAAUCCAAGGACAAUGGCCUUUUUUCAUUUGCAAUUUGAAAGCUCUAGCAAUUCUUGAUUUGUCAAGGAACAAAUUUACUGGUGCAAACCUCGGUGUUUUGGGAACUUUUCUAGUUUUGUGGUCCUGAAUUUGGAAGGAAAUGGCCUGCAAAGGACCAUUAAUUCAAUGGUAUUUGCAAAAGAUAUCAGAUUGAGAUAUCUUGGUCUGAAUAGAAAUUUCUUGGAAGGGCCGCUGCCAGAAACUUUGGCCAACUGCAAGUCCUUGAUGUGGGGAACAACCGUCUGAAAGAUAUAUUUCCUGCAUGGUUACAAAAUCUUACGGAGCUCCAAGUUCUUGUGUUGAGUUCUAACAGAUUCUUUGGACCCAUAAGCAUUUUCAAGGCUAAGAGUCCAUUCCAAAAGUUGCAAAUCUUCGCCCUCUCUUGCAAUGAGUUCAGUGGUGUUCUAUCUACAGAACUUUGGAAAGCUUCAGGGCUAUGAUGAGCUUACAAAGCAACAAAUCAGAAUCUAAAUACUUGCAUGCAACCGGUAAUACAACAAAUUAUCUAUACUCUGUCAGCAUGACAUCCAAAGGCCAUGAGAUUGAGUUCACCAAAAUCAUUAGAACUCUCACAACCAUUGAUCUGUCAAGCAACAUGUUUCAUGGGAGGAUCCCAGACGUCAUUGGAAAUCUCUACUCCCUCAAGUUGUUGAACUUAUCCAACAAUAACUUUUCUGGCCACAUUCCACCAGCUAUUGGGAACCUGAAAUUUCUUGAAACAUUAGACCUUUCAAGAAACCAAAUUGGAGGAGAGAUUCCAAUGCAGCUAACGAAUCUUACAUCUCUUGAAGUCCUAAACUUAUCAUGCAAUCAUCUUAUUGGGCAAUUCCUCAAGGCAAUCAAUUGCGCACACUUGGUGAAGAUUCAUACAGCGGAAACUCAGGAUUAUGUGGAUUCCCAAUAACAAAAAGCUGUGAAGAAAUGCAUGUGCCACAAGCGCCCCCAGAUGAGGCAUUGGAACAAGGCGAGGAUUCGAGUUUCAUGGGUGGAUUUACAAGGAAAUCAGUGCUCAUAGGAUAUGGUUGUGGACUUGUUCUUGGCAUAGCUUCUGGUUUUCUAAUGUUUGCUACUGGAAAACCAAGAAGAUUGGUAAGAUUCAUUGAAGAAGAAGCAUAUAGUAAUAGUGUACUCUUGUUUGGAAAGAGAAAAACUGUAUAAUCAGCUGAAAAAACCAAUAACAUGUCACGAGCGCAUGGAAGAAGAAACUAAAUAUCCAGAUAAAUGAGGUAACUAGAACAUACAUUCUGUGAUUUUAUAUUGUUUCCUUGUACAACUUUGUUAUCUAUAUCAUCAAAUGUUUACAUUCUUAAGAUAAACUGUACUUCUUACAGUUGCCCAAUUUAUAUUCAAGCACUUACUAUCUUUGUGCUUAAUAAGCUAUUAUUCAUACAGCGGGUCUGGUUUUAUAUUUGUAUAGCUGAUAUCAAAUUUUUGGAGCAUGUCUCGUUGCCCCAUUAUUCAAAAAUAACAGCUUUAAGAUCUCCAGUCUAUGAACCAAGAUAUCACUCAAGGCCAUAACCAAAAGGAUGACCUCACAGGAUCCAAAGCCAUUUCUGAUAAUUAGUGAGACUGAUAGUUUCUUGGGUUUUCACUGAAUUUCUGAUUCAAUGAAUUAGAAUAGACAGCUUUAAGGAUAUGAUACCUUUCUUUUUAUUAUUCUCAUUUAUUGAUUUGAUCAAUUCAUCUAAGCAAUCACCAUUGUUGUAGUUUAAUGUGCUUACCUUUCAUUUUUGUAGGUGGAGAAAUUUGGGAAAGAGAACUUUUCAUUCCACGUUAGAUGUCUUAAGUAUUUGUGUUAGACCUAUUAACCUUUCACGGUUCUUCAAGUGCUGUCAAUUACUAAACUCAUAGAAAUCAAAAUCCGCUUCAAAAUUUCUCAUAUUAUGUCCUUUGUUCUUUUCAUGUGUGAAUCUUAGUGUGGUUUUGUAACACUUUGUAGAAGCUCAACAAUUGAUUACUAGAUUCAGGUUUCUAAAAGAUAGUCUCCAUUAAUUAUAUGAUUUAGGAAACCCAAAUUAAUGGUGAAAAUAAUAAUUACAUUUUUCAGAAGCUCCUAAAGGUAGGAACUAAUAUUGAAAUUCACCUUUAUGAGACGGUACAGACUCUAUACAUUGGCACAUCCCAAAAUUAUUCUGAAAAUGAUCCAGCUUUGUGUCAAAGUUCAUUAAGGGUACACAAGAAUGUCCAACCACAAGCUAAAAAUUAGUUUUACUAGAACUAAUUUUUAUUAAACUUCAAAACAUAAGCUAAAUUAUUUAACAACAAAAUAGCAAUGAAUUGAGAACAUAGGAUUUGUAAUUCAACAAAAAAGAGGAAAUUAAGGAUUAUGUGGAUUUGCACAAGUACAUGUAACUUGAUGUUACUGUUGGAUCUUUUAAUUGGAAAUAAAGGAUGGCUUACCUAAUUAAAUUUACCACUACCAGGUCAACCUUCUUGCAGUUUCAGCAUUGUUUUUUCAAUAACUCAGCUUCCCCAUGGAUUUUGCUGCAUUCAAAUAAUUUUGUCCUCAGCGUCAGAGAGAAGUCAUAGACAAGUAAUUUGAUUGAUAAGAAACCAACAUGUCAGGCCAUUCAAUUAACUUCUUAAUCAUGUAACUCACCGUUGUGCACAGAAAUAUGAGACUCUAAAAGACAAACCUUGAAAUAGCAUUUCUCCAUUCACGUUUAGUUUGAUUUUAUGAUCUAAAGUAACUGCUGGUGUACUUGCAACACAAAAUGAGAAGACUAACGUGCUUUGUGCAUCAGUUGAAUGAAGCUAAAGGAAAGCACCAACAAAGUGCCCUGCGUCUGGUGAACAAAAGCCACAUAUGGCAACACGAUGAACAUCUCCAGCUCCACGACAAACCUAGUUGCAAAGUUACCCAUUAAAGAACAUAAAAACGAAAGUUGAAAACUUUCUGAUCGAACAUCUUUAAAACCAACAGAACAAUCUUCCAGAAGGAGCAAGUCAUUCUGAUUCUUGUGCAAUCUUUUAUCAAUCCCACAAGGGUGGAACAAAACCUAGAAGUGGAUUCAAUUAAUAACUCUAUGGUGACAAAUUGUCAUCAAAAGAUUUAAGCUCUGAAGGAAACAACUAUAACCAAAAUUUUAAUUGUGGUAUAUACAUCUAAAUGAAAGCAAUUUCAAAGUUUGAGGAGCCAAAAACAUCAGCAAGAAUGAUGAUUGCUACCCAUAAAAGGAAAAAGAAAAAAAAGGAUAAGAUCAGCAGCUCUACUCAGCCACCACUCAAACUGAUUGCAACAUAGCUAGAACAUGUUGACACUCUGCCUAAUCUAAUUAACGAGAAACUGGCAUGUCAUACAAAUGCACUUCUGGACACGCAAUUGCGAGAAACUGGCAUGUCAUACAAAUGCAAUUGAUAUAAAUUUCUGCUGACAUGGGAACAAAAUGUUGAUCUCAGCAUCCUGGCAGUAUACUUCAUGGAUGGAAUAGUUGGAAAAUUGUAUUCAGCAAGUCAUGGAGCCUGAUGUUUCCAAGUCACUCUCUUCACUCCCAGCAAAUUUAAUAGAUCUGCCAAAAAGAGCCAUCUUCUCUGACAAAUUACGAAGAGCAUCCUGCCUAUUAGCCAAUUCCAUAAGCACCUUAAUCCUCCUAAAUGAAACAUUACUUGGUUUUUGCCCUUUCUCCACCAUCUGCAAGAAAGACCUCUCAGCCUCAUCCAACUUCCCCAUGUCACAAAGCAAAUCAAACAAAACGUCAGAGACCAAUAUAUAAGAGCCAUACCCCAUCUCCACCAUAUCAUUCCAUAGCUCAAGUCCCAUUUCAACCUUCUCGUGCCUUCUCAACAACCUGAUCAAAAACAUACAAGAUUGAGUGUUUGGUAGACACCCUGUUUCCCUCAUUCUCAGGUACAAGUUCCAUGAACUUAUCAAAUCAUUCCACCAAUAAAAGUCCUCAACAAAAUAUUUUAAGUAGUUGCAUUUGGGCUCAACACCUUCUUUACCAUCUCAUUCAUCAAACCAUAGGCAUCCCCAAUCCUCUUUGCAAUACAGAAAUUUCUAAUAGCAGCAUUGUAAGCUGCCACAUCAGGAUAGCAUCCAUACUCUCUCAUCUCUUCCAAAACAUCCCUUGCCUUAUCAGGUUGCCCCACAAGCCCCAAACCACCAAUCAAACUCGUAUAUGUAAUCACAUCUGGACUAAUAUCCCUCUCCCUCAUCUCCUCCACCACCCUAUACGCCUUAUCCAUUUCUCUCGUCUUACAAUACACAUCCACCAAACACUAUCAGGUUCAACCCCCAUUUCCCUCGUCUCCUCAAAAAAGCCCUCGGCCUCAUCAGUUGACUUCCAACCAGCCAACAAUAUAUUAAAAGUCUGCAAAUUCGGCCUAAAUUCAUGCUUCAAGUUAUGAUACACAUUCCUGGCAUCACUCAUCCUCUUCUCUUGACACAAUGUCCUAAACAGUGCAUUGUAACAACUAGUAUCAAACUCCAAAACAAGCCUUCGAAACCGCUUAAACGAAAUCACAGUCUGCUUAACUGAACAAACCUUAGCAAUCCUAGCUAAGACAACUUGAACAGUUCUUGAAGUGAUCGAAGAUUGAUCCUUUUUCUUCGCUUCCACCAAAACCUCCCAAAUAUUAUCAAAUUUUCUGCUCCUACCCAAAACAUACAGCAUUGUAUCCAAAGAAAAUGCAGAAUGCAAAAACCCCUUUUUCCUAGAUGUAAACUUAAAGAAUUCCAAAGCCUGUAAUGGAUUAGAAUGAGAAAAUCUGACCCUUUUCAGAACAUUAUCAAUUAAGUCAUUUGAGAAAGGGAUUGAAGCUGCUGCUGAUCUCAGUGACUGUCUGAGUUCAACUGAGGUUCUUGAACUUGUUAGUAUCCGAAAAACAGUCUCAACAUCGUCGUUUACAGCAGGGGAGGAAGAAGUAAAAGGCGGGAUUUUUUCAAUUUGGGGAAUGGAACUAAAGAAAAGAAGUGAAUUUAAACAGGCAUACCUUACUGUUGCCGUUGAUGAUGUACAAGAGUGAAGAAAAAUGGGAUUUCUGAUAAAAAGAUGGAGCAAUUUUUUUGGGAUGAAAUCUGAAUGAAGACAAGAACCAAAUAUUCAGACUCUAUGCUACUGCUGCUCCUGCAGGUUUUCCCUCAAGUAUUCGAAUGCAUGAAAUUUUUGGGAUUUUUGUGAUUUUGGGGUCAUUUUUUAUGCUGUGGUUUUGCCGCAAAGCGAUUCUUCCAGCUGAAUUGAAGUGAAAGUUACACUUCAGGGAUGCACCUCUGUAUUCUUUUGUUUUCCUCUUUUUUGCCUUUUUUUUUCCAUCGGCGAAAUAAAAAGAGAAAAAAAAAGUAGGCUAAUACCAUAAAAAUGACCAUAGUUUUAGAACCAUCAGAUCCAAUUACUUUUAAAGGUCAAACUAGGAGGGGAACACCGCGCGAUGCGCGGUGUAAUUUUCAAGUUUGCCCAGAAACGUUCAAUUAUUCAAACUGGGAUAUUCAAUAUAAAAAGUUACAUGAAGGUGCAUCCAAAUGUUUGUGAUUAUUUUUUAUAAUUUUAUUAUGCAAUGAAGAGAGCCACAAUUUCAGUCUAGUUGCUAAAUGACAGUCAUUUUUGGUAUGCUGACUAAUUGGACAGCAAUGGCAAUGUCAUUAGUUUGAAAAUAAUAUAACACUGUGUAAUGCUGCCUUAUAUUUUUUAUGUACACCAAAAUCUGUGACUUUGUAGCUAAAAAAAAAAAAGAGAGAGCAGUGUAGUAUUGCAGCAAGGCUUAGCCUUAUUUUUAGACUCUGAUACAACCAAUCCACUAUUUUCGUAAUUGCAUCAAAUUAACCCAAAGACUGAAAGAAAGACCUAUUACUUUGUAGUACAAUAACCAAAAUGGCUUCAUUAGCUUGUAACUUCAAGAAAUCUACGGAAAGCAAAAGAAUUGUGCUCACAUAUCAACCGUAGUGAGAUAAACUGCAUUUGACCAAAAACGGAGGAGGAUUACCUAAUGCAGGUGUAUCUUCUCAAUACAUCAAUAGUAUAGGGGAUGGUCAAGUACUCAAUACACAAAAAAAAAAGAAAAAAGGAAGUUUCACAGGCCUCGAUGCAAUUCUACCUUUGAUCAUUUGAUGCAUGUCAACAACCAGAAUCCCGUAAAAGGAAAGACAAGUACAUGAGAUAAUGUAAAAGCCUGCAUUUAUGAAACUUACUACCAGUAGACUGCAUUCCAGAGGUUCUCAUUACACAUCAAAGCUGUUCCAGCUCAAAAAGGAAUAUAAGAAAAAGAAGAAAAAAGAAAUGCACAGUGUGCAUCAAGCCUUUUCCUUGUUAUUAGAAUCAUACACUUCAAAAUAACCGAAAGACCGAAAAAUGCAUUACUUUGUAGUACAAUAACUAAAAAGGUUUUUAUUAGCAUAUAACUUCAAGAAAUCUAAUGAAAAGUGUGAAUUUCAGAGGAAGAGAAUAAAUUCCCCAUAUUUUUAUUCAUCAAUGGUAAGGGUAUAUAUACAGGUAUAGACAUCUUAUAAUAUGAAGAUAUCCUAUUACAAUAAAUCAGUCCUCUAAUUCCUAUAAUUUAGGCUACAAACUAGCCUACAUUUGUUAGCUAUCUAAUCCCUACAAAUCAGCCUAUAUCAAUCUGUGACAGCUAUCUAAUCCCUACAAAUCAGCCUGCAUAUAAUCUGUAACACUCCCCCUCAAGCUGGAGCAUAGAUAUUAAUCAUGCCCAGCUUGUUACAUAGAUAAUCAAUCCGGACCCCGUUAAGAGCUUUUGUGAAUAUAUCACCUAAUUGUUCUCCAGUCUUCACAUAACCUGUAGUGAUCAAACCUUGUUGGAUCUUUUCACGAACAAAAUGACAAUCAAUCUCAAUGUGUUUCGUUCGUUCAUGAAAGACUGGAUUGGAAGCAAUGUGAAGUGCAGCUUGAUUAUCACACCAUAGCUUGGCAGGUACUGAGACCUUAAUUCCUACUUCACUAAGGAGCUGAUAUACCCAUAUGACUUCACACACAGACUUGGCCAUAGCUCUAUAUUCAGCUUCCGCACUGGAUCGUGAGACGACAUUCUGUUUCUUACUCUUCCAUGAGACCAAAUUUCCCCCAACAAAAACACAAUAUCCUGAAGUAGAUCUCCUAUCUUCCUUACACCCUGCCCAAUCUGAAUCUGAAAAACAUUCAAUCCUAGUAUGACCAUGAUUGCCAUAUAGGAUUCCACGUCCAGGAGCACAUUUUAAAUAGUGCAAAACUUGUUCGACUGCUUUCCAAUGGUCAACAGUUGGUGAGGACAUAUAUUGGCUUAACACACUCACUGAAUAAGCAAUAUCAGGACGUGUCACAGUAAGAUAAUUCAACUUUCCGAUUAGUCUUCUGUACCUCUCAGGAUCUGCACACAAUUCACCUUCUUUGGUUAAUUGUAAAUUAGGAACCAUUGGGGUACUACAUGGUUUAGCACCCAACUUUCCCGACUCCGACAGUAAAUCAAGUACAUACUUUCUCUGUGAUAGAAAGAUUCCCUUCUUACUCCUGCUAACUUCAACUCCCAAGAAAUACUUUAACAUCCCCAAGUCUUUGGUAUAGAACUGAGUAUGAAGAAAGGACUUUAGAGACGAAAUUCCGCUAGAGUCGCUACCUGUGAUUACAAUAUCAUCCACAUAUACAACUAACAGAAUAAUACCUCCAUUAGAGUGUCUAUAGAAAAUAGAAUGAUCUGACUUGCUUUUCUGCAUCCCAAAUUUCUCAAUAGCUUGGCUAAAUUUUCCAAACCAAGCCCGAGGACUCUGUUUCAAGCCAUAUAGAGAUUUUUGCAGACGACAGACUUUCCCUUUCCCAUACCCCCCUUGAGCAACAAAACCAGGUGGUUGCUCCAUAUAUACCUCCUCCUGAAGAUCACCAUGAAGAAAGGCAUUCUUGAUGUCUAACUGAUGCAGAGGCCAGUCAUAAGCUGCAGCAAGGGAGAUAAACAACCUGACCGAAGCAAGUUUAGCAACAGGAGAAAAAGUAUCAUGAUAAUCCACCCCAUAAAUUUGAGCAUAUCCUUUAGCAACAAGUCGAGCUUUCAAUCGAGAAAUGGAGCCAUCAGAAUUCAUUUUGACAGUAAACACCCAUUUACAUCCAAUGGCUUGUUUACCUGCAGGUAAGGUAACCAAAGUCCAUGUACCAUUGACAUCUAGAGCAUUCAUUUCCUCAAUCAUAGCAGUCCGCCAUCCGGGAUGAGCUAAUGCCUCUCGAACAGUCUUAGGUACAGAAACAGUGUCUAGGGAUGUAAGAAAAGCACAAGAAGAGGAAGACAAAUGAUGGUAGGAAACAACUGAAGAGAUUGGAUAAGUACAUGCACGUUUACCUUUUCUGUGAGCAAUAGGGAGAUCAAGAUCAUCGUUGGCAGCCGGAUCUGAUGACAAAGAGACUGGUUCAUCAGGACAUGAUUCUGGAGACUCAAGGACCAAGUCAGAACUGGGCUGAUGUGCCCGACGUGAGUAGGUAUAUUUGAUGGGAGGCUUAACCGGUGUAGAAGGAGGCGGACCCAAAUUUGGUAUGACACUAUAGAUUAACAAAUCAUCAUCCUCCCCUGGACUCACAGAACUUGAAGAGCCUGAAGAUGAAGAUAAAGGUGUUUGUUCCAAAAAAGUAACAUCAGCAGACACAAGAUACUUACCAAGACUAGGACAAUAACAACGAUACCCUUUUUGCAUGCGAGAAUAACCCAGAAACAUACACUUUAAGGACUUAGGAUCAAGUUUUGUAACUUGAGGACGAACAUCCCGAACAAAACAAGUACAACCGAAUAUCUUUGGUUCUAUAGGAAACAACUGUUUAUUUGGAAAUAGAGUGUGGAAAGGAGUAUUACCAGACAAAACAGAGGAAGGCAUACGAUUGAUUAGAAAACAAGCAGUAGAUAGAGCAUCAGCCCAGAAACAUUUAGGAACCUUCAUUUGAAAUAACAAAGCUCGAGCAGUUUCAAGAAGGUGUCUAUUCUUUCUCUCGGCAACCCCAUUUUGAGAAGGGGUGUCAACACAAGAGGUCUGAUGAAGAAUACCCUGCUCAAGCAUGUAUUUCUGAAAACUGCUUGAAACAUAUUCUUUUGCAUUAUCACUUCGCAAAAUUUGUACAGGUUUACCAAAUUGGGUUCGAAUUUCAGCACAAAAGGAAGAAAAGUGAAGAAAUAGUUCUGAGCGACUUUGCAUCAAAUAAAGCCAUGUCAUUCUAGAAUAAUCAUCCACAAAGGUAACAAAAUAUCUGAAACCAGUUUUAGAGGUAACUGGACAAGGACCCCAAACAUCAGAAUGUACUAACUCGAAGGGAGCAGUAGCUCGCUUAUUGAUUCUAGGACUAGAACUAAGACGAUGAUGUUUAGCAAACUGACAAGACUCACAAUCUAAGGAAGUAAUGUUUGAAAACUGAGGACAAAGUUUCUUCAACAUAGAAAGCGAAGGAUGACCCAAUCGACAAUGUGCUUCAAAAGGAGAGAUUGUUCCAGCACAAGCUAUAGACCCUGGUUUCGGUGUAUCAAGAAUGUAGAGACCGUCAGACUCAUGUCCCUCACCAAUAAUCUUCUUCGUCAUGAGAUCCUGAAAUGAACAAUAACCAGGAAAAAAUGAGACACAACAAUUAAGAGCACGAGUAAGUUUGCUGACAGAAAUCAGAUUAAAAGAUAGUUGUGGUAGACUCAGAACAGAUGAUAAAUGGAGAGAUGAUGUGGGCUGAGUGGUUCCAGACCCAAUAACACUGGAUGUUGAACCAUCGGCUAAAGUAACAGGAGUGAUAGAUUUAUGUGGCUGAAAGUUAGAAAGUAAACUAGGAUUACCUGUCAUGUGAUCAGUAGCACCAGAAUCAAUGACCCAUUUUGGAGAAGAGGAAACAAGACAUGCAUUGGGUUUACCUGUCUCGACAGGAGCAGUAACAUGACCAGAUGGCUGUUUCACUGUUUCUUGAAACUGAGUCAAUCUAGCAUACUUAUCCGCAGAUAUUGUAACAUGCUUGUCAGAGGUGGCACAACUAGAUGCAAUAUGGGCAGAGUGAGCCUUCUUAUACUGCAGCUUCCGACAGUCUCGCUUGAUAUGACCUGGUUUAUGACAGUAGUGACAUACAAUCUCUCCUUGCUCCUGUCCAUGAUUGCUAGUAUUCUUAUCAGAGUGGUUGGGCCCCGACCCCAUGCUCGUACUGUUGCCAUUACUCUUGUAGUGUUGUCUUCCUGAAUCAGCUGUGGUAGUUCGGCUAAGAAGAACACUGUUAGGCUGAGUAGAUAGAACAGGUAACGUAUUCUCUGUACGGAGAACCCUUCGAAAAGCAUCUUCUAGACUGGAAAUUUCUGAACCGGAAAGAAUUUGAGAUUUAGCAGUCUCAAAUUCAGACGGAAGACCGGCUAGAAAACUCAUAACCGCCAUCUUCGCUCGCUGAUUUCGUUGUUCCUCCACAUCACAACUGAAGGGAAGCAGCAUAUUGAGCUCUUCAUAUGUUUUCUUGAAGUCCAUAAAAUAACUGGUGAGAGACUUGUCUCCUUUAUCUGCCCUGUAAAAAUCCUUGCAAACAUCAUAGAUACGAGAGAAAUUUCCUUUUCCAGAAUAUAAGAACUGUAAAUAGUUCAUUAAUUGUUUUACUGUCUUACAAUGAGUCACCAGACCAACCACCUCACUAUCAAUAGAAUUACGGAUCUGUAUAUACAAGCGAGCAUCCUCUCUCAUCCAAGACAAUUUAGAGUCAUCCGUAGGUGGAUCAUCAGUCAGAUGGCCAUCCAUAGAAAUACUGAGCAGAUAUAAUUCAAUAGUAUUGUUCCAAUCAAGAAAAUUAAUUCCAGUUAACUUAUGUUCCGUGAUUUUUGAAACCAGCGGAACUAUAUCAGAAACAACUCCAGGCUUUUUGUCAGACAUAAUUGCUAAGAAAAUUCAACAAGAUAACAGAUUACCCACAAGAAAAACCUGUUGUAGCCAAGUCCCACACCUAGAUCGAUGUUGACCCACAAACAGGUAUGCAAAUAGCGUCGAGAGACAGAGGAGAGGUGCUGGGUUCUGACCAAUCGGUACUACGUACCUCCCUGAGUUGGCGGUGUCUAUAAAGGAACCUCUAAAGCCUGUACCUUGAAUAUGGCAGCAGCUUCCCUCACACCCAACAACCCAGAAAAAAAAAAUUUAUGAACAAACCUUGCUCUGAUACCAUGUGAAUUUCAGAGGAAGAGAAUAAAUUCCCCAUAUUUUUAUUCAUCAAUGGUAAGGGUAUAUAUACAGGUAUAGACAUCUUAUAAUAUGAAGAUAUCCUAUUACAAUAAAUCAGUCCUCUAAUUCCUAUAAUUUAGGCUACAAACUAGCCUACAUUUGUUAGCUAUCUAAUCCCUACAAAUCAGCCUAUAUCAAUCUGUGACAGCUAUCUAAUCCCUACAAAUCAGCCUGCAUAUAAUCUGUAACAAAAAGAAACUGUGUUUACGUAUCAACCUUAGUGGGAUAAAUUGCAUUUGAUCAAAAAAGGAGGAGGAUUAUUAAUAUAGGCCAUACUUCUAUCCUCUCAAUACAUCAGUAGCAAAAGGGAUGGUCAAACUCUUGGCACAAAAUAACUCAUCCAGUUACACAAGAUUUUAAACCAAAUAAAAAUAUUAUGAUAACACCAUCCGCGUGAGAUAUAAUGCAUCAAGAGCUGACAUACAUAUAUAGCAGGUAAUGCAAAGAUCAGAUAGCUACAGUUAGUGCAAAAUCUAGUAUCCAGGGUCAUACGCUUCAAGGCUUUGAUCUUGAUAAAGCUUCAAGGGUGGCCGAUUCUGCUUCCCACAUAAAUAAACACGUAGUUUUGUUAAUCAAAUGGCAGAGGCAUUCUUGAGUGGUACUGCAAAAAUCCACUUCGUAUAGUUAAAUAUUAGUAACAAUUACCAUAUUCUCCAAAAAUAUAUCAUAGAUUUUUUUCUUUUAUCAUUGUCACUUCCAUUUUAAUCUAACUUUUUUCACUUACAGGAACAUCAUAAUUAGCGCCUAUCUAUGCAAUUACCUAUAUGGCAGACAAGUUUUUUCCAUAUAAUUAUCCCUGAAGGCAAAAGUAUGGGGCAAAGGAUUUUGUACAAUUCAUAGGUUAGGGCAUACUGCACCAGUGUGGCCAAAGAAUAAACGAACAAUCUUCAAUUACAAUAUAAAACAUGCAAUAACUACAAAUGAACAAUUUUCCAUUACAUUAUUAUAUACACAAUAUACACACUGUUGUAAAAAAAAAUUCCAUUCAUAGAGAUGGUUACAUUAAACCGAAAGGUGAAAGAAAAAAGGUUAGAAUCAGCACCUUAAAAGUAGUAGAAGGCCAUUAUUUGCUUUAUUAUAUGCCGAUAAUUUUAAUACCUAAUUCCAUCAUGAAGAGCCAGGUAGCCAUCUAAUUUAACGCCAAAUAAGGACACAAAGAAAUGGUUCGCAAGCUAAAUAGCAGAAAAGAUAAUUAACAGAAACUUAAUCAUUUUCUCAUAAUUAACAGAAACAUAAUCAACAAAGACAUCUACUAAUUAUUAGUAUACAAGCACAUCAAUUUGACUAAGAUAUUUUUUUAAAUAAAGUGUAAACAGCUUACUUGUCUAAAGCUGAACUAUGCUAAAAGGCCAAAGCUUGGGCUUAGACUGACUGGUACUAAACGAAGCAUUACCCCUAUAAAAUUCAACCCAAAAGUUAACAAAAAUAAACAGGAGCAAAAAUAAAUUGUUCAUAUGCAAAAUGGAAACAAGUAGCAAAAAAGAAGGCUGUAAAAUGUUACACAAAGAUAAUCACCAAGUUUUUAGCCAAAGACAUUGUGCUAAGAUUUAAACAACCCAUGAAUCCAAAACUAUAUGGUCAAAGAAGGAAAAGAGAUCUAGGGAUUUUUUCUUCUAAAUAAUAGGUUUUUUGGUAAACAUACACCUUUCAUAACAGCAUUUGUGGCCAAAGUGUUAUCUACCAACCAAUCUAACAAAUUUUGCCACUUUAACCUCCUUUCCCACAAUUAGUUGAAAAUUAUUCAAAACUAUAAUUAAAAACUUCAAACUAAAGUCAUCAAAAGAUGAAAUAAGUUCAAUUCCAUUGGAAAUUGACAAUGGCGGAGACAUGAAAAAGAAACAAAGAAAAUUGACAAUUUAAGUUAUUUCGAAAAUCCCAAGCAACAACUAAACAAGAGCUGGGAAAUUUGAGCAUAUAACAUCUCGAGUGAUAACCAAUGCAAUCUUGAUUUUGAGCUCCAAGACUCCAAAUGAUCAAGUAGUAUAGUACAGCAUAAACUGAAAAGCAUGAAACUUUUGCACUAAAAACCAAAGCCAACAGAUGAGAUAACUUAUUUAUGGCUUGGUUCCUAAGCUUAAAUGACACCACAAAUACAGCAAUAAUAAAAAAUCAACUUUAAUGUGCUCAAACUUCAAAGCUUGCGACGUCUGUGCAAUCACUCAGUUGAAAUUUUAGCUCAAAACACUAUACAACGGAAAAGGAAUAAGCAAAAGCACAAAAACACAUAAAAUCCGACAUUUUAAAAGCAAAAAAAAAAGAAUCCAUGGAAUUAAUGUUUGGAACCUUUUUUACGGCAUGCAGUGCAGCUCCAUGACCACUGACGCCAGCGCCAAUAAUGAUGAGAUCGUAAUCAAAGGAUUUGGGAGCGCUUCCAUUAUCAUCCGAAGAUGCAGAAACCUUCGUCGGACUCGCCUGCGCUUUUCUCGGAAAAAUUAGCCUCUUUGCUCGAAUAAACUGGCCGCGCUUCAGCUGCGAGGGAACUGAAAACCCAGAGAUUUCUAAUAUUUCACCUGCAAGAUCUAAGCAGAAGAAAAUAAAAAACAUACUACGGGUAGGAAAGCAGAUUUCUAAUAUUUCACCUACAAACUCAAAAGCAUACUCAACAAGAAAAUAAAAAACAGCAGAUCUCUGGGUUUAUAAAUACUUCUGACUUUCACUGCUUUUGGAUGAAGAUUUUACUACAGCUUUCUUUGUUUGCUCAAAGAAGGAGAUGAAAAAAUAGUAUUUCAGACCUCUAGGUUAUUAAUCGAAAGAUUAACAAAUCUUAGCAAGAAAAAUGUCUUUCUUUCUUGAAUAAAGGAAACUGUAAAACUUUGGGGAAAUAUUGGAGCUUACCAAUUAAGAUGAUUUCUGUGUCUCAUGCGUUCAGUAGCUUCAUAUCCAGACCAAUUCUAACAAGGGAAAAAAAUCAGUUAGAAUCAUAUAAUUGAAAAAAAAGGAAAGAGAAGAAAGGAAAAAGGGGGGAGGGGGGAAACGGGAAGGAAAAACAGAGAAAAAAGGACCAAAUAAAAACAACAAAAAGGAACAAAGAAAAGAAAAGAAAAGAAAAAUGGAAGGGGAGAGGAGAGGAGCUCUGGAGAGCAACGAAGCGGCGGACAUGAAUGAGGGGAAAGAAAACAAGGGAAGCCCUAAAACAAAAUUUUUGGCACGCGAGUCCCACGUGAUUGACGACCAAAUUCCAGCCAAUAAAACCCAGCCACGUCAGCAAAACAACAACCACCCUUAACAAUCCCAUUCGCGCUUUUACUAUAUAGGUAGAUUAGCAUUAUUCUUGUUCGGCUGGUUCUAGUUUCGAUUUCAGUUUCUAUCAUUUUCAAUUUUAGUAUUUUUCUAGGUAUAGUUUUCAGAUUUUCUAGUACAUUUAAUUACUUAUGAUUAUAAAAUUAAUUUUAAGAAAAUAUAAUAAUGAAUUUAGAGUAACGAGAAACUAAAGAAAAUGAAUGUAAAAAAAAAUAAGGCUUUUAUUGUAUUAUUAGCUUACAAGGAAGAGAAAGAUGAUAAAAAAAAAAUUUAUGUAAAACAUAUCUCAUAUUUAUUGAAUGUUUUAAAUAAAACAAAAGAUACAUAAUUUUCUAUCAAACUUGAAAAAAGAAAAAGAGAAAAACAUCUCAAUUUUCUCACUAACUUGCGCAUUGUUUUUCUUUUGACUCAACAUUUUAGAACUAGCUUAAUGCUGUUGAACUUUCGGUGAACCUCAACCAAAACCUUUAACCAUGGUUCCAACACCGAUUUAAAAUUUCCAAAUUAGUUAUAAUUUUUUUUUAACAAAUUGCUGAUUCAAUUCCGAUUUGAUUCCAAUUUGAACCUGAACUAUGGCCAUGGUUAUUACUAUUACGUAGAGGUGGCAAUUUGUCCCAAAUCCCAAUGAACUACCCAUACCCAAAAAGACUUUGGCGGGAUGGGUAUUGUAAUUUGAUAUUAGGUUUAAAAUGGGAUGCAUCCCAAUUAUACUCAUUAUUUGAUGGAAAAUGUUGGAAAAUACUUGGGUACCUAUUGAGCCCAAAUAUCUUCCCAAAAAAUUUCAUUUUAUCCAAAAAUUCAUCAUUAUUUUUUUUUUUUUGCAAAAAUCUGAUUUUUUUUCACUUCCAUUUUCUUUCAUUUCCUUUCUUCACUUUCCUACAAAAGAAAACCAGUUAAGUAAAAAUGAUUUCAUUUAAACAACUUUAAAAAAAUUAAAGAUAACAAUAAAAAUAAAAUAAAUUGGUAAAAUUUUGGUGUCUACAAGAUCAAUACUUUACUAACAACUGUUGGUACCCUAUAUGUUAAUUUUAUGCUAAUUGUUGAACUAUCUACAUAGAUUUCUAUAUGCAACCCUGUUAUCAAUUUUUAAUCAGCUUCUUCGUUUCUGUGCUAGCUUUAUUCAGCAUUUAAUGUGAAUUUCUUUUGUAUCAAAUUUUGAAAAUUUUAAGAAUGUCAGUAAGAAUGAAUGUGGUGUUAAAAAACUUGUUUCUAGUCCUUGUGUCAGACAACAUUAUGGGUAAGGUUGGAAUAUGGUUGUAUAUCUAUCUUUUCCUUUUUUUGUUAAUCCAAUUUUUGGUUUAAUCCAGGGAGAAGAUAUGUUCAUUCUUACCAAAAUAUUAUGUCUUUUAAAAGUAACUGCUGAUCGUUCUAAAGUGUAAAUGAAUUCAGGAAAAUAUAAAUUCACAAUAAGAUCAAAAGAAAUUUAAUAAAUAAAAAUAUUAAAGUUAUAUAAAAAAUAAAAAAGAAUUAAAGGAAAAAUAUAGAAAAUAGAUUUGGGUAUUGGACGGGAUCAAUCUAAACCUAUCCCAAAGUGAUCCCGCCCAAGUUAGUCCCAAAAUAUAUAUGGGUAAGAUUAGACCCAAACCCAUAUGAUUCGGUUCUAUUUCGAAUUCAAGCAAAUCACGUCCAUCCCGCCCAUUUUGCCACCUCUACUAUUACGAACCAAAUAGUGAAAAACUUGGGUUUUUUUUUUAUGGAAAUGAAACAACUUUGGUGCGAAGGAAGCUCAAGGGCUCAUGCAUCAAAAACAGAAACUGUUUCGUUGAAGCCCUUUUGGAUAGUGGAUAUUGCCGGCUCAGGCCAUUGAAUUUGAAUUGAAGAAGGAUUGCAUCGUGAUAUAAAUAAUUAGAUUGUAAACGAAUUGAAUCGAAUACAAAAUCUAUUCCCAGAUUGAAUUCUGGAUAUUAAGUCACACAACAAGUAGGAAAAAAUAAUAAAGUUAAAAUUGCCAUGUAUUGCCAAUUUUUCAUGUAAAUCCGAACUUUUUUUCAGUUUUCAUAUAAUGUUUUUAAAAAUUGAAGCCAAAAUCACUAUAUGUACUCGAAUUGUUAAUUAGGCAUUUUAUGACUAAUUUGAUUUAGCAAGUGCUCUAAGUUUUACUCAUCGUUAGCUUAAUUUCUUAAGAUUAUACUCGAAUGCCCAAAUGCACGUAAUUAGAAUGGUAUCUUAUGUACAUAUUAUUAAAAUGAUGUCUUAUGAAAUUAUUGCAGGUAUCAUGCAACAAAAUUUUAUCAAGUCCUAAAAAUGAUGUGAGUUCUUGGAAAAUAUUUUAAAAAGAAAAAAUGCAUGCAUUAUUAUUUUGGUAGUCCACUUAUAUUAAUUGCAUGAGCAAUUGAAGGCAGUCCAAAAUUUUUUCAACAAUCUUUACAAGUGCAAAGUGUUCAUUGUUCACAAUAACAAACAAGGGUGAAACUAUAAAAACUAUUCUUCCUUGGAAAAAUGUGAAAUGUGGGCAAAGAUAUUAUGAAAAUAACACAAAAGACUCGAUGAUCAUAAAAUCAAAUGUUCAAAACAACAUAGAAUAGUUCAUGAUCUUUGUAUACUUUAUACAUAAAUGCAUAAUUAAUGAGUUUUCUAUUAAAUUCCAUAAACUGCAUGGAGGAUAUUAUCAGUUUCAUAUGAGAUUAACUUGGGGUCAACUGGUCAUGGGUAGACCAUGAGAUGCCCUAAAACAUGACAUGGAGAAGAGAAUCUGCAUAUUAAGUGGCUCUUAGAGUCUCUUGCUACUAAUACUCUUGUUUAUGCCUUGGCUAAAAAGCUUGAGCUGCAGGUUAAAUGGCCUUAAUUUUAAGUACUCUUGUAACUUAGCUUAAUUUUGAAUUUGGCCCUGAACAAAUAAUUCAACUCUUGAUUCGAGUUCGAACAAGAAAUAUGAUUUGAUUAAAGUAUCAAAUAAAAUUCGAGUUGAAUAUUCGACUCGUACAUAUUCAAUUGAUUAAAGUUCAAUGCAACUCAACUAAUUUUUUAUAUUUUUAAGUUUCUUAAUAUUUUUUAUAAAAUUAUGCAUUUCCUAUUUUAUUAUUAAAAAAUUAAAUAAAAUUCCAAGCUCCGAAUUGAGCUCGAGCCUAGUGAGUACUAAAUUGAAUCAAACUCAACCUUAAAUUUUAAACUCGUUUAGGAUUCGAAUUGAGCUUUCGUUUGAGUCCAAAAAUUCAAAUCAAGUCGAAAAAUUAGAAUUGGAAUCUGAGUCUAACAGCUAAGAAGUUCGAGUAAAUUCGUUUGCUGCCCUAGCUUUAUGGAUUUGAAAUCCACGAAAUACAAGUUGAAAAGCCAAACAAUUAAUCAAGAAACCAGAGCAUCAAAAACUAUUCAAAAGUUUCCUUUCCUUUCUUCCUCAAUCUCCAUCCCUUGACCAAGACAAAAAAGGUUUUCACUAGUAACGACAUACAAGAAAGGUCUAUCAAUCCUUUAAAGGGCUAAGGGAAAGAGGAAAUGAAACCCCAACUCAAGGGAAGAACAACAGGGACAAUAAUUACAAAAACCUUUACAACUAUACAAAAUUCCUGUAGAAUUGAGGGAUUAUUUCCUCACCUCAAAAUUAGGGAAUGCUUUCUCUAUAACAUGAGUUGGCACUAUGUACUGUUAUGAUUUUUCUUUGUGUAUGUCAAAUAUGGAUCCUGAGCAAUGGUCAAAACAUCUGGCCUCUCUGCCUGAUUAUAUGUAAGACAACGACGAAUAAAAUCCUGCAAAACAUAAAAGGAGUUGCUACUUCAGCAUACAGGACAAAGGUGAUGAAAGAAAAGUUUAGCGCAGUCUAUAUACCAGUAUUCUUCAGCUUUUUGUCAGCAAAUGUCCUUUAACCACAUGUUAACAUCAUUCAUCGCAGAAAAUCCAAAAACUAAAAUAAACAUUGUAAUAAAGAAUCCAAGCUAAACAAGGAAACAUCCUAAAGGUAUAAAUUUUGCACCUUUGCCAAGCAAAUAAUUUAGAAAUCCAUCAACAGUAUUGUUAUCAAUUUUCAUGAGAAUCAGCAAUGGCAGUUUUAUUUAUAAAUCAUCAUCAUAGUUUCUUCAUUUUUGACAUACCUAGCAAGUUUCUCUAUUUCGUUUUGUUCCUUCAUCAAUCAUUUCCAUAUUAUGACUUGCAAUAUGAGUAAAAGGAAGCAUGAACAUUAUGUCUGAGCCAGUCAGCCAGAUGUUAAUCUGUCUCAGAAACUGCUAUAAAACAUUGAUACAAAUGAGAUUUUCAAAUUUGCAGCACAUCUGGCUUGGAGAAUUGCCAGAGACGAGUGGGGGGUGGGGGUGGGGGAAUAGAUUGACAUGUUUGUAAAUGGACACCCUCGAUUGAAUUUCAUACAGAAUACUUCCGCUAACAGAAAGUAUAGACAUUGACGAGUCAAAACCCAUUUACUGAAAUAAAUUUUGAAGCACUUCAAUACCACACAAAAAUUGACUCCACUAUGUUGGAAACAAUAACCAUUAUGAAACAAACAAGAGGAUAUCAAGAAUAAACUCAGUAGCAUCCACAUGAUUGGCAUGCUUAUCCAUUACAGAUAAAUUAAAGAGAUAAUUGUUGAAACUUUUGUCAAAUAAGAUUUACACAAGUGAAAACACAUCAAAUUGUAAAGUAUAAGAAAGAUGAUCGAUUUCACACCCCACUUUUACUGUUAUCAAAUUGUGGUAAUAAACACUAGCAAUUAGUGCUGGUGAUGGUGAUAGUGGUGGUGGUGGUGGUCAUAGUAACAAUGAUAUAGUCUCUCCUACGCAGACUCUCUUAGAGAAUUUACCCUACAUAAGGAUGUCGAAGAUUAUCACCCCAAGAAACAUUAGCAAAGAAGUUUACACACAAAUGAUUAGUGAACCUGCCUUUGCCUCGUUCGACACAGCUGGCCUUGAAGGAAAAUCCACCUUCCGGGCUUUAAUGAUGGUAUCUUCGCGUAAAACAAACAAAACAGACAGAAUUCAACCAAGAUCAAUCUAGCAAACGUCCGUGAUCUAUCCCCCAUUCUAACAACAACUCCCAAUUUUCCUUACUACGAGGAGCUUUAGCCCAUAAGAGACAAGUCAAGUUGAACAAUUUUAACCACUGUUGAUUUAAUAAAAUUUGGAGUGAAGCCCUCCAACGUGUACAGGGCUUGUCUUUCCAAAAAAACAAAAAACAAAAAACAAAACCGCUGCUGCAACUACUUCCAUUAUCAGUAUUCUGUAUUCGAAAAUCAACAUUUAGUCUUUCCCAAAUUUAGUAUAUUUUAGUGCAUAAUUGAAAAAUUCUCUUGGCGCAAGUGGAAAAUUAUAGAUUUGCAAUCAAUUACAAAUUUUCCUCGAAAAUAGAUGCCCAGUGAUCAACUAUGGCGCUUCAUAGUUCACCUUUUCCAGUCUUAUACUUAGGAGUUGGUCUUAAUAGUGCAUUAAUUUUUUCAUAGUUAAUCAGAAUUUUCUAUGACAAAAAAAAGAAGAAGAUUCAUGAAGAAAAAUAAUCUAUUGGCUGUACUUUUUUUCGAUUUAGACAUCAAUAGUGCAAUGGCAAAAGGACUUUGUAGAUGAAGCUAGUUGAUGUAAUGAAUUUAUGAUGAUUUAAUUAACUAAAAAGGCAAUCAAUUCGGUCUACUAAAUGUCAUACUCAAGAGGUCAUCAUCUUUGUCAAAGGGUCUAUACAUUCCAUACAUUAGUAGUAAAAGUUAGUGGAUUUGUUAGUAUUGAUGACCAUGUUAGCCACUGAUUUCUAUUAAAUCAUGUCUUCAGCUUCUUAUAAGCUUCUCUAUACCCUACCUAAUCUCAUACCAUUUUACUUUCUCUUGGAUUAUGUGGAAUGCCUACUUGACUGCCUGCAAUGCCUAUAUUUUAAUGAUUCCGGUGCAUUUUCAAAAUCUUCAAUUUAUUUUGUAAAGUAUCGAAGUUCAGUUCACUAAUUGGCCAUAAAAACAGAUCAAUAGCAAAGUUGAAAUAUGCCACUUAUCCUGAGACUUUGCAGAAAGUUUGGAAUGUUAAUGUUGUCCCUUGUAAUCCGAAUUAUCCGAUUAUGUGAAACUGAAGUUGUUGAAGGGUGAGAUGAGUUUUUCACUUGUAUACAAGCUGUUUAAUGGGGUUUUCAAUAAAAAACUUUAUCAUUUGCUCCAAAAAAAAAAAAAAAAAAGAAGAAGAAGGGUGAGUUGAGGAAGCUGAAUGCUAAGCAAUAUAGUUCUAUUAGUGAUAGAAUAAACAGGUGUGUAUGGCCAGUUAUGUGAAGUGCAAUCCUUUUCCUUCAUUCACCUUUUGAUAUCUCUUUGCAAUUUCAAGAACAAUCUCAGAGUAGUUGUCUCAACUAGGAGGCGACCAGCUAGGAUUUAUGUUUACUUUACGGGCCAAAGAUACUGGCCUGGCCACGUCUUCUUCUUCUUGGUUUUUUUUUUAAUUCUUCUUAUAGAUCUUUCAGGCGAGUAAGCAACCUUUUGGGGAAAUAAUGUGGUAUAUUUGGACAUUGGGAUAAUUUAACAAAUCUCCUCUGAGUUUAUAACAAAUUCAUCAUAGCUCCCCUCAAAUUAUGACAUGACGCUUGUGUCUAUUAGCUAUUGAUUUCCAAGGCAAAUACUGAAGUUUACCUCUAUGUUUACCAUUGACACUUUCUAUACAAAGCGAUACAAAUUAUAUAUAAGAGAUUUGUGAAAAUGUUAUACUUCCGAGCUAUAACUCAUAAACAAAGGCAUUCGUAAAACCCUUUUGAUUCAAAUAUAUAGAUAUACUCAACUAUACACUUAACAAUUUAAUGUGUGCUAAAGUGAGUAGAAUAGGCUUUUGAAAAAAGUACUCAAAAGUAUGCUACUUCCAUCAUUACCUUCUAGCACGCAUUGUGCAAACUCUUUUCAAAUAGAAAAAAGGGAACGGAAAGGAGAUACAAAAAAGGGUUACAAAUUCUUUAAAAUAUGGCAAGGGUAAGCAUGGAAGUAACAUAUAACAUGAAACAAACAUGUUAAGGAAACCUUAAAUCAAGAGAGGUAACAGUAAGUUUGAAAACUUUGGUGCAGCUAAAUGAAGUCAAAAACCUAAAACAAGGUUGAUGGAAUUAUCCUUUGUAAACUUUAUGUGUCCGUGGCCAAGUGAAAAAAUACUGUUCAAAAUUCUUAUUUCUAUCGGAACCAUUUCGAGGAACUCCAAUUUGGAUGUCAAUACUAAAAGAAAUUUUCCCUAUGGUACAACUGAUUUUGAAAUUUACUAAUUAUUUAUAUUUUUUUUCGGAGACGACAACUGUUAUAUAAUCUAAUCUAUCCUACACUAAAGGGGAGGGGGCGGACCUAAAGAGGCCCAGGGGUAUAUAGGAAGCAAAUGCAUUGUAUAUAGGAAGCUGAAAACCAAACAAGACUUUAUUAUUAGGUUAUCAGUAUUAUUAGUCGUAUCCAAGUGUCAUCAUGUUUUUUUUAUUCAAGUGUCAUAACGUUAUUGAUAGUAUAAUUGGGUUGCAUGAUUAUGGUUGAAAGUGUGGACUAUGCGAUUAAACUCCGUCUUAGGUGAUAGGGUGUUAAUUGUUAGUAAUUUUAUUGUUAAUUUUCCCUUUUAUCCUUGUCAAAUAUUAUUUUAAUUAUUAAUAUUUACUUAUAUUUGGUAUUUGGACUCAAUUUCAGGGAAUGGAGCAGAAAACUACAAAAAAUGAAGGACUUUCUGAAAACAAUGGAGACUUCAAACAAUCGGGCCCACAUGGUGCCACAAACGGAUGGCAUUUCCUUUUUGCUGAUUAGGAGUUGAAGUCUUUGAUGGGCAACAGGAAACGAAAAGUAGAGAAAAAUUCGGCAGAGCCUUCUUUUUGUACUUGGACUCCCAAUUCGUUGGGGACCACAGAGAGCAUUAAGGAGUCAUACUUUUGCUUGGAAUAAAAAGAACGUACAGAGGCUAGGGAUAGUUUUUAGCAAUAGUUUAGUUUUCUUGCUUUUUCCUUUUCAUGCACGCCUACUGUUAUCAAUGGUUGUACCUUGGUUAUCAAUAAAUUAAAGAAAAAUUGGUCGUUAGAGUUCGUCGGCGACUAUAACUAGUCUAUUAAUAAAUUAAGUGAACCUCCCUUACAUCAAUGAUCGGGUAAGUGGACUAUGUUUGAAUAGUUGUAUUCUUGGUUAGAAUUUAUCUAUUCUUGAAUUAAUUCCUGUGUAUAUUUGUGUUAGUUAAUUAUUCGUUUUAUUUGAAUUGCUUAAUUAUUUGUAGUUUUAUUCUGAUGAAACACCCCUUUUACCAAUUGGAAUCUCAAAGAGACAAAUAUCCUCAAUUCCUGAGGAGACGUGUGAGAACCCGUAUUUUCCCUAAUAAUUUUCCUAGGGUUUUUCCCCUUUAAUGGCAUGUUUUUUGCAUUUUCUGGCUUAGAAAAUUUUCCUGGUGAAUUUUAUGAGUAAUUAUAGUUUUUAGAUGAUUUUUCUAGCAUUGGAUAGUUUUUGAAAAAUUACGGAUAUAUAACGGACGUGGGGCCCACUAGUGCGAAAAGUUCGGAAAAAUUCGGCCAAUAAGGUUAAGUUUCGGAUACUGAGUGAAAUUUAUCGGGUGUUAAGAGAUAAGUAUAGGAUGUGAUGUGAUUGAUGUGAGAGGAAAACAAAAGGAUAGAAAUGCAUUAAUGAAGUGACACUUGUCAUGUUGGGAUUGGUUUCACUUGUUGACAACUAUUCAUUUUUUUUGACUUUUCUUACCAAUUGAUUAAAUAUCUCAAAAAUCACAAAAAAAAUCACUCUUGUCUUCACCUUCUUGGCCGGCCACCUUGAGCUUAAGAAGGAAGAAAACUCUUCAAAAUCUUGGCUACCAUCUAGCUCAAAUCCUCCAAAACAAUUGCUUGAUCUUGUUUCUACUCCAUAAAAUCUCUCCAUUUGGUACUAGUAAGUGAUUUGGUGAAGUGUUUAAGGAAGCUAAGGUGUCCAACAACUCUCCCUCUCUUGUUUACUAGGUGAGUGGUGAUUGAACUUCCUCCUACACUUAAUGAAGCUUAAGUUGUGCUUAGUGGUAGCUAAAGUGCUGAAAUUUGUGGUUUAUUUCUUGGUUUGAGAUGAAAUGAUGAAGUUUUCAAUUUAAUGGUGUAUUUUCUGGUUUAAUGUGAUCAUGAUGUUGUGGUUAUCUAUGAUGGUUGGUAAUGAAGGGUAAUGACUCUAGUAGGUGUACAUGAUUGGUAAUUGCAAGCAAUUUUGGGUUUGGAAGGAAUUUGAGAAAGUUAGGGUUUUAUAUCCCCAAUUCUGUCCGAUUUUGUAUCUCAUGGUUAGAGGCCGAAUUGGCCUUGUCUUAAAACAUGAAAGUUGUAGGUAUUGAUGUGUUUGAGGUGCCUGUAAAAUUUCAGGUUCAUCGGAGUUGUGUAGAGUGAGAAAAGUCGAUUUUACUGUUGCUGUUCUGGGUUCUUCAGGAUGGCCGAACUGCGUCUGUAAUUGGUGGUUUUGGCUGGAAUUGCUUUGGAUUUGGUUGUUGAGGCCUUCUGAUGAAAUGUAGCUUGAUGUCUUAGCUACCGCAUGCCUUUGGUAUGAAUGAAUUUGGACUUGUAUAGACUGAGUUGGACUAAUUACAGCAUAGUGUAUUUUGUAAACCUGCAAUUAAGGUUCUGGUUUGGUAUUUUGCAUAUUUGACCUAGUUGUGCUAGGAAUUGGACUGAGUGACCUUCUACAUUGUUGUAGCCCUGUUUCUUAGCUUCGAAACGGUGGGUCUUACACCCUCAUCCGAUAAGCGUAGUGCAAUUUGUGCCAUUACCGCAAACUGAGGACAAAACUGUUUUUUUUUCAGGGCCAAGUUAGUUACAUUUCCUGAUUUUCUGGUUUGCUAUAAUGCUUAUAUAUGAAUAUGAAACCCUAUUGGGGUUGUGAUUGGCAUGGCUUUAUGACUCGUUAUCGAGUCUCAUUGUAUUUGUUUACGUGUUUUAGGACGUGACGAGGGUUCACGACGACCUUUUAACGACGGUGCAUGAAACAUCACCUACUUGAGUAGUGAGUAUACUACUCACUUGAAUGUUUAUAAUGUGGCUUUGCUAUAUGUGAUUGUGAUGCCUUGAAGGCUUGUUUGGCUAUUGGACAUGGUUAAGGUGAGGGUGUACUUGACCGCCCUCAUCCUUUUUAUCUUGUUAAUGACUGUUUACCGUUUCACUGUAAUACUGCACUUGCUAUAUGAGAUAUUGAAUUCCAUUCAUGGGAAACUGUUUGGGUGUCGGUUGGACGAGUAUCCAACGGCCCUACUGCAUUACUGAGCUCGACCCCGUUGGUAGUUACUUGAAUCGAGCCAGCGAGGGCUUGGUCGUGAAAAUUGACUAGCCACGGGGACUGAAAUGGGAAUCUUGUGGUAAUGAGACCCUUGGUUCCGGUGUACUCGAGUAUCACCUAAAGCUACUGCUUGGAGUGCGGGCCCGGUUGGGGUAUGUUGGGUGGAAGGAAUGGAAGUGAAGUGAGGUCUACGGUCGGGUAUUCUUAAACAUUGACGGAGGGUCAAUGAGGUUGGAUCAAGAAUGUAAGCGUGGAAAUGGGCUCUUGAGAGCCGUCCGUAUCCUUUUACCGACUUGUUUUAUUUCUUAAUUGCGUACUUGAGAUGAAAGUUAAGUGAUCUUUGUUGAUUAUGUGAUAGUUGCUCACUGAGCUUUAGCUCACUCCGUUCCAUUUGUUUUCCUUACAGGAAAAAUGACUAUUUUGGGAAAGGUUGUGCUAGUUGGUUGUCAAGUUGAGCUCAUGUAAAUGUAUAUUUUGAAUAGCUCCUUGAGGGUGAAAACCCUAAGUGUUUUGUUUCAACCAAUGGUUGGUUUGUAAUUGGCCAAUUGCACAUGUGUGAACUUGUUGGAUAUUUUGGUAUACCGCUUUGGCUUGUAAAUGUUAAAUUUCGAUGUAUAUAUGUUGGAUUGAUGUUUGGUUGAACUCCGGAUUCUGACAUGGCCGGUACUGUUCAUCAUCGGCUUCGAUUUUCAUAUUUUUUUUAUUUUGUGAUUUUGACUUGUUUGCGCGCGUUGGUGUGUUCCGGAAUGUAGUAGAUCGACGUAAACUGAUCCGUUAGUCCUGGCGAGAGCUGGGCAGGCAGUCCGCUAACCCCUUUGGUUCGCCUUAGGGGAAGGUGGGGCUGUUACAAGACGACCCUACUUGCCACUGUCUGCCAAUUAGUAAAUUUUGUCAAAUAAUUAAUUCUGGUAUAUCGGAUUAAGCAAACUCUUCGAGAACAGGGUGAAUCAAGUAACCCAUUGCACACCUAGAGUCUCUGCUCCAGUACUUAGAAUUGAUUAUUGACUACUUUUGACGGGCGUAGGGUAUACAUAUAACAUUAAGCUCAUCCUAAUCAAGUUUUACAUUUAUAAACUCCUAAAUACCCUACACGCGAUUUAUCGCAAGUAUACGAAUCGUGAGCGAGUAUAGGGUAUUAAAAGUCGAUCUCACAAGGAAGAUUGCAAUUACCGGCACUACUAAAGCUUCUCUAUUAUUUAGACUAUCAAUGAAUUAUAACAAAUUUAACCUACUGAACUUAUGCAAGAAAAUAACAAAUGAAAGCUCCUUAAGUUGUGGUAUCCCUAACUACUCAUGCAAGUGCUAUAUUUGGAUCAUUGAAUACUACUAUCUAGGCUAGUUAUGGUGUAAUUUCCUUAAACAUGUGAAACCUACUUUCGUAGUGAAUCAACUAUAUUCAUAACUAAUCCAUACAUAUUCUCAUGGUUAUGAAAUUAGCUACAAGUUCAUUUCUUCAAUGAAAUUAAUCACUAAAAUCACAUAGGUGCACCUCUACUCUCGUGAGCGUACUCCCUAUGUUUAGCACUUCUUAAACUAGUGUUAAAUCUCAAUUUUCAUUGCAGAAACAACACCUUAAAUAAUCACAAUCAAUGGUACCAGAUUAAUCAUGAUUUAAAGAGCCAAAGUACUAAAUAACUUGCUCAAAUCAUAGCAAUCAAAUAACCAAAUAAUAAAUACUAACAAUUAUAGAAAGUUCAACCAAACCCAAGGCAUAAACGUUAGAGACACAUAUUAAACACAAAAUCCAGAACUUGCAUAUCAACUAAACUUAGAAUCCAAUACAAAAGAUAAAGAGUUGGAAAAGAGAUAACCAUUGUCACAUGAGCUUCAACUCCUCCUUUUUCAUCUCCAUUUUCAUCCUAAUCUAGCUAAUAUACAAGAAUGGAAGAGCUAUACUAUUCUAAACUAAACUAUCCUACUACUCAGAAAGUGCAAGAGCUACAUCUCUGCACUCCAAGUUUCUCCUGUAUGUCUCUCUAUUCUCCCUUCAAUCUUGCAAGCUUUGGCUAUAUAAAGGUGAAAGUUGGUCAAGAAGUGAGGUUUACACCUCCCUUUUACAGCUGGGAAUGUUUCUCACAUGUCUAGCAUCACCUGUGACUUAGUGGAGGUGAAAUUGAGUUUCCCACGUAAAGAGCAGCCUUCUCUGACCACAAUCCGGCCAGAAAUCUGGCCAAGUUCCGGCCGGAUUGCUACAGUGACAUUUUGGUGCACUUUUGUUCAAUUUCCAGCUCUGCUCCAAUUUUGUGUCAAUUUCAACUGAACUUUUGUUGAUGAUAAAAGCUGAUUUAGCUCUUGAUCAACAUAAAACUUGUAGCCCUUUGAGUUAGCUUUCCAAUGCAUCAAGAAUCACCUCAUUUGGAUCUGUGUAGGCUGAGAAAUGACCGAAAUACCUUUGACUGCUCACUGCCCUAUUUCAGCUUCGACCAAUAGAAAUUAGCUACUGUAAUUCGGCUUUUUAACCUGGAAAACCUUCAAAAUAGAUUCAGAUGUCUUCACCAAAGUUGUAGAUCUAUCUCUUAUCUUCAAAUUGGUUUAAGAAUCAUCUCAAUCCGAUCAUUAUAGCUCAAGUUAUAGCCAAAAUACGAAAAUGUGUCAAAACUGUCAAAAUGCACAAAAUCCAAGUAAAAAGUGAUAAAAACCUCAUUUAAUUACUUAAAAGCAUUUUUCACCAAUUAUAGCCAAAAUGAAUCAUUUUCUUCCAAUAAUGUAACCAAAGUGACUAACAAUAAUAUAAAAUAUCAUACAAUUAUUACAUAAAUUAGUCACUUAUCAGCUUUUAUUGGCAAUUAGGUUUAUUUUUAUUAUUGCACAGGUUCGGCACCUGUCAUUAGGAGUACUGGUUUUGCUGUGGGAUUUUUCGUUUUCUUUGUCAGCUGCGUCAGCUGCAUGGUGCUUUAGAGCAUAAGCCUUUGUUUUGUAUCGAAACAUCACGGCCAAAAUUGCCAAAAGCAUAUCGAAACAUGAACACAAAAUGAAAGAUGUGAGGAAACUUUAAUGAAGAUAUGCCUUGAGAUUUAAACACCAAAGACAAAAGCUCAAAAAAUAUUAUCAACGGAUCAAAAUAAGAACUUGAUUAUUGGUAAAACACUCCAACAAGUUAAGUCGAACCAAGAUCAACAUAAUCAAUUAUUUGAUUUCAAGAGUCAUAACUUUUGCUUGUAAAGAACAAAUAAAGUUAAACAAUUUAUUGCUUUUUUCCCCCCAGUCAGCUGUGUACCUCAACAUUAUUUCACGUCAAAAACUUGUUUUUCCUCGGAUUAAAUACCCUAGCAUCUGAGGUUAUCACCAGUCUCGACACCCAAUUGUCUACAAUAUUCAGUAUAAUACUCAACUCGAGCACUAACUGUGUUUGGAUUUGCACCAUCACAUUCAAGCCGACCAUUAAUGGCACGAAUUGUAGCCCCAAAACCCUGGCCAGAAGUGAUAAGAUCAUGACAAUGGUUCAUCCAAUACCACAAGCCAGUUUUGAAUGAAAUAACAUUAUUUGUAGCUACAGUUUCAGGUUGGCUGAGUCCAUUGAAUCCAAUGCUUUCACCUGCUGGUCCAUAGUUAGAGUUCCAUGAUAACUGUAUUGGACCCCUGCCGUAAUAUCCCUUGCCUGGCACACAUGGAUACUGAGUGUUGCUCUCAUCACAGUAAUCUCUGGAGGGGCCGUCUAUCUCUUCUAUGUAGCACAAAUCUGCGCAAUAUAAAGAAAUUUUGUCACUCAAUUGAAAUGAUUGAUAAAGGGUUAGAAUCAAAGAAAAUCAGGAGGUCUGGAAUUUUUUGUAAAUUUUUAGAUUUGAUUGUUUUACUAAUGAAUUCAAUUGGUGAGAAAAGACUUUAUCCCAUUUUGUAAAAAUUGGGUUGGACAGACCUAAAGUAAACACUCUUUUUAUGAGGUAAAAUUUUAGAAUGAUUUAACAUUAUAGGGUUAUACGAUAGAUAAAUAAAAAUUGGCAAUAGCAAGAUUAAGAAGGGACCAACAGUGAUAUAAAAAUUACAAAGGUAUCAUGGACGUCUAAAAUAUAUUUGGCUAAUAAAUUUGAACUAAUUUACGGCCAAAUUUAGGUGAAAUAGUUAAUUCUACUUGGUAAAUUGGAAGUUCGGAAACGUGUAUCUGUCAGUUGUCAUACUCAUGAGCGAGCCAAUCUUAACUUAAAAAAGAAAAAGAAAAAAAGAAAAAGAAAAAAGGAAUCCAAAAGAUAAAAGUAGAAAAGGCAUGAAUUUUAAAACGUAAUCGUAAUACCUUGUACCCGAAACAAAUAUGUGCAAUACUUAUUAAGCUAAGCAAAGCCACAUGAUCUACUCUUAGAUGCAGCAAAAUAUACAACCACCUUAAGCUUGGAAUGUAAAGGCAGAAAAACUUGCUUAUGUAGAUAUAAAAGUGACCACUACAAGAAAAGUAAAAAGAAUAUGGAGAUAAUAAUCCUUCUGUUCAUCAUGAUAAAUUAUUUAACAGUAAUAAAUCUUUCAUAUUCAAGUUUUAUUUUUUGAAGAAAAAAUUCUUGGAUAAUAGUGCACAGGAGAUUCCAAGAUAUACUAUCUAGAAAUUCACAGGAGCUACUAAAAAAGUAGAAAAUAUCUUCAAAAUUUAAUUUCCAAGCUAGUGUUAUUCAAAACUUACGUCCAGUCUCAUGAGUGACAUGAGCAAAGAAAGCAGCAAUCUCCCUUUUAGAAUCAUCAACAGAACCAGCGGUUCCAAACUGGGGAUACGAGUUCAGAGCUUCAAGAAAAGCUGAUCGAGUAUAGAACCCUUUUCCAGCACAGCUUGAAGCAGCUUGAUCAGCAAUCCCAUUAAAGAAAGCGUCCGUCACAAUAUCAGCAACUGAAACGCCACUAUUACCACUGCUCGGAGCAGCGGUGCAAGGGCCGGAUUGACAGCCAGAGCCGCAGUAGUCGUUGCCGGUACCGCAAUAGCCGAAUUUGCUGCAGCACAAGUCUGGUGCACAGCCGCAGUUUUGGCUUGAAAUCAGCUGUGGAAAGGCUCCUACAAGAACUACAAUGGAGAAAAUGAUGGUUGGAAAACUCUUCAUUUUUGGAUUUGAUAAAGGAGAGAAGCUUGUGGGCAGCAGUUGUAUCAGAAAAAAGGGUAUAUGUAGGGAAGAGAACUGAAAACUGAUCAGCUUGUGUGAAGCAUGCACAGCUGCUAUUGUUGAAAAUAUUGAAUUUGAGCAAUUAAAGAAAACAGAACAGAAGACGAAAGCGUGAAUGGUUGACUUCUAUCGAGAGUAUUGACUUUGACAUUGUCAAUGAAGCGGAAACUUUCUUUCUUGGCUUCUAGAAUGGGAAAGGUCAAAAAGAAAGAUUUUGGCCAAUUCGUAUGAACAAUUGUGAGAAUAAGGCAUGUAGACUCACAAGUCCCCACUAGAAUGUGUGCAAAAAUAUAAUUUGAAGUUGCCUAAAUCAUUUAAUUUCAUGCUUGUUAUUGAGUUUAUUUGCCUAACUGUGUUUUAGUAAUACUUCAAAAUUGUGUUUGAGUUAGAACGGAAAAAAAUAUGAGACAUUUUUUUUUUAAUUGCAAUUCCAGAAAUAAAAUCUUAUAAAACAUGUAUUAGAAAAAUUUUGAGGGUAAAUGAUAUGAAAAAAAAAAAGAAGAAAUAGUUCUAUAAAUUGACAUAAGUGUUCAUCGGCUUUUGGAAAAAUUAAGAAAGAAUAAAGCAGCCGACAUAUCUAUCAUGCAUAACAACAUUAUGUGGCUUUUGUUAGUACACGCUAUGACCAUAUAUGUUUCAUUUGAGAUGCUUGUCGGACGUGUUGAAUUGUUGGCAAUGAAAUGCUCCAAAAUGUCAGCACUAUAGUUUAUAAAUAGUAUUAGGUCAUAGUGAAUUAUCGACAUAUCGUUACAUGCAGAGUCGUGAAAAUAUACAAGUCUUUCCCUAUCAUUAAUUAGUUGGUCAAAUGACAAUUUUAGAGUGGCUGCUGACUAUGUCAAGAAACAUCUUGCAGUAAAUUGGGCGAUUUAAUGUACUUUUCUUUUUCUAAAUAUUUGCACUUAAACUCUCAAAUCGACCAUAGUUUUAACUAAUUUUGCUCUGGCUUUAUUCUUGAUUCGCAAAAUUCAGAAAAACCAAAACAAACCCUUGUUACUGAAGAUAUCAAAAUGGUAACCCAACUAAGUAAUUGAUUUUGAAAAACAUUCUGAACCAAAUUUCAAGUUUUGGUUUCUUUGCUCUUUUUCUACUGAAAGGCAACUUCCCCGGGCCAAGAAAUUGAAACAAAUAGUACGAUGCUUAAGUUUUCUAUGCUCUUAUGAUCAAGUCAAACCAUGCUUAUAAUCAAUUACAUAAAAAAUUACGGGCAAUUUCGUCAUUAUUUGGGAGGAGGAGGAAUAUUAAGCAAAAAAAAAAGUUCUAUUAAGAAAACGAUUAAGCAUAUUAUUUUCCAGGAAUAAAAAAGAACGAGCAGAGAAAUACAUUAGUUUGGAUGACAUUACAACAUUUAGCAACAUGAUUAGGGAUGCAAUGGGAUGGGUGCCAAUUGGGAAUCAAUGGGAUGGGAGAAAAUGCAGGAGGGGAUGGAGGGAUUGAAGAAUAUUUCUCCUCCAACAUUAAAUGGAUACCUCCAUCCCAUCCCCUAAAACCCCUUGUUGCUAUUCCUAAACAGGAUGCUACUUAUAUCCUCUCUCUAUGAGCAUGUGUGGCUAGUGAGGAAUGCAGGAUUUUGAUUUUGGCGGGGGGAGGGUGGGGCAAAUUGACAAUCAAGAAACAAUAGAAAAAAAACCUUAGCAAAUAAAGCACACAAACUUAAAAUGAAAGUUUAAUAUACGAUAAAUAAAAUAUAAAUAUUUUUAAUAAUAAAAUACACCAUAUAAAUAAAAUGAUAGAGCAAUAAUUGGGCACCAUAAGUGCUGUUAUUUGGUCAUAAUGUUGGCUACUUAUCAUGCUAAGUAGUGCAGCUUUGCUCAUAUUUGAUAUUUGUGUAAAUUACAGGCGGUUGGUGUUGAAACUGAUCUCUCGAGGCAAAUUUUCAGAAGACUUUUUAUUUCAGAGCGUGCCGACGCCAGAAACUAUAGAGAGACUCCUCAAAGGUGGACCGCGGGACUAAUUAACUAAACUUACCUUUAUUCCUGCUUGACGCUGCUGGAAGUGCGUUAAAACAAAAAGGCAAUAAUUUCCAGCGAAUUGGGUAACAACCAAUAAGGAGGAAAAUUAGGGGCACUAGCCUACAAAGCCGGACCCCGCGAGACUGGUAGACAAAGUGGGGAAUUAGGAAGUCUUCAAAGCGGCUAUUUUCUCGUGGGCUGCAGAGGUGAAAAGGACAAGUAGUUUGAGUCUUGCAGAGAGCUUUUGAGUUCUCUUACGUUUUGUCUUGCGGUAGCCACCCGGGGGAGGAUUGAAAAAGCCAUAUUCACGUGGGAUUAGGAGAUUAGCUUUAGUUUCUUGUAUCCCUGGGUAGACGAUCUGCUCUCUGCUUUGCUUUUGGCGACUUUCUUUAGACCUUUUUCUUUACUUUUCUCCGGCACGAACACGGAACCAAAAAAGAAGCAAGACUUUUCGUUUGUCUCGUCGUUAUUUCAUCUUUCCCAACUUUUUGGUAAUUAAGUGGAUGGAAUCAAUCAAAUCACGCGAGAUUGAUGUGAUGAGGAGUGGCUAGGUUUCUCUGCUACCCAAAGGUCGACGCGAAGGCGCGGUCCAUAACAUCUGUGAGAUCUAAUCGAACUUUCACUAUUUCUUCCAAUCCGUUACUAUUCGUGCGUUUUCUGGAUUAACUGUUUAUGAUUAUUUUAUUAAUUGAGUAUCAACAGCCGGAUAUUUAAUUUAAUCUAAUAGCCUACUGUCACGUUAACUAAAUUGAAUCCGUAAUUAUUCGUUUAGUUGAUAAUUAGUGACAACCAUCAUAAUUGGCUUUAUGUUGGGAAAAACGUAAGAUCUAAUUUAGAUAAACCCUCUUAUAGCGUGUUUAUUGGUUAGGGUUGGAUUUUUCUAGCGUUAAUGCAACUGAAUAAUUAAAUUCCUACGGUCGUAUCUAGGGUUAUUUUCUGGUUAGAGAAACAGUCAACGGUCGUACCUUGGCUAUCGAAAAAGUAAGAAAAAACUAGCAGUCAGAGCUUGUUGAUCGCUAUAACCAACCUAGUGACGAAUGAGUGAAAUAUCUUUGCAUCGAUGAUCAUUUAAUUGGACCGUGCCUGAAAAGUUGAUCCUUUGGAUAGAAUUUUGCUAAUUGCUAUUUUCAGUGAAUUGUACUUGGCGAGUUAGCUUUUGAAUUUUGUUUAUUUUAUUUUCAUUUUCAUUCCAUUAAAUAUCCCCCAAUUUUGUUCUAUUGACUUGGAAAGAAACAACUUCUUACCCGUUACUUGUGGAAUCGACCCUACUUGCCAUUUUCAGAAACAACUUCUUAAAUUUUAAUCCUUAUGAAACCCAGCUUCUCUCUCAAUUUUCAGAGGUUUCUUUUCCUUCAUCAUGUCAAAGUUGCUAUUAUAAUCACUGUAAUUAGACAGCUAAACCUGUCAUUCCAAUUAUACCCUUGGUCCGCCGUGGGAAAUACAUAAAAUGUGGUAGCGCUGCCCAAUAAGUCCCACAUUGGACCAUAUAAAAUUGUUUAAGGACUAAAUUGGUAAAAAAAAUCGUAAAUGAUGAAAUUGAUUUAAGUGAAAAAGUUCAAGGACCAAAUUGGCAAUUUUUCCUUAUUAUGAUUAUGAUUAUGAUUAUUAUUAUUAUUAUUAUUAUUAGUCUGAGAUGCCGAACAAGUUGUGGAGACUUAUUUCACCUUUACAAGGUCAUUGGAGGGCUUGACGAGGUGCGAUGUGGUAAGGAAAGGCACAAAAAACUCUUUUUUCUUUAUUAAAAAACAUACAAAUUGCACUAAUAAUGGCUGAAAAUGCAUCCAACAUGCAAUAGUGAAAAAUCGUUAGAUGCAAGAUAUAUAAAAGUUAACAAAAAUUAUCUUAGUACCUCUGAUAUAUUCCAAAUUCAGAUAAAUCAUCUGCCCCCAAUGAAUAUAUGUGCAUAUCAUCAUUGUCAAAAAAUAUUUAUGCAUAUCAUUGCCGUUAGAUUUUAUAUUGAAGUGGUUAAAGCUCCAAAUCUAGUAGAGAAGAAAUUCAACACUUGAGAAAAUAAGUUAAGAAAUUCAAGAUUUGACAUACAAAUCUGAAAAGCUCUCAAAUCUAACAAAACAAGAUAUAAAAUUAUCUGAAUAAAACUCUCACUAGAAUAUCUUAGUAGAGAAGAAAAUUCUCACUAGAUAGUCUCACUAUACUUUAUUAGACAUAAAAAAAAAAAAAAGAGAAGUCAAACAGAGGGAGGAAGGCAAUCCUCCAUGGAGGAAAUAAUAAUUGUCUUGAAGGUUGUGUAGAGAGAUGGUGGAGAAACUUCUUUUGUUUUAUCUAUUGGUUAUCUUUCUAAUUGCUAGUUAACGAACAAUAAACUCUAAAUGAAACUACUAAAUUUGCAACCGAAGACAUUUUUGGGCUUGUAUCUUAGUAUCGUAAUCGUCACCCAAUUAGAGCCGCCCAUGACGGCUUCAUUAAAUAUAUAAUUUGGGGGAACCAGGAUUUAAGGCCAAAUUUCGGCAACCUUCAAGGCACUUCAUUGUUUUCUCACAAAUUUUGUUUAUUUAUUGUAAAAGAUUAACUUUAAAGUGUCCUCAAAUUUCUUCCCUAUCUUCUCUCAAACUUUACCAGUGAAAAUUGUUUGUCUUCGGGUUCGUUUGUUUCGGGUGAAAAUGUUUUCCAGAAAAAGUAUUUUCCUAAUUUCCCGUGUUUGAUUGCACAAAAGUUACUGAAAACAUUUUACAUAAAUUUUCACUCAUCUUAUGGAAAACAACUUCCCUUCCAAACUUACUGAAGUUGUUUUCCGAAAUGCAUGCAUCCCGCCUGUAGUAUGUUCCAAACUUACUGAAACCAUCUUGUAGUAUGUUCUUUUUUUUUUUUAGUGUAAACAGGAGGACUCGAACCAAGACCUCUUCCUUACACUCCCUCCCCCGUACCAUCCAACCCAACCCAACCCUCCCCCUAGUAUAUUCAAAAUAAAAAAAAACCUCAUCCUACUCAUCCUAUUCUAGUAAUUAAUUAUGUAUAAUAGGGACAUUCUUUUCUAGAGAAACUUUCAGCAAUGAUAGUGCAAGAUAUAUGUCACAAUAAGCAUUGCAUGUGAUUGAUAUUUGACACUAAAUGGCCAGCAAUUUGUUUAUUGCUUAAGGAGAUAUUUUUUAUUCAUAUAUACAUUUCUCCAAGAUUUUUUAAAGUUAAACAAUGAGAUAAAUUUUCUUAUUUUGCAUGGGAAGAAGUAUGUAGUUAUAAUGUGUAGAAAGUAAAGAUAGAGAUAAAAGUGAAAAUAUUUCAAAAGUUAAACAAACACCAAAAAAAUGAAGUAAGAAAAUAUUUUCAAUAAACUAACCAAACACCUGAAAAUGAUGAAAGAGAAAUGAUUUUCAUGGAAAAUUACUUCCACGGAAAAUAUUUUCCCAAGAAAAACAUUUUACUUCCAACCAAACAGACCCUUCAUCUCGUUGAUUGUCUCCCCCAGUGCAUACAAAUGUAUUAUGGGCAUUUUGGUGAAAGAAAGGCAUAAACUGAGUUCUGCACAACUAAAUUUUGCCAAUAGCAUAUGAAAAUAUGAAGAAGAAUAAUAAUAAAUGAAGGGUCUGUCUAAUAAGUAUUCAUAGGGAACCAUUGAAAUAUAUCUCAAGUGUCAUGUUUUUGGAAAUGUAAAAUUAAUAGAAAAAAUAAAUAAAUACAAGAGAGAGUAGAUAAAAUUAAAUAAGAAAAGUUAAUAAUUGUUAAUAGAUAUAUAUACAUAAUAGAUUAGAUGAACGUUAAAUAUGUUAACAAGUACCUUAUUAGCACCCGUUAAAAAAAGCUAUAAAUGAAAGAUGUGAUCACCAAAUCAUUGACAAAGAAAUGUGUUGAAAAUGAAACAAGAAAGUCAAACAUGAUAAGGGAUCAAAAAUGGAAUUUAAUAAUUGCAGAUACUCCAAGAAGUUGAGUUGAAAUCAGUUAUCCGAUUUCAAAUUCACAACUUCUGCUGUCAAAGAACUACAAAGGGACUCAACUUCUGCUAAUUUAUAUUAGUUUCGAAACUCUUACAAGUACCCUAGCAUCUGAGAUUAUCACCGGGAUCAACACCCAACUGGUUACAAUAUUCAGCAUAAUACUCAACACGAGCACUAACAGUGUCCGGAUUUGCACCAUCACAUUCAAGCUGUCCGUUAACGGCACGAAUUGUAGCCCCAAAACCCUGGCCAGAAGUGAUAAGAUCAUGACAAUUGUUCAUCCAGAACCACAAGGCAGUUUUGAAUGAAAUAACAUUAUCUGUGGCCACAGUUUCAGGUUCAGUUAGUCCAUCGAACCCUAUGCUUUCACCUGCUGGUCCAUAGUUAAAGUUCCAAGAUAUUUGUAUUGGACCCCUGCCGUAAUAUCCCUUGCCUGGCACACAAGGGUACUGAGUGUUGCGCUCAUCACAAUAGUCUUUGGAAGGGCCGUCUAUCUCUUCUAUAUAGCACAUAUCUGCACAAUAUAGAGAAGUCUGUAUCAAUUAUCACUGCAUUCAAUUGCUUAUAUGAAAGCCACUCAUUGAUACAUUAUGGAUUUUAGAUAUUUUUACUAUUAAAAAACCUAUAAUCUAAAUACAAAAUAAAUGAGAACAUAAAAAAAAUUAAUUAUUUAAAAUCAGAAUCUAUAGUCAGUUAUAAUAAUCAAUCAAGAACAACCCCAAAAAAUGUCAUCAAUAUUUAAGAAGGGACCAUAUGUGAUAAAGAAAUUAUAAAGUUAUAAGUAAUCACAGACUAAAUAAAUAACCAAUACAACAAAGUAGAAAAAAUUAACGUCAAAGUGGGACGGAGGGAGUAUAUGUUUUUCUUGGUAUCCUAGCAAUAUGAUAGUUGGAGCAAUAACCAUUGUCAAAUUUUGGUGUUUGAUUGUUGCUCUCAUGCUUGAGGGCAAGCAUGGUUCAGGUGUGAGGAGAAUUGAUAGGGUGUUAAUUGUUAGUAAUUUUAUUGUUAAUUUUCCCUUUUAUCCUUGCCAAAUAUUGUUUUAAUUAUUAAUAUUUACUUAUAUUUGGUAUUUGGACUCAAUUUCAGGGAAUAGAGUAGAAAACUACAAAAAAGGAGGGACUUUAUGGAGACAAUGGAGACUUCAAACAACCGGGGCCACAUGGUGCCACAAACGGAUGGCAUUUCCUUUUUACUGAUUAGGAGUUGAAGUCUUUGAUGGGCAACAGGAAACGAAAAGUAGAGAAAAAUUCGGCAGAGCUUUCUUUUUGUACUUGGACUCCCAAUUCGUUGGGGACCACAGAGAGCAUUAAGGAGUCAUACUUUUGCUUGGAAUAAAAAGAACGUAUAGAGGCUAGGGAUAGUUUUUAGCAAUAGUUUAGUUUUCUUCCUUUUUCCUUUUCAUGCAUGCCUACUGUUCGACAAAAGUCCCAACUGGAGAAAUAUCUUUCACCUCUUGAUUAUUUAGUGAAAAACCCGAUGCCUUUGCAAUCAAUUAAUUUGCGUGGAAAUUUAUUUAUGCGGCGUGGCUAAACUUUUCAUCUAGUCAAGGAUCAACUCGACGGCGCAGUCCCGAAUAUCUGUGAGAUCUAAUUAGUUUUCACGCGUUCUUAAUUUGUUAAUAAUUGCGCGUUGUCUAUUCGAAUUUCCAUGGGAUUAUUUUGUUAAUUGGAUGUCAAGGGAUCGAUGUUCAAUGUGACUUAUUAAUCUCCUGCCAAAUUAGUCAAUUAAAUCCAUAAUUGUUUGAUUGGUUAAUAUUAGUGGCAACUGGCGUGUUUACACACCAGGGGAACGUGCAAUCUAAUUUAAAUAACCCUCGUAGCGUGUUAUUGAUUGGGGUUAGGUUUUUCUAGUUAUUAAUGCAAUUGAAAAAUUAAUUCCUACGGUCGUACCUAGGAGUAUUUUCUGGUUAGGGGUAAUCAAUGGUUGUACCUUGGUUAUCAAUAAAUUAAAGAAAAAUUGGUCGUUAGAGUUCGUCGGCGACUAUAACUAGUCUAUUAAUAAAUUAAGUGAACCUCCCUUACAUCAAUGAUCGGGUAAGUGGACUAUGUUUGAAUAGUUGUAUUCUUGGUUAGAAUUUAUCUAUUCUUGAAUUAAUUCCUGUGUAUAUUCGUGUUAGUUAAUUAUUCGUUUUAUUUGAAUUGCUUAAUUAUUUGUAGUUUUAUUCUGAUGAAACACCCAUUUUACCAAUUGGAAUCUCAAAGAGACAAAUAUCCUCAAUUCCUGAGGAGACGUGUGAGAACCCGUAUUUUCCCUAAUAAUUUUCCUAGGGUUUUUCCCCUUUAAUGGCAUGUUUUCUGCAUUUUCUGGCUUAGAAAAUUUUCCUGGUGAAUUUUAUGAGUAAUUAUAGUUUUUAGAUGAUUUUUCUAGCAUUGGAUAGUUUUUGAAAAAUUACGGAUAUAUAACGGACGUGGGGCCCACUAGUGCGAAAAGUUCGGAAAAAUUCGGUCAAUAAGGUUAAGUUCCGGAUACUGAGUGAAAUUUAUCGGGUGUUAAGAGAUAAGUAUAGGAUGUGAUGUGAUUGAUGUGAGAGGAAAACAAAAGGAUAGAAAUGCAUUAAUGAAGUGACACUUGUCAUGUUGGGAUUGGUUUCACUUGUUGACAACUAUUCAUUUUUUUUGACUUUUCUUACCAAUUGAUUAAAUAUCUCAAAAAUCACAAAAAAAUUCACUCUUGUCUUCACCUUCUUGGCCGGCCACCUUGAGCUUAAGAAGGAAGAAAACUCUUCAAAAUCUUGGCUACCAUCUAGCUCAAAUCCUCCAAAACAAUUGCUUGAUCUUGUUUCUACUCCAUAAAAUCUCUCCAUUUGGUACUAGUAAGUGAUUUGGUGAAGUGUUUAAGGAAGCUAAGGUGUCCAACAACUCUCCCUCUCUUGUUUACUAGGUGAGUGGUGAUUGAACUUCCUCCUACACUUAAUGAAGCUUAAGUUGUGCUUAGUGGUAGCUAAAGUGCUGAAAUUUGUGGUUUAUUUCUUGGUUUGAGAUGAAAUGAUGAAGUUUUCAAUUUAAUGGUGUAUUUUCUGGUUUAAUGUGAUCAUGAUGUUGUGGUUAUCUAUGAUGGUUGGUAAUGAAGGGUAAUGACUCUAGUAGGUGUACAUGAUUGGUAAUUGCAAGCAAUUUUGGGUUUGGAAGGAAUUUGAGAAAGUUAGGGUUUUAUAUCCCCAAUUCUGUCCGAUUUUGUAUCUCAUGGUUAGAGGCCGAAUUGGCCUUGUCUUAAAACAUGAAAGUUGUAGGUAUUGAUGUGUUUGAGGUGCCUGUAAAAUUUCAGGUUCAUCGGAGUUGUGUAGAGUGAGAAAAGUCGAUUUUACUGUUGCUGUUCUGGGUUCUUCAGGAUGGCCGAACUGCGUCUGUAAUUGGUGGUUUUGGCUGGAAUUGCUUUGGAUUUGGUUGUUGAGGCCUUCUGAUGAAAUGUAGCUUGAUGUCUUAGCUACCGCAUGCCUUUGGUAUGAAUGAAUUUGGACUUGUAUAGACUGAGUUGGACUAAUUACAGCAUAGUGUAUUUUGUAAACCUGCAAUUAAGGUUCUGGUUUGGUAUUUUGCAUAUUUGACCUAGUUGUGCUAGGAAUUGGACUGAGUGACCUUCUACAUUGUUGUAGCCCUGUUUCUUAGCUUCGAAACGGUGGGUCUUACACCCUCAUCCGAUAAGCGUAGUGCAAUUUGUGCCAUUACCGCAAACUGAGGACAAAACUGUUUUUUUUUCAGGGCCAAGUUAGUUACAUUUCCUGAUUUUCUGGUUUGCUAUAAUGCUUAUAUAUGAAUAUGAAACCCUAUUGGGGUUGUGAUUGGCAUGGCUUUAUGACUCGUUAUCGAGUCUCAUUGUAUUUGUUUACGUGUUUUAGGACGUGACGAGGGUUCACGACGACCUUUUAACGACGGUGCAUGAAACAUCACCUACUUGAGUAGUGAGUAUACUACUCACUUGAAUGUUUAUAAUGUGGCUUUGCUAUAUGUGAUUGUGAUGCCUUGAAGGCUUGUUUGGCUAUUGGACAUGGUUAAGGUGAGGGUGUACUUGACCGCCCUCAUCCUUUUUAUCUUGUUAAUGACUGUUUACCGUUUCACUGUAAUACUGCACUUGCUAUAUGAGAUAUUGAAUUCCAUUCAUGGGAAACUGUUUGGGUGUCGGUUGGACGAGUAUCCAACGGCCCUACUGCAUUACUGAGCUCGACCCCGUUGGUAGUUACUUGAAUCGAGCCAGCGAGGGCUUGGUCGUGAAAAUUGACUAGCCACGGGGACUGAAAUGGGAAUCUUGUGGUAAUGAGACCCUUGGUUCCGGUGUACUCGAGUAUCACCUAAAGCUACUGCUUGGAGUGCGGGCCCGGUUGGGGUAUGUUGGGUGGAAGGAAUGGAAGUGAAGUGAGGUCUACGGUCGGGUAUUCUUAAACAUUGACGGAGGGUCAAUGAGGUUGGAUCAAGAAUGUAAGCGUGGAAAUGGGCUCUUGAGAGCCGUCCGUAUCCUUUUACCGACUUGUUUUAUUUCUUAAUUGCGUACUUGAGAUGAAAGUUAAGUGAUCUUUGUUGAUUAUGUGAUAGUUGCUCACUGAGCUUUAGCUCACUCCGUUCCAUUUGUUUUCCUUACAGGAAAAAUGACUAUUUUGGGAAAGGUUGUGCUAGUUGGUUGUCAAGUUGAGCUCAUGUAAAUGUAUAUUUUGAAUAGCUCCUUGAGGGUGAAAACCCUAAGUGUUUUGUUUCAACCAAUGGUUGGUUUGUAAUUGGCCAAUUGCACAUGUGUGAACUUGUUGGAUAUUUUGGUAUACCGCUUUGGCUUGUAAAUGUUAAAUUUCGAUGUAUAUAUGUUGGAUUGAUGUUUGGUUGAACUCCGGAUUCUGACAUGGCCGGUACUGUUCAUCAUCGGCUUCGAUUUUCAUAUUUUUUUUAUUUUGUGAUUUUGACUUGUUUGCGCGCGUUGGUGUGUUCCGGAACGUAGUAGAUCGACGUAAACUGAUCCGUUAGUCCUGGCGAGAGCUGGGCAGCCAGUCCGCUAACCCCUUUGGUUCGCCUUAGGGGAAGGUGGGGCUGUUACAAGACGACCCUACUUGCCACUGUCUGCCAAUUAGUAAAUUUUGUCAAAUAAUUAAUUCUGGUAUAUCGGAUUAAGCAAACUCUUCGAGAACAGGGUGAAUCAAGUAACCCAUUGCACACCUAGAGUCCCUGCUCCAGUACUUAGAAUUGAUUAUCGACUACUUUUGACGGGCGUAGGGUAUACAUAUAACAUUAAGCUCAUCCUAAUCAAGUUUUACAUUUAUAAACUCCUAAAUACCCUACACGCGAUUUAUCGCAAGUAUACGAAUCGUGAGCGAGUAUAGGGUAUUAAAAGUCGAUCUCACAAUGAAGAUUGCAAUUACCGGCACUACUAAAGCUUCUCUAUUAUUUAGACUAUCAAUGAAUUAUAACAAAUUUAACCUACUGAACUUAUGCAAGAAAAUAACAAAUGAAAGCUCCUUAAGUUGUGGUAUCCCUAACUACUCAUGCAAGUGCUAUAUUUGGAUCAUUGAAUACUACUAUCUAGGCUAGUUAUGGUGUAAUUUCCUUAAACAUGUGAAACCUACUUUCGUAGUGAAUCAACUAUAUUCAUAACUAAUCCAUACAUAUUCUCAUGGUUAUGAAAUUAGCUACAAGUUCAUUUCUUCAAUGAAAUUAAUCACUAAAAUCACAUAGGUGCACCUCUACUCUCGUGAGCGUACUCCCUAUGUUUAGCACUUCUUAAACUAGUGUUAAAUCUCAAUUUUCAUUGCAGAAACAACACCUUAAAUAAUCACAAUCAAUGGUACCAGAUUAAUCAUGAUUUAAAGAGCCAAAGUACUAAAUAACUUGCUCAAAUCAUAGCAAUCAAAUAACCAAAUAAUAAAUACUAACAAUUAUAGAAAGUUCAACCAAACCCAAGGCAUAAACGUUAGAGACACAUAUUAAACACAAAAUCCAGAACUUGCAUAUCAACUAAACUUAGAAUCCAAUACAAAAGAUAAAGAGUUGGAAAAGAGAUAACCAUUGUCACAUGAGCUUCAACUCCUCCUUUUUCAUCUCCAUUUUCAUCCUAAUCUAGCUAAUAUACAAGAAUGGAAGAGCUAUACUAUUCUAAACUAAACUAUCCUACUACUCAGAAAGUGCAAGAGCUACAUCUCUGCACUCCAAGUUUCUCCUGUAUGUCUCUCUAUUCUCCCUUCAAUCUUGCAAGCUUUGGCUAUAUAAAGGUGAAAGUUGGUCAAGAAGUGAGGUUUACACCUCCCUUUUACAGCUGGGAAUGUUUCUCACAUGUCUAGCAUCACCUGUGACUUAGUGGAGGUGAAAUUGAGUUUCCCACGUAAAGAGCAGCCUUCUCUGACCACAAUCCGGCCAGAAAUCUGGCCAAGUUCCGGCCGGAUUGCUACAGUGACAUUUUGGUGCACUUUUGUUCAAUUUCCAGCUCUGCUCCAAUUUUGUGUCAAUUUCAACUGAACUUUUGUUGAUGAUAAAAGCUGAUUUAGCUCUUGAUCAACAUAAAACUUGUAGCCCUUUGAGUUAGCUUUCCAAUGCAUCAAGAAUCACCUCAUUUGGAUCUGUGUAGGCUGAGAAAUGACCGAAAUACCUUUGACUGCUCACUGCCCUAUUUCAGCUUCGACCAAUAGAAAUUAGCUACUGUAAUUCGGCUUUUUAACCUGGAAAACCUUCAAAAUAGAUUCAGAUGUCUUCACCAAAGUUGUAGAUCUAUCUCUUAUCUUCAAAUUGGUUUAAGAAUCAUCUCAAUCCGAUCAUUAUAGCUCAAGUUAUAGCCAAAAUACGAAAAUGUGUCAAAACUGUCAAAAUGCACAAAAUCCAAGUAAAAAGUGAUAAAAACCUCAUUUAAUUACUUAAAAGCAUUUUUCACCAAUUAUAGCCAAAAUGAAUCAUUUUCUUCCAAUAAUGUAACCAAAGUGACUAACAAUAAUAUAAAAUAUCAUACAAUUAUUACAUAAAUUAGUCACUUAUCAGCUUUUAUUGGCAAUUAGGUUUAUUUUUAUUAUUGCACAGGUUCGGCACCUGUCAUUAGGAGUACUGGUUUUGCUGUGGGAUUUUUCGUUUUCUUUGUCAGCUGCGUCAGCUGCAUGGUGCUUUAGAGCAUAAGCCUUUGUUUUGUAUCGAAACAUCACGGCCAAAAUUGCCAAAAGCAUAUCGAAACAUGAACACAAAAUGAAAGAUGUGAGGAAACUUUAAUGAAGAUAUGCCUUGAGAUUUAAACACCAAAGACAAAAGCUCAAAAAAUAUUAUCAACGGAUCAAAAUAAGAACUUGAUUAUUGGUAAAACACUCCAACAAGUUAAGUCGAACCAAGAUCAACAUAAUCAAUUAUUUGAUUUCAAGAGUCAUAACUUUUGCUUGUAAAGAACAAAUAAAGUUAAACAAUUUAUUGCUUUUUUCCCCCCAGUCAGCUGUGUACCUCAACAUUAUUUCACGUCAAAAACUUGUUUUUCCUCGGAUUAAAUACCCUAGCAUCUGAGGUUAUCACCAGUCUCGACACCCAAUUGUCUACAAUAUUCAGUAUAAUACUCAACUCGAGCACUAACUGUGUUUGGAUUUGCACCAUCACAUUCAAGCCGACCAUUAAUGGCACGAAUUGUAGCCCCAAAACCCUGGCCAGAAGUGAUAAGAUCAUGACAAUGGUUCAUCCAAUACCACAAGCCAGUUUUGAAUGAAAUAACAUUAUUUGUAGCUACAGUUUCAGGUUGGCUGAGUCCAUUGAAUCCAAUGCUUUCACCUGCUGGUCCAUAGUUAGAGUUCCAUGAUAACUGUAUUGGACCCCUGCCGUAAUAUCCCUUGCCUGGCACACAUGGAUACUGAGUGUUGCUCUCAUCACAGUAAUCUCUGGAGGGGCCGUCUAUCUCUUCUAUGUAGCACAAAUCUGCGCAAUAUAAAGAAAUUUUGUCACUCAAUUGAAAUGAUUGAUAAAGGGUUAGAAUCAAAGAAAAUCAGGAGGUCUGGAAUUUUUUGUAAAUUUUUAGAUUUGAUUGUUUUACUAAUGAAUUCAAUUGGUGAGAAAAGACUUUAUCCCAUUUUGUAAAAAUUGGGUUGGACAGACCUAAAGUAAACACUCUUUUUAUGAGGUAAAAUUUUAGAAUGAUUUAACAUUAUAGGGUUAUACGAUAGAUAAAUAAAAAUUGGCAAUAGCAAGAUUAAGAAGGGACCAACAGUGAUAUAAAAAUUACAAAGGUAUCAUGGACGUCUAAAAUAUAUUUGGCUAAUAAAUUUGAACUAAUUUACGGCCAAAUUUAGGUGAAAUAGUUAAUUCUACUUGGUAAAUUGGAAGUUCGGAAACGUGUAUCUGUCAGUUGUCAUACUCAUGAGCGAGCCAAUCUUAACUUAAAAAAGAAAAAGAAAAAAAGAAAAAGAAAAAAGGAAUCCAAAAGAUAAAAGUAGAAAAGGCAUGAAUUUUAAAACGUAAUCGUAAUACCUUGUACCCGAAACAAAUAUGUGCAAUACUUAUUAAGCUAAGCAAAGCCACAUGAUCUACUCUUAGAUGCAGCAAAAUAUACAACCACCUUAAGCUUGGAAUGUAAAGGCAGAAAAACUUGCUUAUGUAGAUAUAAAAGUGACCACUACAAGAAAAGUAAAAAGAAUAUGGAGAUAAUAAUCCUUCUGUUCAUCAUGAUAAAUUAUUUAACAGUAAUAAAUCUUUCAUAUUCAAGUUUUAUUUUUUGAAGAAAAAAUUCUUGGAUAAUAGUGCACAGGAGAUUCCAAGAUAUACUAUCUAGAAAUUCACAGGAGCUACUAAAAAAGUAGAAAAUAUCUUCAAAAUUUAAUUUCCAAGCUAGUGUUAUUCAAAACUUACGUCCAGUCUCAUGAGUGACAUGAGCAAAGAAAGCAGCAAUCUCCCUUUUAGAAUCAUCAACAGAACCAGCGGUUCCAAACUGGGGAUACGAGUUCAGAGCUUCAAGAAAAGCUGAUCGAGUAUAGAACCCUUUUCCAGCACAGCUUGAAGCAGCUUGAUCAGCAAUCCCAUUAAAGAAAGCGUCCGUCACAAUAUCAGCAACUGAAACGCCACUAUUACCACUGCUCGGAGCAGCGGUGCAAGGGCCGGAUUGACAGCCAGAGCCGCAGUAGUCGUUGCCGGUACCGCAAUAGCCGAAUUUGCUGCAGCACAAGUCUGGUGCACAGCCGCAGUUUUGGCUUGAAAUCAGCUGUGGAAAGGCUCCUACAAGAACUACAAUGGAGAAAAUGAUGGUUGGAAAACUCUUCAUUUUUGGAUUUGAUAAAGGAGAGAAGCUUGUGGGCAGCAGUUGUAUCAGAAAAAAGGGUAUAUGUAGGGAAGAGAACUGAAAACUGAUCAGCUUGUGUGAAGCAUGCACAGCUGCUAUUGUUGAAAAUAUUGAAUUUGAGCAAUUAAAGAAAACAGAACAGAAGACGAAAGCGUGAAUGGUUGACUUCUAUCGAGAGUAUUGACUUUGACAUUGUCAAUGAAGCGGAAACUUUCUUUCUUGGCUUCUAGAAUGGGAAAGGUCAAAAAGAAAGAUUUUGGCCAAUUCGUAUGAACAAUUGUGAGAAUAAGGCAUGUAGACUCACAAGUCCCCACUAGAAUGUGUGCAAAAAUAUAAUUUGAAGUUGCCUAAAUCAUUUAAUUUCAUGCUUGUUAUUGAGUUUAUUUGCCUAACUGUGUUUUAGUAAUACUUCAAAAUUGUGUUUGAGUUAGAACGGAAAAAAAUAUGAGACAUUUUUUUUUUAAUUGCAAUUCCAGAAAUAAAAUCUUAUAAAACAUGUAUUAGAAAAAUUUUGAGGGUAAAUGAUAUGAAAAAAAAAAAGAAGAAAUAGUUCUAUAAAUUGACAUAAGUGUUCAUCGGCUUUUGGAAAAAUUAAGAAAGAAUAAAGCAGCCGACAUAUCUAUCAUGCAUAACAACAUUAUGUGGCUUUUGUUAGUACACGCUAUGACCAUAUAUGUUUCAUUUGAGAUGCUUGUCGGACGUGUUGAAUUGUUGGCAAUGAAAUGCUCCAAAAUGUCAGCACUAUAGUUUAUAAAUAGUAUUAGGUCAUACUGAAUUAUCGACAUAUCGUUACAUGCAGAGUCGUGAAAAUAUACAAGUCUUUCCCUAUCAUUAAUUAGUUGGUCAAAUGACAAUUUUAGAGUGGCUGCUGACUAUGUCAAGAAACAUCUUGCAGUAAAUUGGGCGAGUUAAUGUACUUUUCUUUUUCUAAAUAUUUGCACUUAAACUCUCAAAUCGACCAUAGUUUUAACUAAUUUUGCUCUGGCUUUAUUCUUGAUUCGCAAAAUUCAGAAAAACCAAAACAAACCCUUGUUACUGAAGAUAUCAAAAUGGUAACCCAACUAAGUAAUUGAUUUUGAAAAACAUUCUGAACCAAAUUUCAAGUUUUGGUUUCUUUGCUCUUUUUCUACUGAAAGGCAACUUCCCCGGGCCAAGAAAUUGAAACAAAUAGUACGAUGCUUAAGUUUUCUAUGCUCUUAUGAUCAAGUCAAACCAUGCUUAUAAUCAAUUACAUAAAAAAUUACGGGCAAUUUCGUCAUUAUUUGGGAGGAGGAGGAAUAUUAAGCAAAAAAAAAAGUUCUAUUAAGAAAACGAUUAAGCAUAUUAUUUUCCAGGAAUAAAAAAGAACGAGCAGAGAAAUACAUUAGUUUGGAUGACAUUACAACAUUUAGCAACAUGAUUAGGGAUGCAAUGGGAUGGGUGCCAAUUGGGAAUCAAUGGGAUGGGAGAAAAUGCAGGAGGGGAUGGAGGGAUUGAAGAAUAUUUCUCCUCCAACAUUAAAUGGAUACCUCCAUCCCAUCCCCUAAAACCCCUUGUUGCUAUUCCUAAACAGGAUGCUACUUAUAUCCUCUCUCUAUGAGCAUGUGUGGCUAGUGAGGAAUGCAGGAUUUUGAUUUUGGCGGGGGGAGGGUGGGGCAAAUUGACAAUCAAGAAACAAUAGAAAAAAAACCUUAGCAAAUAAAGCACACAAACUUAAAAUGAAAGUUUAAUAUACGAUAAAUAAAAUAUAAAUAUUUUUAAUAAUAAAAUACACCAUAUAAAUAAAAUGAUAGAGCAAUAAUUGGGCACCAUAAGUGCUGUUAUUUGGUCAUAAUGUUGGCUACUUAUCAUGCUAAGUAGUGCAGCUUUGCUCAUAUUUGAUAUUUGUGUAAAUUACAGGCGGUUGGUGUUGAAACUGAUCUCUCGAGGCAAAUUUUCAGAAGACUUUUUAUUUCAGAGCGUGCCGACGCCAGAAACUAUAGAGAGACUCCUCAAAGGUGGACCGCGGGACUAAUUAACUAAACUUACCUUUAUUCCUGCUUGACGCUGCUGGAAGUGCGUUAAAACAAAAAGGCAAUAAUUUCCAGCGAAUUGGGUAACAACCAAUAAGGAGGAAAAUUAGGGGCACUAGCCUACAAAGCCGGACCCGCGAGACUGGUAGACAAAGUGGGGAAUUAGGAAGUCUUCAAAGCGGCUAUUUUCUCGUGGGCUGCAGAGGUGAAAAGGACAAGUAGUUUGAGUCUUGCAGAGAGCUUUUGAGUUCUCUUACGUUUUGUCUUGCGGUAGCCACCCGGGGGAGGAUUGAAAAAGCCAUAUUCACGUGGGAUUAGGAGAUUAGCUUUAGUUUCUUGUAUCCCUGGGUAGACGAUCUGCUCUCUGCUUUGCUUUUGGCGACUUUCUUUAGACCUUUUUCUUUACUUUUCUCCGGCACGAACAGGGAACCAAAAAAGAAGCAAGACUUUUCGUUUGUCUCGUCGUUAUUUCAUCUUUCCCAACUUUUUGGUAAUUAAGUGGAUGGAAUCAAUCAAAUCACGCGAGAUUGAUGUGAUGAGGAGUGGCUAGGUUUCUCUGCUACCCAAAGGUCGACGCGAAGGCGCGGUCCAUAACAUCUGUGAGAUCUAAUCGAACUUUCACUAUUUCUUCCAAUCCGUUACUAUUCGUGCGUUUUCUGGAUUAACUGUUUAUGGUUAUUUUAUUAAUUGAGUAUCAACAGCCGGAUAUUUAAUUUAAUCUAAUAGCCUACUGUCACGUUAACUAAAUUGAAUCCGUAAUUAUUCGUUUAGUUGAUAAUUAGUGACAACCAUCAUAAUUGGCUUUAUGUUGGGAAAAACGUAAGAUCUAAUUUAGAUAAACCCUCUUAUAGCGUGUUUAUUGGUUAGGGUUGGAUUUUUCUAGCGUUAAUGCAACUGAAUAAUUAAAUUCCUACGGUCGUAUCUAGGGUUAUUUUCUGGUUAGAGAAACAGUCAACGGUCGUACCUUGGCUAUCGAAAAAGUAAGAAAAAACUAGCAGUCAGAGCUUGUUGAUCGCUAUAACCAACCUAGUGACGAAUGAGUGAAAUAUCUUUGCAUCGAUGAUCAUUUAAUUGGACCGUGCCUGAAAAGUUGAUCCUUUGGAUAGAAUUUUGCUAAUUGCUAUUUUCAGUGAAUUGUACUUGGCGAGUUAGCUUUUGAAUUUUGUUUAUUUUAUUUUCAUUUUCAUUCCAUUAAAUAUCCCCCAAUUUUGUUCUAUUGACUUGGAAAGAAACAACUUCUUACCCGUUACUUGUGGAAUCGACCCUACUUGCCAUUUUCAGAAACAACUUCUUAAUUUUAAUCCUUAUGAAACCCAGCUUCUCUCUCAAUUUUCAGAGGUUUCUUUUCCUUCAUCAUGUCAAAGUUGCUAUUAUAAUCACUGUAAUUAGACAGCUAAACCUGUCAUUCCAAUUAUACCCUUGGUCCGCCGUGGGAAAUACAUAAAAUGUGGUAGCGCUGCCCAAUAAGUCCCACAUUGGACCAUAUAAAAUUGUUUAAGGACUAAAUUGGUAAAAAAAAUCGUAAAUGAUGAAAUUGAUUUAAGUGAAAAAGUUCAAGGACCAAAUUGGCAAUUUUUCCUUAUUAUGAUUAUGAUUAUGAUUAUUAUUAUUAUUAUUAUUAUUAGUCUGAGAUGCCGAACAAGUUGUGGAGACUUAUUUCACCUUUACAAGGUCAUUGGAGGGCUUGACGAGGUGCGAUGUGGUAAGGAAAGGCACAAAAAACUCUUUUUUCUUUAUUAAAAAACAUACAAAUUGCACUAAUAAUGGCUGAAAAUGCAUCCAACAUGCAAUAGUGAAAAAUCGUUAGAUGCAAGAUAUAUAAAAGUUAACAAAAAUUAUCUUAGUACCUCUGAUAUAUUCCAAAUUCAGAUAAAUCAUCUGCCCCCAAUGAAUAUAUGUGCAUAUCAUCAUUGUCAAAAAAUAUUUAUGCAUAUCAUUGCCGUUAGAUUUUAUAUUGAAGUGGUUAAAGCUCCAAAUCUAGUAGAGAAGAAAUUCAACACUUGAGAAAAUAAGUUAAGAAAUUCAAGAUUUGACAUACAAAUCUGAAAAGCUCUCAAAUCUAACAAAACAAGAUAUAAAAUUAUCUGAAUAAAACUCUCACUAGAAUAUCUUAGUAGAGAAGAAAAUUCUCACUAGAUAGUCUCACUAUACUUUAUUAGACAUAAAAAAAAAAAAAAGAGAAGUCAAACAGAGGGAGGAAGGCAAUCCUCCAUGGAGGAAAUAAUAAUUGUCUUGAAGGUUGUGUAGAGAGAUGGUGGAGAAACUUCUUUUGUUUUAUCUAUUGGUUAUCUUUCUAAUUGCUAGUUAACGAACAAUAAACUCUAAAUGAAACUACUAAAUUUGCAACCGAAGACAUUUUUGGGCUUGUAUCUUAGUAUCGUAAUCGUCACCCAAUUAGAGCCGCCCAUGACGGCUUCAUUAAAUAUAUAAUUUGGGGGAACCAGGAUUUAAGGCCAAAUUUCGGCAACCUUCAAGGCACUUCAUUGUUUUCUCACAAAUUUUGUUUAUUUAUUGUAAAAGAUUAACUUUAAAGUGUCCUCAAAUUUCUUCCCUAUCUUCUCUCAAACUUUACCAGUGAAAAUUGUUUGUCUUCGGGUUCGUUUGUUUCGGGUGAAAAUGUUUUCCAGAAAAAGUAUUUUCCUAAUUUCCCGUGUUUGAUUGCACAAAAGUUACUGAAAACAUUUUACAUAAAUUUUCACUCAUCUUAUGGAAAACAACUUCCCUUCCAAACUUACUGAAGUUGUUUUCCGAAAUGCAUGCAUCCCGCCUGUAGUAUGUUCCAAACUUACUGAAACCAUCUUGUAGUAUGUUCUUUUUUUUUUUUAGUGUAAACAGGAGGACUCGAACCAAGACCUCUUCCUUACACUCCCUCCCCCGUACCAUCCAACCCAACCCAACCCUCCCCCUAGUAUAUUCAAAAUAAAAAAAAACCUCAUCCUACUCAUCCUAUUCUAGUAAUUAAUUAUGUAUAAUAGGGACAUUCUUUUCUAGAGAAACUUUCAGCAAUGAUAGUGCAAGAUAUAUGUCACAAUAAGCAUUGCAUGUGAUUGAUAUUUGACACUAAAUGGCCAGCAAUUUGUUUAUUGCUUAAGGAGAUAUUUUUUAUUCAUAUAUACAUUUCUCCAAGAUUUUUUAAAGUUAAACAAUGAGAUAAAUUUUCUUAUUUUGCAUGGGAAGAAGUAUGUAGUUAUAAUGUGUAGAAAGUAAAGAUAGAGAUAAAAGUGAAAAUAUUUCAAAAGUUAAACAAACACCAAAAAAAUGAAGUAAGAAAAUAUUUUCAAUAAACUAACCAAACACCUGAAAAUGAUGAAAGAGAAAUGAUUUUCAUGGAAAAUUACUUCCACGGAAAAUAUUUUCCCAAGAAAAAUAUUUUACUUCCAACCAAACAGACCCUUCAUCUCGUUGAUUGUCUCCCCCAGUGCAUACAAAUGUAUUAUGGGCAUUUUGGUGAAAGAAAGGCAUAAACCGAGUUCUGCACAACUAAAUUUUGCCAAUAGCAUAUGAAAAUAUGAAGAAGAAUAAUAAUAAAUGAAGGGUCUGUCUAAUAAGUAUUCAUAGGGAACCAUUGAAAUAUAUCUCAAGUGUCAUGUUUUUGGAAAUGUAAAAUUAAUAGAAAAAAUAAAUAAAUACAAGAGAGAGUAGAUAAAAUUAAAUAAGAAAAGUUAAUAAUUGUUAAUAGAUAUAUAUACAUAAUAGAUUAGAUGAACGUUAAAUAUGUUAACAAGUACCUUAUUAGCACCCGUUAAAAAAACCUAUAAAUGAAAGAUGUGAUCACCAAAUCAUUGACAAAGAAAUGUGUUGAAAAUGAAACAAGAAAGUCAAACAUGAUAAGGGAUCAAAAAUGGAAUUUAAUAAUUGCAGAUACUCCAAGAAGUUGAGUUGAAAUCAGUUAUCCGAUUUCAAAUUCACAACUUCUGCUGUCAAAGAACUACAAAGGGACUCAACUUCUGCUAAUUUAUAUUAGUUUCGAAACUCUUACAAGUACCCUAGCAUCUGAGAUUAUCACCGGGAUCAACACCCAACUGGUUACAAUAUUCAGCAUAAUACUCAACACGAGCACUAACAGUGUCCGGAUUUGCACCAUCACAUUCAAGCUGUCCGUUAACGGCACGAAUUGUAGCCCCAAAACCCUGGCCAGAAGUGAUAAGAUCAUGACAAUUGUUCAUCCAGAACCACAAGGCAGUUUUGAAUGAAAUAACAUUAUCUGUGGCCACAGUUUCAGGUUCAGUUAGUCCAUCGAACCCUAUGCUUUCACCUGCUGGUCCAUAGUUAAAGUUCCAAGAUAUUUGUAUUGGACCCCUGCCGUAAUAUCCCUUGCCUGGCACACAAGGGUACUGAGUGUUGCGCUCAUCACAAUAGUCUUUGGAAGGGCCGUCUAUCUCUUCUAUAUAGCACAUAUCUGCACAAUAUAGAGAAGUCUGUAUCAAUUAUCACUGCAUUCAAUUGCUUAUAUGAAAGCCACUCAUUGAUACAUUAUGGAUUUUAGAUAUUUUUACUAUUAAAAAAUCUAUAAUCUAAAUACAAAAUAAAUGAGAACAUAAAAAAAAUUAAUUAUUUAAAAUCAGAAUCUAUAGUCAGUUAUAAUAAUCAAUCAAGAACAACCCCAAAAAAUGUCAUCAAUAUUUAAGAAGGGACCAUAUGUGAUAAAGAAAUUAUAAAGUUAUAAGUAAUCACAGACUAAAUAAAUAACCAAUACAACAAAGUAGAAAAAAAAAAGGAAAACAAUAAUCCCUCUGCCCAGUUAUAAGAGACACACCCUCAUGAUAAAUUUCUUUUUUUUCUUUUUCAGUUAUGUCAUUUUAAGUUAUUUGACAAUAGAAAGUAUUUCAUAUUAAUGUCGUUAUCUUUGAAGAAAGUUCUUGGACAAUAGUGCACAGGACAACAUCCUACGUAGAACUGUACAAAGAUUUAGUAAAUAGGAUCUAAGACGUAGAAAAGUUGCUAAAAAUUUCAAAAAAACUAAAUCUCCUUGGUGGAGUUGUUCAAAGCUUACGUCCAGUCUCAUGAGUGACAUGAGCAAAGAAGGCGGCAAUCUCCCUUUUGGAAUCAUCAACUGAACCAACUGUUCCAAACUCAGAAUACAAAUUCUGAGCUUCAAGAAACGCCGAUCGAGUAUAGAACCCUUUUCCAGCACAGCUUGAACCAGCUUGAUCAGAAAUCCAGCUAAAGAAAGCGUCUGUCACAACAUCAGCAACUGAAACACCAUUAUUACCACCAUCUGAUGAAGCGGUGCAAGGGCCGGACUGGCAGCCUUUGCCACAAUAGUCGUCGCUGGUGCCACAAUAGCCCCACUGGCUGCAGCAUAAAUCUGGUUCACAGUCACAGUUUUGGCUUGAAAUCAGCUGGGAAAAGGACCCUACAAGAACUGCAAUGGAGAAAAUGAUGAUUCGAAAAUUCUUCAUUUCUGUACUUGAAGAAGGAGAAAAGGAUGUGGACAGAAAUUGUUUGAGUAAGAAGGAUAUUUAUAGCAUGGAGAACUGGAAAAGUGAUCAGCUUGUGUGAAGUAUGGAGAACUGCUAUUGUUGGAAAUCUUGAAGUUGAGCACUGAAUGGAAUGGAUAUAAAAUGCAAUAUUAGUGCUUGACUUUCAAUUAAUCUAUUGACUUUGGCACUGUCAAAAAGUAGCAACCUUCUUUCUUGGCAUUCGGAAUGGGAAUUGUGGAAAAGAAAAAUUUUGGCCAAUUGAUAUCAACAAUUGUGAGUACAAGUCACAAGUCACAAAUAUAAUGCGUGCAAAAAAGAUAACUUGAUGUUGUCUGUAUCAUCUGAUGUUAAUAAAGCCUAACUCUGUUGUAGUCCUAUUUCAGUCUCGUAUUUGAGUCAGAACACAGAUGAUAUUUGUACCAUUCUAGAUCCACGGGCUGCCCUACUACAAAUACUUUUCAUUUGGCUUAAAAAAAACAUUUUAAAGGGUGUAAGCUUUACAAUUAAAGCACGAUCUUUACCUUAUCAUGCAAAGUAUUGGACAUAUAAAAUUUUAUCAAACUGUUGUAGUGAAAAGAACUCAAAUGAUCAAAUUUUAUCCAGUUGAUAAAUAUAGAAUCCUAAAUAAAAUGCAUAGUCCUUUUUUUUUCCUUUAGAGUUCUUAUUGCAUACUAUAUGAAUUAAUUGGUAAAAUUUUGGUAGCGUAUAGGAAAUGAUACCAAUAUAAAAACUACAUUUACUACUCGAGGGCUUAUUAUGCUGCCCAAUUUUUUGGUUUCUACCAUGAGCUGAAAAAAAAUCUUUUCGAAGCAUAAGUUUCCCCAAAUUCUCAUAGACUUUACAAAUGAAAGUUAUUUGUUUCUUGUCGUUCAUUGACUCACCAUGCGUGUGCAGAUGAAUUAUUGAUUGGCCUUUUUGUGGCAGAAAGAUAAAACAGAAUUGAACCAAAGACCUCAUAAUUCCCUAAUUAGUCACUUCAGCCAGUUGAAUUAGAUCUUAUUCACAAGUUUUUUGUACUUCGGUAUAAUAGCGCUCCUGUUCCUUAGUCUCUUAUGCUUCGGUUUACUCCCAAUCUUAAUUGCCUUAACAUUGGUGCAUUUAGACCCUUGCAUUUGGUAAUUCAUAAUCUUAGUAUAGUUAUGAUCCUCAAAUAUCAUACCUUGAGAAACAUCACGGCUAAAAUUACCAACAGCAUAUUGAAACAUGAAAAGUAAAUGAAAGACGUGCAGAAACUUCAAUGGAGAGGCUUGUUGAGAGUGGAAACACCAAAGUCGAAAGCUCGACGAAUACGAUCAAGGGUUCAAAACUGGAACAUGCCUAUUCGUAAAUAGUCCAAGAAAUCGAAACAAGACCAACAAAAUCAAUUAUAUGAUUUCAAAACUUAACAACUUUCGCUUGUAAAGAGCAAGAAAGGUAAACACCUUUUGCUAAUUUUUAUUAAUUUCCAAUCAGUUUUAAGCCUUUAUAGCUCAACAUAUUACUCCCUUCCGAGCACUUUCGGCUCUCCAGAAGUACCCUAGCAUCUGAGAUUCGGACCAGGAUCAACACCCAGUUGGCGACAAUAUUGAGUAUAAUACCCAACACGAGCACUAACAGUGUUUGGAUUUGCACCGUCACAUUCAAGCCGACCAUUAAUGGCACGAAUUGUAGCCCCGAAACCCUGGCCGGAAAUGAUAAGAGAAUGACAAUGGUUCAUCCAAAACCACAAGGCAGUUUUGAAUGAAAUAACAUUAUUCCUGGCUACAAGUUCAGGUUGACUUAGUCCAUUGAACCCAAUGCUUUGUCCUGCUGGUCCAUAGUUGUAGUUCCAUGAUAUUUGUAGUGGACCGCGGCCGUAAUACCCCUUGCCUGGCACACAUGGAUACUGAGUGUUGCUCUUGUCACAGUAGUUUCUGGACGGGCCGCUUAUCUCUUCUAUAUAGCACAUAUCUGCAUGAUAUAGAGAAGUGGUAUUAGUUAUCAUUCCGUCGAAUUGCCAAAAAAGGAAAAAAUGAACGUUAGGUAAGACAAGGAUUGUCGGAUGAUAUGAUAAUGAAAAAUGUAGCAAAAUUUUAUGAGUUCUAAUAACAAUUAAUUGCAAAAUUAUAGAAUUGAAAGGAUUUAAGAAUCACAAACAAAAAUAUUUAUGUGGGAGAAAAGAGAAUAAAUAACUUAACUCAAAAUGUCAUUAAUAUUUCAAACAAAGAAGAAAAUCUCACCACAAUAAAAAUCUAAUAAAUUUUCUAUAGACUAUUUUAGGCUCUCUUAAAUUUUUAGAAAAUACUCCACCUAAUACUCUAGUGCUAAUUUAUGAGAAUCAUUGAAUAAGAAACAACACGAUUAAUUAUGAAAUAAAACACCAAUCACUAAAUAAUAAAAUUACUAGAAAUUGACUUCAAUAAAACUAAUGAUAAUUAAAUAGAAAAUUUUUGAAGCUUGGUUUAUUUUGCCAAAAAAAGAAAAGAAAAGAAGAGCCAUCAAUAUUUAUGAAUAGACCACAAGUGAUUUAAAAUUUACAAAGUUGUAAGUAAUGAUUUAAAAUUUACAAAGUUGUAAGUAAUCACAUGCUUACUAAAUUAUAAAGUUGACUACUACAACAAAGUGAAAAGAACGGAAAAUAAUAAUUUCUCUAUCCAAUUAUAAGUGGCACCCAUAUUCAUGAUAAAUUAUUACAAUAAUAAGUAUUUCUUGUUAAAAUUUUAGUUUUUGAAGAAAGUUCUUGGAUAAUAUUGCAAAGAAAAAUAGUCAAAACUUGGGGACAUCCGGUUUUCAAAAAUCCAAUAGACCAAAGUGUGCUAUACUUUCUCACCAAGUGGUUUAACACAAUUUGGACUAUUGAAUUUUUGAACAUGGGACUUACCCAAGUGUGAGUCCAGAAAAAUAAUCUAUAUAUUACUGUACCAACAUUUAGAAAAGUUACUAAAAAUAUUUUAUAGAAAGUUCCAAAGUAAUUCUCUUUGGUAGAGUUGUUGAAAACACUUACGUCCAGUCUCAUGAGUGACAUGAGCAAAGAAAGCAGCAACCUCCCUUUUAGAAUCAGCAGCAGAACCAGCAGUUCCAAACUUAGAAUACGACUUCUGAGCUUCAAGAAAUGCCGAUCGAGUAUAGAACCCUUUUCCAGCACAACCCGAAGCAGCUUGGUUAGCAAUUCCAUUAAAGAAAGCGUCUGUGACAAUACCAGCAACUGAAGCACCAUUAUUACCACCGCUGGGUGCAGCAGUGCAAGGGCCGGAUCGGCAGCCGGGGCCACAGUAGUCGUUGCUGGUGCCGCAAUAGCCGAAUUUGCUGCAGCAUAAGUUUGGUGCACAGCCACAGUUUUGACUUGAAAUCAGCUGUGGGAAGGCUCCGACAAGAACCAUAAUGGAGAAAAUGAUGGUUGGAAAAUUCUUCAUUUUUGUGCUUGAAGGAAGAGAAAUGGAUGUGGGCAGAAGCUGUUUGAGAAAAAAGGGUAUAUAUAGGGAGGAGAACUGGAAAAUGGAUCAGCUUGUGUGAAGAAGGGAGAGCUGUUAUUGUUGAAAAAAUUUAAGUUGACUAAUGAAUGAAAACAGAAAUCACGUUUGACUUUAAUUCGUGCAUUGACUUUGACAGUGUCAAUAAGUGGGAAUUUUUGUUCUUGGUUUCUAGAAUGGUAUUUGUGAAAGAUUGAUUUUGAUCAAUUGAUAUCAAUAAUUUUGGAAUUGAAUAAUGUAGACUCACAAGUCGCAACUACUGUGUGUAUUUUUAUGACUUGAAGUUGUCUACAGCAUUUAAUUUAGUGCUCAUUAAUUCAUUAACUUGCCUAACUAUGUUUUAGUCAUACUUCACAUUUGCAUUUGAGUUUAAGCACUCAAAAAUAUGAGACAGAUCAAUUUGUCAGUUACAAUUCAUGAAAUAAAAUAGUGUAGAACCUGUGUUAGAAUAAUUUUAGGUUAAAUGGUAAAGAAAAGCAACACUUUUACAUAGCAAUAUAAGUGGUAGUCAGUUUUGGAAAAGCUAAGAAAGGAUUAAAGCCCCGCUUGAUAACCUAAUUCAACACUUAAAUUUAUUGAAUUCAAAUUUUAAUAUAUUCAGACCAUUUGAUAACCAAAGAUUGAACAUCUGAAUUAAUUAAUUCGCACUGAAUUUUCUAGGUAAAACUUAUUUCCAAAAUUAAGUGAUAAGCUAUUCACUUAUCAUUGAAUAUGAUAUGCACUCAAAUAUAUUAGAUUUAAUACUUAACAACUCAAUAAUUUAACGGAUUUAAAUUUAAAUUUUCAAUUUUCAAAUUUGAGACUUCAAUUUUCACGCUUAACUUUUGUCAAACGCAUCCUAAUUAGGCCACUUGCAUAUCACGAAUGACAAAACCAUGUGGCUUCUGCUAGUACACGUUUCGACAGUAUUCCACUUCACGUGUUUGUUGGGCAUACUGGCAUGUCCAUUUGCAUCAUGUCCUAUUUCAUAACAAAAUAUUAUAUUCUAAAUAUAUAUGAAAUAUUUAAUUUAUAUAUGUUAAUUUUUUAAUACAAUAAUAUAAUGUACUUGUAAAUCAAAUAGUAUUAAGUAAAAUAACUACAUAGAAGCAGAUAAAAAUAUAACUGCAGUGCCCCUGUUAGAUUGAAUCUUUAACAAAUUGAAUGCUUUGAACUUUUUUCAUUCAGGAUUUCAGUGCUAUAAUUUAUAAACAGUAUUUCCAAAAAAGAAUUGUUAGUGAAGAUAUCAAAUUGGUGCCCCUAGUAAGUAAUUGUGUUCAGAAAACAACUAGAGUCAAAAGUCAAAUUUUCGUUUCUUUCCUGUUCUUGUCUAAAGACAAUUCUGCAGACAAAGAAGUUGGAAAAAAAAAUAUGCUCACAAUUUGGCAGGGCAAACCUCCUUGCCUAAAAAUUAAGAAAAAUCCACGCCUAAAAAUUAAGAUAAGAAAAAAAAAUCAGUUCAUUUUCUCCUCAUGUUCACUAUUAUCUUAUUAAAUUAAAGGAAACCACGCUUAUAAAUUAUAAUCACUUGCAUCAAAAUCCAACGGCAAUUUUCUCCAUUUUUUGGAAAGAAGAGGAAGGGGGAAAAAGGAAGAAGCUUCCGUAGAAAAGGAAAGAAUUGAGAAAUGUGAUAGGUACUCUGUCUCCCUCUCGGCAAGUGCGGCUUAAGCCAAGCACAGCUCACAGAAGUCCAUUGUUGAAUUAGUCUCCCUGAAAAUUUCUAGCCAUAAAAAUUUUAACUUUUCCUUUUAGUAUAAAUGGAAGAUCUCGAAGUGGGGACCUCUUAUUUACAUUUUCUCUCCUCAUAUCAUUCAACUCAUUUUUUCCCCGAAUUUCAACUUGCUACUCCAUAACUUAGCUUCAUGGAUCUAUAUUUAUGUUCUCAGAAAUGUGAUGUCAUACUUCUAGAUACAUUCAAAAGCGAUGAAUAGUCGAUCAUUUGGACAAUUGUAGUUUAAAGAACUAAGAAUUAGUGCAAAUAUCUAGUUCAUUGAAAACGUAUGGCCCUUAAUUUUUGUAUUUUGACGAUAUACAAGUCUGAAAUUCUAGAAAACAAAGAAAACUGCCAUCCUUGAACAAUUCUUUAGAGAUUUUUUGUUCUUUUUAUUUUUUGAGCAAAUGAAACAUCUUCCCGUUUAUCAUUGGAACAUAAGCUUUACAAAGGAGCAAAACCUCUUACUACAACAAAAAAUCUGGAGCGAGCUAUACCCAUUAUACAAUACUAUGCAUGUGAAAACAAACAAAACAGACAGAAUUCAACCAAGAUCAAUCUAGCAAACGUCCGUGAUCUAUCCCCCAUUCUAACAACAACUCCCAAUUUUCCUUACUACCAGGAGCUUUAGCCCAUAAGAGACAAGUCAAGUUGAACAAUUUUAACCACUGCCGAUUUAAUAAAAUUUGGAGUGAAACCCUCCAACGUGUACAGGGUUUGUCUUUCCAAAAAAACAAAAAACAAAAAACAAAACCGCUGCUGCAACUACUUCCAUUAUCAGUAUUCUGUAUACGAAAAUCAACAUUUAGUCUUUCCCAAAUUUAGUAUAUUUUAGUGCAUAAUUGAAAAAAAUUCUCUUGGCACAAGUGGAAAAUUAUAGAUUUGAAAUCAAUUACAAAAUUUCCUAGAAAAUAGACGCCCACUGAUCAACUAUGGCGCUUCGUAGUUCAGCUUUUCCAGUCUCAUACGUAGAAGUUGGUCCUAAUAGUGCAUUAAUGUUUCAUAGUUAAUCAGAAUUUUCUAUGACAAAAAAAAAGAAGAAGAUUCAUGAAGAAAAAUAAUCUAUUGGCUGUACUUUAUUUCGAUUUAGACAUCAAUAGUGCAAUGGCAAAAGGACUUUGUAGAUGAACCUAGUUGAUGUAAUGAAUUUAUGAUGAUUUAAUUAACUAAAAAGGCAAUCAAUUCGGUCUGCUUAAUGUCAUACUCAAGAGGUCAUCAUCUUUGUCAAAGGGUCUAUACAUUCCAUACAUUAGUAGUAAAUGUUAGUGGAUUUGUUACUAUUGCUGACCAUGUUAGCCACUGAUUUCUAUUAAAUCAUGUCUUUAGCUUCUUAUAAGCUUCUCUAUACCCUACCUAAUCUCAUACCAUUUUACUUUCUCUUGGAUUAUGUGGAAUGCCUACUUGACCGCAAUGUCUAUAUUUUAAUGAUACCAGUACAUUUUCAAAUCUUCAAUUAGCUUUUAAAGUAUCGAAGUUCAGUUCACUAAUUGGCCAUAAAGACAGAUCAAUAGCAAAGUUGAAAUAUGCCACUUAUCCUGAGACGUUGUAGAAAGUUGGAAUGUUAAUGUCGUCCCUUGUAAUCCGAAUAUGUGAAACUGAAGUUGUUGAAGGGUGGGGGAGAGUUGGGUUGGGUGGUACGGGGCAGGAAGUAUAAGCAAGAGGUCUCGAGUUCAAGUCCUCCCGCUUACACUAAAAAAAAUUAAAAAAAAAAAGAAGCUGUUGAAGGGUGAAUGAGUUUUUCAGUUGUAUACAAGCUGUAUAAUGGGGUUUUCAAUAAAAAGUUUAUCAUUUUCUCAAAAAAAGAAAAAAAAAAGAAGAAGGGUGAAUUGAGGAAGCUGAAUGCUAAGCGAUAUAGUUCUAUUAGUGAUAGAAUAUAACAGGUGUGUAUGGCCAGUUAUGUGAAGUGCAAUCGUUCUCCUUCAUUCACCUUUUGAUAUUACUUUACGGGCCAAAUAUAAGAAUGAGAUCUCUUGGGCUGGCCACGUCUUCUUCUUCUUCGUUUUUUUUUUCCAUUCUUCUUAUAGAUCUUUAGGCGAAUAAGCAAUCUUUGGGGAAAUAAUGUAGUAUAUUUGGACAUUGGGAUAAUUUAACAAAUCUCCAUUGAGUUUUAUGACAAAUUCAUCAUAGUUCCCCCUCAAAUUAUUGCAUUACACUUGUGUCUAUUAGCUAUUGAUUUCCAAGGUAAAUGCUGAAUUUCCCCUCUAGGUUUACCAUUGACACUUUCUAUACAAAGCGAUACAAAUUAUAUAUAAGAGAUUUGUGAAAGUGUCAUACUUCCGAGCUAUAACUCAUAAACAAAGGCAUUCGUAAAACCCUUUUGAUUCAAAUAUAUAGAUUUUUUUUUAUCCAACACCAAAAUUAUAUUGCCCAAUAAAAAAAGAAAACCUUUUUUUUUGGUUAAACCAAACUAUUAUUAUUGCAGCCCCAAAAAAGUACAAAGUUCGGGACCAGCCCUUCCCUAAGAAUACAAGCUCACACACCCUGCCCCACCUCUAAUUAACCCCUACCGCCGGCAUCUACGAAAAUUUGGAUACCCACACACAUCUAAUAUAUAGAUAUACUCACCUAUACACUUAACAAUUUAAUGUAUGCUAAAGUGAGUAGAAUAGGGUUUUGAAAAAGUACUCAAAAGUAUGCUACUUCCAUCAUUACCUUCUAGCACGCAUUGUGCAAACUCUUUUCAAAUAGAAAAAAGGGAAUGAAGAGGAGAUACAAAAAAGGGUUGCAAAUUCUUUAAAAUAUGGCAAGGGUAAGCAUGCAAGUAACAUAUAACAUGAAACAAACAUGUUAAGGAAACCUUAAAACAAGAGAGGUAACAGUAAGUUUGAAAACUUUGGUGCAGCUAAAUGAAGUCAAAAACCUAAAACAAGGUUGAUGGAAUUAUCCCUAGUAAACUCUAUGUGUCCUUCACCAAGUGAAAAAAUACUGUUCAAAAUUCUUAUUUCUAUCGGAACCAUUUCGAGGAACUCCAAUUCGGAUGUCAAUACUAAAAGAAAUUUUCCCUAUGGUACCCCUGAUUUUGAAAUUCACUAAUUAUUUGUAUAAUUGUAUCAUAUAUAUGCUUUUAUGUAUUGUGUAAUGAUUCACAUCAAAUUCAUGAGAAAUUUCGCAUCCCUCUCACAAAAGUUAGCAAAUGCAUUGUAUAUAGGAAGCUGAAAACCAAACAAGACUUUAUUAUUAGGUUAUCGAUCAGUAUUAUUGGUCCUAUCCAAGUGUCAUCACGUUUUGUUUAUUCAAGUGUCAUAAUGUUAUUGAUAGUAUAAUUGGGUUGCAUGAUUAUGGUUGAAAGUGUGGAAUAUGCGAUUAAACUCCGUGUUAGGAGUACUGGUUUUGCUGUGGGUUUUUUCGUUUUCUUUGUCAGCUGCGUGGGGGCUUUAGAGCAUAAGCCUUUGUUUUGUUUCUAAACAUCACCGCCAAAAUUGCCAAUAGCAUAUCGAAACAUGGACACUAAAUGAAAAGAUGUGAGGAAACUUUAAUGAAGAUAUGCCAAAGACAAAAGCUCGAAAAAAUAUGAUCAAGGGAUCAAAAUAGGAACAGGCGAACACCAACAAGUUAAGUCGAACCAAGAUCAACAUAAUCAAUUAUUUGAUUUCAAGAGUCAUAACUUUGCUUGUAAAGAACAAUUAAAGGUAAACAAUUUGUUGCUUUCCCCCCCUCCCCAAUCAGGUGUGUACCUCAACAUUAUUUCACGUCAUGAACUUGUUUUUCCUGGGAUAAAUACCCUAGCAUCUGAGGUUAUCACCAGGCUCGACACCCAAUUGUCUACAAUAUUCAGUAUAAUACUCAACUCGAGCACUAACUGUGUUUGGAUUUGCACCAUCACAUUCAAGCCGACCAUUAAUGGCACGAAUUGUAGCCCCAAAACCCUGGCCAGAAGUGAUAAGAUCAUGACAAUGGUUCAUCCAAUACCACAAGCCAGUUUUGAAUGAAAUAACAUUAUUUGUAGCUACAGUUUCAGGUUGGCUGAGUCCAUUGAAUCCAAUGCUUUCACCUGCUGGUCCAUAGUUAAAGUUCCAUGAUAACUGUAUUGGACCCCUGCCGUAAUAUCCCUUGCCUGGCACACAUGGAUACUGAGUGUUGCUCUCAUCACAGUAAUCUCUGGAGGGGCCGUCUAUCUCUUCUAUGUAGCACAAAUCUGCGCAAUAUAAAGAAAUUUUGUCACUCAAUUGAAAUGAUUGAUAAAGGGUUAGAAUCAAAGAAAAUCAGCAGGUCUGGAAUUUUUUGUAAAUUUUUAGAUUUGAUUGUUUUACUGAUGAAUUCAAUUGGUGAGAAAAGAAUUUAUCCCAUUUUGUAAAAAUUGGAUUGGACAGACUUAAAGUAAACACUUCUUUUAUGAGGUAAAAUUUUAGAAUGAUUUAACAUUAUAGGGUUAUACGAUAGAUAAAUAAAAAUUGGCAAUAGCAAGAUUAAGAUGGGACUAAAAUAUAUUUGGUUAAUAAAUUUGAAUUAAUUUACGGCCAAAUUUAGGUGAAAUAGUUAAUUCUACUUGGUAAAUUGGAAGUUCGGAAAUGUGUAUCUGUCAGUUGUCAUACUCAUGAGUAAGCCAAUCUUCACUUAAAAAAAAAAGUAAUCCAAAAGAUAAAGCCGCAUGAUCAUCUACUUUUACAUGCAGCAAAAUACACAAUCACCAUAAGCUUAGAAUGUAAAGGCAGAAAAACUUGCUUCUGUAGAUAUAAAAGUGACCACUACAAGAAAAGUAAAAAGAAGAUGGAGAUAAUAAUCCUUCUAUCCCCUUAUAAGGAUUAAACCUUCGUCAUGAUAAAUUAUUUGACAGUAAAAACUCUUUCAUAUUCAAGUUUUAUUUUUUGAAGAAAAAAUUCUUGGAUAAUAGUGCACAGGAUAAUUUAGAUUCCAAGAUAUACUAUCUAGAAAUUUACAGGAGCUACUAAAAUAGUAGAAAAUAUCUUCAAAAUUUAAUUUCCAAGCUAGUGUUAUUCAAAACUUACGUCCAGUCUCAUGAGUGACAUGAGCAAAGAAAGCAGCAAUCUCCCUUUUAGAAUCAUCAACAGAGCCAACGGUUCCAAACUGGGGAUACGAAUUCAGAGCUUCAAGAAAAGCUGAUCGAGUAUAGAACCCUUUUCCAGCACAGCUUGAAGCAGCUUGAUCAGCAAUUCCAUUAAAGAAAGCGUCCGUCACAAUAUCAGCAACUGAAACGCCACUAUUACCACUGCUCGGAGCAGCGGUGCAAGGGCCGGAUUGACAGCCAGAGCCACAGUAGUCAUUGCCGGUACCGCAAUAGCCGAAUUUGCUGCAGCACAAGUCUGGUGCACAGCCGCAGUUUUGGCUUGAAAUCAGCUGUGGAAAGGCUCCUACAAGAACUACAAUGGAGAAAAUGAUGGUUGGAAAACUCUUCAUUUUUGGAUUUGAUAAAGUAGAGAAGCUUGUGGGCAGAAGUUGUAUCAGAAAGAAGGAUAUAUAUAGGGAAGAGAACUGAAAACCGAUCAGCUUGUGUGAAGCAUGCACCGCUGUUAUUGUUGAAAAUAUUGAAUUUGAGCAAUUAAAGAAAACGGAAGACGAAAGCGUGAAUGGUUGACUUCUAUCGAGUGUAUUGACUUUGACAUUGUCAAUGAAGCGGAAACUUUCUUUCUUGGCUUCUAGAAUGGAAAAGGUCAAACGGGAAGAUUUUGGCCAAUCAUAUAAACAAUUGUGAGAAUAAGUCACGUAGACUAACAAGUCCCCACUAUAAUGUGUGCAAAAAUAUAAUUUGAAGUUGCCUAAAUCAUUUAAUUUGAUGCUUAUUAUUGAGUUUACUUGCCCAACUAUGUUUUAAUAAUAUUUCAAAAUUGUGUUUGAAUUAGAACAAAAAAAUAUGAGACAUACUUAUUUAUUUAAUUGCAAUUCCAGAAAUAAAAUCGUAUACAACAUGUAUUAGAAUAAUUUUUAGGGUAAAUGAUAAAGAAAAGAAAUACUUCUACAAAUUGACGUAAGUGAUCAUCAGCUUUUCGAGAAGUUCAGAAAGAAUAAAGUGGCCGAUAUAUAUAUCAUGCAUGGCAAACUAUGUGGCUUUUGUUAGUACACGUUAUGACUAUAUGUAUGUUUCAUUUGACAUGUUUGUUGGACGUGUUGAAUUGUUAGCAAUGAAAUGCUCCAAAAUGUUUUCAUGCAAGAUUUCAGCACUGUGGUUUAUAAGCAGUAUGAGGUCAUAGUGAAUUAUCGACAUAUCGUCACAUGCAGAGUCGUGAAAAUAUACAAGUCUUUCCCUAUCAUUAAUUAGUUGGUUAAAUGACAAUUUCUAGAAUGGAGCUUCAUGGUUGGCCAUGUCAAGAAACAUCUCGCAGUAAAUUGGGCGAGUUAAUAUGGUCCUCUUGUUUUACACAGGAUGUACUUUUCUUUUUCUAAAUAUUUCCCCUUAAACUCUCAAAUUGAUCAUAGUGUUAACUAAUUUUGCUCUGGUUUUAUUCUUGGUUCGCAAAAUUCAGUAAAACCAAAACAAACCCUUGUUACUGAAGAUAUCAAAAUGGUACCCCAACUAAGUAAUUGAUUUCGAAAAACACUCUGAACCAAAUUUCAAGUUUUGGUUUCUUUGCUCUUUUUCUACUGAAAGGCAACAUCCCCGGGCCAAGAACUUGAAACAAAUAGUAUGAUGCUCAAGUUUUCUAUGCUCUUAUGAUCAAGUCAAACCAUGCUUAUAAUCAAUUACAUAAAAAAAAAAAAAUCACGGGCAAUUUUGUUACUAUUUGGGAGGAGGAGGAAUAUUAAGCAAAAAAAUAUUCUAUUAAGAAAACGAUGAAGCAUAUUAUUUUCCAGGAAUAAAAAAUAACGAGCAGAAAAAAACAAAUAGUAUGAUGCUCAAGUUUUCUAUGCUCUUAUGAUCAAGUCAAACCAUGCUUAUAAUCAAUUACAUAAAAAAAAAAAUCACGGGCAAUUUCGUCACUAUUUGGGAGGAGGAGGAAUAUUAAGCAAAAAAAUAUUCUAUUAAGAAAACGAUGAAGCAUAUUAUUUUCCAGGAAUAAAAAAUAAAGAGCAGAAAAAUACAUUAGUUUGGAUGACAUUAGAACAUUUAGCAACAGGAUUAGGGAUGCAAUGGGAAGAGUGCCAACUGGGAAUCAACAGGAUGGGAAAAAAUACAGGGCGGGGUGGGGGGGAUUGGAGAUAUAAUAAAUCUAAAAUUUUGUUUCUUUAGGAAACUUACAUAAGUGAACUUAAUAUUUCCUAAAAUAAUAUUUAAAAGUUAUAUUUAUUGUAAGGAAAAUAGAUUUGCUUUAUUUUGAGAUACUUUUUAACUUAAGGAAACUAGAGUUAAUUUAUUUUAGGACACUCUUGUUAAGGAGAAAUUAAAGGAAAUUAACAAUCUAACUAAUGAUAAAUAUGUUUUUUUUAGGGCAUUCGGUUGGUGCUUGAGAACACACCCGAGUACUGCAGCGUCUGCUGGAGAUUAGAGCAUUCGGUGGAGGAGUGCAGGAAGGAUACUCAUAACGGUGCAGGAGCCUUGGUUAAGGGCAACCAACCGCAAUUUGUAUCGCAGAGUGAUACUGUUGGGGCUGUCAUGGAGGCAAAAGGCAGUUCGGUUGGUGCGUCGAAGCCGCCCGGGGGGGGGAACACUCCCAGCAGCGCUGAUGGAGGCUCCGCUCUCCAUCCCUGGUCGAGAUGGCAAAAGCCCAGCGGCAGCAGCUGCGGUAACAGGGGUGGUGCCCAGGGAGGCAGAGCUGACCCACGAGCAUCAGCCUACUCGGGUUGCUGGUGUGAGUGUGGAGCUCCUUGAGGGAAGCGGGCAGGAUGAUGGCGCGCCAGAGGGGGAGCGUUCCACAGCAAGGGAAGGAGCCUCGCUUGCGCAGGUGAAUGCUAGAGCGGAGAUAAUGGUGGAGGGGCGACGUGCGGCUGAGCUUCCAGUGGCAGCAGGCUCGAAGGACAGUGGGCAAGCUGUUGGCGCACCAGAAUGGGAUCAGGCUGAGCAGGUGGAUGCUAGAGUAGAGAUCAUUUUGGAGGGGUGCAGUGCGGAUGUCCAGACUGCAACGGGCAAUCUGUCUCCGCGGCCCAGCGCCUAUUAUGGGGAGUUGGCAGCUUCUCCCUUGGAGGCGAUGAAUGUAGAUCAGUCACGGGCAUUGGAGCCGGCUAUAAAACUCGGAAAAUCAAAGGGAAUAAGAGCGAUUUUCCCUUCCGACAGGUAGCUGCGUUCCACUUCAACAUCCUCCAAAAACGGAUUCCAGGUUCUUUCCCAUGAUUAAUAGCAUAUUUUGGAACAUUAUGGGGGUUUCCAAACCUCCUAAUUUGAGACGGUUGAAAAACCUUAUUCGAUUACAUAAAGUUCAGCUGGUAGCUAUAUGUGAACCGAAACUUGAUGUCACAAAUAUUGAGAGCAUCCGCUUAAAUUUAUCGUUUGAUGCUGCUGUUGUUAACUUGUCAGCAGAUGUUUGGGUCUUGUAUAAUUUUCCGUUAGUAUGCUCUAUAGCUGGGAAUUCUCAGCAACAUAUCUCCUUGAAUGUCCAUCAUCCAUGGCUACCUCGCUCCUUGCGAUUUUCUUUUGUGCAUGCCAGGUGUACAUUGGAAGAACGACGGGGGUUGUGGCAAGCACUUUUGGUGGACAAACCACGCGACCAGCCAUGGUGCAUCUGUGGGGAUUUCAAUGUGAUCAUAUCCCCUAGCGAAAAAAAAGGAGAUCGGCCUUUUCGUGUCUCGGAGAGGUUAGAGCUUCUGACCUUCAUGGAGGAGGCGGAAGUUUUUUAUGUGGGUUUUUCCGGCUCGAGUUUCACUUGGUGCAACAAUAGCCAUGGCCGGGCUCGGAUAUGGAAGCGAUUGGAUAGGCUAUUGGUUAAUGGAGAAUGUUCUGAAUUACCGUCAGCCGUGUCGAUCACUCACUUGGCUAGACAUCCAUCCGACCAUGCACCGCUACGAGUUUCUUUCACAUCCUGUGUAGAGAUAAACCUCAUGCGUUCCGCUUCCUGAAUGUGUGGACAUCCAGAGCAUCUUUACUUGAUGUUAUUUGAACGACUUGGCAACAGGAGUGUCGGGGUUCUCCCUUAAGGAUCUUAUGCUCCAAGUUGCUAGCAGCAAGGAGAGCUAUCCAAGAGUGAAAUAAGUCCUCCUUUGGGAAUAUAUUUGCAGUGUCUCGCGAAGCAGAGGCUUCGGUGCUUAGGGCGGAAGCACGGGUGGAAACUGAGGCAUCGGAGAAUGCUCAGAUAGAGCUUCAUAGGUCUCAAGCACAGCUCAACCGUGCUUUGUCAGUGGAGGAGGAGUUUUGGAAGCAGAAGGCUCGUGUCAAGUGGCUCCGACAUGGCGACUGUAACUCAAAGUUCUUCCAUGCCACCCUGAGACAGAGGAGGAUGCAAGGGCAAAUCCACAGGAUUAAAGAUGAGACUGGCAUAUGGGUGAAGACGGAUGAAGAUAUAUCACGUGAAGCGAUACGGUAUUUUUCUGAUUUAUUCUCUGCUCCGGCGGAAUCCUCAUCAGACUUGCUGCAUGUUAUCCCUGCCAACGUCACGGCGGAGGAAAACAUGAGCUUAGAGGCCGAUCCGUCUUUCGAUGAAGUAAAAAGAACUAUCUUUGCAAUGGACGGUGAUAGUGCAGCAAGCCCCGAUGGUUUCAUGGGUAAGCUUUUUACUUUUGCUUGGGAGGUGAUUGGUCAAGAUGUCUAUAAUGCAGUUUUGAGCUUUUUCUGUAGGGCUGAGCUCCCUCAUUUUAUUACAUCUACUUCUAUUGUCCUUCUCCCGAAGGGACCGAACCCUCAGGAUUUUUUGAUGUUCAGACCGAUUAACCUCUGCAAUUUCUUUAAUAAAGUAUUGUCCAAGAUCUUGGCUGAUAGGUUGGCUAAUAUUCUGCCAAGAAUCGUCUCACCCCAACAUACAGGCUUUGUUAAGGGCAGGAAUAUAUCAGAGAAUUAUUUUCUCGCCCAGGAAAUAAUGUCAGGGAUGCGUAGAUCGUACAGGGGUGGGAAUGUAGCAUUGAAGUUAGACAUGUCCAAGGCAUAUGAUCAUGUAUCGUGGGUAUUUCUCAUGAACGUAAUGCGGCAGUUUGGGUUUGGAGAAAGGUUUCUUGACAUGGUGUGGAGGUUGAUUUCUAAUGCUUGGUUUUCGGUUAUAAUUAAUGAAGCGUCUUAUGGCUUUUUCAAGUCGGGUAGGGGAUUACGGCAGGGGGAUCCGAUAUCCCCCGCGUUAUUCGUAAUUGGGGCGGAGCUUCUCUCACAGGCUUUAAACAAUCUCGUGUUACAUUGUGGCUAUAGGGGUUUUAAGGUCCCACGGGGGUGUCCCCAAGUCACGUACUUGGCCUUCGCUGACGAUGUAUUGAUUUUCGCUAAUGGGUUUGCUCGAGCUUUGCAGGAUAUUGUGCGGGUAUUGGAGCUUUACCAACAAUCCUCGGGUCAGUUGGUGAAUAGGCAAAAAAAUGGGUAUAUCGUCCAUCUCUCCGCCUCGAUUGCUAGACGGAGGGUGAUUGAGCAUCUCACUGGCUUUUCUAGGCAACAGGCGCCUAUUCGAUACUUGGGCUUCCCAUUGUACUUGGGCCAAAGUAAGGCUUAUUAUUACGGUGAGGUGAGUCAAGCAAUAAUCGGAAGAAUCCUCUCAUGGAAGUCCAAGUUUUUGUCUCAGGGGGGUAAGAUCAUCCUCAUCAAACAUGUUCUCUCUUCUAUCCCACUGCACUUACUAUCUGCUGCAGUAAUGCCGACUUCGGUGUUCAGGGUAAUUAAAAAGGUUUGUUCUGACUUUCUAUGGAGUUCGACGGAGAGGGGGGCCAGGUAUUACUGGAUCCACUGGGAGUUGUGCUUUUCAAAGGAGGAGAAGGGAGUAGGCUUCAGGCUUCUAAAGGAUGUUUACACAGCUUUAUCUCAUAAACCCUAGUGGAAAUUCCGCACGGGGACGUCUUUAUGGGCAAGGUUCUUACGUGCUAAGUAUUAUGGGGCUUGCCACCCUUGUCAAGUGGAGCUUAAAGUGGGCGUAUCAGCAACUUGGAAACGGAUAAUCAAUGUCAGCAGGGAGGCGGAGUUGUCUAUGCGAUGGUUGGUGAAUGCUGGGACCUGUGACUUCUGGUAUGAUAACUGGCUAGGGAAUGGAGCUCUUUUCCUUAAAGCUCCUGUUCAGGGGGAUUUAUCGUUCAGAGACUUUAUUGUUGACGGGAAGUGGAACUCGGUGGGACUUGCAGAAUACCUCCCAAGGGACAUCACAACUAUGAUCCUGCAACACUCGACCCCAGAGGGUGAGAGGCCCGAUGAGGUGGUAUGGGUGUCAACAACUUCAGGAUCAUUUUCGUUAUCCUCUGCUUUUCGUGAGGUAAGGCAAGCUCGGAAUCCCUCUUGGAUAUUUUCCCACAUUUGGCUCCCCCAACUCCCUGUAAAAGUUUCUUUAUUUAUGCUCCGUCUUUUGAUGCGGAGGCUCCCCCUGGAUGAUAUCUUGGGUAAGUUUGGCUUUCAAUUACCUUCCAAAUGUUUUUGUUCUUCCAUGGCAGCGGCGGCGGGAGAAUCUAUUGAACACAUUUUCUCAACGGGACAACUAGCGGUAGAGAUUUGGGGUGUCUUUGGAUCCUCGUGCGGUAUAUGUCUGCCGGCCGUAUCAUUGCGAGAGCGACUGGUCGCUUGGUGGUUGUCCCCGCACUCAGAUGCUCAAAGACGUCAUGUUGUUUCCAUCCUGCCAAGUUUCAUCUGUUGGCAUAUCUGGAAGGCACGGAACAAAGCAAUCUUUGAAGGGGUUGAACUGACUAGGGGGGAGAUUUGCCAUGGCAUUCUCCGGGAUAUUUUCGCAACGGUUGAGAUUAAAUUUCGUCAUGGGAUUGUAGCGCAAACAUUUGAUCAGUUUUGUGAAAGACUCUCUUAGCCGCCGCUAGUACUUCGGGUCCAGUUGGUCAAGUGGUAGGCAUCUGGAAGGGGGGUUUUCUCCCUUAAUACGGAUGGGUGCUCAAAGGGGAAUCCAGGGAUGAGUGGUGGUGGAGGAAUAUUACGGGAUUCAAAUGGUCAGGUGCUAGUAGCAUUCUCAGCCUCCCUGGGGGUCAAUACAAGCUUGCACGCUGAAGCAUUGGCACUUUUAACGAGGCUUCGCGUAUGCUUCCAGCAAGGGUUUGUACAGGUGCGAGUGCAGACAGAUUCACUGGUUCUAGUAGAUAUAUUACAACGGAGGUUCCAGUGUCCAUGGCUCAUUCGAAGAGAGGUACACCAAAUAUGGCAGCUAGUCGCGAAUCCUACACACUUUUCGCAUUGUUUUAGGGAAGCCAACAAAGUGGCUGACAUCUUAGCUAAUGUAGGUAUCUUGCAUCCGCAGGAUCAUGUAAGGGUGUAUCACCAACUCUGCUCUCUUUCACAGCUAGCAAGGGGGGAAGUUAGGUUGAAUAUGCUAGACUUUCCUUCUAUUAGACUUAUCAAAGGAUCGUCGUGAUGACCGGUCCUGGUCUCGGCUUGUAAUCUUCUGAUUGGGCAAUAAAAGUUUUUUCAAUAAAAUAAAUAAAUAAAUAAAUGUUUUUUUUGGGAGGGGGAUUGAUAAAUUUUUAAUCUGAAACAAAACUCUAUAUUGUUGUUUUGGGUGAGGGGAGGGAGGAGGGGGGACUGCCCCCACAAUAGAUCUUUUGUUUCAUUCUCUGUGUUAUUUUCUGUUUCACUUUUUAUUAUAUCAUUAUUUUUUCUUCAUAGACAUCAUAUUUUAUUUUCUUUAUUUCUUUAAGAUCUAAUAACUAUUAACUAAGUAAAAAAUAAAUACAACAAUCUAAAAAUAUAUAUAUAAUAGAAAAUUAGAAAAUAUAGCAAAAAAUUUAUUAAAAAAUCUCAUUUUUCAUGCAUUUUAAUUUUUUGAAUUUGUUAAAUUUGGUGUAUUACUCAGUUAAUAGUUAUUGGAUCCUAAGGAAAUUAAAAAAAAAAACUAAAAUAUGAUGUUUAUGAAGGAAAAAUAAUAAUAUAUUAAAAAAUGAGACGGAGAGUGGCACAAGGUGUGAGACAGAAAAUCCAUUGCAGGCUGCCCUGCUGGCCCUUUCUUAUGUCCGUCACUAUAUGGCUAGAAACAAGUACCUAUUGCUGAAUUAGUCUCUCCCUUCUAACUUCUAAGAAUUCCAAGGUUUUGUAAUGAUUCCGCAGGAAAUAAGACAAAAAUAGUUAGCCAACUAUUACCUUGCUGGAAUUGUUAUAACGGCUACCACUUGCAGAAAGAAGGUUACUGAUUAGUUAGUGGGGAAGCUUUCUAUUAAUAGGCCAAUACUAAUGUAAAGGGGCAUGCAAAUUCUGAUCAUUGAGAAUACAACUUUCCCGCUUCUUUCCCAUUCAUUCUGCUCCCUCUCUUUUCUCUCAACCUUUUUCUCUCUAUUCCUUUCUAUAUUUUUGUUCCUUAGUUGAAUCAACCAAUUCCCAACCAUUACAGUUUUUUUUUCUUGUCAAUCGACAACUUCUACAUUUAUCCUACUCCUACUCCUACUUUUUCUCCUAUUCUAACCUAUCUAAAGAAUGGCCUAACAGGGCCAAAAAUCCUAUUCCUAGUUCUAUUUCCACUCCCAUUCUAACCUAUUUAAGGGAGGGUCUAGCUGGAUCAAGGGGACCUAGAGAGAGUAGUCCCCAUCUCUAGACCAACGUCUGGAUUUGGAGGAAACUACAUACUAGUCACAAUUGCUAGAAAGUAAGAAUUGAAUUCUUGAUCUCUUACUCCAAGGCCUUUGACAAGUGACUAAUUUACACUAUAUUUGAAUGAUAUCUUAUGUUAUUUUUAGUCACUUUGGCUAUAUUAUUGGAAGAAAAUGGAUCAUUCUGGCUAUAAUUAGUUUAAAAUGCUCUUAAGUGAUUAAAUGAGAUUUUUGUCACUUUUACUUGCAUUUUGUCCAUAAUUUGUAUAGGAGUUGGAAAUAUAUUUCCUUUGGAUGAAGAGGAAGUUGACAGCUUUGACACAACUUCGUAUUUCGGCUAUAACUUGAGUUACAAUGAUCGGAUUGAGAUGAUUCUAGAACCAUUUUUAAGAUAAGAGAUAGAUGUACAAAUCUUAUGAAGACAUUGAAAUACAGUUUGAAGGUUUUCCCUAUCAAAAAUCUGAAUUAUAGUGCCAAUUUCUAUUGGUCGAAGCUGAAACAAGGCAGUGAGCAGUCAAGGGUAUUUCUGUCAUUUCUCCAUCUACACAAAUCCAAAUGAGGUGAUUCUUGAUGCAUUGGAAACAUAACUAAAAGGGUUACAAGUUUCAUGUUUUGGUCAAGAGUUAAUUCAACUUCUAUCAUCAAGAAAAGUUCAGUUGAAGUUGAGGCAAAAUUGGAGCAACAUUGAAGACUGGACAGAAAUUGCUAAGAAUGGCAGGGGAGCAAUCCGGCUGAAAAUCCGUCCGGAUUCUGGCCGGAUUCUAGUCAGAAAUAGCUGCUCUCCACUUGCACAACUUAUUUCCUCCUCCAAUAUUCAUAGCUAUUGAUGGACGUGUAACAACAACUUUGCAGCUGUAAAAGUGAUAUUUGAAGCCUUAUUUCUUGACUAAAUUAUCUAUAAAUAGCCAUGGACUUAUAAGGAUAAGGAGAGCUUGGGGGAGUGCAAGAAACACCACAAAAAUGUAGUUCCUUGGUUCUUUAGUGUAGAGUAGUGUAGGAUAGUUUAGUUUUAGAUAGUUUAUCCUUUCUUGUAUGUUAGCUAAAUGAAGAUGAAGAUGGAGAUGAAGAAGGCAAGGAAAGAGCUCAUGUGACAAGGAUUACUUUACCUUUCCAACUCUUUAUCUUUUGUACUUGAUUCUAAGUUUAGUUAAUAUAUAAGUUUUGGAUUCUAUGUUUAUUAUGUGUUUCUAAAGUUUAUGCCUUGGGCUUGGUUGAACUUUCUAUGAUUGUUAGUGUUUAUUAUUUGGUUAUUUGAUGCUAUUAUUUUGAGCAAGUUAUUGAGUACUUUACCUCUUUUAAAUCAUGAUUAACUUGGUACCAUUAAUUGUAAUUAUCUAAAGGUGUUGUUUCUUCAAUGAAAAUUGAGAUUUAACAGUAAUUCAAGAAGUGCUAAACCUAGAGAAUACACUCACGAGAGUAGAGGUUCACCUAUGUGGCUUUAGUGAUUCAUUUCAUGUAAUUUCAUAGAAGAAAUGAACUUGUAGCUAAUUUCUUAACCACGAGAGUAGGUAUGGAUUAGUUAUAAGUAUAGUUGAUUCACUACGAAAGUUGGUUUCACAUACAUAAGGAAAUUUCGCCAUAACUAGCCAAAAUAGUAGUACUCAAUGAUCCAAAAAUAACACUUGCAUGAGUAGUUAGGAAUACCAUAGACUAAGGAGCUUUCAUUUGUUAUUAUCUUGCAUAAGGUUAGCAUAGUUUUAUCUCUUUUAAUUCAUUGAUCGUCUAAAUAAUGGAGAAGCUUUAGUAGUGUCGGUAAUUGUCCAAUAUCAUUUGCAAGGGUAGUGAGGAAUUCCAUAUCUCUAGAAGCUUUCUAGUACUGAUUUUCAUUACUUUUAUAUUUAUGGUAAUCUAGAUAAUAAAGGAGUUCGAAAAACACCGGUAAUUGCAAUCUUCCUUGUGGGAUCGACCCUUAAUACCCUAUACUCGCUCACGAUUCGUAUACUUACGAUAAAUCGCGUGUGGGAUAUUUAAGAAUUAUAAAUGUAAAACUUGAUUGUGGAUAAACUUAUUGUAUAUGUAUACCCUGCGCACGUCAGCCUUUAUGGUGGCCAACAGCCCAAUAGGACAUUGGUUACAUGACAUCAUACUUCUAGUACAUGAGAAUACAUUAAAAAUCAAUCGCUUUCACAGUUCCACUUCAGACAAUUAAGAAUUACUAUCCAUUGGAUAAAACUAGUUUUAACCUUCAAAUAUCUUAUUGCAAGUAAGCCUUCUAAAAUAUGCUCACGAUUACUAUAUUUUUAGCAUUUUCACUAUGUAUAAGUCUAGAAUUGUAUGAUGAAAAGAAUUUCCAUCAAUCAAUAACUACUUAAGACUUUAUUGAGCCCAAUGACUAGCUUCUGAUAUAUUUUUGAAAGUGUACACUUUAGGUCGUUAAACCAUCAUUUUCAAGUAAAAUUACAGACCUAUUAAGCAACAGUUAAGAAAUUAUAGAUUGCACAAUACUAAAUUCACAGAAAAAUGAAAGAUUACUAAAUGAGGAUAAAUAUAUAGUUGGGAGGUGGAGCUAGAAACAAAAUUCAGUACGGAUAAACAUACUGUUAAAUUAUACUACUUUCAGUGUAUAAAAAAAGUUACAAUAACUUUUCAAAUGAAUUUCUUGUGUGUUGGGAGCACAUCAAUGAUGGAUCUAAGGGGGGGCUGGGGCCCCCCUCGACCCAUGUUUUGAAAAGUUUAAUUCAUAGUGUGUAAAUAUAUAUAUAAAAUAAUGUUGGCCCCCCUUAAUUUUUUCCAAUUUUAAUUUAUAUUAUGAGAGUUUAUAUUUAUAUAUAUAUAGUCACCUUUGAAUUAAUUUUUUUAUUCAAAAAAGUUAUUUAUUUUUUACUAAUUACUUAACUUUCAAAAAAUUAAACAUACUAUUUGAUGAUCCAUAGUAAAUUGAUCCAAUUUGACAUAUUAUAAUAAAAAGACCCAAUUCACAAUAUCAAUGGGUUAAAACAAAAAUAAUAAUUUUAUUGGCCCAUAUGCAAAUAUACAACUUAACCCAAUUGAAUGAUUGUCUAAGUAUAUACAUAGAUAGGGGUGGCAAUGGGGCGGGGAUGGGGCAGGGGACACCUCCCCCAACCCCCGCCCCCGGCUUCCCCCGCCCCGCCCCGCUUCCCCCCACGGGGGCACUCGUAGGGUUAAAAAAAUUUUAUUAUGUAAUUUCAUUAUAAUUAAAUUUGAGCAAAUAAUCAAAUAUUAAAAUAUCAACACAUCACCAAAUUAUUAUUCAUUGUAACUUCACAAUUGAAACUCAUAAAAAUAAUUAAACAAAAGUUAUUUGAAUACAAUCUAAUAUGAUAAAACAAAUAUAACUAAAAUAAUCAAGUUUUCACUUUUGAUACAAAUACAAUCACUAAAUUAUUAUUGUGUUUUUUUUAGAAAAAAGUGUUAUUGUAUUAAGUGUAGUUAGAAAUUUAACAUAAAUGUAUUAAUAAAUUUAGUAUAAAUAAUUAAUAAUUUUUAUUAAUAGACAUGUAUAAUUAGUAGUAUAAUUGAUAAUAUCAUUAUAUAUAUAAUUAUGUACAUAUAUAUAUAUAUAUAUUUUUCAAACAGGUGGCGGGGCAGGGGUGGGGCGUACUCCCCUGCCCCCCGCCCCGUUUCUAAACGGGGGGAAAAAUUCCCCCCCCCGGCCUUCGCCCCAACCCCCACCCCACUAAUCCCCCGCGGGGCGGCUGUCCGCCCCCGUUGCUAUCCGUAUACAUAGAAAAGAAAAUUGCUGAAAAAUUUAUCAUUGAUUCAAUCAUAGAUGAAUUUAGUUCUAUGAAAGAAUGUAAAGCUCAAUUUACUUUAAAAUAAAAGGUUCAAAUUUUAAGUUAUAUUAACAUAACUUUUAUCUUGUUUUAAUUGAAAAUAGAUAUAUUUAUAUUGCAUAGUUAUAUGCUUUCUUUUCUUUUUGCAUAGGUGACAUAUUGGAGUUUAUGUUCAUAAUGUGCAUCUUGGAUGGUUUGCAAUGCUAUAAGACAUUUAAUCUAAUGUUAUUUCUUGUCUUAAUUUUCGUUAUGACUAUAUUGCAUAUUUAUGAAAUAGACAUACACUUAUAAUUAAAGUUAAUAUUGGAUAUUUUUAGAUAAUAUAUAUUUAAAUAGUUGAAAUUUAUUUUGAACAUAACAUAUUAAGAUAAUUUUGUUAGAAAAUCCCCCCCCCCUCACGAAGAAAAAAAUCCUAGCUCCAUCACUGGAGCAGAGAAAAAGAAGGAAAAGAGGAAUAAACAUAAAGUUGAGUUUUUGUUAGUUAUUUUUUAUUUAUUUGUAAGAGGUGAAAUGAGUUGUUUUUUAUUUUUAAUCUAUUGAAAUGGUGAGGACAAAGUGAUAAACAAAGGAUAAUAUUAGAUACAUAUUUUAUUAGAACAUAGUGGGGAAAAUAUUAUCUAACAACGACAUGAAUUGUAUAUAAGUUAUAUGCUUUUGGUGGGUCAGUGGAGGUUAUUGUCUCCAUUGUAUCGUUUCCUAGAAUCAGUAUAUUCUAGUAAAUGAUUCUAGUUAUAUGUAAGUGAUUUAUAUUACUAAUUUUUUGUUACAAUUUUUAGAGAAUAGUUGGUUGAUUCUUAAAAAUAGAGCGAAGUCAACAACUAAUGCGCUUCAUAGUUAAUAGAAGUUUCCAAGAGGGCACCAAGUAAUAUUUUCAUAAUUGAUUAGCUUGGUUUUCAAGUGCAUAUAAAAAGAUAUCCAUGAAGACCUCCCCACCCAAGGGAAGACUGUAAGUUACGAAAACGUUUACUUUACUCUCAACAAAAUGUUGAGCAUACUUUAUUUUACUUUCGACAUCAUGCAAUGAUUAAAGGAUUUUGUAUAGGGACCUAGUUAAUUCAAUAAGCUUUAUGAUGGUUUAAUUGACUAACGGAGGAAUUUGCUCAGCCUAGUAACUCUGGUACUCAAGUAAUCAUGACCUUUAUCUAAAGAUCUACACAUUCCAUAUUGAAGUAAAUGAUAAUGGAUUUAUUACUUUUGUUGACCAAGUCAAGCAAAAAGCUGUUAUCAAAUCAUGGUUUUAGCGACUUAUAAGUUUCUUGAUAUCCCAACUAACCUCAUAGGAGGGCUACUUUAUUUCUUUUUGGUUACUUUCUAAUGCCUAGUUGCCUGUCGGAUAAAAUAUUGCCUUCACGGAUUGAUUCCAAAACUUGCUCAAAAACAUCUAUUUAUUUUUAAAAUAUUGCUUAUACUAUAUUUUGAACCAUUCAAUUGCAAAACACAAACAAUUUUUCUUAUGGUGCCUUCUUGUCGUUGAAACUAGGAAGCUAACCAAACAUUUGAAGCAAAGUGAUAAACAAUUAAUAGCAAACUAUAUUGGAUCUUCGAAAGGAAAAUUGAGGCCUCAUCUAUGAAUUUAACAUUUUCCGUUGUGAUGACAUCCGAAAUUGAUUGUGAGAAGAUUUUACAAACGCUAAAAGAGUAUCUCCAUUUAAUUGUGGAAAGGAAUUUGAUUUUGUCAAAUGCACAGAUAAUGGAAAUGACAAAAUAGCAGCACUAUCCUUGUCAUUAGGAAGCACUCAAAAGUUACGUAUUAAAUGGGAGUCUAACGUACAAGCAAUGAAACACUAUUGUAUUUGCGAUAGUAUUGAUAAAAAUUAAGAUUCUAUAGUCUUUGGAUCAUAAUGAAUUCAACGUUGGAUGACACAAUAAGUAUUCUGAAUUCUUAAAUUAUAAUAAUGUUAAAUAUUUAAAAUAGAAGCUGAUAUCGUUAUUAAGAAAUACACAUUGAAGGAAUAGUUCUCUAAGCGAUAAAAAUUUUCCAAAAGUAAAAGAAUGAAUGAUCAAAGUUUUCCAUCUUUGCCCGAUGACUCGUCUCUUUCCAUUUUACUUUCCCAAAGGAUAGCAUUUAAUAGCCUCGUGCCUGCUCUCAUUUUAAUCCUAAAAUAAGUGAUCAUGGGCUUCUUUGAGAAUGGGCUUGGUCUAAAUAUUGAACGCUCAAAACAGACUUCUUUUGUUGGAGGCGGCUUUCACUAGAGAGCGUGGGACUGAUUCAGAGUUCUUUUUUUUUUUGUAGGAAAAGGGAGACUGAUUCAGACUUCUUGCUAUCAUAGUUAUUAAACCUACCUUGGAGAGGAAUCCGGUGAAGGAGGUGGGUCAACGGAUUAUUGGUUCAAUCAGUGGAUGAGUAGUUGAAUUGGUGGGUUACUAAAUAUAUUUAAAUAUUAUGUCUCAUAAUUUUUUCAUAUAGGGUAUCUGGUUUAAACUACAAUGAACUAUACCAAGCAAAUGGUUAUUUAGGGUGUGUUUAAUAAAAUUAAAAUUUGAAAUUAAAAUCUGAAAUGUGAAUCUAUUAAGUUAUUAAAUUGUUAAGUGCUAAAUCUGAUACAUUUGUGUGUGUGUAUAUAUAUAUAUAUAUAUCAUAUUAAGUAAUAAGUGAAUAGUUUAUCACUUAUUUUUAGGAAUAAAUUUUGCCUAGAAAAUUCAUUACUAUUUAAUUAAUUCAGAUGUUCAAUUUUUUAAUAUGUUAAGAUCUGAAUCCAUUAAAUUAAAGUGUUGAAUUGGAUUAUCAAACAGGGUUUUAGUCUAAUUCAUUAUAGUCUAAUUCAUUAUAGAAUGAUUAAUUAUUAUAAAAAUCUAUAAAAUCAAAAUUAAAUUAGUAAUCCACCAAAUUUCAAGUGCAAAUAUUUACCUAUAUUUAGUGUAAUUAUUUAGUUUAUUUAUGAAUUUUAAGUGCAAGAGGUUAUUAGGAACAAUAUUUGCCUUUAAAUGAAUUGUAUACUAUGUUAUUUUUGAAAUCCAUUUCAGAACUUAUAGAGUUUGAGAAAUAAUAAAUUUUAUUAAAAUAUCCCAAAUAAUUUUUAUUUUAGAGAAAUUAUAAAAAUAAAGAAACAAUUGACUAACAUAUAAUAUAAGACAGGUGAAUAACUAGCAUGUCAGCUGUUCACCUAGCGGUAAGUACUCGUUGUUUAUAUGCAUGAGGUUUUGAGUUUGAACCAUUAAAAAAACACAAUCUUGUCUAAUUUUUCCAAUAGCAACUAAUGUUCUACCUGAUUCAACCGGUCGGAUUUUCGAUUUAAUCCGGUUGAACCAUUGAUUUGUUGACAAGUCAAUGAGACUUGUUCACAUUCAAUCCAAUUAGAGACCCGAUGUUGUUUACUGAUCAGGCUUAAUAACUAUGCUUGCUGUGUUUCCUAGGUUUGCAAGAUUGAAUUCAAGGUUAAUUGUAUUCAUCUCCUUUUUGGUUAAACCAAAUUACAAAAAUCUUUUAUAUUGUUUGACCAAAUUAAGAGUACAGGCAAAGCCCUUGACCAAAUUACAAAAAUCUACCAUAUUGUCUGACCAAAUUAAGAGUACAGGCAAAGCCCUUGAUGGCAAAACAUUUAUCAAAUGCGCCCUUAUAUCAAUAGCUGUUAAAAUUGAUGCUUACAUUAACAAAAACCACAUAUUUGAAAGCCCCAAAAUAACCUUUUACACCUUGAGUUAAUUACACUUAUCUUUAUAUUUGGCAAUUGGGUGGGUUGAACGGAUUUUGGGCGGGUUAAUAUUGGAUUUUCACUUAAAUGGAUUAUACCCAACCCGUCCAACUUUAGAUUUGGUUGAUUUUGGGUUGGGUCAUAUUGGGUUAUUUCAAACCCAUGACCCAAAAAUAACCUAUUAUAUUAAUUAAUACAUAACCUUUUUUCACAUUCAUUUUAACAUACAAAAAAGAUUUUUUUCACACAUAUAAACACAUUUUCACAUACAUAAAUGUAUUUUCAUACACACUCACUUCUUAAGUUCCUUGAAAACACAUCAUAAAUAGAAUAAUAUUUUAUAUUACUUGUAUUGUAAAUUUUAGAUAAUAAAUGAUGGGGGUUGGGUUCUGCAGCAGGUUGCGUGAUGAAGUCGUAGAUGAUGUUGGGAGUACUGGGAAAGGAUGGAUGAUGAUGAUGGAGGUGAUGAGGAGGUGGCUCCGCCAUUAUACACACAGAGUAUACAUGAAUGAGGAUGGCGCCGAUGAUGACUGCACUCACUUCUUAUUAUAUGUAUCCACAUUAAUAAUUCCUAUGUACACAUGAAACUCUGUGUGUGUGUGUAGAUACAAUAUAUAUAUAUAUAUAUGUAUGUGGCGGGACUUAAAUUAUAUAUAUAUGGGACAUAGAGCCACUGCUACUGGUCUAUAGUAUAGUUCAACAACAACAGCAGCAACGGCAUUCGACUACUCUGUUAGUGCAGUGUAUCAGCAGCUUGAGGUUAAAAAAGGUUAAAAAAGAAAUUUGUACAAUAUUAUAUGUACACGAAAUAUUGACAAACAAAAGCAAUCAUGAAAUAUUAAAAAAGAAUGCAAUUAGAAUAAAUUUAAAACUCUAUUUUACGUACACGAAAUAUUAACAAACAAAAGCAAGUAGCAACUUGAGAACAACCACAAAAAAAAAAAGAAAAAAAGAAGGAGGAAAAUAACAUACUCUUAAAAGGCAUAAUAAAUUAUUAUAAAAGUUGAGUAAGUUUAACUACUGUUAUAAAAGUAAAAUAGCUAUGAGUUUUUAUUUCAAGUUUCUUUUUUCUUUUAAAUAAAAAUUAAAAAAAUUGAUUGAAAAAAAAAAAUAUAUAUAUAUAUAUAUAUAUAUAUAUAUAUAUAUAUAUAUAUAUGAGAAUUUUGAAUACAAAUUAAUCAAUGAAUUAUUAACACAUGUCCAAAUGCAAAUAGUUAGAUAUAUGUGUAUUGAAUCUUGUAUUUAUUAUUUUCAAUUACUUUUAAACAAGUUAGAUAUUGAGUACCCAAAUAAAAAAUUCAACCCGUCCAAUGAAUAAAUUGGAUUGUUCUUACCCAACCCAAUAAAACCCAUAACCCAAUUAACCCAACCCAUCAUUUAAAAUUAAUGGACGGAUUUUGGGCUUUUUUGCUAGCUCCACUUAUCUUCCUUGGAUUUUGUCCAAACUACUUUCAUCUCUCGUGAGGGUUGUACAAAUGACAAGUAAAGCCUAUUAUUGUCCAAAUCAAUUCAAAGCUAUAAAUAACCCAAUACUUUUCAAAUACACCAUAGUCAACUUAAUUAGUUGCAACAAACUUCUAAAACAAUUCUCAAAUACCGAUUAGUUACUACCUUUUUCUUUUACCAUUUUUUCUCCUCGUAGGUUAUAGUGUUACUCCACCUAAAAACUUGAAUUCGAUUUUCGCACAUCGUUGGGCCUUGCAUGAUGUCAAAUAUCAACAGUAUUUUCGGCAAUUGAUUCUUUAGUCGCAACUGCUAUGUACAAAAUUGAAACUUUUCUCCUUGUUAGCAUGCAAAUUAUCAAAAUCCAUUUUUCAAAUAAAAGACAGUAUAAACUUAAAUCCACCUUAGCACUAAAAUUUAAGGUUUCUAUAUAAACGAUAUUUUGGAAUUCAUUAGUAAAAGUCCAAGAAAAAAUUAUCUAGAAAUUUUAGAAUAAAAGCUUAACAUCUUAAUAUGGAUAAAAAGAAGACAAUCUAAAAAGAAAGUUCCGUCUAAGCUAAGUCAAUCCUUGCUGAUGGUUCAUGAUUUUGGAGGAAAUUGCUCCAAAUGCGAGACCUGGCAAGAUGAUAUAUUCAGGCUGUAGUAGGCAGUGGGCGCGCUAUACAUAUGUGGCAGGAUUCAUGGCAUCCACAUGGACCUCUGUUACAAUACUAUGGGUAUGAUAUUGUUAAGGGUAAAAAACAAAAAAAAAAAAUUCUCCUGUAGCAAACCUAAUACAUAGAAAAGCUCUCCGUAAUUUUAAAACGUACAACAUGACACCUCAUGUUUUGAACUAAAUUGUAAAGGUGAAUGCCUUAUUGGAACCUAAAAAAAAUUUUAUACCUAAUUUUUAACAAAUAUACAUGUUCUCCCUCUUAACCCUCAAUUCUCUUUAUAUAGAAAAUAAAACGAAUGAUUUUUUUGAACUGUUUUUUACUUAAUUAUAUGAAGGCAUUUUGGUCACUUCAUCCAUUUCUGUUAAGUUUAACGGAUUCCGUCACUUUUACAAUUUAGUUCAAAGUAUGGAGUGUUGUGUUGUACAUUUUGAAAUUACGGGGAUUUUUCUAUAAAUUAGAUUUACCACGGGGGCUCUUUUGUUUUUUACCCUAUUGUUAAACAAUUUAAUAGGUUUGAGAAUGCAAGACUGGCUUCAAUUGUGAACACAAGUGCUUGGUGUUGGCCACAUGGUAGAAGAAGAACCUCUCAAGCGGAGGAUUUGAUCCAUAAACUUCCCUCUGCUUGUGUACCUCUCUACCCAGGGAAGAUGAUACCUUCUCAUGGUUAUGAGAUAAAACUGGAAUGUUACUACAAAGUCUGUUAUUGCUUCUUUGAGAGAACAUUGUAUGAAUGUCGAGUGGUAUAAACUGGGGUGGUUUAAGCAACAUAUCCUAGACAUACAUUUAUCGCUUGGCAACAUAUUCCUAGACAUGCAUUUACAAACAAGCAACAUAUUGUUUGUAAAAAUAGUUUGGCUACAAAAGAUAGGUUACUUAAAUGGGGUAUGCCAGCUUAUGUUUGGAGUAGGAUACAACAGUGCUAUUUGCUUUAUGGAGGCGUAUAUGGUUGGUCUGUAGGAUUGGCAUUGUGGGUUGGUUUCCUGUAGAAUGAUGAAUUUGUUACCUCAGUCAAAAGAUUGGCUCUUGGGGGUUUUUAUUUAUUUCCUUUGGCAUGAGCGCAAUCAAAGGCAGUUCAAUAGUAAGGUGUCGAAUGCUGAUUAUGUGAUACAGCAUAUAAUUACUACUGUUAGGCAAACUAUAAUAGGCUGGCGAAGGGUGCAAAGGACACAUAGCAGCUGGGAGUUUGGCAUUGGCUGGAAUUUUGAAUAGCAGUUUUUUUUCUUAGAUUAAUAUUUCAUGGUUAUAAUAUUUGUUUUCAUUAUAGUAUGGUGUCUUGUUCCGUUAAGCUUGUAUAGGGCAGCUUUUCUUGUUGUUGGAACCAUUCCUUGCUUAUCUAAUGAAAAGAGUUAUUUUGCCUAAAAAUAUAUAUAAUAUUCUUCUUUAUUUUUCUUACUUGCCCAACCCUUCUCACACCCUUCCCAUCCCCAAGUGCUAGGUUAUACUAUUCACUUAGGCCCUGUUUAAUAACUAAUUCAGUACUUAAUAUUAAUUGAUUCAGAUCUUAAUAUGUUCAAAUGCAUUUGAUAACAAAAUAUUGAACAUUUGAAUUAAUUAAGUGGCAUUGAAUUUUCUAAGCAAAACUUGCUUUUAAGAAUAAGUGAUAAGGUAUUCACUUAUCAUUGAACGUGAUAUACACUACAAUGUAUUUAAUUUCAUACUUAACAAUUCAAUAAUUUAAUGGAUUCAGACUUUAGAUUUCAGAUUUCAGUUUUCAAAUUUUAGUUUUAUCAAACACACCCUUAAUCUAAAUAAAUUUAUUUUUUUGAAACCAAAUUAUAUAUCUAAAAUGUAGCGGACACUUGUCAUAUGGAGAAAUUGGGUUAGGUGAGCUUCGUAGCGGCCACAAUGAGCUGUAGCAAAGAAAAAGGGGAAGAGGUUUUUUUUAAAAAAAAAAUUUUAUCUUUUAUUUGUCAUUUCUUAGUAUUGAGCAAUUAAUUAUUUUCUUUUAAUUUGGGAUUCAAUUUUUCUUGGAUGAUAUCAUGAGUUUUCUUAUGAAUUGUUUGCUAUUCAAAUGAUUAAAUUUAUAUGGCCAAACUAUAUGGUAACUCUUGUAAUAUAGACAAACGUCAAGACAAGAAAAUGUUGGUUUUUCAAAAGGCAUUUUUUGUCAUUUCGCUCAUUUUGUUGGCUGAGUUUAGACGCUGUCACUCAUGGGUAAAUGUAGAUGCAUCACGUGCAAUUUUAAGUUGACCAUAACAAAUAAAGAAAUCCAAAAACAUGAAGUUUCAAAUAUUAAUGAAGCUUUUUGAAAAUAUAAAUAUGAACCGUCACAAAAUAAUUAUUAAUACCCAUAAUACUUCAAAUACUAAUAAUUUUGGCACUCAACAAUAAGGUUUCAGCCAAUCCUCCACUAUUUUUUACUCCAUGAAAAUGACUUUAAUGAUAGACAUUUGUGUUUUUUUUAACCUCCCACCCCUCUCCACGCUCUUCCCACCCCCAACUAUCAGGGCCAAAAUUCGAACUCUCAACUUGACACAUAUGUUUAUGUAUUUGUUAAGUAUAUGGUUUACUGCCUUGGCAAAGAAAUAUAUGAACUAAUGCACAUGUCAUGAUUUUCUAAGUUAAAUUAUCUUGGCGUUUUAAAUUCUUUAAGCAAUGUGAUAAAAUACAAUUUUAUUGGUUUAAAAUAUAUAUAUUUCUUACAUAUCUGUUAUCACUUGUUGUUCAAGAUUAUUUUUAAUGGAAAUAGUUUAUUCAAGUUUUUUUCUUCCUCGUCUCUUUGGCCAGGUUUGGCAUAUAAAUUAUGAGAAAACAUAGAUUAUGUAUCUUAGUUAUUUUGGUGAAGGCAAAGUACGAAUUGAGUGUCUCAAAGUCAAUUUGGAGUUCCAAAUUCAUUGGUUCAUUGGUUCCAAGUUCCAUUAUUUUUUGGACUCUUCUAGGAUCACAUACUUUAUGCAUGAUUUUGGAACUUGCAAGUAUAAACAAAAAGUGUUACUCUCAAAUGCAAAAGAUUUUCAUAUAUAUAAUAGCCCAAGUGUCUAAAAAAUAACUUGUGGAUAUGUCUAAAUUGUAAGAAAAGGAACGAAAAAAGCAUUUAGUUUGGGAGGUUGGAAGUACUUCCAAAUCACAUGUUUGAGAAUAUGUUAUUGCCCCUCUUUUCCUACAUGAAAUUCAUAUUGGAAUUGAUAUAUCAUUUUUCCGGUGCGAUGUUUAAAUUAUUGUUCAUGCAUGCUGAUGCGUGGAACCAAAGAAGAAAUUAACAAAAAUAGCAAAAGAAACAAACUCAAACUUAAUCCAUAGUACAAUACGUUCAUAGAUAGGAUGUCAUAGAUUACACAUCUUGGUUUACAGAUCCACUCAAACUCAAGCAUAAUUACAAUACAUCAGACUUUUAUUCCCACCAUCUUGGUUGAUAAAAGCACACACAAACCAAAUAGAAACACAUGAACACUUAAUUAAGCAGAGAAUAACAGCUUCUGCAAUCUGCGUAUCGCAGCUUGAUAGUCUGAUUAGUUCUUUCCUUGAGAAAUGAAAAUGAGAUCACUUUGAGACAUCCAAUGGCAUGCUUCACUUUGGCCAGGAGAAGUUUUCAAUAUCUUCAAGGCCACAUGAUCAGGGGACCAGCCUGAAGUAUCCAUAUGACAUACCACCGUGACUGUAUUAACUGGAACUUUGGUCCUAGGUUCAACAACAUCUACUGCAUAGACUUCAAUAUUGGAC